rnacentral:lncRNA from 1 species
GUCAAGGUAUGCUUGCAGAACCUGCUGUACCUUCGGCUGCUGCUAGAGUUCCUUGUGGGCCAAGGUCGCCUCUCUAUUAUAGAAAUAAUUAUUCUUGCAUGAUGAAACAUGGAUUUCCAAAAUACCACUCUUCCAUUAUAGAAAGAAACCUGUUGGGGCCUUCAAGAAUCAUGAACCCACAUGCACCUGAGUUUGUGAAUAAAUCCUGGAUAUGCAGAUUCAAAUGUUUCAAAUGAGUCGAACUCUUCAAAUGACACAAGUGAGGCAGACGAUGAGAAACUUGACAAAAUGUCCAGUAUUCAAGGCGAGGAUAAUACCUCAAGAAAGAGCAGUACAGAGGCGGAGAAAUCAGAGCUGGGAAGACAGAUACUACUUAUCUUCAUUGUAAAGUCAGUCCAGCAUAAUAUGGAUGCUCCAAGUCAAUCUUCAGGCUACGAAAAGAAGAGUGGGUAUUCAGAAAAUUCUUCAGAUGCAAUUGCAAAUGAUAGUGCUAUCAUAAAGAUCCUUUAUGGAAAUGAAAAGGGCAAAACAAACUUGGCAUCUCAGUCCAAUGAUCAAGAACAGCAAAAACCCAAAGAUAAUAACCAAAAAAGUGGGGAUGGUGAAGGAUUUAUAGUUGUCAGAAAACGGAGAAGAAACCGACAGCAGAUCACAAAUGGGGUAACUGAGAUGUACAAUCAUCAAUCCAUCUGUGCUUCUGUUCGUUAAAAGAGAGAGCAAAGCAAUAAAAUGCAAAGGUGCCGUCCUGUUUCUCCCAAUUUUAUUCGAAAAAUUUGUUAGUGAAUGUUACCGUUGUAGAAAUGGUUAAAGUUUGGAGCAAGUUUUAAUCAAUACUUGAUUGUAUCAUUUUAGAUAUCCUCUCUGGAUGUUCUAAUAUAAUAUUUGUACAAAUCGGUUUCUUGUUUUGUUAAGAGAUUUUGUUUUGAUCAAUAAAUGAUGAUAAAUUAAUUGGGCGAUUUUCCUUCUCAAGAGAUCUGUGAUGUUGUUCUAUAAUGGAUUUUAAUGUUUUAGACUGAGAUUUGUAGUUAAUUAUGCCUCAAAUUAUUUGGUAUUUGGUUGGUGCGUGUGAACAAUACGUUCGGAAUGGAGUUGAAUUGACCCACUGAUAGAUAGCUUACAUUUGCAGCUGAAGUUGCUGCACUGAUGAUAUUACAACUAACAUAGUAGUUGGCAAAAUUCCUUAUUCAAUUUAAAUUUGCAAUCAACAGAAAUUGAAGAAGAAGCCGUAAGUCUAAUCCUAAUGGAUGCAUAGCUGUUUGGAGAAAAGCCAACGGAGACAUAACACAGCACGAUAAGUUAUACACGGCAGAACCGUAUGUGCUAGUAAGCACAGUCACCGAUGGAAAACAUAUUUGAAAAGCCAAUAGUAGCAUGUGUCAAUACAUCUAUCAAUGAAAUAGAACCACAGUCUGCACCAGUACGAGUUUAUCCAAAGUGCUGCAAAUAAACCCAAAGUUACUGACACAUAGGAUGCUCCAAAACUCCAUCUUAAUGCCACCAUAUCAAUCACAGAAUCGCCUUCAUCUCCUCCUCCUCCUCCUCCUGUAGGGGUCGCUGGUGGUGCCAACGCACUGCUGCAUUUCCUCUUUAUCAUUGAGCCACAAAGAGCCGAAUUACCUUUAUAACUGCUGUCAUCAAAGGUGGCAAACUGCUCUUUGUCUGGGAUUGGGCCGGACAAAUUGUUGUAUGACACGUUAAAAUUUGACAAAAAAUUGAGCUCAGUUAGUUGAGGAGGAAUUCGGCCACUUAAUUUGUUGCGGGAAAGGUCCAGGCUCUCUAUCAUUUUCAGAUUGGAGAAGGUCUCUGGUAUAGCACCUGAUAGUAAAUUAUUCGACAGAUUAAGUGCACGAAUAUGUUGAAGAUGCCCAAUUUCCCAUGGAAUUUCUCCACUGAAUUCAUUGCUCGACAAAUCCAGUCCAGCCAUGUCGACGAGAUUGCUACCGAUGAAAAAUUCAUAUCUAUACUUUGUCACAAAUUCUACACCUACUUGUUGAUCUUGUCCACCAUGUAGUUCAUCUGGCAACUGCAGAUCAAGAGUGGAAUUGUAGUAAGUAUAAGUGAAAUCACGAUUUGACCCAGCAAAUCCGUAUCCAUAUGGAUAAUCAUCAAUCGCUUCUCUCCAGAAUGACACGUUACCCAGGCAUGAAGGUAUCGGCCCAUUAAGUCUGUUAUGUGAAAGAUCCAUGAUACGUAAUUUUCUUGAUUGGCACAACUGAUUAGGAAUACGUCCUUGUAGAUAAUUCCCUCUCAAAAGAAGAACAUGCAAAUUCGAAAGCUCAUUGAUCUGAUGAGGAAUCCUACCACAAAAUUUAUUGUCCCUCAAAUCGAGAGUCAAUAAUGUAGAGCUUCUAAGCAAUGCAAUUGGAAUUAACCCAUUAAUUGCAUUGUUAUGCAGAAAAAUGUGCUGCACUGAUGAAAGAUUGGAGAGAGAUACCAUGGACCCAGACAAACUAUUUUCGGAUAUGUCUAUAAACUCAAGACUUUCAAGAUUGCCGAGCUGGACCGGAAUACUACCUUGAAAAUAAUUUUCUGACAUUAAAAGAAGCCAAAGGCUUGAGAAGUUGCCAAUCCAGUGGGGAAUAUCGCCGGAUAACUUGUUGUUGGAUACAUUUAAUACCUCUAGCCAAGUGGAGCUCAACAAACCAUCUGUCAUCUUCCCACUGAAAUGAUUGUUGUCCAAAAGUAAGGAACGCAAAUGAGUCAAGUUCAUAUAAUUGGGAAAAAGUUGGCCAUAGAAAUUGUUAUUUGAUAGGUCCAACAUUUCUAAGGAGAGGCAACUAGAGAAUAUAGAUCGAGGUAAUUCUCCUGAAAAAUUAUUUUCAGACAAAUCCAAAGUAAUUAGCUCUUUCAUCUCACUGAUUGAAUGCGGAAUAUUACCUUCAAAACUAUUUUUUGACAUAUCCAAAUAUAUCAAUUUCUGAAAGACAAUACCCAAAUUCUCUGGUAGCUUACCAGAGAAAUUGUUAGUGGAAAUAUCUAGAUGACGAAGCUUGUCGUAUUUGGCAUUGGGAAGUCGCGGAAGAAUUCCCGAGAAUGAGUUAUUCCACAAAAUCAAAAUUUCUAAUCCUGUGUUGUUUUGCAACAACCAAGUUGGGAAAUUGCCAACCAACUCAUUGUGAGAGAGAUCAAGGAAUUUUAAGUGGUGUUGGUGUAAAAGAAAACUACUAUUGACAUUUAAGUGGCAGUGAGAUAAUUGGAGAACCUUGAGAGGAUAUGUGGGGAGCCAAUUUUCGGUUUUCACUUGCAACAUAUCGUUUCCUGACGAGAGUCGCAAGACCUCAAGCUUUGAAUGAUUAGCCAAUGAAUUUAUUGAGAAUGUUCCUUGGAAAUCGAUGAAAGAGAGAUCCAAAUAUUCAAGUGAUGUGAGGUUGGUCAAGGCAGAAGGAAAGUUUCCACUUAACUGAUUGUAAGAAAUAUCAAGAACUUUGAGAUGGGUCAAGUUGUUGAGGCACUGAGGAAGGUGAACCACAAAAUUAUUUGACUUUAAAUCCAACUCAAGAAGAUUCUUCAAAUUACAUAUUCCUGAAAGUGAAAAUAAAAAGCUCAGAUUUCAUAAAACGAAAACUAAUUAUAGUGCAUUCAAUCAUAAACCCAAUAUAAGACUUAUAAAACGGACAUGAAAUCAAAUUGUCUAAGUAUUUUGGUCAACAUAAAUAAUAAUAGAAUGAUAUGAAUUUAUUUCUCAUAUAAUAUGAUGUUGAUUGCAAAAGCAUUUCAAUUAAUCUAACAAUAAAAUAAUAAUAAUAAUAAUAUAAAAGCAGUCAGCAAUUCUUGCUCAUCAUAAUCCAUUCAAAAAGUGUUUCAGCAAUUCUCGUUGUUUAAAAUAAUGAUUUUCUGUGGAAGAGUUUGUUGACUUCGUCUUUUUCGUUGGAUAUUGGUUUUCUAAUCUCUAAAUUUGUUGGAUAAUGUAAAGAGAAACUCAUAAUAUAUUAGUUGUUUUCAUAAACUUUAUUUAUUCUUCUCAUAGCAUUAAACAAAAGUAUUUGCCCAAGCGGGGAAAAAAAAAACUGGUCUUCAUAUUUAAUUUCGUCGAAGUACUUCGACCAACAAGUCACUGGGAAGUAGGAAUUGUGUAUCAGUAAUGCAAAUAUUGGGUACGUUGGCAUUGUUUUUAAAUGCUGUUUUUUAUUUUUUGAAUUUAGAAAAUAUUAGAUACCUGUUCGGUAGAUUGUUUCUGAAAUUUUAAAAAAAAUAUAAAAUUCAUUCUACACAUUUUAACAAAAGAAAUGAGAAACAACUUUUUCUUAUUUUCCUUAUUUCCUAAUACAAGAUUAAGUUCCAAAAUGAAGAAUUCUCUUUACCUCCUCUUGAAAUAAUAAUAAUAAUAUCAACAUUAUUAUUAUUAUUAUCAUUAGGUCUAAUUAUCCUUGGGUGACACAUGUUUUAAUAAAUUUCAAAAAGAUGACACAUGUUUUGAAAAUACUCGAGUGGGUGACAUUGCAUUAACUUUUACUGUUAAUUUUAACCAGUUGAGAGUAGAAUUGGAAAAAAUAGACUUUUUUUUUUUUCAUAAAGCCAAAGAGACGAAAAUUUUGAAUUUAUACAAUACUUUAUAAUUCAUAAGAUUUUUGCUUCUUUAUAUGCACAAAUCAGUUUGAUUCAACAAGAUUUUUUUUUUAAAAAAUUUGAUUUAACAAAAAAAACCUGUUAAUUAGACUUAGGUUUAAUUUUUCUAUUUAAAAAAUUAAAAAUGAGUGAGUAUGGGCAGAAACAUCAUUUUGUGGGGUAGAAAUGUCAUUUAAUUUAUUAUUCUCAUUAAAAUUAAUGGCAAAAGUUAAUAGAAUGUCACUCGCUCCAAUAUUUUUAAAAAAUGUGUCAUCUUCUUAAAAUUUGUUAAAACAUAUGUCACCUAGAGAUUAUCAUUGUUGUUGUUGUUGUUGUUGUUGUUGUUGUUGUUGUUGUACCCAAAGAAUCAUUUUCCUUCACAAAAAUCUUUUCUUUUUAUAUACAUUAUAAUAUUUAUGUUUUUAUAUAUUAACUAAAUCAAAUAUGUAGGGUUUAUCAUUUUUCUUUGAACAAAAAAAUAGAAAGAUCACCUAAUUUAUUCUUAAAAUUAAAAUAAUCAAUAUACAUUGCUUAAUCUUAAGUUUAUGGAAAUUAUUCCAAUAAUAAUUCUUUGAGAUAUUCUUACCAAACAUAUUUUUUUUUCUCAUUUUUUAGAUUAUUUUUUAAAAUGAUACUGAACACAUUUUUAAAUUUUAAAAAUAAAUUUAAAAAUAGCAUUUGCAUUUUUACUUUGUCAAAACAACAAUUAGAAAACAAUAUUGGGCUCUUAUUUAUCAUGUUUCAACAUAAAAACACAGUGUAAAAUGUUUAAUAUGGGUUUCUAGAGAAUUUUUUAUGUUACUAUUACACAAAUUCAAUGCUUCCAAGUUUUUGAAUUUAGCUAAUCUUGCAUCAAGAAUUAAUGGACAUAAGAAAAAAAAAAUUUCAUUCAGAACUAUAAAUAUUGAAAUAAAGAUAAAUAUCAUUGUUGAUUUUUUUAUAAAAAAGAUUUAGAAUUAAGAGAGAGUGAAAGAAAUGAGUGGUUUAUGUCGGAAAUUGGUGAUAGAGUAUGUCAAGUACUAAACUUUGUAUAGAAAACAGUGCUUCUAAUUUAAAUUUGAUCUAGUUUAAAGCAAUUAAAAAAUGCAAAUAUAUCAUCAUCUUGAUUAACAUCUAAAACAAUUUUUGUCAUCGGAGGAAGUGAAUUGUUAUAUACCUUGAAUUGUAGUUAUCCCACAAUAACCAAGAUCCAAUAUUUUCAAGUUUGGCAAAUCUGCAAAUCCUACAUGCGCAGAUAAAAAUGUAAACAUUACAUUUAAAGGAAUUGUAUGUGAUCCGUGCGUUUGAUGAACAUUAAUUCUACAUUUAAUUUGCUUCUUAUCUUAGAUUCAGUGGCCUACCUAGCGUUGUCAGAUUUUGAUUACCGCUUAAAUCCAACACUUGCAGGUUUGUCAAAUUUGCUAAUCCUGUUAAAAAAAAAACACAUAAAUUUUGUCAAUAACAGUUAUGUCACUCUCGUCUAAAUUGUUUAAUUAAAAUAAUAUGGUAAAUAUUGAAUGAAAAUUAAUUGUGCACAUAGUUUUUUUUUUGUUUCUAUUGAUAUUUUAAUAUAUACCGUCACUUUUAGCAUUACCAAGAUUAAGAGUGUUUGAAUCAUAAUUUGUAAAUUAGUUUGCACAUUGACUAAACUUGAAAAUGUGAAAAAAACAAUUAAAAAAAUGGAAAUAUAUUAUCAUCUUGAUUAACAUCUAAAACAAAUUUUGUCAUUGGAGGAAGUGAGUUGUUAUAUACCUUGAAUUGUAGUUAUCCCACAAGAAUGAAGAUCCAAUGUUUUCAAGUUUGGCAAAUCUGCGAAUCCUACAUGCGCCGAUAAAAAAUGAAAAUAUUACAUUUAAAGGAAUUGUAUGUGAUCCGUGCGUUUGAUGAACAUUAAUUCUACAUUUAAUUUGCUUCUUAUCUUAGAUUCAGUGGCCUACCUAGCGUUGUCAGAUUUUGAUUACCGCUUAAAUCCAACACUUGCAAGUUUGUCAAAUUUGAUAAUCCUGUUAAAAAAAACACAUAAAUUUUUUCAACAACAGUUAUGGCACUCUCGUCUAAAUUGUUUAAUUAAAAUAAUAUGGUAAAUAUGAAAAUUAACUGUGCACAUUGUUAUUUUUUUGUUUCUAUUGAUAUUUUAAUAUAUACCGUCACUUUUAGCAUUACCAAGAUUUGGAGUGUUUGAAUCAUAAUUUGUAAAUUAGUUUGCACUUUGAGUAAACUUGAAAAUGUGAAAAAAGCAAUUAAAAAAAUGGAAAUAUAUUAUCAUCUUGAUUAACAUCUAAAACAAAUUUUGUCAUUGGAGGAAGUGAGUUAUUAUAUACCUUGAAUUGUAGUUAUCCCACAAGAAUGAAGAUCCAAUGUUUUCAAGUUUGGCAAAUCUGCGAAUCCUACAUGUGCCGAUAAAAAAUGAAAAUAUUACAUUUAAAGGAAUUGUAUGUGAUCUGUGGGUUUGAUGACCAUUAAUUCUACAUUUAAUUUGCUUCUUAUCUCAGAUUCAGUGGCUUACCUAGCGUUGUCAAAUUUUGAUUAUAGCUUAAAUCCAACACUUGCAGGUUUGUCAAAUUUGCCAAUCCUGCUAAAAAAAAAACAUAAAUUUUGUCAAUAACAGUUAUGUCACUCUCGUCUAAAUUGUUUAAUAAAAAUAAUAUGGUAAAUAUUGAAUGAAAAUUAACUGUGCACAUUGUUUUUUUUUUUGUUUCUAUUGAUAUUUUAAUAUAUACCGUCACUUUUAGCAUUACCAAGAUUUGGAGUGUUUGAAUCAUAAUUUGUAAAUUAGUUUGCACUUUGAGUAAACUUGAAAAUGUGAAAAAAGCAAUUAAAAAAAUGGAAAUAUAUUAUCAUCUUGAUUAACAUCUAAAACAAAUUUUGUCAUUGGAGGAAGUGAGUUGUUAUAUACCUUGAAUUGUAGUUAUCCCACAAGAAUGAAGAUCCAAUGUUUUCAAGUUUGGCAAAUCUGCGAAUCCUACUUGCGCCGAUAAAAAAUGAAAAUAUUACAUUUAAAGGAAUUGUAUGUGAUCCGUGCGUUUGAUGAACAUUAAUUCUACAUUUAAUUUGCUUCUUAUCUUAGAUUCAGUGGCCUACCUAACGUUGUCAGAUUUUGAUUACCGCUUAAAUCCAACACUUGCAGGUUUGUCAAAUUUGCUAAUCCUGUUAAAAAAAAACACAUAAAUUUUGUCAAUAAUAGUUAUGUCACUCUCGUCUAAAUUGUUUAAUUAAAAUAAUAUGGUAAAUAUUGAAUUAACUGUGCACAUUGUUAUUUUUUUGUUUCUAUUGAUAUUUUAAUAUAUACCGUCACUUUUAGCAUUACCAAGAUUUGGAGUGUUUGAAUCAUAAUUUGUAAAUUAGUUUGCACUUUGAGUAAACUUGAAAAUAUGAAAAAAACAAUAAAAAAAUGGAAAUAUAUUAUCAUCUUAAUUAACAUCUAAAACAAUUUUUGUCAUUGGAGGAAGUGAAUUGUUAUAUACCUUGAAUUGUAGUUAUCCCACAAUAACCAAGAUCCAAUAUUUUCAAGUUUGGCAAAUCUGCAAAUCCUACAUGCGCAGAUAAAAAUGUAAACAUUACAUUUAAAGGAAUUGUAUGUGAUCCGUGCGUUUGAUGAACAUUAAUUCUACAUUUAAUUUGCUUCUUAUCUUAGAUUCAGUGGCCUACCUAACGUUGUUAGAUUUUGAUUACCGUUUAAAUCCAACACUUGCAGGUUUGUCAAAUUUGCUAAUCCUGUUAAAAAAAGGUAAAUUUUGUCAAUAACAGUUAUGUCACUCUCGUCUAAAUUGUUUAAUAAAAAUAAUAUAGUAAAUAUUGAAUGAAAAUUAACUGUGCACAUUGUUAUUUUUUAUUUUUCUAUUGAUAUUUUAAUAUAUACCAUCACUUUUAGCAUUACCAAGAUUUGGAGUGUUUGAAUCAUAAUUUGUAAAUUAGUUUGAACUUUGAGUAAACUUGAAAAUGUGAAAAAAACAAUAAAAAAAUGGAAAUAUAUUAUCAUCUUAAUUAACAUCUAAAACAAUUUUUAUCAUUGGAGGAAGUGAAUUGUUAUAUACCUUGAAUUGUAGUUAUCCCACAAUAACGAAGAUCCAAUACUUUCAAGUUUGGCAAAUUUGCGAAUCCUACAUGCGCCGAUAAAAAAUGAAAAUAUUACAUUUAAAGGAAUUGUAUGUGAUCCGUGCAUUUGAUGAACAUUAAUUCUACAUUUAAUUUGCUUCUUAUCUUAGAUUUAGUGGCCUACCUAACGUUGUCAGAUUUUGAUUACCGCUUAAAUCCAACACUUGCAGGUUUGUCAAAUUUGCUAAUCCUGUUAAAAAAAAAACACAUAAAUUUUGUCAAUAACAGUUAUGUCACUCUCGUCUAAAUUGUUUAAUUAAAAUAAUAUGGUAAAUAUUGAAUGAAAAUUAACUGUGCACAUUGUUAUUUUUUGGUUUCUAUUGAUAUUUUAAUAUAUACCGUCACUUUUAGCAUUACCAAGAUUUGGAGUGUUUGAAUCAUAAUUUGUAAAUUAGUUUGCACUUUGAGUAAACUUGAAAAUGUGGAAAAAGCAAUUAAAAAAAUGGAAAUAUAUUAUCAUCUUGAUUAACAUCUAAAACAAUUUUUGUCAUUGGAGGAAGUGAAUUGUUAUAUACCUUGAAUUGUAGUUAUCCCACAAGAACCAAGAUCCAAUGUUUUUAAGUUUGGCAAAUCUGCGAAUCCUACAUGCGCCGAUAAAAAAUGAAAAUAUUACAUUUAAUGGCAUUGUAUGUGAUCCGCGCGUUUGAUGAACGUUAAUUUUACAUUUAAUUUGCUUCUUAUCUCAGAUUUAGUGGCCUACUUAGCGUUGUCAGAUUUUGAUUAUCGCUUAAAUCCAACACUUGCAGGUUUGUCAAAUUUGCUAAUCCUAUUAAAAAAAGGUAAAUUUUGUCAAUAACAGUUAUGUCACUCUCGUCUAAAUUGUUUAAUUAAAAUAAUAUAGUAAAUAUUGAAUGAAAAUUAACUGUGGACAUUGUUUAAUUAAAAAAUUAUCUUCUAAAGAACCGUGUAUAUAAUAAUUAGAACUGAAAUCCAACGCUUCCAAGUUUUUUAAUUUAGCUAAUAUUGCGCCAAGAAAGAAGAAAAAUCUUAGUAAUCAUCUUUGGGAAAAAAAAUAAAGAAUUAAGAAAUAAAUUUCAAAGUUAGAUUAAAUAAUUGUAGUAAUAAAGCUUAUGAUUUAGAUCUAAUUAAAUUGAUCAUAUACUCAAAAAUGGUUUUAUUUUUUUCUUUUGUUAAAAAAAUUUUACUAAGAAAUUAGAAAGCAAAUUUUUGUCGUGUACCAAUUGUAGUCAAGUUUGUCAAGUUUUCCAGUCAAAAAUUGGUUUUAAUUUGACAUUAUACAUGUGUAAAAAUUAAGGGCAUAAUAAUAUCACAAGGAAUUUGGGUAGUGACUUGUUGCCGUGUACCUUGAAUUGUAGUUAUUCCACAACCAGUAAGAUCCAAUUUUUUCAGGUUUGUCAAAUUUGCCAAUCCUACACCAACAAAAAGCAAACUAUUAUUUUUAAAAUUAUUGUUGAAAUUUGUGAUUAGUGUGCUAACUUGGUAAUUAUCUUAGUAGCCUACCUAGCCUUGUUAAAGAGCCACUAGUUAAAUUGUUGUUCCAGCUUAGAUCCAACACUUGCAAGUAUCUCAAAUUUGCUAAUCCUGCUCAGAAAACAUUAAUUUUGAUCAAGACAAUAUACAUAUAUAUUUUAAUUAAGAAAUUAAUUAAGUUGCCUGACAAGUAUAUCUGCUGGCCUGAAACGUAUAUGUAUAUACCUUGCCUGGUUCUGGAACCUUCAAUCUUAUUGUAAUGAAGAUUCAGAGUGGUAAGUGAAGUAAGUGUAUUCAAAUAUGGUAAUAUUCUGUCGUUGAAGAAAUUAUUUUCAAGAUUUAAGGUCUUCAGCUGCUUCAAACUCCCAAAGCUAUCGUAAGCUGCAAAUGAAUAUGAAGUGUUAUUAUUAAUUAGUCACUGACAAAAUAUUUAUGGACGAGAAAUAACUGUAUACAUAUAUACGGACCUCUCUUCUCAUAGAUGCCUGUAAACCAAUUCCGAAAUAAGUUGAGUCUUUGCAAUUCUUCAAAAGGAUGAAACAAUGACAUAUUCAGAAGCAAAGUCGGAGGUCCUUCAUAAACAAAAAAGGAGUUAAAAGGGUAGUUGAAUUUUGUCGUCUCAUUGAGUGAGAGUUGCAUCACGCGUCGUGUGGUGGCGUUGCACAUAACUCCCUCCCAAUCAUCACAACAAUCAGACGGCAUUCCAUCAUCCUCACCAACCCAUGAAGGAAGGAUUUUGUCAUCAUAUCCAAUAUCACUGACUGACAGGAAGAAGCUCUUGAUUUCCAACAGAGCAGUCCUCUCUGUUUCCAAGCAUGCUUUGUAUCCAUGAAUUUCAUUUAUCAAUACAAUAAUCCAAAUUAGUGACAUUAAUGAGAACUUAUUACAGGAAGUACUUUCCAUUGCAGAGCAACUUUUCAUUUGGUUAAAAUUCAAUGUGCAAUGAGCAACUUUCCGUUGCAGAGCAAUUUAUACUAAAAGUUUAUCGCAGGUCUUGCAAUUUGAUUGGAUGAAGACUUUUUUAAGACUUUCCAAUACAUCGCCAUCUUUGAAGACUUCUAAGCAUUCCAUGUUUUGCAACAUUCGACCAACGGGAAAAAGCACUUCAUUAAUACCCCGUGGAAAAUAUAGAUAAAGUGAUUGUAAACUAUAAAUUUUUCCAAUAGUUUGAUGGAGAUAAUCAUAACUAAUAAAAUAAAAGUUGACUGAGAGAAUUUAAAUAAUUUAACCGUUUGUUUGGAUUUCCAUUGCAUUAUCAGUCAAUCUAUUAAAUAAUGUGUUUUGAGAAGAAUUUGAUUGGAUGUUUGAUAAGUUUAAAUUAAUUUAUUAGAAAAUCAAUAAUUAAUCAAAGUAAAUCUUCAUCUAUGUUUAGUUACUGUGGCGUAGUCUGAAAUGAAAAAACACAUAAAUGUUAUUUGAAGCUCUUGUGACACUUUUAUUGGAUAAAAUGUUAAAUAGUUAAGUCAGAUGGACUAAAUCAUAAAACACAUACAGUACUUUGAAUCAAAGCUACUAAAAUCAAAGAUAUUGGGAAUCCUUAAUAAGGAAAGUUUCCAUUGCUCUCAGUCUGCACUCUUCAUUACUAUUGCAAUCACUUGAAAUGACUAAAACAGAAAUUUCGUAUGAACUUGGGACAGCGGUACGGGUCCAAUUUAAAUGACAACUACGUGGAAAAUAAAAAUUUUGCAUCUUUUAUUACAACUACGUGGAAAAUUAAAGUUGACUGACUUUCAAAUUAAGCCAACAAACAAGUGGCAAUCAAUUCUUUUUCCACUAACAAUUAGUGGCGACGGUCAAUACUAUAAAAUAAAAGUUGACUAAGAAUUUAUGUAAUUUAAGAUCCAGAGGUCUAUAAGGUGUCGAUUGUAUGAUUGGGUUUGCACUGAAUUAUCAAAAAAUCUAUUCAAGGAUUUAUAUUCUAAAAUAUUUAGUGAGUUUAGAAAAUUAUUUUAUUAGAUUUUUGUUAAUUUUUUAUUAUUAGAUGGCCAACAAUUAAUCAAGUAAUUUUCCAUAUAUAUUUGAUAAUUUACUCAUAAAAGCGUGGACUACAUUCAAAUGACAUUUUAUAUGAUGUAUGAUAUAUGUAGAGGUGAAAUUUAAAUAGGCUUAAUUUUAUAAAUAAAUACAUAUGUAUUGCAGCAUUCAAUCAUUGUGUUAAAGCGCCAAUCACGGUGACCCCCAAAGCCUGUGAAUGAUUAGUCCAUCAAAACCCAAUGUAUGCUCAAUUAAUAUUUCCUAUCAAGAUCAAAAUUUUUGCUCUAUGGCUUCACCAAUCAUGAGAAUAAAAGCUCGAUUUAUACAAAAAUUACGAAUUUAUGAAACAAAAAGUCACAAUUAUUAUAAUUGGAAGUUUGAUUGAUUUUUAAAGAUUGAUUCAAUCAAUCUUAAUGUUACUGGACAAUCGAUCUUAAUAUUAAUUCAAAAUCAAUCUUUAUAGCGAUUGGCACAGAUAAAGAUAAUUAGUUUUGGUCUCUAUAAUGACUGACGAAGACUUGUAGGACCUGGACCAAUGAGGAAAAACACUUCAUUAAUACUCCAUGGAAAAUAAAUGCUGACUGACUUUCAAAUUAAGCCAACAUACAAAUGAUCGUCAAUUCUAUUUUUUACAAAAAUUGAUGGAGAUAGUCAACUAAUAAAAUAAAAGUUGAUUGAUAUAAUUUAAAGAAUUUAGGCGUAAGUUUGGGUUUUAAAUUAUCAAAUAAUUUAUUCCACUAUUGAUACAUAAAAAAGUGCUUUGGAAUUAAUAAUUCAAUAGGAUGUUUGAUAUAUUGGAAUUUGUAAAAAUCAAUAAUCAACUAUUUUUUAUACAUGUUUAGAAAUUUAUCCGGUGUGUAUAAGGGCUUGUAUAUUUCACAAUAAACUGAGAUUCUUUUUUGGAAAGCCAAUAGAAACAUGAAUUAGUACAUCCAUCGAUUGACGUAUAAUUAUAGGACAAAACUACGUUACAGAAUCUGUAAGGUACAGACUGCAGCAUCAGCCGUUGGAUGUGGUUGGAUGUGGAGUGAGAAACUAAACAAAAGAAAAUCGGAUGGUGGGAUGACGGGAGAUGUUUGUUACAGAAUCUGUAACAUAGACAGGUCCAUAAUUAUAAUCAUAUAAUCAAACAUGAAUUAACCCGUGGGAUACGGAGGAUGUGUGUUAACGUUAACCAAUGGUCAAGCUUAUAAACACAAUCAAGCAAUCAUAUCAUCAAUCAAAGCCACAUUCAGCGCACGACUAGUAAAUAUCAUAAUUGAGUUUGAGGACCACAGCCGCACAGUGAAAGAAUUUGAAUGAAGGAAAAGUAAAAGAAAAUGAAAAGGAAAAGUAAACGAAAAUGAAAAGAAAAUGUUAAGCUGAUUCAUCAGUAACUCCAUAUGACAAUUGCACACAACUUUUGGAUGUUUUUAGCUUCCGUGUGAAUCAAAAUGAUUAACAGAGACUGUCCUGCGUGUCACGUGUAACUAAUGUUGGCGCCAUCUUGAGCUAAUUCUGUUAAGGCCUUCACUCCAUAGUCUUAAGAUCUCAGUGAACAAUAAAUUCUUCAGAUUCAUAUGGCAAAUGAAUUGCACAACAAGGCAUAAACCCCGCUUGAAAGCAACCGACUAUAAUUAAUACAUUUCAAUUGCUCAUAAAAGAAAGAUACAGUAAGCUAGUGGUAUUGUAGUAUAAACAAUACUCGUUUUUCUAUCUUGGUGGUUUCUUGAUAGUGUUCAAAUAUCAGAGCUCGAAGAAAGAUAGAGGAAAGCCAAAGAAAAAUAAGCUAAUUCAUUAUUGACAUCAUAUGAAGGAGGUUCAUCAUCAUCAAACCAUGAACUAAGAGUUUCAACUACUGUUUCAAAAAUUCCUUUCUAAAAUUACGAUAAAUUUAAUAGCUAAUAGAAAUAUUUCAUUAUAUAAAUCAAAUUUCAAACUUGUAAGAAAAAAUGUAAAAAUAUUGGUUUUCAAAUAUUUUUCUAUAUUUUUUUAAAAUUCAAAAUUAGAUAGAGUCAGUCAACCAAUAAAUCAUCAAGAAUUAUCCAUUGCGUCCCCAAUUUGAUCACCAUUCUUGAAAGCAUGGAAAAUUUCCAGUUUUUACAAGUCAAGCGUGGAGUGUACGUUUUUAUGUUAAAGAUGGUUGAGUGGUGAUCACGUUUUACUUUGCAGCCUGCCUAACCAAUUUCAAAGCGUGUUUCACGGAUGACUUAUUUUUAUGAAUUGGAAACUAGCACCAAUAGACUUUUCUCUGUAAAUAUAAAAAGUUCAAAUGAAUACUUUCAAUUAUUGUUUCAAAACUGUCUUUCUAAAAUUACGAUAAUUAUUUUCUAUUGAAUUGUAUGCUUGGAUUUGCAUGGAAUUAUCAAAUAAUUAAUCUAUGCAAGCAUUGAAUUGUAAAGACUAACGAAGACUUAUAAGGCUUGGACCAACGAGGAAAAGUGCUUCAUUAAUACUCCGUGGAAAACAAGCCAACUUGGAGCCGGUUGAUCGAGAUAGUCAACAGUUAUUUGAGAUAGUCAACUAAUAAAAUGAAAGUUAAUUGAGAUAAUUUAGCGUAAGUUUGGGUUUGAAAUAAUCAAAUAAUUUAUUCCUGUAUUGAGAAGAAUUGAAUUCCGUUAUUUUAUUGAGAAGAGAUCCGUCGCUCCCUCCCAAUCAUCACAGCAAUCAGACGACAUUCCUUCAUCAUCGUGAAAUCAUGAACUAAGAGCUUGGUCAUCUCAGCUUCCAAGCAAGCCUUGCAUCCAUGGAUUUCAUCCAAAACAACAAUCCAAAGUAGUGAGGUUAAUGAGAGCUUAAUGAAGGAAGUAUUUCCAUUGCAAAACAACUUUUUAUUUGGUUAAAGUCAAAUGUGAAUUACAUAUCUUUGACUGGUGAUAUAUAUACAUAUAUAUAUUCAGAGAUAUGAAGUACUCAAACCAAAAUAAAAAAAAAUAUAUAAUUAUUAUAAAAAAAUUGAUGAAUAAUAUAGUUCCAGGCAGUGCUAAAACCAUAAUGUACGCCAGUAUGACUUUAUCCAAAGUCACCGGCUACACCAAUAUCAUUGUGACAUAGGAAGCCAUGAGGAAAUUUAAGAAAGAUUUAUUAAACCAUAGUCUACGCCGGUAAGAGGAAAUUAGCAUUCAAUGAUCAGACACUUUCUGCAAUUUCAUUGACUUGUGACCAGGGAGUCCUCAUUCUACGACCCGGGGACAGGGGUCAUAAUUGAUAGAAAUUAACCAGUAGUCAAGCUUAUGAACACAAUCAAGGACCUUGAGUAUGUAACGUAGCAAAUGCGGAGCAUCCACGCGUUGCAGGGGAGAGGAAAAGUUGUUGGAACUUAGCUGAUACAAGACCAAUUUGCACUGAGCUGUUACAUACAGAGCCUGUAACUUAGUUUUGUCCCACAAUCAAGCAAUCAUAUCAUCAAUCAAGGCCACAGUCAAGGCACGACUAAUAAAUAUCAUAAUUUGGUUUGAGGACGACAGCCUUACAGCAAAAGAAUUUGAAUGAAGGAAAAGUAAAGGUAAAUGAAAAGGAAAACCGACUAAAGUUGUUAGAGUGCAAUUUAUGCACUAGUUUUGUAUUGUUUACUUCCCUUAAUAUUGAUGUUUUGCACUUAAUAAUAGUGAUUUACUUGUGUUUUAUUUUUAUAGGUGCAAUUCUAUUGAUUGGUGCUAAAAUUGAGCUACAAGAUGAUGUUUAAGGAUGAUUGUUCUCUUGGAGAAAUUAUGAGUGUCAAAAGAACUUUUUUGAUAAGGCGUGGGCGCGUGCUGUCAACUACGGACCUGCAGUUUUUAGUUUAACAUGUUUUGUAUUUUUAGUUAUUUUUGUAAUUACGAAUUUAAUAUUUCAGAUAUUAGUAUUUUAUUUUAAAAAGAACUCUAGGGGGGAUUGGAAAAAAGAAAGAAACCCUAGAUCUAAAUUUUUCUUUCUCUCUAUGAAGAACUAAACCUAUUUUUCUGGUUGAAGGUUAAUGAAGCUUUGAUUCAUCAUUACUAUGAGAUAUUUCUUAUGCUUUAAUUGUUUUAUUACUUUUUGGGUAUUUGUUUAUUCUCUGAAUUAUUUUCAUGAUUAUGUUUGUUAAUUAGAUAACUGACCACUAUUUAAUUAUCAACUUAAUCUAUUGUUAAUUAAAGGAUUCAUCGUAUGAAGAUUUUAAUGUUUGUGACAAAUAACAUAGCAGUGAGUUGUGUUAUGAGAAUGAACAAUCUAAUUUAAAUGAAGCAUCGUAUGCGUUUAUUGAUUAGGAUUUGGGUCUCUCUGGUUUUUCAGGUUGUCAAUUGAUUAAAUCCUAUGAUCGUAUCUAGGGUUGUCUAUUGAUUAGGGAAAUAACCAACGGUCGUACAUUGGUUAUCGACUAGUUAAGGAGAGAUUGGCUAUUAGAGGGUCUCAGUAGCUAUAACCAGUCUAUUCAUUAGUAGUAAUAAUUUAUAUUUGAAUCAAUGAUCAGUAGCCGAAUCAAGCUGAGUUAAUUCCUUCAACCAAAGCUUUCUCCAAUUUGAAUUACAACUUUAAUUUGCAUUCUUGUUAUUUUUAUUUGAUUUUUAUUAUUGUCAACAAAACCCCUAUUUUAUGUUUUACGUUUUAAAAGGAUUUAAAUAAUUACCGAUCUCUGUGGACACGACCCUGCUCAAUCACUAUACACAAUUUAUUUAGAAUAGGUAUUUAUUUUUGUUGGCUUUGACAACCAUCAAAAGCCAAAGAAAAAUAGGCUGAUUCAUCACUAACUCAAUAUGACAAUUGCAGAAAACUUUUGGAUGUUUUUAGCCUCCGAAAUUUCAACAUCAAUUAUAAAUUACAGAUAUGUGAAGGAAAACUUAGAAACCAAUUUUUAUUAACAAAGAAAAUGUUAAAAAAAUAAAAUAAAAGAUUGUGUGAAAAUGUUGAAAACUAAUUUCAACAUCAAGGCAUGUCACAUGCAACCAAUUCAUGUCACGCAUGUCACGCGUUUCUUUAUUUUGCCAUGUGAAUCAAAAUCAUUAACAGGGACGCCGCGCAUGUCACAUGCAACUAACUCAUAUUUGUAAGCACAUAUAUAUAAUAUAUUGCAGCAUUCAAUCAAGGAGUUAAAAGCGUCAAUCACGGUGACCACCAAAACCUGUGAAUGAGCAGUCCAUCAAAUGUUGAGGGUGGUGAAUUAAUAUUUCUUACUAGAAGAGCGAGUAUAAUAGUACAUGGACCUAGCUCAUUUAUAAAAAUUAGUUCAAGAGUUCGAAGGUUAUUUAAGUAUUAUAUACUUGAAUCAAUAUCAAUUUUUCACUCUAUUAAUUCAUCAAUCAUGAGCAUAAAAGCUCAAUAUAUGCAAAAAUUAAUUUUGUGAAAAAAAUGUUUCAAUCAUGAGUCAUUAUAAUUAGGAAUUUGAAUGAUUUUUAAAGUUUGAUUCAAUCAAUCUUUAUGUUAUUGGACAAUCGAUCUUGAUAUUGAUCGACAAUCAACCAUUAUAGUGAUUAGCACAUAUUAAGACAAUCAGUUCUAAUCUCUAUAAUGAUUAAAGAAGACUUGUAAGACUUAGAUCAAUGAGGAAAAAUGCUUUAUUAGUACUUUGUGUCUAUUAAGUAUAGUUUAUUUAAUAGUCAUAAGUGCUUAUUUAAUCUCAUAAUCUCUUAUCAAAAUUUUUGUUGUUUAAUUGUCUUUUUAGUAGAACUUUUGAAAAUUAAAUAAGAUAUUUUGUCUCUACUAACAAAAGAUAAAAAAUUUUAGGAGUAGAGAUUUAUUUUUUAAAAAAAUAUUAAAAUAUCUAAAAUAUCCUUUACUUUUGACAAUCUUAUUUCAUUAUUUUCAUGACAUAAUUUAAGAACUUGUUUAUUAAACUAAUUUUAUAGUUUUUAAUAAAAACUCUUCUUGACAAUCAAACAAAUAAAAUUUUUUGCGUAUAAGUUCUACUUAUAAAAGCUCUACUAACAAAACCUCUAUUUAAAUAAACUUUAUUUAAAAAGUUAUACCAAACCGAACCUUCGUGAAAAAAAAAUGUUAAUUGACUUUGAAAUUAAGCCAACAUACAAGUGGUCGCACGUCAAUUCUAUUUUUUUCCAAUAGAUGAUGGAGAUAGUCAACUAGUGAAAUAAAAGUUGAGAUAAUUUAAAGAAUUUAAGUGUAAUUUUGGGUUUGAAAUUAUCAAAUAAUUCCCAGUCUAAAGCUAGGUGGAAGUAAUAAACGUCUUGGAAAUCAAUAAUGUUAAGGAUCCUGAUAUUUGAGUCCCAACUUGAGUCCUAAUACUAUUUGUCCCUCAUUUAUUAGAUGAUGGAUUUCCUAAUUACUAAAAUUACUUAACUACAAUGUAAUAGAUGAAUGCCACAUUAAUUGGGACUUAAAUGUUGAGAUACCUAUCAUUGCUCCUUGAAAAUAUUAAACAAAAUAUUAGAAUUCUUUUUGGUCGUUUUAGGUGGUGUUUGCUUUUUUGUCUGCAAUCUGAAUAGAUCUGAAUCAGUUUGAAUUCUGAAUAGAGCUAAAUGUCUUAAUCUGAAUGAUAUGUUUGUUUUUUUAUCUGAAUCACUAAAAAUAAAUAUUAUGUUGUUUUUUAACUAAAAAAUGAAAAUUAAUAUUUUUUACAUUUAUGUCCUUACAAAUUGUAAAUGUUAGAUAAAUAAUAAACAUUUCAAAGAAUAUAAAUAAGAUAAUAAAUUAUCAUAACAUAAAUCAUAUUCAAUUGAAUACAACUCUUUAAUAUUCUAUAUUAUAUAUGUUAAUUAAUUUUAUUAUAGUUUAUGAAAUUAGUUAUAGUUUAUGAUGUUUUUGUAUAAAAAUAUUAAUAAAAAAUUAUGAAGAUAAAUAAUGCUAAUUUGAAGAAAAUAAAAAGAUAAAAAUAAUAAUAGUUUACCACCAUAUAUUAUCACAAGUUAUAUAGAGAUGAGUAAUAAUGCUAAUUAUUAAAUUUUAUUUAGGUAAAAAAUUAAUUAGUUAGAUAGGGAUAUUUUAGAGAACAUUUUUUAAUGAUAUCAUUCAGACUUUUUGUAUUAAGCAAAAGACUAAAAAAAUUAGCUUAAUAACUUAAUGAUUUAAUGGCUGAAAAUUUUCAUUAAAUUGAAAAAAAAACAAAUAGACUAAAUAACUUAACUAAUUAAAAUUAAGUCAAUUAAAUCAUUAAGUAAAAAAAAAAGGGGGUCCUUAGUCUACGUUUACACAAAUAUAGCAAAAUAAUGAAGAUUAUCUAUGUGCGGAUAUAUACGUGUGGUUAUCAUGAAAUGACCCGCCCUGAGUCUAAUCUCAUCAAAACUAGAUAGAUAAUAAUUUAAUUAGUGAGAAUUCUGCCGAAUUUAAGAGUUUCUUUUAUAAAUAUAAUACUUUCAAAAUAAUUUAAUAUACAACCAACUCUAAUGAUCAUCAUUCUCAACCAGAAUACUGAAAUUUUUACCCAAGAUAUCUCCAAGGUAUCAAAAGAUUAUAUUAUAACUAAUAUUAACAUACAUUGAUUUAUUCUUAAUUCCAAAAGAAUAAUAUAACAAAAUUAUACAAUCUCAAAACAAUAAGAUGAUUAGGAUGUUCUAACAAAAAUCAUCUAUAUCUUCUAACACAAUCACUUGGAUAAGACUCAAAAUAUAUUUACAGUUGUCGGGUCUAUCUCGUGUACCUGCAACUUUCUGUUGGGGGGAAGGGGAAGAAUACAAUAAAAAUGAAAUGAGAAUAAAACUCGAUGAGUUCAGUGUGUGGAUCGUAAUUUUUUGAAAAUAAACUUACUUUAAAAGAAAUAAUCAUAUCAUUUCCAAACACGAUUUCAUCAAACUAUAUGCAAGAAACCAUUAAUAAAUCAUUUAACAUUUAAAUUAGAUUACUAACCUUGAAGAGCAUAUAUAUAAAAUCGUAUGUAGUAACCGUCGAAAUCAUAUCACAAUAUCAUAUAAAAUACAUAAAUCUGAAAUCAUUACUAAACAAUUACCCAUGAGAAUAAUCUCGUUGUAUCCGAACCUCAACAGACAAGUAAUGACGUACUAUCUAGGUACUGUCACGCCUCGGAGCUACACAGAUAGACAAGGAAGUGUCAUCUCAUAUCUAGUCAUAUAGCUCAUCUUUUUAUGCAUAAUCUAGCCCCUAAAGGACAAAAGCAUCCAAGCACAAGGCCCAAAACCUCUGUGUGUACUCAGACAGGGCCCAAAAGUCUGUAUCUCAUCUAUAUAUGUAUCACUGUUAUCAUCAUAUCACAUGCAUAUUCUCCUAAAAGGCAAAAACACCCAAACACAUGGCCCAAAGUCUCUAUCUGUGUUCAGACAGGCCCCAAAGGCCUCAUCAUCUUUGUAUCACUGUAACCGGAGAAGGGUCAUAUCCAAUACUUUUACAAACAAUAGUUUACACACAUAUACAUAAACACAUAAUCACGUAUGAAAUCUCAUUUCCUUUUCAUUUAACAUACUUUGAAUCUAAUUCCUUUUCUUAAAAAUAUUACCAUGCAUAUAUUCAAAAUCAGCAAUAAAAUCAUCAAUCAUACACAUCUUUAAUAAUAAACACUAAUACGCAGAUAAAAUCCAUUUUUUUAAAAAAAAAAUAUCAGAGCCUUUAAAACUUAUUUCGUAAACAUACUUUACCAUAUUUUAAAAUCAUAAUAAACUAUAAAGAAAAUAGAUUUUGUAUAUUUCACUCACAGUAAUGAUAUUCAAACUCGGAUAUUGUCCUUACCUACGGACUGAUUCUCACUAUAAGAUCCACAUAUACAUAAACACAUAAUCACAUAUGAAAUCUCAUUUUCUUUUCAUUUAACAUACUUUGAAUCUAAUUCCUUUUCUUAAAAAUAUUACCAUGCAUAUAUUCAAAAUCAGCAAUAAAAUCAUCAAUCAUACACAUCUUUAAUAAUAAACACUAAUACGCAAAUAAAAUCCAUUUUUUUUAAAAAAAUCUCAGAGCCUUUAAAACUUAUUUCGUAAACAUAUUUUACCAUAUUUUAAAAUCAUAAUAAACUAUAAAGAAAAUAGAUUUUGUAUAUUUUACUCACAGUAAUGAUAUUCAAACUCGGAUAUUGUCCUUACCUACGGACUGAUUCUCGCUAUAAGAUCCACCUAAAUCAAGGAAAUGACAUAAUUCCAUAAAUCAAAAUUAGGACUAAAUUUAAGCAAUAAAUUCAAAACAAACAUUUAUCUAUAAUUUACAACUCCUUUGUCGGUAAAAUUACUAACACACUUUCGAGUCCGUGAAUCAUUAAAAUACUACAAAAUCAUAAAUCACCGAAUCACCCUCGUAAUUACAAUCAAUACUCAAUUUCAGAAAUUACAAAAUCACUCUCAAAAUGUGAAAUUACCGAAUUACCCUCGCCGGUUAACGGAGACCGGAAUUCAGUAAACGGCAGCCGGUAAGCUCGGGUCUGAUAUUUCCAAUCACGCUGAGUCUAAUAGUGCCGGCGGUGAGCUCCCACGCGCGACAACAGCGGCGGGUCGAGCUUCCCAAGCCGCAAACUUUCCGGCAGUCGUUCGCGGCCAAAACGGCUGUUUCCGGUAGCAGGGAUGGUCGAAAAAUGAUGAGCGUGAGCUGAGGAUCAAGAUUCAAGCGGUGGCGUCACCCAAAACCGGCGGAACCGACGGCGAGAAAGGGUGGGUUUUACAGCGGCUUAUCGAGCUUGAUUGCCAGCGUUUUGACUGUUACGCGGCAACGGUGAUGGCGGGGAUACAACGACCAGUCUUCAAGCUUCAGAUUGGUACCUUGAUCGGCCGGUGAGGUGGCCGGAAAGUGGAGAUAUGGCCGGAUCGGGUUCGUGGGUGUGGGUCGGGUUUCGGGUCGGUUUACAGCUCCACUCACUUUCUCACACGUGUGUAUGUGUUCCCCUGUUUCCAGCUUCUUCUUUUAUUUUUAUUUACUUUUUAACCGCCUCAUUUUUUUUUUUCCCGCACAUAUGUUACAUAUCAUGUGCGAAUAUAUGAGUCUUUCAAAAAGGGAACUCGCACUUUAUAAAAAGAGUAAUACUAUAAAUAAAAAAUUUGUUGAAAGAACUGAAUUUUUAUUUAUGAUUUGAAGAUUUUUAUUUAUUUGUUUUUUUUUUUUUUUUUUUUUGCCACAAGUCAGUGUGUCGAAAAGCAAAUUUUUUUUUUUUAAAUUAGUGAUAUAAAAAAAGGAUCAAACAUCAUACUUGAGAGAUUUUUUUUCCCAUAUUUGCCAUAUAAAUAUGCGGGUUAUAUUUGAGAAAUUCUAAAGAAAAAUAUACUGAAAAUAGUAAUAAUUGGUACUGAUACACUUCAACCUAAAAGGUUCAAUUUAUACAUGUGUUAGAAUUAAAAAAAAAAAUGAAAUGACAUGUUUAUAAUAAUUUGGGAACGAUUGAUUGACAAAGAUUGAUCAAUCAGUUUUUUUUCUUCCCUUUAAUCUACAAACAUUAAGACAAUUAAUCAUGUGUUGACUAUCAGCACGAUCAAUCAUAUGUUGAUUUUUAUUUAUAUCAAUUUUGUUUUGUUUCUUUGCUGCUUCUCUCAAAUUGGCGAGGAAAUAUUUUUUGAACUCCGAGUUUGUAUUAAGAUGUACACUCUUGAUUUUUUUUUCUUUUUUCUUACUCAAUUAAACCAGGAAGUCAUUCAUUUAAACCUAAUCACGGAAGGGAAAUCUUUUUUAUUUUUUCCACAUACUCUUUUUUUUUGGGGGGGGGGGGGGGGGGGGGGGCGCAUGAAAAACCAUUAACUCAUUCUUUUGAUCAAGGAACUUUUUUCAAUUAGAAAGUUGUUCCUUUGAUCUUUGAAAGUAAAGGAAAAUAAGCUGAUUCAUCACUAACUCACUAUGACAAUUGCACACAACUUUUGGAUGUUUUUAGCCUCUGAAAUUUCGCAUGAAUGAUAAAUUACAAAUAUGUUAAGGAAAACUUAGAAACCAAUUUUUGUUCUCAGAGAAAAUAAAAAUGGAGGAUUAACAUGGAUCAUAUUUGAUAACUGAUAUUCCUAGUGCAAGGCUGAACAUAAUUCUUUGGCGUGUGAAUUAAAACUCUGAAUUAAAAUGUUAACAGAGACAUCACGCGUCACAUGUAUCUAACUUUGGCGCCAACUUGGGUAGAAAAAAUUCUCUAGAUUCAUAUGAGAUACGACAGGUGUUAAGCAAAUAAAAGCAUCAAGUCGGCCAUGCUACUAUUUCCACCCCGGUAUGAAUCACCUCAGCCAAAUGGUACGAGCAGAACAGGGGGAACAUGAGCCGAUCAGAGACGAAUACUGACCAGAGGUAUAUACCGAGCCGAUACCCGUCCCCCAAAAAAGCGGAAACAAGAUCUCACAGGAUCACGGUAGUUGCGCUUUCCCAGAACCGUUGCGGGAGACGCGAGAUCCCACGUUUGCCCAUGAGGGGCUGCCACUACCCGAAAAAGGUGGGAUGGAGGGCAAACGGGAACGUGGGACAGCGGCUAUAAAAGAAGAAGAAAUCGAUGAAGAAAGGGAUAGAAAAAUUAAGAGAGGGAAAACGCUGCCAAAUUGCAAUCAGGCCUUUUUCUUACAAACUUCGAAACAAGUUAGAAACCUUUCUUGAAUCCAAAUUACACUGUUUUCCCGUAAACACCUUGUGCCAACUUAGGCAUCGGAGGGUUUACGCCGGCAAAACCACCGGCGUCUCUGAUCCGUUUUUGGUGAACGCAGGUCUAGUAAGAGAAAGGAGGGCGAUUCCAACCCCAGUGGUCCGAGCAACAGUUGUCAACACAAACGUUGGUGAAAGAAUCUGGUCGGUCAAAAGGCGAGCAGAUUUAAGCAUCAACAUUUUGGCGCCGUCUGUGGGGAGCUGAAUAAAAAGCUACCACCAAAUUAGUAAUUAUCGGAGAAGCAGCGAACGAUUGGAUAUGGAUGUGUCAAGAAAGGAUACUUUAAGGGAGGACAAUGAAACGGUGGAGACAAUCACUCUCCGGGAAAUUGCAAAUGAAGCCCAAGAGAGGAUGAUGCAAGAUAGACUGGAGCGGAUGGAGAAACAAAUGGAGACUCUCGCGGCCAUAUUGUUUGAGCUGAGGGAUAAGCGGAGAAGGGAUUGUUAAACCCCCGUGGGAAGAGAUGAAGUUGGAGCAGAACCCAGCCUCCGGAGGCGUAGAGUCGAGGAAAUCCCUCCGCCCGCAGACGAACCUAAUGGGGUGCAUCCCCACAGAAGUACUGGUUGGGUCCCAGGGGAACACGUGGAUGAAGGGAGAGACCAACCUCGCCCCGAACGGAUACUGGAAAUUAAUGGCCGAGGGGCCAGUGUUGAUGAAGGAGAGCUUAGACAGCGGUUGUAGAACGCCGAGCAGGAGCGAGACCAGAUAGCUGCACGUGAUCCUGAUCGUGCUAUAGAAUUGGAGGGGGAGGUGCGCAGAUUGGCGCAGGUGAUAGAGGAGAUACAAGGCAAGAGAAAGCCCCCGAGUUGGAGGAUAAUGCUAGAUGAAGAAUCUCCGUUAUCAACUGAGAUCAUGAGUACCAUAAUCCCAAGAGAUUUCCGCUUCCCCGACCUCAAAUACUCCGGGCGAAGUGACUCGCUGGUGCACAUUGAGUGUUUCAACGAAAUGACGGUGCAGGGUGUUCCUGUUGACACUAGAAGGACGAGCCCGAGAAUGGUACCGCAAGCUGCCCCGAGGAAGUAUAAAGGGGUAUGAGCAGAUGUGCCAGGAGUUGGCCGAGCAGUUCCGAGGGGCAGUGGCCUCAGAGGACGACAUGAUGGAACUGAUGGGGAUGAAACAGGAGGAGCAUGAAUCCCUUCGAGAUUUUGUAAAACGAUAUCACCGAGCCGUGCUGGAUCUGGGAGCUUUUAAUCACCCGCAGGCGUUGAGGGGAUUAAAAGAAGGUGUAAGAAUCGGCCGAUUGUGGUAUAACUUAAGAAGCCCUCUCGUACAGAAUUACUCGUCGGGGUAUGAGCAGGCGAGGCGAGAUAUAGAAAUCGAAGAGGAGAAAUCGGCAAGAAUUAAAAGUGAACAGCUGGAAGAGCUGAGGCGAAAGGAACGGAGAGCCCCGAAAGGGAGCGGGUCGGGAAAGCGAACUGGAGAAUCUUCAGUGAUGGGCGGAAUAUCAGCUCGGUCUCGCCCUUACCCUAUAGCUCCAAGAGCACAACAGUUCCAACACAGCCGGGCUCAACCUCCGCGCCCUCCGAUCGAAGAGCGGCAGCGAGAAUUCAGGCAGAUGGCUGCCCACCCUUAUCACAGCGCUCCCAAAGCGUUAAGUGCAACUAAUUACAGGUCUGGACGACCAGAGCAGCUACCGGCUAUACCAGCCCGAGGUGACAUCCAUGAUAGCCGAGCAGUUCAGUUGGUUGACCAGAGCGUGGCAUAUAGACAGUACACUCCAUUAAAAAUCGCCAUGGAGGAACUAUAUGAAAGGAUCGAGGGACGAGGUCUGCUGUAUACUCCGGCCCCUAUAACAAAAUCCGCUCACCGGCGUGAUAAGAGCAGGUUCUGCAAAUUCCACAACACUCACGGUCACACUAUCAGCCAAUGCCGUGACCUAAAGAUUCAGGUGGAGGAUUUGGUGAGGAACCAGUACUUGGAUGAGUAUGUAGAUGGAGUGUCCCCCGUCAUUGAAUCGCAAUAUGCACGGGAUGAAGGAGUUGAAAGGGGUUUGGAACGAGAACAACCGACCAUCCGGGUGAUAGCAGGAGGGCCAACAUUGGCCGGGGAUUCGAACAGAGCACGAAAGAACUAUGGGAGAUAUGCCAUGACUGGCAAAGAGGUGCUUCUCAAUUUGCCAGCAGCCAAGAGGGCAAAAGUGCGGCAAGUUCCCAUUAUGUGGACAGAGGACGACGAAGAGGGCAUUUUAUAUCCUCAUGAGGAUGCACUGGUGAUUAAAGCAUUGGUGGCUAGUACAGAAUUGCGGCGAAUACUGGUGGACACGGGCAGCUCAGUAGACAUUCUGUUUAAGUCGGCCCUAGAUGAUAUGGGGAUUUCAGACUUGAAGCUGGAGCGGACGAAUACAUCCUUGAAGGGAUUUGGAGGAGGACGGCUAACUCCCAUGGGGAUCAUCGAACUCCCAAUUACCGUGGGAUCAAAACCGUUUGAAAGAACGAUGAUGAUGGAUUUUAUCGUGGUAGAAGAAAGAAGUCCUUAUCAGAUGAUAUUGGGGAGACCGUUCAUGAGGAUAAGUCAAUGUGUAAUGUCCACGCAUUAUCUGGCGCUGAAGUACAGAAUAAAUGGAGUUGUUGGUGUAGUAAAAGGCGACCAGAGAAUGGCCAGGAGCUGAUAUGCUACAGUAGCCAAGGAAACGCUGCAGGUUACCUCUCUAGAUAACCGAGGGGAUUCAAAAAAUGGUCGCCAGGAACCUGUUGAGAAGCUGGAUGGGGGUUGUUGUAAGCAGGAGUGACCCGACCAGAGUGGUUAAAGUCGGAUCAGAAUUGGGCGAAGCAAUAAAAGGCGAGCUGGUGAAGUGUCUACAGUCCUAUGCAGACAUAUUUGCCUGGUCUCAUGAGGAUAUGCCAGGUAUUGAUCGCGCGGUAGCUUGUCACAAGCUGGCAGUCAAGAAAGGGGCAAGGCCGGUGAGGCAGAAAAUGAGGUGCUUCAACCAGGAAAGGUACGAGGCCAUAAAUGCCGAGGUGGAAAAGCUGCUGAAAGCAGGAUUUAUAAAGGAAGCCAAGUACCCAGAGUGGAUUUCCAAUGUAGUACUGGUAAAGAAGGCCAAUGGGAAGUAGAGAAUGUGUGUAAACUUCACGGACCUCAAUAAGGCAUGCCCGAAGGACAGCUUUCCCGUACAAAAAAUAUAUCAGUUGGUGGACUCAACCGCGGGUCAUAGUCUGCUCAGUUUCAUGGAUGCCUUUUCCGGAUACAACCAGAUACCCAUGGACGAGCAGGAUGAGGAAAGCACUACCUUUAUAACUAACAUGGGUUUGUUUUGUUACAGGGUGAUGCCCUUUGGCCUGAAAAAUGCAGGAGCUACCUAUCAAAUGCUAGUGAACAAGGUCUUCAAACCAUUGAUCGGUCACACUAUGGAAGUAUACGUGGACGAUAUGAUCACCAAGUCAAGAGAACCGAGAGAUCAUGUGAAACACUUGGAAGAGACCUUCGAUUUGCUGAUGAGGUAUGAAAUGAAGCUAAACCCGGAGAAAUGUGCAUUUGGGGUCAGCUCGGGCAAAUUUUUGGGAUACCUGGUGAGCCAUCGAGGAAUUGAGGCCAACCCGGAAAAGAUACGGGCGGUGAUAGAAAUGAGGUCCCCACGAACAGUUAAGGAGGUGCAGAGCCUUACGGGGAAAUUGGCAGCAUUGAACUGAUUCAUUUCGCGAGCCACUGAUAAGUGCCACCCUUUCUUCCAAAUCAUAAAGAAAGGGAAGAAGAUGGAAUGGACACUGGAAUGCGAGGAGGCAUUUGGACAGCUGAAUGAAUAUCUGGCCCGCGCCCCGUUACUAUCAACCUCGAGAGAGGGUGACCAGCUGCUUUUGUACUUGGCAAUCUCCAAGCGGGCUACCAGCUCGGUCUUAGUCAGGGAAGAAGAAGGGAAGCAACACCCGGUAUACUACACAAGCAAGGCCCUGGUAGACGUAGAAACCAGGUAUCCACUAAUGGAGAAGUGGGCGCUGGCUCUGAUAACGACAGCACGCAAACUCCGACCAUAUUUCCAAGCCCACCAGAUUAUUGUGAUGACUGACCAACCUCUUCGGCAAGUGCUUCAAAAACCAGAUGCGUCUGGUCGGUUAGUAAAAUGGUUCGUGGAGCUGAUCGAAUUUGACCUGUCUUACAGGCCCCGAGGAGCAAUCAAGGCCCAAGCCCUGGUAGAUUUUAUGGUUGACUGUGUUGAACCAGGGGAAGAGGUCCAAGGGGAACAACCAGCAUAACAGGAGGAUUCAAAGGGGAUAUGGCUGGUAAUGGUUGAUGGGUCACGUAGUGAACAGAGAUCCGGGGCAGGAGUUAUAAUACGAAGCCCAGAAGGUGUUGAGGUAUCAUAUGCUGUAAAGUUUGAAUUCCAGCUUACGAACAACCAAGCUGAAUAUGAGGCCUUCAUUACUGGGCUCGGUCUUGCACAUGCACUACGAGCAGAAAUGAUAGAAAUCCGAGCCGAUUCCCAGCUAGUAUGUAACCAGCUCAGCAAUCAAUUCCAAGUAAGGGAAGAGAAAUUGAGACUUUAUUUGAAAAAGGCGAAGCAGAUGGUUGAACUCUUCAAUGAGGUAGAAGUGAAGCAGAUAUCCCGGAAUGAAAAUUACCGAGCUGACAUGUUGGCUAGGAUGGCCACAACUGUAGAUCCUAAAUUACCUAAAUCAGUUCCACUAGAGGUGAGAACCUCGCCGAGUAUAGGAGAGGAAGUAGAGGUAAUGAGAGUAAGCACUGAAGAAUCCUGGAUGGACCCGAUUCUUGCAUACAUCCGCGAUGGCGUUUUACCAGAGGACAAAAGCCAAGCAAGAAAGCUAAAAUGCCGAGCAGCGAGGUACACACUACUCGAUGGGGUACUUUACCGCCGAGGAUUCGCUUUGCCCCUUUUGCGAUGUGUGGAUGAUGAGGAGGCAGAUUAUGUACUAAGGGAGAUUCAUGAAGGAAUUUGCGGCAAUCACUCGGGAGCAAGAACUUUAGCCUUCAAGGCACUCCGGCAAGGAUACUUCUGGGCAACCAUGCACCAGGAUGCAAAAAAGAUGGCAAAAAACUGUAAAACAUGCCAAAGCUUCUCUGAGGUUCUUGCACAACCCCCAGAAAAGUUGACCACAAUGACAUCCCCAUGGCCUUUUGCCCAAUGGGGAAUCGACCUAAUCGGUCCAUUACCUAAGGGUCGGGGAGCGGCAACACAUGCAAUUGUGGCAGUAGACUACUUCACCAAGUGGGUAGAGGUGGGAGUCCUCAGCCAAAUUACGGAGAGAAAGAUGACGGAUUUUAUUUAGAAGAAUAUCAUCUACAGAUACGGGAUCCCCUAUGCCAUCAUUACAGACAAUGGGAGACAGUUUGACAACAGCAACUUCAGGGAAUUUUGCCGAAAUUUGGGGGUGGACCUGAAGUUCUGCACCCCCGCACACCCCCAGGCAAACGGACAAGUGGAAGCAGCCAACAAAGUGAUAAAGAAGCUCUUGAAAACUAGAUUGGGAGAUAAGAAGGGAGUUUGGGUUGACGAGCUACCAGGGGUAUUGUGGGCUUACCGGACAACUCACAAAACUGCUACAGGGGAAACCCCGUUCGCUUUGGCUUUUGGUCAUGAGGUAGUAGUCCCAGCAGAAAUUGGAGUGGGGACACAUCGAACGGAAUAUUUCGCUGAGGAACAAAACGACGAACAGAUCUGCCUAAGCCUGGACCUACUUGAGGAGAAAAGGGAAGGGGCCUCACAGAAAGUGGCCCAGUGUCAACAAAGGGUCAUGCGUUAUUACAACAAGAAUGUACGCGUGAGGCAGUUCCGAGCAGGAGAUUGGGUACUUAGGAAGGUGAAUCAAAACACUAGGGAUCCCAACCAUGGUGCUCUUGGCCCAAAAUAGGAAGGCUCGUAUAGGGUAAUACGAGCGACGGGACCAGGAGCUUAUAAGUUAGCAUACCCAGAUGGACGAGACGUGAAGAGGCCGUGGAACGCCGAGCACUUAAAGAAGUAUUUCCAGUAAGCAAAGUACUCUACUAAAUCUUCAAUUUGAUAAGUUAUAUUUGUCAAAUGCAUGGUGGCUUGGUGCACAAGCAUAUAUUUUGUAUUUCUGUAACGCAUUCAAAUUUCAAUAAAGAUGAAUUCAGCAUGAAAUCCCUCGGCUAAUAAGCCCAUUAGAAAGUUCUGCUAAGGCAAGUCAAUGCCUUAUUCUGCUCGGUCAAUGAGAGACCAGCAGCUAAUUCUGCAAAAAAUCCGCUAAGGCAAGUAAGUGUCUGCUUCUGCUCGGUCAACGAGAGACCAGCAGCUAAUUCUGUAAAAAAUCCACUAAGGCAAGUAAGUGCCUGCUUCUGCUCGGUCAACGAGGGACCAGCAGCUAAUUCUGCAAAAAAUCCGCUAAGGCAAGUAAGUGCCUGCUUCUGCUCGGUCAACGAGAGACCAGCAGCUAAUUCUACAAAAAAUCUGCUAAGGCAAGUAAGUGCCUGCUUCUGCUCGGUCAACGAGAGACCAGUAGCUAAUUCUACAAAAAAUCUGCUAAGGCAAGUAAGCGUCUGCUUCUGCUCGGUCAACGAAAGACCAGCAGAUAAUUCUGUAAAAAAUCUGCUAAGGCAAGUAAGUGCCUGCUUCUGCUCGGUCAACAAGAGACCAGCAGUUAAAUCCACAAAAAAUCUGCUAAGGCAAGUAAGUGUCUGCUUCUGCUCGGUCAGAAAAAGACCAGCAGCUAAUCCUACGAAAAUUCUACUAAGGCAAGAAAAUGCCAGUUUCUGCUCGGUCAACGAAAGACCAGUAGGCAAUUUUACGAAAUUUCACCAAAGCAAGUAAGUGCCUGUUCCUGCUCGGUCAUCGAAAGACCAACAGAUGAUUCCAUGAAAUUCGACUAAGGCAAAUAAGUGCCUGCUCCUGCUCGGUCACCGAAGACCAGCAGGUAAUUUUGCGAAAAUUUUACUAAGGCAAACGGAUGCCUAUUCCUGCUCGAUGCACUAAAGAACCAACAGGCAAAAUCAGAUAAAUUGUCAAGUUAUUUUGCAGAAGCAACCCGUGAGCAAAACCAGACAAGAAAGCCAAUAGAGAGCAUUUAAAAAUUUAUAAACGUUCAAAUGUUUACAAAGCAACUGAAAAUCUAGAGUCUUUACAAAAAUAGACCUAAGGAUUAGGAGGGUCAACGGCCUCAAUAGGUGAAGGGUCAGCUAUCUCGGGAGGUGGAAGAUCAGCAAUACCGGGAGGAGGAGGCACGGACCCCUGUCCCACUUCAAAAACACGCUGCCCAGCUUCUCCCUCCUGCACUCCAUCCAAAGGAACCUCCACCUGCUCCUGCUCACCCUGCACCUUAUCUCCCUGGCCGGCCCCAGACAUAUAUCUCUCCACCCCAGCCUCCAGCUUGCUCAUGUCGAGCUCGGGGUAUUCUUCCUUGAGCACAAACAUGAUGCACUUAUAGCUUAAAGCAACCCCGGAGUCAUACUUGGCAUCCAGCCGAUCAUCCACAUCAGCGGAUUUGCCUUUCUCUUCAGCCAGCUGGUCACUCAGGGAUUUAAUCUCUCCCUCAAGGGCGGUCCUCAGAGUAUCUCUUUCACUUUGAGUAGCCUGAAGAUCGGACUUCAGAUCACCCAACUCGCCCUCAAGCUUGGAGGAAGUGGACUCAGCAACCGCAACUUUCUCCUCAAGCUCCAUAAGCUGCUUGUUCAGCUCGGCCAGUUUCUCCUUGGACCGAUCAGCAGAUUCGGCUUUCUUUUUCAACUCCUGGUUAUCAGCUUGAAGCUUCCUCUCAUGACGCGCGGACCCGGUCUUGUAGCACGAGACCAUUGUGGCCAGCCUGAAGGAGACUCUUUGAACAGAAGCAGCUAACUCGGAGAGGUUCAUGCUCUCAAUGUCCUUCACCAUCUUGGGCCCAACCGAUUUUUUAUAAUCCUUCUGAUAUGGGCUCAGGUAGUCACCUUGAUCCCGAGAUGGAAGAGGAGAAGAUCGGUCCCCAGACUGCAAGCUGACCUCAGGACUCUUGUCGGAGGUUUUCUCCCCACCACUCUUACGAGGUGGAGGAGGGGGCAGAGCAGGAACAGGCGCCUUGGAAGGACCGACGCUGGGUUUCUUUGGAGGAGGAGGAGGGUUGCUGGAGCUACUCGGAGCCCGACCACGCUUCCUGCUCAUCGCGCUGAGGAUCUUGUUAUCCAUUCCAGCGGCUAUGUCCACUAGGCCCGAACCGACCAGGUUUGUUGACGACAGGAGGUCUUGGCAGGUAGACGCGUUCACCAGAGCAGUUUCCACCUGAAGCAAAGGUCGAUCUUCAAGCCCCCCGAUCAAACCCCACGACUUUGAAAUAGCAAAAGAGGUUAAAGAACUCGAUAAGUGACAAUUUGAGAAAGAAUAUAGGCAAAAAAUGAACGACCUGGGGUGACAAACUCUGUUGGAAGGUAAAUAUCACCACCCAACGAACGGAGUGCUGAACACCACUUUCCCCCAGCAAAGAAGAAUUUGUUCUUCCAAUUUUUGCACGAGGAGGGGAAACCGGUGAUUGGCUUUCUCUUCGCAGAACUGGACAUGAAGUAGUACCAGCACGCCUCCCUUGGGCUGCUCCGCAGCUGAUACAGAUGUUUCACUUCAAUAAGGGAAGGCUCCUCCAACCCGCACCUCUCCCACAACACAAACAUUGCCGAGAGAACCCUCCACCCGUUCGGGUGUAGCUGACUUGGGGCCAGGUGCAUACCUCCCAAUAUCUUGGCAAAAUAAUGCUGAAGGGGCAGCCGAACUCCUAGUUUGAAACUCUCUAAGUGCAUCGUCACAUACCCCUGCGGAGGCCGACUAGGAACGUCACCCUUCCCAGGAACUACAAGGAGAACCUCCUCAGGAAUGUCGUAGAGGUUCCUAAGCUUGAAUAGGUCAGUUUGGGUGGUGGCACAGGCUAUGUAAUCAAUAGGGUAGGAAUCAGCCUCCACCCUAUGGCCAAGAUUCCUUUUCUUAGCAGGUCCACUCGGUCCGGAACUGCUCCCUUCACCAUCACCAACUCCUUCAGGGAUCCCAACCCCACCAAAGCUGUGGUUCUCACCAGAGCCCGACGCAGGUCCACCUCUAUUCCCUACAAGCUCUAGUUCGGGGGAGGGAGAGACAACCAAGGGGCGUGGGUACUCAAGGGUAUCCCUGCCAUGGGAAGGACCUACACUACUGGAGGGACCUAAGAAAUCGGUAGGUAUUGACACGUUGAGGCCUGAAUCCCCUAAUUCUUCAUCACCCUCAUCAACAAUUAACUUUCUUUUCCGGUUUGACAUAUCGAAUCCCAAAAGAAAACAAAGAAAACUCGAAUAUACGGAUACAAAAGGGGGCAACACGGAACCCAAUCAACAACAACCAGAGAAGAGAUUAAAAGCAGUACCUGAAAUGAACUGACCCUGAUAGCGCUGCCGUGACAGAGAAAAAACCAGCAAGUAGAAACUCUGGACGCAGGAAGUGUGAGUAAAGUUCAGAAAGGGGGUAGGUUAAUGACGGAGAGACGAGUAACAAAACGAUGACGAUGUAAGUCUAGGGAUUUGAAACGAAAAGGGGGAAAUGAAAGCAUUUAAGUGAUGGAGACGCUAGCUCACUCACCGUACAUCAAGGACAGAUAGCCCGUCGUUUCAAAUUUCAAAUACGAAGAGUCUGGAGAUGCCACGUCACCAACCGUUACAAGAGGCCAGGCUAGAUGCAAGCUCAUAUACGCAAUGGACAUGCUCAUUUAGGCCCAUGCUCAGGUCAAAAUCUCCCCUGAAGAAAAAUGAUACCUCAGGUCCGUCCCGGUAGACAGAAGACCAGAGGAGAAGCCCCCGGAUUGGUAAGAUUUGACUAUCAGUUUCUACUCUUGACUUAUUUCACUCACAAGACCAGAAACUGGGGGACUGGUGUUAAGCAAAUAAAAGCACCAGGUCGACCAUGCUACUAUUUUCACCCCGGCAUGAAUCACCUCAGCCAAAUGGUACGAGCAGAACAGGGGGAACAUGAGCCGAUCAGAGACGAAUACUGACCAGAGGUAUAUACCGAGCCGAUACCCGUCCCCCAAAAAAGCAGAAACACGAUCUCACAGGAUCACGGUAGUUGCGCUUUCCCAGAACCGUUGCGGGAGACGCGAGAUCCCACGUUUGCCCAUGAGGGGCUGCCACUACCCGAAAAAGGUGGGAUGGAGGGCAAACGGGAACGUGGGACAACGGCUAUAAAAGAAGAAGAAAUCGAUGAAGAAAUGGAUAGAAAAAUUAAGAGAGGGAAAACGCUGCCAAAUUGCAAUCAGGCCUUUUUCUUACAAACUUCGAAACAAGUUAGAAACCCUUCUUGAAUCCAAAUUACACUGUUUUCCUGUAAACACCUUGUGCUAACUUAGGCAUCGGAGGGUUUACGCCGGCAAAACCACCGGCGUCUCUGAUCCGUUUUUGGUGAACGCAAGUCUAGUAAGAGAAAGGAGGGCGAUUCCAACCCCAGUGGUCCGAGCAACAGUUGUCAACACAAACGUUGGUGAAAGAAUCUGGUCGGUCAAAAGGCGAGCAGAUUUAAGCAUCAACAACAGGGAUACAGUAAACUAUGGCCUAGCACGAUCACAGAUGAAUUUGGUUUAAAGUACACUCUGCUGGCUGCAUCUAGUUUCGUAUUGAACCGACCCGCUCCAAACUUAAAGCACAAGUCUGAUAAGUUUAAUCUAACGUGACUAGAUAAAAUUAUUAAUACGAAUCUUGUUGAAAUUUCGGCAGAAUCUCUCUAUAUUUGUGACAUUUCCAACCUACAAAAUUUCCCUAUAUUAAACUAAUUUCAUUAAUUAAUCUCCCCAAACAUAAUACCACACAGCAUAGUAAAUAAUAUGGUUAAAUGAUCUCAUUCAAAUGUCACCCAAUUUUUCUAAUAGUAUAAAAAAGGUUAUAUUGUAGCUAAUGCCGGUACACAUUAAACAUUCAUAAUCAUCAAAUGAUAAUAUAAUAAUACAAUCCAAUAUUAGAUAAUCAAAUGUCCUCAUAAUUUAUCUAUGUCUUCUAACACUAUCACUUGGCCAAAAUCAAAAUAACUACAAUAACUGAGUCCAUUGGUGUACUUACAAUCUCCUAUGGGGGAAAAAUUUAGUAAAACAGAGUAAAUAUAAAACUCAAUGAGUGGAUAUUGAGUUUUAAAAAUAAGAUUACUUUAAAAUAAUUAUAUCAUUACAGCAUGCAAUUCCAUUAAACUAUAUGUAAAAAUAUAAGUACAAUUUUUAAACUUUAAGUCAAGUAAUUAGCUAGUAUUAAAAAGGAAUACAUGAUGUUCAUAAUAAUCAUAAAAAUCAUAUUAAGAAAGAACAUAUAUACAUGAUUUUAAAAUUAUCACUAAACAAGUACCCAGGGGAAUAAUCUUGUCAUACCCUCAUACAGGCGGUGUAAUGAUGCACUGGAUAAGGACGACAAAAUUCGGGUUCGGGCCUGGGUUUGUCUGUUCCAGUUCCGGAUCUAGAUAUAAAACUAGAUAGUUUAUCUCUAGAUUCGGUAUGGGUUUAUCCGAGUUCCGGGAUUGUGGAUUUCAAAACUUAGAUACCUUUAUGAAUUUUUUCUUUUUUAAGUUCUCCAAUAGGGCAUGGAUACAAUGGGGAAAAAACAAACACCUACAUAGCAAUUUCACCUAGAAAAGUAGAAGAAAUACUAGAAUGUGAACUGCAACUUAAAUCCAACCACACAACAAAUAAGCAAUGAAAAAAACACAAGCUAAAAACAUUACAAACACAGAUUAUCUCCCUCAUCACCAUCUUCAACCUCACUAGACUCAGUACCAGCCUCCCCAUAAUCCUUCUCCAAAGUCGCAAGAUCCUCACGGGCUUCAAAGAACUCACCUUCCUUUAUGCCUUCUUAGCAUACAUCAAAUCAAAUUUGUGGUCAAUGCGAGAAAACACCUUAGCAACACUAGUUAAGUUCGAUAUCAUGCACAUAGCCCUCUACACCUUCGCAAGAUCACCACCUAGAACAACAGUUGGAGGCUGGUAAUUGAUACCACAUUUGAAUCCAAUUUAUCAUCAGUCAAUAAAUUGAAUGGUAGCUGAUGAUGAUAAUGAUCAACACAGGCGUGAAGGCUAAGCGAUGAUGAUGAAAUAGGUAAUUGUUGGCGCUCUGUGUUAGAUUGAUAACGAGAAGAGGAAAAUGAUUGGCGGCUAUGUUGAGGAGAAGUUAUAAAGUGUAAAACUAGGGUUUCCUGUCAUUACCCAACCCAGACCUGGCAAGAUAUUGUUCGCUUUAGGCUUUAACAAGGCCCGCACAAAUUUGUUCUUGGGGUGUCCAUACACCCCAAAACGCGUCUUGCCAAUUAAGGUGUAGAUCACCUCUUAUAUACCCAACAUCUCUCUCGUGCUUUGCCGAUGUGGGAUUCGCCUAGGGUGUUACAUACACCCCCCUUGGGGACUCAGCGUCCUCAUUGAGGUUUGCCCCACCACCGCUCAAGAGGACAUGCGGAGAUGCUUUGAUACCAUAAUGUCAUGAACCAACCCAGACCUGGCAAGAUAUUGUCCGCUUUGGGCCUUAACAAGGCCCGUACAGAUUUGCUCUUGGGGUGUCCAUACACCCCAAAAUGCGUCUUGCCAAUUAAGGUGUAGAUCACCUUUUAUAUACCCAGCAUCUCUUCCGUACUUUGCCGAUGUGGGAUUCGUCGAGGGUGUUACAUACACUCCCCUUGGAGACUCAGCGUCCUCGUUGAGGUUUGUCCCACCAUCGCUCAAGAGGACAUGCAGAGAUGCUUUGAUACCAUAAUGUCAUGAACCAAACCCAGACCUGGCAAGAUAUUGUCUGCUUUGGACCUUAACAAGGCAUGCACGGAUUUGUUCUUGGGGGGCCCAAACACCCCAAAAUGCAUAUUGCCAAUUAAGGUGUAGAUCACCCCUUAUAUACCCAGUAUCUCUCCCGUGCUUUGCCGAUGUGAGAUUUGCCUAGGGUGUUACAUAUACCCCCUUGGGGACUCAGCGUCCUCGCUGAGGUUUGCUCCACCAUCACUCAAGAGGACACACGGAGCCGCUCUGAUACCAUAAUGUCAUGACCCAACCCAGACCUAACAAGAUAUUGCCUGCUUUGGGCCUUAACAAGACCCGCACGGAUUUGUUCUUUAAUGCGUCUUGUCAAUUAAGGUGUAGAUCAUCCCUUAUAUACCCAGUAUUUCUCUCGUGCUUUUCCGAUGUGAGAUUCGCCUAGGGUGUUACAUUUCCUCGUUCAUUUUUUAUUCUUUUAAUUUUUUGCUUUUCUAUUUAUGUUAAAAAUUUUUUAAAAUGUAAUAUUAAGAAUAAGGAUAUCCAGGUUUGGGUUUCAGAUAUGCAAGUUGACUCAAUACUAGACCUGGACCUGGAUACAUCAAGGUUCAUGAUAUUGUUGUUGGAUUCCGGAUGUUAUUUGUAUUCGGUACGGGUUGAACCUAGUCCAGAUUAUUUGGGUUCAUUCGGGUCCUGUCUGGGUAUGAGUUAUUUUGCCGUCCCUAGUAUUGGAAGUGUACUAUCGUGCUCAGAGUUACAACAGCAGACCUCGCUAUCUCAUGUAUCUCAGUGUAUCUCACUAUAUCGCAUGCGUAAAAUAGCCUCCAAAAGGCAAAAGCAGCCAAGCACACAACCCAAAGCCUUGUGUGUGCUCAAAUAGGCCCCAAAGACUUAUAUCUCAACUGUAUCUUUGUAAUUGAAUAUUUAUAACUAAAAUUAUAUCUCUAUGCUUAUCUGUGUAUUUGAAGAAAAGGGUAUUGUCUAAUGAUUUUGAAGACAAACUUUUAUAUACAUAUGCAUAAACAUAAAUUUUAAGCAUACUUUGAAUAUAUAUUCCUUUUCAUUAAAAUACUCUCAUAUGUUUAUAAUCAAAAUAAAGAAAGAAAAUCACUUAUCAUAUCGUUUACAAGACACAUCAAUAUGUAAAUAUAAUCCAUCUCUAGAAAACUUAAUCAAAGUAUCAAACAUUACUUAUAAAUAUACUUUAAUUUACUAAAAUUAGAAUCCUAAGAAAAAUGUUAAAUAAAAGUUUGUACUUUCGACUAACAACGAUGAUGGUCAAACUCAGCUAUUAUCAAUAUCUGGGAGUUGACUCAUGUUCUCACAACUAAUUUUAUGCGAUAGACUUGCAAUGAACAUUUACCCCAUAGCUUUUAACUCUGGAUUCCAUUACUUGUAAGUUAAAAAUUACUUUAAUACCUUCAAAACCAUCAAUUACACAUUUUCAACAUUCUUUUCUCUCUUAAUCUGGUCAAUUAUUUUAAUUCACUCGUUUCUUGUUAAAGCGGAUGUAACAUUCUCGCGUACUUUGUUCAAAACUAGCAAGACAUACUAUAGUAACUCAUUUGAAUAAUGAGCUAGAAAUCAAAGUGAAACUUGAAGGAGAUAAUCCAACAUGCGGGCUCUAAAAAUAAUUUGUGGUGUGUUGGAAGUUUGAAUUUAUAGAUUUAAAGCUCAGUCCAAAGAGUUAUCAAUAUUAAGUAUAAUCUGAAAAUCGAUAAUAUAUCUAUUUUGACUAGUAAUUGAAUUAAUGAAUGUAUCCUUAUCUAUAUUUCAAAAGUGGAUUAUAAAGAGGCUAGAUGAGCAUUGUUGAGAACUGCAGGCCGCAGGCCACGAUAAGAGACUGAUCGCUCAAUGCUUCUUUAUAAAAACUUUUUCUAUUCAUGAAAAACGUUUCUGAAAACGUCUAGCCGAAAGUUAAAAGGAUUUCCAUUUUGCUAUUUUUCGUUUUCAGAAACAGAAAACACUUAUAAAGCCAAAUUUCAUGGUAACUUAAGAUGUCACAUAAUUUGCAUAUGAUGUCAGCUUGAUUAAAAAUUAAUCUUAUUUUUUCCCCUAAUAAAGGUAAAGGGAUGAGUAAAGCGGAAGUUUAUUUUUUAACCCCUUUUCUCAAAUAAAACCUCGGACGACCAACCAAAAAAAAAAAAGACUGUUUGAAAAUCACUUGACGAUGCCCUUGGGGGCAAAAAGAAUAAAUUGAGAAUUCACACUUGAUUGCGGAGGAAUUACUUCUGCCAUCUCAGCUGAAAACUUGUUUAUUUCCAUUGCAUCUGGGUGUUGCUUAAAUUUUUAUUGAAGGAGUCAAAUAUAUUUAUGGGGGUUUUGAUGUUUUCAUCACUUGACGUUCAAUGGCAACUGUUAUCUUACCUUAACAAGCAUUUGAUGAUUUUUCAGUAGCUUUCUUUACGCCAAUAUUUUACUCAGUUUUAACUUUAAGCCUUUAUUUUAUCAAAUUAAUUCACCAGUAGAUAACAUGUAUUUUUUGGCAAGAUUUUACAUUGCGAAAGAAAGAUAAGCCUCAAUUCACUUGUAACUUGUUAAAGCAGAUGCAUUAUAUUAGACAAAAAAGCACUUAGUGGUCUAACCUAUUGUAAAAUCUUGUAUUUAUUUACAUAAUUAUGGUCAUCAGUAUCUUUUGCUUCAUUCACUUCUCUUUUUCUUUAAUUAUCAAGGAAACGCGGUUUAAGUAGUUAUCAAAAUUAUGUUAAAUAUUUGUGAGUCUAGAGUGAGUCCCCACUAACAAAUGGGACUGAUGAUACGAAAUAGCGACCCUCAAAAUCCAACUGAGAUGCCGCAAUUUCCUUAUGCUACAAUGUUGACACUUGAUUCAGUUAAUAAUGAAAAUCUAUCACAAUGAUCACCGUCUUCUACAAUAAUUUUAAAGUAACACUUUGCUAUUUACUGAAGUAGGAUUGGCAUAUUUCACGAAAUUGAAAGCAAUUGGUCUUCGUGGUUGUGGAAUAACUACACUUCAAGGAAUUCCGCAACAAUCACCCCUUCCUACUUAAUUUCCUAGUCUUUUUGGCAAUAUUAUGGCCUUUUAUUUUUCGAUAUUUUUUUUAGUAAAUCAGCUUAAUUGAAUCUUAACUAAUCACUUUAUUAUAAUUUUUAAGUCUAAUUUUGAAUUCUCAUUCUUCAUUCUUUUGAUUCUCGAUGCAUAAUUGACUAAUUCUAACUUGAUCAAAUUUGAAUUAGAACCACUGCUUUCUUUAAUAAACUUUAGUCCUUGACAUACUCUAUCACUAUUUUCUAACAUAACCUGCUCAUUUCUUUCACUCUUUCUUUUUUUUUCUGAAUUUAAUUUUUUUAAAUCAGCAAUGAUAUCUAUCUUCAUUUCAUUACUUAUAGCUUUGAAUGAAAAACGAUUUUUUAAUAGCUCUUACAUUUCAACGCUUUUGAAGUUUUAUUUAUGUUCAUUAAUUCUUGAUACAGGAUUAGCUAAUUAAAUUCAAAUACUUGGAAGCAUUGAAUUUGAGUAGUAAUAAUAAUAUAAACAGUUCUCUAGAAACCUGAAGAUUGUUGUCCAAAUAUAACCAAUGCAAACCGUGUUACUUGGUUGUUUCGCUCUAGAUUUGCUAGAUCUAUCAAAUAACAAUUUAUAUGGCCAAAUUUUUCCCAAAUAUAUAAACUUGACUCAUUUGCAUUGGUUAUAUUUGGACAACAAUCAUUUUAGUGGGAAGAUGGAUGAUGGUUUGAGGAGCUCCACUUCAUUAGAGGGGUUAGAUAUAUCCGACAACAUGUUAUCUGGUAAUAUUCCUAAUUGGAUUGGUAACAUCUCAACUCUUAGGGUUCUUUUAAUGUCAAAAAAUUAUUUGGAAGCUAAUAUUCCAGUCCAACUCAGCCACCUUAGAGCAUCUCCAAAAGACAUAAGAUUUUACUCUUCAAAUUUCAAUUUGCUUACUGAUGUGGCAAAUAAGUGUAUAGAAAAAUACAAUCUCCUCCAAAAGACUCAUCAAAUAAGAAUAAGUUAAUAUUAUUUUAAUUAAAUCUUUCCCACUAUCAAAUUGAAUUGUUGUUAUGUUUUUGAAAGGAAACAUAAAUAAUAAUUAUUGCAGUCUUAUCUUUUCAAUAAAUAAUAAUAAAAUAUUAAUAGAAGAGGGAGAAACUCACUCAGCAAUAUUGAAGAGUGAGAAACAAAUCUUAUUUGAAGAAUCUAAAUUAACGUGUCUUUUGGAGUGUUUAAUAUUGAUAUGACUCUUCAAAUAAGAAGUAGAAUUUUAUUUGAAGAGUCUUUUGGAGAUGCUCUUAGAGGUCUUGAUCUUAUAGACAUCUCUAAAAAUAGUUUGUGUGGGUCCAUGGUAUCUUCCUCCAAUCUUUCAUCAGUGAAACACCUUUAUCUGCAGAAGAAUGCUAUUAAUGGGUUAAUUCCAAAUGAACUGUUUAGAAGCUCUAAAUUAAUCAUUCUAGAGUGAGGGAUAAUAAAUUUUCUGGUAGGAUUCCUUGUAAGAUCAAUGAGCUUUCGAAUCUGCAUGUUCUUGUUUUGAGAGGGAAUUCUCUACAAGGGCAUAUUCCUAAUGAAUUGUGCCAAUUAGGAACAUUGCGUAUUAUGAAUCUUUCACAUAAGAUACUUGAUGGGUCAAUUGCUGAGGAAAAAUCAGGUUUUUAAAUUUUUAUAAAACAUUUUAAAGACCGCUCUCAUAUAAUAUAUAGGAAUUUGUAAUCUAGAAAUCGUACCUUGAAAAUCCAAUUUGGCUUUUUCUGCUGAAAUGAUUUAGGCUCCCAGAUCAUGAUCCGUCACCACCACUCCUGUUAGAUCACGAUCCGUCACCACCACGCUUGCCAGAACAUGAACUGGCACCAAUGAUCUUCCAGGUUAUGAUUCAGGUUUGAUCUGCACUUGAUGUGUGGGCGCCUUUAUCACUACCAAAGCAACUGGCACGAGAAAAUUUUUCUCUCAACAAUAGAGAGAAAUCUUUCUCUGAUCUGUAUAAAGUGGCUGCUCUCUUUUUCUUUAGAGAAAAUAAGCUUUUUUAUAUCACCCUUCAGUGAAAACCCUAGGCUCCAAAUAAUAAAAAUCAAAACUCACGUUACUUGCUUUUUCUAUAGGGGACCCACCUUGUAAAAUAACAUAAGGCCCCUUACACACAAGCUAAUUAAAUGGAGCCUCCCACUAAAUAAUAUAUUUAGGCUUUUGACCCAAAUAGCUAGUUAUCUUGCUUAUUAGUCCAGUAGUGGUGCAAUCAAUUAAAUGAGCUAACUCGGGGAUCAUUUGGCAACAUACAAUAGUGGCUGUAACAAUUAGGCCUGUGAUUAAACUAGCCUAAUUAUUUAAUUUCAAAUCUACUCUACUAAAAGAUUGGAAUUGACCUCCAUAAUUGUAUGCUCGAAUAAUAAUUCGUCCCAAGCCACAUUGAUUUCUUUACUGCAAAAUCCUUUGUACCACAUCAUUAAUUAAAUCGAUAUCUCAACUGUCCAAUCGAUUUAAUUACAUCUUAUUCCUUGAUACUUACUGGUUUUCUCUAAUAAUCAUUUUCAACAUACUAAAUAUAUUGACACACUCUGGCCAGAGAAUUCUAUGAUUAAGUGCCGAAAACCCAUCAAGAGAUGUGUUGUACAAAUUAUAUAUUGUUAAUCUAUAACUCCAAUACUCAUAAAUGCUCCCACCAAGAUACUGGGUAAUCCAGACUACAAGUAUGUGUCAUGCCCAUUGGUAACUCAAAUUGAAUAAUAAUUACAAUCAUGAAAUCAUAAUUAACUCAAGAUUAAGAUUACAGUAAAAUCAAUGCCUAUGAGAUUUAAUAAGUCUGACAAUUAUUACAAAGUUAAUUAAAUCUCAUAUGUGAUCAUGUUCAAUGUAGUCAUACUACAUCAAUAAAUUCAUACAUGAUUAAGACAAAUCAUUCAAUGAAUUUAUUACAGUCUAUAAUUAAAUAAAGUGCCCAACUUUAUUUAUCAACUGCGAACUAAAUUUAUUUAAUCAUAAGAUAACUUGUAUUUAUGUCUUCUGUGAAUCCACAUGGUGAUCACAUAAAUACAUAUAAUAUGAUUAAUUGGACUUUAAUAAAAAUAUUAAUGCAAUUAAGAUAUUUGAAUAAAAUACCUCAUUAAUUUUAUUAAUCAGAAAAAUAUUUAUUACAAUUAAAUAAAUACACAUGCUUUUAAAGAGCAUAUUUUCCCAACAUCAAUACCUUUAUGCCUGGGUAUAUAAUGUGCCAUUUUGGAAAGAAUGAACUAACUAUUAUUUGUAUGACUAUUGUUUGCUUGGUGAAUACACAGUGUAUCACGGUUUCUACAUCGAUUCUGUUGUUAAUAAUUACUGCAAAUCUAUUCUUGAUCUACAAUCGCCUGUUAAACCACGUGUAUCAAUAUAUCAACGAGUAGAAGCAGAAUUUGAGACAAGGAAUAGAUAUGAAUUUUUCAUCGGCAGCAAUCUUGUGUACAUGGCGGGACUGGAUUUGUCAGGCAAUAGGUUGAGCAGAGAAAUUUCCUAGGAAAUUAGGAAACUUCAAAAUAUUGGUGCAUUAAAUCUGUCCAAUAAUUUAUUAUCAAGUGUUGUACCAGAGAGUUUCUCCAAUCUAAAAAUGACAGAGAGCCUGGACCUUUCCCACAACAUAUUAAGUGGUCAUAUUCCUCCUCAACUCACUGAGCUCAACCUUUUAUCCAACUUCAAUGUAUCAUACAACAGCUUGUCGGGCCCAAGCCCAGACAAAGAGCAGUUCGCCACAUUUGAUGAGAGCAGUUAUAUAGGAAACCAUGAUCUUUGUGGUUCCCCGAUAAGGAAGAAAUACAACAGCGAAUUAACACCACCAGCAACAUCAACAGAAGGAGCAGAAGAAGAAGAAGCCGAUUCGGUGAUUGAUAUGGUGGCAUUAAAAUGGAGUUUUGGUGCAUCAUUUUUUACAGUGACUUUGGGUUCGUUUGCAAUCCUUUGGAUAAACUCCUAUUGGCGUAGACUGUGGUUCUACACUUACUAGACCCAAUUAUCCAUUAGAUUAUUUACUUUCAUGCAAAGACAUGAUAAAUAAUUAUCGUUAUCUCUUUGGGCCUAAAUUUGUUAACAGAGCUUCGUUGGGAAGGUUAAUAACAAACUUUAGUUGAGUGUAUAACCAUUGUUUCAAUCUACGUAUUUUUCAUAUCAAUAGUCACCGUUGGGGUGAACAAUCGAUUGAAAAAUAUUUCAAUUUUAUCUUUGAAGAAGUUCAUCAAAUAAAAUAUCUAAUAUAUAUACCCUCCGAAGGGAGCAUCACCGUAUCAUGAAGUCGAGGUAUAUAUAUAAUUUUAUUAUUGAACUAACAAUGGAGCCCGUGGGAAAAUUAUCUUGAAUUUUCCCUCUCCCACUCAAUAUUUUAAAAUUGGUUUUUCCUUUUUAAAACAUACAUAUUGUUAAUUGCAUGCUUCCUAUAAUAUUAUCUAGAUGAUAUCAAAUAUUAUUAAGCAUAUGCAAAUUUCAAACAAUAUAAUGAAAUUCAUUAUUAAUGAAUGACAUGUAUCAUUAUGCAUAGAGUGGCACUACCUAUUCUAUAUGACAUGUUAUCAUGGCAUGUUAUCAUCCAAAACAUAACAUAUAGAAAAACAAUUAAAUAAUCUUAAUUCAUGGCUUUCCUAAUAAUGAAAAAUACAUUAACCCUAAGCCUAAUCUUCAUUGGGCUUCUUGUCAAUGUCCAUCUUUCAUAAUCUUAUUUUUGUUAAUGGACUAGGGGAAAUUGGGCUUUUAAAUUUAUAAUUGGUCCAAUUUUAAUUUUUGGAAGGAAAUAAAUAAAUAAUUAAAUUUUUUUUUAUUAAAAUAAAACUUUUGGACCAAAAAUAAAUUUAAUGUGUUCAAUUUUAUCCAUGCAUUUUAAUCCAUUAAGCCCAAAUAUCAAUUGGGCCUAAAACUAGGAUUCUUUAAGUUCAAAACUGUUUUUUAGACUUAAAUGCAAAAAAUUAAAACUUAUCAGCCCAAAGAGAAAAUCUAUGGAACUAUAGGGAUCGUAAUGAUAAAAAUCAUUAAAACCCUAAAUCCAUCUUUUUCUCUCCCCAGCCGCCAUCACCACAAAGGGCAGCCACUGUUCACAAUUUCCAGCCAUCUCCGACGCCGAGUUUGCUGCCGCCGUCACACCGGAAAUGUACCAAACACCUCCCUCGCGCUGCACGGAAAGCUCCUGCUCGCGCUACCUGCUGCGUGUGCUGGCUGUUGCACGCGAGCGUGCGCUGGCUGCUGCACGCACAGUGUGCGUUGCUGGCUGCGCGAGCAGCACACGCUGGCUGCUGGCUUGCAGCGCGCGCUGCUGGCAGCGUGUGCUGCGAGCCGCGCGCUGCUUGCUGCUGGUUGCCGCUGUCAAUUUCCGGCCUUCGUCGCUUUGAUCUUGAAAAUCCGAGAUUAAUUUACAAAUAUCCUAGGCCAAUUUUUGGCUUACAAAAAUUCUAUAACAGUAAAAUAAAUCAAGAGGGAAACAUGAUGAUAAAAAAUCACCCCUCUUGUUACAGAUCCAAAGAAAAAAUACAACGGAAAAUAUAACCAUGAAUUAAGACAAAACAAAACAUGCUUUAUUCAUAUAUUAAACAAUUAAUAUAUAUCUGAAUAAAUUGUGCCACUCUAAUACAUAAAUUUCAAGAAUGAUUUCAUACGAAAUUCUUAUAUAUUAAUAUGAGAUGGCUCUGAUACCAAUUGUUGGGGAAAAAUUAGGUUUUUAAAUUUUUAUUAAACCUUUUGAAGAUCGCUCUCAUAUAAUAUAUAAGAAUACGUAAUCCAGAAAUCGUACCUUGAAAAUCCGAUUUGGCUUUUUCCGUUGAAAUGAUUUAGGCUCCUAGAUCACGAUCCGCCACCACCACUCCUGUUAGAUCACGAUCCGUCACCACCACGCUUGCUAGAUCACGAACUGUCACCAAUGAUCUUCCAGGUUAUGACUCAGGUUCGAUCUGCACUUGACGUGUGGGCGCCUUUAUCACUACCAAAGCAACUAGCACGAGAAAAUUUUUCUCUCAACAAUGGAGAGAAAAAUCUUAUUCUCUGAUCUGUAUAAAGUGGCUUCUCUCUUCUUUAGAGAAAAAUAAGUCUUUUUUAUAUCACCCUUUAGUGAAAACCCUAGGCUCCAAAUAUCAAAAAACAAAACUCACGUAAUUUGCUUUUUCAAUAGGGGACCCACCUUGUAAAAUAACAUAAGGCCCCUUAUACAAAAACUAAUUAAAUGGAGCCUCCCACUAAAUGAUAUAUUUAGGCUUUUGAUCCAAAUAGCUAGUUAUCUUACUUAUUAGUCCAGUAGUGGUGCAGUCAAUUAAAUGAGCUAACCCGGGGAUCAUUUGGGAACAUACAAUAGUGGCUACAAUAAUUAGGCUUGUAAUUAAACUAGCCCAAUUAUUUAAUUCCAAAUCUACUCCACUAAAAGAUUGGAACUGACUUCCAUAAUUGUAUGCUCGAAUAAUAAUUCGUCCCAAGCCACAUUGAUUUCUUUACUGCACAAUCCUUUGUACCACAUCGUUAAUUAAAUUGAUAUCUCAACUGUCCAAUCAAUUUAAUAACAUCUUAUUCCUUGAUCCUUACUGGUUUUCUCUAAUGAUCAUUUUCAACAUACUAAAUAUGUUGACACACUCUGGCCAGAGAAUUCUAUGAUCAAGUGCCGAAAACCCAUCAAGAGAUGUGUUGUACAAAUUCUAUAUUGUUAAUCCAUAACUCCAAUACUCAUAAUUGCUCCCACCAAGAUACCGGGUAAUCUUGACCAUAAGAAUGUGUCGUGCCCAUUGGUAACUCAAAUGGAAUAACAAUUACAAUCAUGAAAUCAUAAUUAACUCAAGAUUAAGAUUACAGUAAAAUCAACGCCUAUGAGAUUUAAUAAGUCUGACAGUUAUUACAAAGUUAAUUAAAUCUCAUAUGUGAUCCUGUUCAAUGUAGUCGUACUACAUCAAUAAAUUCAUACAUGAUUAAGACAAAUCAUUCAAUGAAUUUAUUACAGUCUAUACCUAAAUAAAGUGCCCAACUUUAUUUAUCAACUGCGAACUAAAUUUAUUUAAUCAUAAGAUGACUUGUAUUUAUGUCUUCUGUGAAUCCACAUGGUGAUCACAUAAAUACAUAUAAUAUGAUUAAAUGGACUUUAAUACAAGUAUUAAUGCAAUUAAGAUAUUUGAAUAAAAUAUCUCAUUUAUUUUAUUAAUCAGAAAAAUAGUUUAUUACAAUUAAAUAAACACAUAUGCUUUUAAAGAGCAUAUUUUCCCAACACCUUCAAGUGGUUUCGUUAUGGUUAGACUUAUUUUUUAUUCUCCAGUUUCUGUUGGAUGUAAAUUAACAACUUCUUAUUGUAUCUCGAAUAUGCUCAUGUUGAUUAAUUGAAAGAACCUGGGACUCGAAAUCUACAAAAUCGAAUGAGGAAUUAUGCCUAAUACUAUGUUGAUUGUAAUAUCAAGAGUGCCUGGUGGUGCCAUAGCUACUUCUUUGUAAGACAGCGAUUUGGAAGCCAUGGCAGUAUGGUUUGGAACCUGGGACUCUUCUUUUAAAAAUGGAAAAACUCCGUUUGCCAAAUCCAAAAAUGUUUUUCUAGAAUCAAUAAUAACAACCGUUAAAUAAAAAAAAGAUAGAUCUAUAAUAUCCAUCCAUUGCAUAAAAUGAAUCAAUGGUUUCUCCUCACUUUGUUCAAGGCUAUGGGGGAAAACAAAAAUUAUCACUCGUUGCUACCCGUCAUCUCUGAAUUUCGAAAGAUCUAACAGCUUUACCAAGCAACCCUCCUUCAUUGCCAACUAACUAAAUCAGUUGACCUUAUCUAUGGCCAUAAAUAGUUCAGAAUCUUCUAAAGUUUGAAUCCUGUAUGUGAUCUGUAUAAGCAUGUUAGAUUUCUUGGGGGGGGGGGGGGGGGGGAGGGGAAUCUAUGCUAGAAAUGGAUGUUACAAUUGAUGCCUUCAGAGUUCACCAAAUAAACUACAACUUUGCUCAUGUAUUCAGUAAAUCUGUUUAAUACCUUGACUUAUAAAGUUAUUAAUAAUAACUUAUGAACAUAUAUAAGCUGAUCUCCUUAUCUAUAAAGCUCGUUAAAAAAGAAAGCACUUACCACUUCUUUGCAAAAGCUCACGGGCAUGAGAGGAAGACAAUGGGAAAAUUUUCAUGAGUUAGGAUUUUUCCAAAAUUCAAUUUGACCCUUCACAGCUUGAAUUGGAGAGUUAUUUUAGAGUAUUUUUAUCCUUAAAUUCAUUUGGAUUUGAGAAGGAAUUUAAAUGUAGGAAUUGUAGAGAGAGGAUUUGAGUUAGAGGGAAAUGAUUCAAGCUUUCAAGUUGAGUUUCUCACCAAAGGGAGUAAGAUUUCUAUCAUUUUAUCUUUAUUUGAAGUUGCAUUUGCAUGGGAAUAAAGUUAAUUUAAAGACUAGUAUGCUUUGUUUAUAGUUAAGGUUCCGAACAAAUGGAUAAAAUCGGUCCCAAGUUAAUUUUUGUAAUUGGUAGAUCAUUUUAGGUGCACAAGGACACUUACAAGGCAUUGUAGAGAUGAAACGCGUGGCCUUCACCGUUUCCUCAAUUCAUGUGCUUUUGUGUGUGUGUGUGUGUUUUGAUAGUUCAUGGUCAAUAAUGAGAUUGGUGAUGAUGUGGAUGAUUUAUUAGUAUUAUAAGAUAUAGAAAUCUAAUUAUUGAGGUGGAGUAUAGAAUUUGGAGCAUAAGGUGUAAACUUGAAAUGUUGACUUAAAUAUUAUUGUAAAUUGAUUUUGACUUAUAACCGACCAAAGAAAUAAUUGAAGAAGCAAAUUGGUUAGUUUCACGUGCACGGCUUUUGGCAAAGUGAAAUGUCAGCUUCGCACUUCACUUGUGAACGUACAAGAUUUGCUACAUAAGGAAAUUGCGGCGUUUCAGCCGGAUUUUGAGAGUUGUUUUCAAGUUUCGUAUAAUCAGAUCCCAUUUCUUUUCUUUGUAUUUGUUCAUUGCCACGACUUUUUUUUCUCCCACAGCUCACGUGGUCACCGUAAUUUUGAUAACUACUCAAAAUGGGUUUCCGCAAUAAUUAAAGAAAAGGAAAAGUGAAUGAAGAAGAGAUACUGAUGACCAUAAUCAUCUAAGGGUGCGUUUGUCAGACUGUAUUGUAUUAUGCUACAUUGUAUUAUUUUAAUGCUGGUGUAUUGUAUUAUGUUGUAUUGCAUUAGCACUGUAUUAUAAUAAUAUUGUACAAUAUUUGGUGCUACACUGUACUGUAUUAUUUUUUUGUGAUUAAUUGAAAUUAAAUAUUAUAUUAUAUUAAUAUAUUUAAAUUGUAUUAAUAUUUUAUAUUAUUUAUAUUAUUAUUAAUUUUAAAUUAAUAUUAUUCAAAUUUAAAUAUUUAUUAUUAGUUAAAAUAAAUUAUAAAUUUAUGAAUAAAUUAAUAUUAUUCAAAUUUAUUGAACACUAGGGUUUCAAAUAUACAAACUGAUAUUUAUAGUAUCUUCGAAAUUCUUAUUGAUAUAAACACAAGUACUAUUAAAAUUGAAUCAUUUAUUGAUUUAUUAUAUGUUAAAGUUGAUGUACAAUAGACACAAUUCACUUGACAUAUUAAAUUCUUUGUCCACAAGCAAAUUCCAAGAAAAUAAUAAACCUAAUAAGAAUCUAAAUAAAUGUGCUUCACUAUAAUUAGUUACGAAGAUAUUAACUUAGUUACAAAACUCAUAUAUCUCUAUCUUAGGAGCAUCUGCAUAGCAUUUUCCCAUGGAUUAUUCUUCUUCCCAGUAUUAAUAUUGCCCCAAUAAGUAGUCUUUGUGAUGUCGCUUCUCUUUUUAUUGGAAAAAACACCUUCAAGCAUGUCUUCUAAGAUCUGGUUCAGCAUCUCUUCACUUAUUCUUUCCCUAGCAAGCAGCAAUCUUAAGGCUUCUCUUCAUCUGUAAAAUUAAUGUUGAAUAUUAGAAUAAGAACAGUUAUGCUAUAUCCAUAAAUAAUGUCAAAUAUCAUCCCUUACCAUGCGGGCUCUCUUCAGCAGCAACAGCACCGCCAUUUACAGUGCUGCUACUAACCUCAAUAACUUCACUAUUGCAGCAACAAUAGCAACACCAGCUUCAGCAUCUUCAGCAAUCACUCCAUCUCCAUGCUCUUCAGCAACAUCGCAAUCUUCAAGAUUUUCAAGAGUCUAAGGCUCCAUCAUCAAAAUUCAAAACUACUUUCAACUUAAUUUGAAGGAUAAAGAAAAUUUAAAUAGAGUGGAAAACAAUGCAUCCAAAUGGGUGUGAUAGGAAUUUCAAAUGCACUCCACUCUCACUCUAGCUUCUCCUAAUCCAUUCAUUCAUUUCUUCCAUUUAAGGAGGCCAUCACCAUUCACCCCUCAAUGUUAUUGCAUGCAAUUCCCAAAAUGCGUUCUGAGCACCCAAUGAGAAGAUGUGAGACAUGAAUAAGUAUGCAUGAAUUCACAAGAAGGCAUAUAAAAUCUUAAGUUAAGCACCAUAUUUCAAACUUCUCAUAUCAUUCCUAGGACAAAAUCGGACCAAAAAAUACAACUUUGCAAUCAUGAGUAACACUAGCGUUAAUUGUAAUUAACCUAAUUCAAUAAAUUGUCAUAACCUAAUUCAAUAAAUUGUCAUCGUUACUUCAGGUUCCACAGUAUUCAAACUCUUAAUACAGCAACCCAGCACGAAAUAGGAACUAUACAGUUAACAAGAUAUAUUAACACAUAAGCUAUACAGAGCAUUUUAAGUUACUUCAUGUUAAAGUUAUUUAAUCAUACUUCAGAUACCCAUAUUAUCAAAACAUGCCCCUUCAAUUAAGGGUCUGUAACCUAUGCCUAGGUAAUAUAUUUUUUUUAAGGAAUAUAAGCAGAAUUUGCUCCUUUAACUUCCACAAGCCGUGCACUCUUCAUGGUUUGUUGGAGAACAAACCAUCUGUGCCAUCUUGGUUUUAUCAUCAGCCACCAACUCAGGCUUCGCCUGAAUCACCAAGAGUUGGGAAAGUGAAACAUUGGGAAAAAGAAAAAAAAAAAGUAAUUGAUUGUUCUAGCAGCAAUCAUCUUCUUCCUGCAAGAAUCAGCCAUGAUUUCUUUUUUUUUUUUGAAAAAUUCAAAUCACCAAUAUUUUUACGUUCUUCUCCAAAUUCUUAUCAUUCACCUCAUUUCCACAACAAUUGCUAGAAAACAGAACACCAACAUUCAAACCAACAAACAAGCCAACAAAUUAAAAAAAAAAAAAAAGGCCCAUCUCCUAAAUUCAUCAAUUCAACACCACAAUCUCUACUACCCUCUUAAUCACUCUCUCUCACAUCAACGCCUCUACACUUUCAGAUUUCAUGAAAAUGAUUUCAAUAGAUUAUUAUUAUUAUUAUUAUUAUUUAUUUGGCUUUAUAGAGCCAUCAACUAAAACACUUGAAUACCUAAAUGGAAAAAUGAAAUCUGCACGUAAAUCCAUUCGAAUCUCGCCGUAGCACCACCGCCGCACCAUGCUGUUGUUCGAAUUCAAAUGACACCGUCGCUCCAAUCAAAGAUUCAGGUGCUGCAGCUGCACCACUCAUUUAAUGAUUCACGCUGCACGACGGCUGGGCUGCUAUGUUUGGCUCUUGAGAAAUUGGAGAAUGGAGGAAAAUCAGUGAAUAGAUGAGUGAGUUUGAGAGAAAAGUAUUGUUUUGGGUUUUGAGAAGAGAAAUUUUGUUUCAUGGUCGUGGCUAAGGAUCGUGUUUGGAAGAAGAAAAUAUUUUAUUUCUCUUUUCGAAUGCAAUGCGGCCUAAUUACGACUCCCCACGGGUUUAUUUUUUGCGGCGUUUGGUGUAUUAUAAUGAGGUUUAAUACAAAGUUAACUUUUUGCCAAACAUGAUAUUGUAUUGAUUUAAUACAAUACAGAGCUUUAAUGUGGUGUAAUGCUGAGUGACAAACACACCCUAAAUGCAUACAAAAUUUUACAAUAGAUUAGACUACCGAUUUGUGCUUUUUCGUCUAAUAAUAAUACAUCUGCUUCAAUAAGAAACAAGUGAAUUGAGGGAUGUCUUUCUUUCGCAAUAUAAAUUCUUGCCAAAAAAUACAUGCUAUCUGCUGGUGAAUUAAUUUUAUAAAAGAAAGGCUUAAAGUUAAAGCUGAGUAAAAAUAUUGGCGUCAAGAACGCUACUGGAAAGUUCAACCGUGAGCUGCAGCCUGCGGUCCUCAACAACCUGAGAAAAUGCUGAGGUGUUGCGCGCCUGCCCACUACUUUGGCAGGUCUAAUGGGACCCACAGUCGGAUUUAUAAAUUAAAAUAAUGUACUUUUGUAUAUUUUUAAAUAAAUAAUAAAAUAUGGAUAAGGAUACAUAUAUUUAUUCAAAUAUUAGUAAAAAUAGAUAUAUUGCUGAUUUUUAAAUUAUACUUCGUGAACCUUUUGGACUAAGCUCUAAAUCUAUGAAUUCAAACUUCCAACACACCACAAAUUAUUUUUAGCCCGCAUGUCGGACUGUCUCCUUUAAGUUUCACUUUGAUUUCUACCACAUCAUUCAAAUAAGUUACUAUAGCAUGUCAGCUAGUUGGGAACUAAAAAGUGUACUUUAUUCAAUGACAGAAUCAGAGCCAUCAAAGGAUUUGUCUAAUUAUGGGCUGGUGCUAUCAGUGUUAAAGGCAAUUUCCUAACGAGAAAUCCUCACCCACAAUAGUAGGAGAUCUCGUCUUUUAUUUAAUUGGUGUGUAUUUUAGAGGUAUCGAUCUCUAAAAUAGAUCCCACAUUGUAAUAUUUGUAGAUUUUCACAAAGAAAAAAAAAUUAAUCCUACAUAAUCAUUGUUCAAUGAAAUUGCAAACUUAAAAAAAAAAAGUCCGGAUGGUUCGAUUAUUAAGAGCAACCAAUAAGCUGAAUGGCAGGGAAAAUAAGCUUAAAGAAAUCCAGCUUAGAGAAACCGAACAAGCACACAUACAUAGAGACAUAUGACUAUCUCAAAGGAACCAAAAGGAAGGUUAAAAUAGAGGCUUCGUAUUUCAUAUCAAUUAUUGAUAUGAAGAAGCUCUCGAUUUCCAACGAGCUGUCCUCCCCGUUUCGAAGCAAGCUUAAAAUUAAACGUGUAUUUGAUUCAUAACUAUCGUCAAAAUCGGUGAUAUUAAUGACAACUCACCUGGAAACUUGAGUAUAGUUUUAGAACCAAACUGAGAAUUUCACAUAAACUGAUACAUACCAGUUUGCAGAAAAGCUAACCGAACACAUAAACAGCACAACAAGUGGGAAAUAUGUAUAAUAAACUAUAGAGGAGUAAAAUAUAAGGGAAAUAUGUGGGUGCACAGCAUAAUUAAUUAUCCAAUAACAAAACUCUUAAGUCUUUUUAUUUUUCCAAACUCCAGGACACAUGCAUGUUAUAAAGUAGCCGGACCAACUUGUGACUGAGGAUGCUUCUCUGAGUUAAAUUCACGUGGAUAAUUAAUGGUACUUGUAGUAAAAAAUAUGAAAGUAAUUCUUAAUCAUAUGCGACCACUCGAAGACAUAGGCCACAUGAUCCAUAAAAAUCCUUGAGAGCUUACAUUAGGAAAUGAUUUUAAUUUGUAAUUAAAAUGUCACAAUUACCUCAGACUUGUUAAAUAGGCACUUAUUAUAGUCAAACCAUUUAUUUAUAAACAAAAAUAACGUAAUCUGCAGUAAUUUUUAUGUUUUCAUAGAACUUUAUGAUCCAAAAGCAGAAGAAUUGCAUCAAUUUAAAUUUAACAUACCACUUGAAAUCAGCCUCAAUCCUCAUUUAGUGGAGUUUUGUCCAACAAUAUUUGAGGCCAGUAAACAUCAAGUUCCCAACAAUGUUCCACUACAUUCUGCCUAAAUGAGUCAAACUCUUAAAAUGACACAAGUGAGGCAAAAGAUGAGAAGCUUGAUAAAAGAUUAGCAGUCAUGACAAGGAUAAUACCUCAAGAAAGUGCAGUACAGAGGCCGCGCGAGAAGUCAGAGCUUGCAAGGCAGAUGCUACUUAGCUUCAUCGUAAAGUCAGUCCAGCAUAAUAUAGAUGCUCCAGGCUACGAAAAUAAGUUCGAGCAUUCAGAAAAUUCUUCAGAUAUAAUUGCAAUUGAUAGUGCUAUCAUAAAAAUCCUUUAUGAAAAUGAAAGAAGGCAAAACAAACUUGGCAUCUCAGUCCAAUGAUCAAGAAUAGCAAAACCCAAAAGAUGUAAACCAAAAAAGUGGGGAUGGUGAAGGAUUUAUAGUUGUCAGAAAAAGGAAAAGAAACCGACAGCAGAUCGCAAAUGGGGUAACUGAGAUGUGCAAUCAUCAAUCCACCUGCGUUAAAAGAGAGAGCAAAGUAAAAAAAUGCAAACGCGUUGUCCUGUUUCUCCCAGUUUUAUUCGAGAGAUUUUUUACUGAAUGUUAGUAUUGUAGAAAUGGUCAAAAAAUGGAGACUUGAUUGUAUCAUUUUGGAUAUCCUCUCUGGAUGUUCUAAUAAUAUGUGUACAAAUCGGUUUUUUAUUUUGAUCAUUAAAUAAUGAGUAACUAAUUAGCCGAUUUUCCUUGUACAAGAAAUCUGAGAUGUUGCUUUUAUAGAUAGAGGUUCCUCAAAUUAAUUGGUAUUAACCCACUGAUAGCUUUAAUUUGCAGCUAAAGUUGCUGCACUGAUGAUGCUACAACCAACAUAGUAUUUGGCAAAACUCCUUAUUUGGAUUUGUAGCAUUUCGAGUCUCAGGUUCUUUCAAUCAACAAUCUCCGACAGAAUACUUAUUUGGAAAGCCAAUAGUAGCUUGUGUCAAUACAUCUAUCAAUGAAAUAGAACCAUAAUCUGCGCCAAUAUGAGUUUAUGCCAAGGGCCACAAACAAACUCAAUAUUACUGUCGCAUAGGUUGCACCAAAACUCCAGUAUAAUGCCACCAUACUAAUUGCAGAUUCAUCUUCUCCUUCUUCUUUGCCUGCUGGUGUUGCUGUCGGUGUUACUGCACUGCUGCAUUUCCUCUUUAUGAGUGAACCACAUAGAUAAAGGUUUCCUUAAUAAUUGUUUUCAUCAAACGUGCCAAACUGCCCUUUGUCUGGGGUUGGGCCGGACAAGUUAUUGUAUGACACGUUGAAAUUUGAUAAAAAGUUGAGCUCAGUGAGUUGAGGAGGAAUUCUACCACUUAAUCAAUUGUGGGAAAGGUCCAGGCUCUCUAUCAUUUUUAGAUUGGAGAAACUCUUAGGUAUAGAACCUAAUAGUAAAUUAUUGGACAGAUUCAAUGCAUGAAUAUUUUGAAGUUGACCAAGUUCCCAUGGAAUUUCUCCGCUCAACUCAUUGCUUGACAGAUCCAGUCCAGUCAUGUAGUUAAGAUUGCUACCAAUGAAAAAUUCAUAUCUAUUUUUUGUCGCAAAUUCUGCUUCUAGUUGUCGAUCUAUUGCGGAAUGUUUUUCAACAGGCGGUUGCAGAUCAAGAGUGGAAUUGUAGUAAGUAACAAUGGUAGGGUUUAAAGACAGAUACACUUUAUAACCCUCAAGUAGUUCAUAUUCAUAAGAGAAAUCAUCAAUUCUUUCUCUCCAGAUUGACACAUUACCCAAGCAUGAAGGUAUUGACCCAUUAAGUCUGUUCUGCGAAAGAUCAAUGAUACCUAAUUUUUUUAUUUGGCAUAAUUGAUUAGGAAUACGUCCUUGCAGAUAAUUUCCUCUCAAAAGAAGAACAUGCAAAUUCGAAAGCUCAUUGAUCUGAUGAGGAAUCCUACCAAAAAAUUUAUUAUCCCUUAAAUCUAGAGUCAUUAAUGCAGAGCUUCUAAACAGUGCAUUUGGAAUUAACCCACGAAGGGCAUUCUUUCGCAGAUAAAGGUGCUUCACUGAUGAAAGAUUCAAGGAAGCUAUCAUGGACCCAGGUAAACUAUUUUCAGAGAUGUCUACAAGCUCAAGACUUUCAAGAUUGUUAAGCUGGACUGGAAAAUUACCUUCCAAACGGUUUUUUGACAUUAAAAGAACCCAAAGGGUUGAGAUGUUACCAAUCCAAUGAGGAAUAUUGCCGGAUAACAUGUUGUUAGAUAUAUCUAAUCCCUCUAAUGAAGUGGAGCUCAACAAACCAUCUUUCAUCUUCCCACUGAAAUGAUUGUUGUUCAAAUAUAACGAACCCAAAUAAGUCAAGUUCAAGUAAUUGGGAAAAAUUUUGCCAUAGAAAUUGUUACUUGAUAGGUCCAACAUAUCUAGAGGGAGGCAACCAGAGACUAUAGGUCGGGGUAAUUCUCCUGAAAAGUUAUUUCUAGACAAAUCCAGUAUAUGUAGCUCUUGCAUCUCGCCCAUUGAAUGAGGAAUAUCACCUUCAAAAGUAUUUUCUGACAUAUCCAAAGACUCCAAUUUCUGAAGGAAAAUACCCAUAUUCUGCGGUAGCUUACCAGUGAAAUUGUUACUGGAAAUAUCUAGAAGACGAAGCAUAUCGUGUUUGGCAUUUGGAAGUAGUGGAAGAAUUCCUGAGAAUGAGUUAUUCGCCAAAGACAGUUUGUAAUCUUGAGUUGUUUUGCAAUAACCAAGUUGGGAAAUUUCCAACCAACUUAUUGUGAGAGAGGUCAAGGAAUCUUAAGUGGUAUUGGUGUAAAAGAAAAGUAGGACUGACAUUUAAAUUGCAGUUGGAUAAUUGGAGAACCUUCAAACAAUAUGUGGGGAGCCAGUUUUCAGUUUUCACUUGCAACAUAUUGUUUCUUGAUGAGAGCAGCAAGACCUCAAGCCUUGAAUGAUUAGCUAAUGAACUAAGGGGGAAUGUGCCUUGGAAAUUGAUGGAAGAGAGAGCCAAUUAUUCAAGUGAUGUGAGGUUGGUGAUUAUAGAAGGCAAGUUUCCACUUAACUGAUUGUAAGAAAUAUCAAGAACUUUGAGAUGGAUCAAGUUGUUGAAACAUUGAGGCAGCUGACCCUCAAAAUUAUUUGCUCCAAGAUUCAACUCUAAAAGAUUCUUCAAGUCACAUAUUCCUAAAAAUGAAAGUAAAAAUAGAAGGCUUACUAUUUCAUAGAAUGAAACUCCUAUAAAAUGUAGUGUUUUGUAGUUUUUAAUUAUGGCAAAUUCAAUCGUAAACCCAAUCUAAGACUUAUAAAAAAGUCAUAAAAUCAAAUUGUCUAAUUAUUUUGGUCAACGUAAAUAACAUUAUCUAUUUAAUUCUUAUAUAAUGUGAUGUUGAUUGCAAAAGUGUUUCAAUUAACCUUAAAAAAAAAAAAAGAACGAUCAACACUUCUUUUCAUCAUAAUCAGCUGCUGCUUUAUUGUUUAAAUUAAAAUUAUGAUUUUCUCUGGAAUAAUUUGAUACUUCGUCUUGUUUAUUGGAUAUUGGUAUUCUAAUCUCUAAAUUAAAAUUAUGAUUUUUCAGUUGUUUUCUUAAAUAAUAGUUUGUCUUAAAAUACACUUAAAUUUGUCUUAAAUUUUUACUCCUCUCUAGCAUAAACAAAACAUGUUUGAAAAGAAUUUACCGGAGGAAAAACAAAAAAAGAAGGAAAAAAGAACUUUUCUUCAUAAUCUAGGAAGUAGCUACCCACAAACGGUUUGUCAUUAUUUCAAAUAUUCAAUUAUCAUGUUUCAACAUAAAAACGCCGAGUAGAUUGUUUACUUCGGUUUCUAGAAAUCUGUUUAUAUUAUUAUUACUCAAUCUAACGCUUCCAAGUUUUUGAAUUUGGCUAAUUCUGCGUCAAGAACUAAUAAUGAGGAUAAAUAAAAAAUUUUAAUUAGAUUUGGGAGUUUUGUCUUAAUUCUUCUAUAUAGUUUUGAUAUAUACUUAUCCAUAAUACUUCAAAAGCAUUGAAAUGAAAAAGCUAUUGAAGACUUCGUUUUUCAUUCAGAACUUUUCUAUUAAAAGAAUCAGAAGAAACGGAGAGAGUGAAAGAAAUGAGGGGAGUCAGGACUCAGCAGACAGUGGUAGGGUUUGUCAAGUACUAAACUUCAUUAAAGAAAGCAGUGGCUCUAAUUCAAAUUUGAGCAUGAGCUAGUAGUUGAUGGAAUAUGCCGGCUGUCUCGAAUCAAAAUAAUGAAGAAAGGGAAUUCAAAAUUAUAUUAAAAUUAAUUAAGUUAAUAUCCCGAAAAGGAUUCAGAAAAAGAAAAAAGAAAAAGGCCAUAACAGUACAAAAAAGAAAUUAAAAGAAAAGAAAAAAACUAGGAAAUUAAAUAGAAGUUAUGAUUGUUGCUGUAUACCUUGAAUUGUAGUUAUUCCACAAUCUCUAAGAUCCAAUGUUUUCAAGUUUGUCAGAUUUGCCAAUCCUACAUGGCCGAUAAAAAUGAAAAUAUUGUUUCAAAAUUAUUGUAGAGCGAUGAGAUAUCUGUGUUCGAUAAACAUCUUGGUAAAUUUGCUUCUUAACUGUGUCUUAGUACAUAGCUUACCUAGCCUUGUUAAGAGCCCUAUAUUGGGUUAUCACGUAGAUCCAAUAGUUGCAGGUUUCUCAAAUUUGAUAAUCCUGAGGACAUAAAUUAAUGUUGAAUAAGACAUAUAUAUAGAGAAAUUCUCAGAUCAAGAUGCUAAAUGUAAAUUUCGUGCAGAUUCAUUAUUACACUAUAUGGUGUUAGUGUAUUUCUAUUCUAUUAAGUAUAAUACUACAUAAUGUAAUAGCAAAUCCACACGAAAUCUGCAUUUAUGCAUAUAUAAGUUUUUCUCCCUCGAUGUGUGUGUGUGAGCAAUUAAGUUGCGCCUUACAUAUCUUGUGGCCUGGAAUGUAUAUACCUUCUAUGGUUCUGGAACCUUCAAUGUUAUUUUCCCGCAGAAUCAAAGUGGUAAGUGAUAUCAGUGUAUUCAAAUAUGGUAAUAUGCUGUCAUUGAAGUGAUUAGCUUCAAGAUUUAAGAUCUUCAGCUGCUUCAAGCUCCCAUUGCUGUCGUAAGCUGCUAAUGCAUGCACUAUUAGUAGCUCACUGACAUUAAUUUUUCUUUUAAAACGAAUAUGCAAAUUGUAUAUCAAAAACCAAAAUAACAAUAAUAAUAAUGGACGAGAAAGAUAUAUACGAUAUACACACCUCUAUUCUCAUAGAAACCUUCAAACGCAUUGAGAGAUAAGUCGAGGCUUUGCAAUUCUUCAAAAGGAUGAAACAGUGAGAAAUUCAUAAGUGAAACUCCAAAAAGAGAGUUAUAAGAGAAGUUGAAUUUGGCUGUAUCAUUAAGCAAGAGAUGCAUCACCCGUCUUGUGGUGGCGUUGCACUUAACUCCAUCCCAAUCAUUAGAACAAUCAGACGACAUUCCAUCAUCAUCAACCCAUGAAGUAAGAAUUUCUUCUGCAUAUUCCGUAUCACUGAUCGAUAUAAAGAAGCUCUUAAGUGCCAACAGACCAAUCCUCUCUUUUUGCAAGCAACAUUUGUAUCCAUGCAUUUGCAUCAAAACAAUAAUCAAAAUCAGUGACAUUGAAAACUUAAUCAAGGUAGUUUCCAUUGCGAAGCAACUUUUCAUUUGGUUAAUUUACUCGCUCUUAAAAUAAUACUUGCAAUAAUGAAGAAAUUCAAUAAUUAUACUAAACAUUUAUAGACCUUGCAAAUUUUUUUUUGAUACAAUGGGGCCUAAUAAAGAUUAGGACAAAACAGAGCGGGGAAUAGUAUUCCCAUACAUAUCAUUACAUAACCAAUAUCCAAUACCCUCUGGUGGGUUAUCAAAAUCAUGAAAACCGAGAGGUAAAGAUCCUACCAACUUGGCCAUGAAAUCAGCAGCAAAAUUAGCUUCCCGAUAUAUAUGCUUUAUUGUAAUUUGCCAAUCUCUAUUCAUCAACUCCUUGAUGGCAUUGAUAAGUGAAAGAUGUGCAUUAGGCUCUGUUCUUGUGGAAGAGAUAAGUUGAAAGAUACAUUGGCUGUCCACCUCUGCCACCAAGUACUGGAUACCCCGAUUCCAUGCAAGAUGAAGACCUUGAAACAAACCCCAUAAUUCAGCAGAAGUCACCGAACAGAGACCAAUGUUCAUGCCAAAUCCAAACUGCCAUUUGCCAUAACAGUCCCUCACCAAUCCUCUAGCACUUGCCAACCCAUUUUUUAAUCGAGAACCAUCUGUAUUCAAUUUGAAAAAGGAUUCCGAGGGAGCUUGCCAGCCAAUUUCUUUGAUGGUUUUACUGGUACGAACAACAUUGAGACCUGCUCUUGCAAUAUGGAUAUCAUGAACCCACGAUCUAAUUUCCGUGACCAUCUGAGUGCAGCAAGGGGCAUUGUGAGUGAAGAUAAAUUGGUUGCGCCAGAACCAAAUUUUCCAAACAGCAACGCCAAAUAAGCAGGCCCAAUCAUCCACAACCUUAUUGAUACCAGCCUUGCCCAAAUUGAAGCAUAACCAGUCACGGAGGUCAAGAGAGAAAAAGGAUUGCUUGAACAUACCUGGAACCAAAUGAUUCCAAAUUCUUUUUGCCACAACACAAUCACGAAGAACAUGGAUUACAUCUUCUUUUUCCUGUCCACAAUAUUCACAGUCCAUAGAAAUUUUGAUGUGUCUCUUAAAUAGCUCCUCUUUUGUUUUAAUUCUUCCGUGCAUUACCAACCAUAAGAAAAUGCGAAUCCUCUGGGGUCCUUUCCAAUGCCAAAUCAAUUUCCAUAUAUGGGCAUCAUUAUUGGAGAUUGGAUUAUUAAGGGAGAUAUAAGCUGACUUAGAUGUGAACUUGCCUGAUUUUGAGUGAGCCCAAAAAGGUUGAUCCUCGUUGUUGUCAUCCGAAGGUAGUUUGAUUGCUGCAAUCUGGAGAAGAAUCUGAUUGGGAAGAAAAUGACCAAACAUGCUCCAAUUCCAAUUUCCCUCAAUAUCCACAAAAUCCGCCACACAUUUAUUCUUCAAUUCAUCCGGUAGUUGAGUUAUAGUAUGAUUAGCAAUGAGAAGCUCUUCUGAAACCCAACUUUGAUGCCAAAAAUUUACCUUAUUCCCUUUUCCAAUCGACCAUCUCGUGCCCUGCAACACAUACUCCCAUAUUCUGUUUAUGCCUUUCCAGAGAUAAGAGUUGCGUUUAUUCUCAAGCUUGGAGGGAAUAAAAUCUGAAUCAAGCCCAUAUUUUGAUCUCAAAACCCGAAUCCAGUGACUGUGAGUAGAGGUUAGCAUAUUCCAUUCAAUUUUCAUGAGGAGAGCAUUGUUCAUGUUUGUAAGAUUUUUAAAACCUAGACCACCUUCAACUUUUGGAGAACAUAUCAUUUCCCAAUUAAUCAAACUGAGUUUACGGCUUCCAUUCUUGCUCCCCCAAAUAAAUCUUCGAGAAAUCCGAUCAAUUUUAUCCAAAAUUCCAUGAGGGAUCCUUGUUGUUUGCAUGGCAAAAAUGGGGAUCGCCUGAAUUACCGAUUGAGCUAGAGUAAUUCUCCCAGCAAGGGAGAGAUGCAUUGCAUUCCAUCCAGACAAUUUUUUAUCAACAUUAUCCACAAUUUCUUGAUAAGUGGCUCUUGUCACUCUGUUGUGAAGUAAAGGCAUUCCAAGAUAUUUGCCAAGAUUAUCUGUAGCGGCAAAUCCCAAUGAAUCACUGAUUUUCCUUGCCUUUUCUGCAGUAACAUUCUUUGAGAAAUAAACUCGAGUCUUCUGUUUGCUAAUCAACUCUCCCGAACAACUACAAAAAAUAUUCAGCACAUUAUUGAUCACAUGGGCUUGGUUGCAAGAAGCCUCAGCGAGAAGAAGUAGGUCGUCCGCAAAAAAGAGGUGAGUAAGAGGAACACCAUUUCUCGAGAGCCGUAUAGGACACCAACUUCCAUUUCUUACUGCCAAAUUAAUUGCAUGACUAAGGCGCUCGAUACAUAGAACAAAAAUAUAAGGAGAAAGAGGGUCACCCUGUCAGAUUCCCCUAGACGGAGUGAAUUCUUCAGUGAUCUCCCCUUCCCAUAAAAUUUGCAUUCUAGCCGUAGUAAUGCACUCCAUUGUAAUCCGAAUAAACUCUUUAGGCAGUCCAACAUCCUUAAGAGUAUCAUGAAUGAAGUCCCACCUAAGCCGAUCAUAAGCUUUCUCAAGGUCCACUUUGAUAGCCAUCUGCCCGAUUUUUCCUCUUUUGUUUCUCAUGGUGUGGAUAAUUUCUUGCGCCAUCACAAUAUUAUCUGUAAUUUGCCUUCCAGGAACAAAGCUUGUCUGGGUUGGUCCGAUCAACUCCGGUAGAAUUCCCUUUAACCUAUUUGCCAAAAUUUUUGUAACAGUUUUAUACAUCACUGGACAUAGGCUAAUGGGACGGAACAUCCUCAAGUUGGUGGGGUUGUUUGUUUUUGGGAUAAGGACAAUAAGGGUCUUAUUAAGCUCUGGAGGGAGGGGAUUGCCUUUAAAAAUAUUGCUCACAAGUUCACAAACUGAUGAGCCCACCACAUCCCAUUGUGACCGGUAGAAGAGAGCAUGAAGGCCAUCAAUUCCAGGAGCUUUUAGAGGGUUCAUUCCGAAAACUGUAGCUUUGAUUUCCUCGUUAAGAACAGUUCUGCUAAGAUCAGCUAAACUGUACUCAUCAAUUCUUGGAAAAGCAUUAGUAAUCGGGAAAUUAAAACUCACUUCAUCAUUACAAGAAAAAAGUUUAGAGAAAAAAUCAAUGGCAUGGGACUUGAUCUCUUCUUUAUUAUAAAUCCACGUACCCUCGCUGCUCUGGAUUGCAUCCACUCGGUUUCUCCUUCUUCUCGUUAUUGUUUUUCUGUGAAAAAAAGCAGUGUUUCUAUCCCCACAUGAAAUCCAUUCUCUCCUUGACUUUUGGUACCACAAUAACUCCUCCUGGGAUAGUAUGGUUUCAAGUUCCAUCUUCAAAUUGGACUCAAGCUCAAGAAGCCGGUUUGAAUCAAAUUUCUCCAGAGCAUGUUGAAUACCAUUUAAUCUUGCCAAUAAACGCCUUUUCCUUUUAAAAAUAUUCCCAAAAUUCUCUUUAUUCCACACACUAACUUUAUCCACAAAGUCAUGAGCAGCCCGAAUAUAUCCCUUAGAGUUGCACCAUUCCUUAGCCACUAGAGAUUGGAAAGACUGGUCCGUCAACCAAGCUGCCAAGAAACGAAAUGGCCUAACAACAUUCAUUUUCUUCAAACUACGGCCAAAUCUGACAAGAAUCGGACGGUGGUCAGAAUGAAUUUUUGGAAGAUGUAAAACUGAAGCUUCCAUAAAAGACACAUUCCACUGGUCAUUGCAUAUGGCUCGGUCUAAUCUUUUAAAGAGAGAUCCCCUCGACCAAGUGAAACAAGGCCCUUUAAAAUGUAGAUCCAUAAGCUGAUUAUCAUGAAACCAUUUGUUAAACAGUCUACAAACACCAUUGCCUUUUUUUGAACCUCCUUUUUUCUCUGAAACAUGUAGGAUUGAGUUGAAGUCUCCCCCUAGUAGCCAUGGUCCUGUAACUGAAUUAGCUACCAGGUCAAGAUUGCUCCAUAGCUCCCUCCUCAAAUUUGGGUUGGGGCUAGCAUAAACGGCAGUGACCCACGACCAAUUACCAGAAAAAUCUGUGACUUUAAAAUGAAUGUACUGCUUGUGAUUAAAAACAAACUCCAUCCUGAAUUCUUCUUUCCAUAAAAUCCAAAUACCCCCUGCAAAACCUUCAGCUUCCACUCGAUGCGAUGACUCAAAACCACUACGUUUAAUAAAGUUAUCAGCUUUAACUCCACUGAUUUUAGGUUCCAAAAUCGCAACAAUAUCAGGGUUAUAAAUUUUAUUCAUUAUGAUAAAAGCUCUUCUAAAGCCCGGUGAAGCCACCCCUUGGCAAUUCCAAAAAAGGAUAGAUAAAUUCAUUAAAAUAAAGAGAAUAAUAGGAGGAAACCGUUCAAACCGAACUUCAUUCUGACUCCAUGUUGUCCUCAUCUUCCAAAGAGGUUCCACUAUCAUCAGAUUCUGAGUCACUUCCCUCACCUUCACCCUUAAAGCUCUCAUCAUCCGGGUCAUCUUCAUCAUUGGCAUUUAUUACCAAAUCCUCAUCAGGGGGUUUGUCUCGAUUUUCAAUAAGUAUAUUAGGAUCAGCAAGCUCUAAAUUUGGUAAAGAUGGAACUAAACUGACCCCCUUAGAAUUCGAAUGAAAAUCUUGUCGAGAAACAAAUUUUAUUGCCGUGUGUUUUACUGGGUCCAAGCUAGUGGGAACAAUGGUGGGGAUAGGUAGGUUGGUUGAAGUUACAGGGAUUUUUGACUGUGAACAUGACACUGUUUCUACAUGCAUGUGAGUUGGUGAGGUAACAAGGUUUUCUUUCAAGCAUGGGUGUUUGGCUUUUUUUUCACUUAAACUUUGCAUAGCUGGAGAGUUGACGUUUGUAUGGCUAUUUGUGGUAGUAGGUUUCUUGGGAUUCUUUUUGGUUUGUAUUUUAAAAUGGAAAGCUGGCUGAUCCUUCUCGGUUAUGGGCCCAUUGUAGCCUCUAGGGUGGGAAAACAUUCUAUCCUCAUCAUUAUCCUUUUCGAGCACUUCAAACCGUGAUCCCCCUUCAAAUUUGGCAUCUCGAUGACGAGUGGAAAAAUUAUUAUAGCCACCUCCAUUGUUGACUCUUCCCCUUCCUUUUCGGCUGACAAUCAUCCAAGGCCCAAAUGAAGGGUUUGCCGGAGUAAUUGUAGAGGACGACGGUUGAUCACCACCACCACUACUGUGACUGUUCCCAUCCUCAUUAUUUUCUGAGCUCUCUGUUUGUCUUGUCCUUGUGUUGGGCUGAUGACAGUUUUCAGUCCUAUGACCAUAAAUCCCACAAUUAAAACAAAUAACAGGUAAAUUCUCAUAUUCCACUUUUUGCAUUUUGCCAUCGAGAAAAAACUGUGAACAAAGAGGUUUCUUAAGGGAAACCUCAACCGCAAUACGUGCAAACUUCCCUCUUGUUAUUGAUUCGGUAUUGUAAUCAAUUCGAAUCACUUUUCCAACGACAUUCCCGAGCAUGCGAAGAACCUUUUUAUGAUAAUAGUGUAGAGACAUUCCCGGUAAUCGGAUCCAAGCAACAAUGUUUUCAAUAUCUUCACUGGAACCAUCGAAGUGAGGGUUCCAUUGUUGCACAGUGAGAUAAUGACCGAGAAUGGUCCAAGGACCUUGUGUUAGAGCAUAAUGGGCGUCCCCUUCUGUUUUGAACUUAACCAGGAAGAAAUCAUUCUCUAGGUCAAUAACAGAGAAACCUUGGGUCGUUUUCCAAACCUCAUUUAACUUGUUGCAGAGUGCCCGAUAGCCAAGAGUUCUCCCGAGAAGUUUGACAACAACCGUGUUUCUCCAUGGUUUCACCAGCUGUGCUUGGAUCUUUUCUGAGAAGGAAAUGGAUGGGAUGCUUCCCUUUUCACUAACAACAACGUCUUCAGGAUCAAAUUCCAAUUCUUCUUCUCUACCCAAAGGCUCCUCUUCCCCAUCAUUCUGAUCUUCCAUUAACUUAUCUUUAAAAGAUAGCGGAAGUGGAUUUUCAUCAUCAUUCCCGUGACUCCUAAAUCUUGCCUUUUUAGUUGAACGUUCCUCCGCCAGUGGUGGUGGCGGUUCCACUAAGAAGAAAUACCUUGCAAAUUUAUUGGGUAGGAUUACCGACAACUCAAAUCAACUAAGAAGAAAUAUCUUAACUGGCAAUAUAAUUUUGACCAUAGACUUGCAAAUUAUACAGAAACCCUUGAUUUUAUGUGAAAAUAAUUUUGAGACUUUUGGGAAAAAAAACAAAAAGGCAUGUUUGACUAAUUAUGAAACUAAGGAAAUCAUAUUUGAUCAUGUAAACAUAUUUUGAGGAUUUCAGUGUCUUUUCUCUUCAUUGUCUUAUCUACUUAAUCGAUGUCUCUUCAAUUUAUAUUAGAACUUAAUGAGACUUUCGGAAGAAAGCCAUGCUCUCGAUAAUGCUGGGCAAAAAGUCCAAAUUAAGGGUAUGAUCAAUUAUCUAUUCCAGUAUUGAUUCUCAAUUCCUCUUCAUUGAAAAUAAUUUGAUUGGAUAUUUGGUAAAUUUAUAUUAGGAUAAUUACCGUUCAACUUUUCACAAACUGCAAAAUAAUAGAUGACUACAAAAAAGUAUUGACUCAUCAUUUUAUAUAUCUUCACAAAACUUUCUAUUUUAUUACUAUAUAUUUACAAAAACUUAAAUUAAUAGAGAACCAAUAAUCCACUAUUUCUCCAAAUAUCAUAUACAUGUUUUGGUUAAUUACUCACAAAAGUGUGUGGUGUAUAAUGUUACAAACAUACAAGUUCAAUUAAAAUGACUCUAGUUUUCUUUACAUUGCGAGUUGCGAGCAAAAGCGCUUUACUAAUUCUACGUGGAAAAUAAAAGUUGACUGACUUUUUCAACAAACAAGCCGACGUCAAAGUCUUUUUCCUCCAGCAGUUGAUGGCAAUUUUCAUUAAUAAUAAGAUAAAGUUGAUUGACAAUUUAAAUAAUUUAAGGGUACCAUUGGGUUCACAUUGAAUUAUCAAAUAAUCUAUCUGACCAUGACUCUCAAAUAAUGAUGGGUGGGGCCAUUUAUUCGUUCCUCAUUCAAGUAUCUCAGCAGCCAUAAUUUACUUGAGGAAAGACUUGAUCAUUGAAGUUGAAAAUAAAAGCUGACUGCACGCAAAUUGACCGGCGUUUAUGCAACAACCCAAGUUGACUGCAGAGAUAAAAUUUUACACUUGUUAAUUUUACAGGAAAUUAAUAAAAUCCGAUUAUUGAAUUUUAUCUCUGGAAAUUAAUAAUCUAUCCCUCCCAAACUGCAACGUCACAGAUCCCAUUAUCAACCCAAGGAGUAAGAAUGUUGUCAGCGUAUUCAUUAUCACUCACCGAUACAAAGGAGCUCUUGAUUUCCAUUAAAGCAAUCCUCUCUUUCUCCAAGCAACAUUUGACUCCAUGCAUCUGAAUCAAAUCUAUGGCAAACCACACUGAAAACCUAAUUAAAAACCUUUCCGUUUUUAACCUAAGAUUAAACUUUAAUUUAAUUUGUUGCACUCUCAAAGCUUAUGUCUCGCAAGAUAUAACUAUAUAUAUUCGGAAUUUUUUUAUUAAAAAAUAAUUAUUUUGAUUGUAAGAAGGUAUAGUUAGUAAUUUUACAUAUUAUAAAGAUUGACAAUCCAAUAAAUAACUGUUAAUUAUAGUGAGAUAGUGAUGUAACGGAUUCUAUAAAAAAACGCUGAACAGGAAAACUAACAAAUUAUACAAAAGGGUAAAUUGAUGCAGCUAGGGUGAUUGAUAUAGAUAGGAAAUUUUUAAUAUUCUAUUGAUUUUAAGAAUACUUGGAAUAAAAAAUAAAAUAAAAAUUGUGUUGAUUCUGCAAAAUAUUUUGAAUUUAGUUUGCGUCAGAUCUCGAUAGUUCAAAGAAUGACUUAAAGACAAUAAGAAUGGAUUUCAAACAAAGAGUUUACUAUACAUAAAAUAAUGAGUAUCUAGUAUUGAGUCUUCCUCAAAGACUACGAAUGAGUAAUGACGCUUAUGUAUGUCAACUCGAUCGGACUUAAACUAGCGAACUCCAAUUUGAGCAUUUUCACGAGAAGGGUAAACUAGCGAACUCCAAUGAGUAUGACUUCAUAACUUACACAAACAUUUAAAAAUUCAAUUUAGAUAUCUAAGACAAGGGUAAACUUCAAUUUACUCCCUGCUUAAAUUGUUAAUCCUCAAUUUAUUUCCUAAAAAUGUGAAAAUAUUAAUUUACCUCAAUUUUUAGUUAAGAAAACAUUAAAAAAAAAUAUAUCAAUGUGCCCGCAAUUGCCCUCAUCUUUUUAAAAAAAAUGGGGAUAAAUUGAGAUUUUUAUACUUUUUAGAAAUAAAAUGAAGAUUGUCAUUUCAUCUAAAGGACAAGACCUGAUUGUACCAAGUUAUUUUAAUUUUCUAGUUUAAUUACAAUGUAAAAAAAAAAAGGAUUUAUUCAAAAUUUGGCCAAAGCCCAAGUCCAAUGCUUUCUUCUAUACUCCUACAGCCCAAUUAUUAAUAAAAUUAUGAUUUCUACUUUUUAAUUCAUUAAUUUAUUUUAAUUAAAAUUAAAAUUAAGAAAAAAGUUACAUUCGGAACAUUCGGGAUGGUAUUGGUAUUUUAACCGAUAGGAAUUCGUUGCCUUUUUUUAUCCCGAUUAAAAAAUGGUACCGGAUUCGUACAAUUCUUUAUUCCAAUUAAACAAUCAUUAGGAAUUAGUAUUGGACAAUCCCAAUCAGGAUGUACUGAUUACCAACAUUAACAUUUAGGUCUACAAGUUAAUGGGUUUUUAGGUGGGGGAAUGUGAAACCAUAUGGUCAUGUCAUCUAUCCUAAUGAAUUAAUAAAUAAUUGAAGUGUUUUAAGCAACAUUCAAAAAAAUGGAGAGAGCUUUUUCUUUUCCUCGGGUAUUCCAAAAAUUGUGUUUAUUUCAAACUUAAAAAGAUAACACUCAAUGAAUUAUUAGAAGAUGAAGACAAUUUUUUUCUUUUUUUGGAUAAUUUUUUUUCCUACUGCUACACCUCCAUCAAAAUCAAUAUAACAUUAAAGGAAAAUUGAUCAAAACCCUUUGCUGCUAAAAAGAUUUUAAUAAUUUUUAACUUUUCUGUCUUUUAUUAUUUUUAUAUUUGAUAUGGUAAGACCGCCAUUGAUGUAUAAGAGUUGUCAGGAAUAAAAUAAUAAAAGACCAAAAAGUUGAAAGUUAAGUUAUGAGGCUAAUGUCUUGUUAAAAUUUUUCAGAAUUUAGAUGUGCACGGUUAACAUGAGUUUUGUUGAAUGAACCACUAAAAUUGCGUUAUUAUGCCAAAAGGACAAGGAUCCUAAUCCAUGUCAAAAAGGGACUGAAUUGAGAGUCAAAUAGUAAAGAUCAAUAAAGAAGGGAAAAAGUAUCAGUCAUCCUAAUAAAAACCAAUCAAAAGAGAGAAAGAAAAGGAGAAGUCAAUGAAGCGAAAGAAAAAAAAACACGGAUCAAACAAGUUGAUCACUGUUCUAAUACCACUCGAUUUAAACACUCCAAGACCUUAAAGAACUAACAAAGACUCAAUCAAGAGCACACAAAACCCUAGAUUGAUCGCAGCAAGCUCUCUUUGAUAUACAUAAAUCUAGGUGGAUAAAUGGAGUUAGAGAGUGAGGUACAGCGAACAAGAUUUGAUGCCUACUCGCAAAAUACGGAGUGGAUGAGAUUGAGAAGAGCAGUGUCUGAUUAGCAUUUUAAAGGCUGUUAAAACAGAGACCCAGAAGCUUCCCGCUCUUCUUUUAACCAACUUAACCUACCUCUGACCCAGUGUGACUGAACCAAAUCACGUGCCUUGAACGUGUGUUUAAAUGACAGCGAUAGCCAGUUGAGGUAAUGUCGUUUAAGCUUUUUGAUUCCGAUGCGCAGGUGCUCCAAGUAAACUACAUAUUGGACCGAUAUUAAAUUCUUAACUAUAAACCGACGCCUUCGUUUAAUACUGUUUUCAGAUCAACUCUUAUCUCACAUGCACAUUUUAGGCAAAAAGGUGAAACCCACCAAAGCAUGCACCUUUCAUAUCUUGUUUCGAUCACCAAAACAUAGCAUACUAUGGUAGUAAGAGAAGUCGAUAUACAGCCGAACAUAAGCUAUUACGUGGUUCACCAAAUUAAUUCUUUGGUAAAUUAUAAAUCAUGGACUAUGCUAAGUACGUGAAUUUUGGAUUGCAAAGCCCAUAAUAAAAAUUGUAACGGGCUGUUUGCGCAAAGUAGAUGAUAUCUACUUUUAUCCUUUUUGUAAUUUCGUUUAAAGCUAUUUUUGUAAUAUAAAUAAGCUGAUUCAUCAUUAUCUCAAUAUGACAAUUUGCAGACUAGUUUUGUAUUCUUUUAGCCCCUGAAAUUUUAAUAUUAAUAAUAAAUUACGAAUAUGUGAGUCAAGCGUGUCACCCGUACAAGAAAUCUUCAGAAUCAUAUGGCAGAUGAAGUGCACAACAAGGCAUAAAAAUUAACACAUUAUAUAAAAAUUAAUACAUUAUUCAAGAACCCAGGUUGAAAGCAACCGACUAAAAUUAAUACAUAAAAGUUUAAUUACACAUAACAGAAAGAUACGGUAAACUAUGGUCUAGCACGAUCACGGACGAAAUAUACAAAUUUCACAAGCCAAUAGAAACACCAAUCAAUACAUGCAUCAAUGAAACAAAACCAUAGCCAGCGCCAAUAAGAGUUCAACCAAAGGAUCGCAAAUAACCCAAGCAUGAAUGUGACGUACGAUGCGCCAAAACUCCAAUUGAAUGACACCAUAUCAAUUGCAGAUUCAUCUUCGUCUUCUCCUUGAUAGGACGACGUUGCUGGAUUUGCCUCUGCUCUGGUGCAACUCUUAUUAACUGUUGGACCACAAAGACCGAGAUUACCUUUGUAACUCUUUUCAUCAAACGUGCCAAAUUGUCCUUUGUCUGGGAUCAGACCUGACAAGUUGUUGUACGACACAUUGAAGUUGGAUAAAAAGUUGAGCUCAGUCAGUUUAGGAGAAAUUAGGCCACUCAAUUUAUUGUGACAAAGGUCUAGGCUCUCUGUCAUCUUCAGAUUGGAAAAACUCUCUGGUAUAGAUCCUGAUAAGUAAUUAUGGGACAGAUUCAAUGCACGAACUUUUUGAAGUUCUCCAAUUUCCGCUGGAAUUUCUCCGGUCAACUCAUUACAUGACAAAUCUAGUCCAGUCAUGUAGUUAAGAUUACUACUGUUGUAAACUUCAUAUCUAUUCUUUGUCACAAAUUCUACUUGUACUCCAUUUGCUGCUGUAUAAUCAUCUCCAUAAAACUCCAAGUCAAGGUUAGAGGAAUUGAAGUAAAUACCAAUAGAAUCAACAUCUAAACUCCAAGAAAACUCACGUUCAGAUCCAUAAAGAUCAUCAUUUCCUGCUCUCCAGAGUGACACAUUAACAAAACAUGAAGGUAUUGACCCAUUAAGUCUGUUACGUGAAAGAUCCAUGAUACCUAAUUUUCCUAAUUUAGACAGUUGAUUAGGAAUAUGACCUUGCAGAUAAUUCCCUCUCAAUAUAAGAACACGCAGCUCCGAAUGCCCAUUUAUCUGAUGAGGAAUACUACCAGAAAAUUUAUUAUCCCCUAAAUCUAAUGUCAUCAACUUGGAGCUACUAAAGAAUGCCUUUGGGAUUGAUCCACACAGAGAAUGUUGAAAACAGCAGUAGUGAGGAGGCAAAGAUUGACCUUGAAGCCAAGCUGGCAUGCCACCUAAGCCUCUGUAAUCUGCAGCCAGCUGACAUGGAAGAUGAGUCAAGAUUAUUGAGGUGGCAGAACAGCUGUGCUGAAGAAUAUCAGCACAUAAGCAUGGAGCAGCUGAAUCUUCUGGAAUUCUAAAAUGAUUGGCUCAUGCCUGCCAUUCUGACAAAUUUGUUUUGUGUGUAAUAUUCUUUAUUAGCUGUCAUUAUUUUCUUGUCUCUAUAUAUACUACAUCUGCUCUGUAAUACGAUCAUCGAGUAUGCAAUAAUAAAGAAAAAGGAAACUUUGUCUUGUUCACUCUGCUAGCAACACCAAAGCAAUUCUCUAGAAUUUAAGUUGGUAUCAGAGCCAUCUUUUAGCUAUGGCAAGCAGCAGUGACAAUGAAACAAAUGUUAAUCCAACACAGGUUGAUUCAAGUGAUCAACCAGAUGAAUUGAACCAAAACACUGAGCCACAGAAUCCAGGCCUUAAUACCAGAAACACAGCACAAAUAAGUGCAUCACCAACCCAGCACAUCACUAGCAACACCUAUGUCUUCACUACUCCAAUCAAACUCACUCAAAGCAACUUUAUGCUCUGGAAAUCACAAGUGAUUUCUAGCAUUCGAGCAAAUGAGCUUGAGGGGUUUGUUGAUGGCAGCCAUGUCUGCCCUCCUAAGGUCUUCAUGAGUCCAGGACCAAAUCGAACCACCAUAACCACACCUAACCCUGAAUACCAGAUUUGGAGGAAACAGGAUCAUAUCCUACUGAGUUGGCUACUCUCUUCACUAAGUGAGGGAGUCCUAGGCACAGUGGUAGAUUGUUCCACCUCCUGUGAGGUGUGGACAACUCUAGCCAACCAAUUUGGUGCUAGAACAAGGGCAAGAAUCCUAUAUCUUAGAACUCAAAUUCAAACCACUAAAAAGGGUUCAUCAACCAUUCAUGAAUACUACUCAAAAAUGAAAACUUUAUUGAACUCACUUAGAGCUGCAGGGAAUAGCAUGAAUGAUGAUGAUUUCAUCAUGUGUGUGCUUGCUGGGUUGGGGCCUGAAUAUGACUCAGUAGUCACCAACAUCAACUCAAUGCAAGAGAGUCCCUCAAUCUCAGAAGUGUAUGGUAUGCUUUUGAGUCAAGAAAACAGAACUGAGCAAAACUUGAGCUCAGGGAAUAUUGAAGCCAACUAUGCUCAAAUGAGGAAUGGAAGAAGGAGCUGGAAUAAUAGUGAAAGAGCUGCCCAUCAACAGCUGCCUGGAAUUGUUUUUAGAAAUCCUGGAAACAACCCCACAAACAACCAAACCAAUCAGAACCCUCAAGACAAAGGGAAAGGAAAAGCAGUGGCUGAUGACAAUGGUUCUGAUCCAAAAGGGCCAUGCCAAAUCUACUGGAAAAUGGGACACACAGCAGCUGAGUGUUGGCACAGGUUUAAGAAGAACUUUGUACCUCAGCCAAACAGAAGAAGAGAGCAGAGGGGUGCUUAUGUUGCUGCAGCUGAAGGUCAAAGCAGUGGAGCCUGGUACCUUGACAGUGGUGCCACCAAUCAUGUGACUAACACUCUUGGAAAUCUCAGCAUCAACUCUGAAUACCAAGGUAAAAAUAAGCUAGCUGUUGGUAAUGGUGAAAAGCUUUUAAUUAGUCAUAUUGGAUACUCUGCCUUGCCCACAUAUGAUCCACACAUGCACAUUACCUUGACUGAUAUAUUAUAUGUGCCUGACAUAACCAAAAACCUGAUUAGCAUUUCUAAAUUGCUGCAUGACAAUGAUGUUGAUGUUGAGUUUCAAAAAUCUGUUUGUUUUAUUAAGGACAAGAGACAAGGAAAAAUUCUGGUGAAAGGAGUGGCUAGAGAUGAGCUAUAUGAGCUGCUAUCCUGAGCAGGAACAAAAAUCCUCAUGCUGUUUUAUUUUCUAUUUUGUCAAAUUCAGAGUCAAUAAAUAACAGUAGUUGUCCAGUGUCCAUGUUGUCCUUCAAUUCAAGUAAUGAGUCAGUCAAAGUUAGUGUUGAGUCAAAUAUAGCUGAUGAGUCAAGUAGCAACAAUCUGCAAGCUGCUGAAGAAAUUGAUGUAUGGCAUUCCAGACUAGGACACCCUAGUACUUCAGUCCUGAAAAAUACCUUGCUAUCUUGUAAUCAGCUCAAAAUUAAUAAAGAUAUUGUUCCUUCAUUUUGCUCUGCAUGUCAAUAUGGAAAGCAGUCAAAACAAUCAUUCAAAAGCACUGAAACCAAAACUAAGACAGCCCUUGAAUUGAUUCACACAGACCUUUGGGGACCAGCACCAAUUCUGUCCACUCAUGGACAUAGAUACUACAUCUCCUUUGUUGAUGACAAAACAAGAUACACAUGGCUCUUUCCUUUAGUAGCCAAGUCUCAAGCUCUUGAAACCUUCAUUACCUUUAAAAAUCAGAUCGAAAAGCAGUCGAACUUAACAAUCAAAGCACUACAAACAGACAUGAGAGGAGAGUUCAAAGCCUUUGAACCAUAUUUGAAAAGAGAGGGAAUAACACUAAGGCAUUCAUGUCCAUACUUACAUGAACAAAAUAGCAAGGUUGAGAGAAAACACAGACACAUUGUGGAGACUGGACUUACCUUACUUGCCCAAGCCAAAAUGCCCUUAAAAUUCUGGCAAGAAGCUUUCAGCUAUGCUACUUUCAUUAUUAACAGACUUGCUUCACCUGUGCUCAAGAACAAGACACCAUUUGAAUUAUUAUACUCUCUCAAACCAGAUUAUACACAAAUUAAAAUCUUUGGCUGUGAAUGUUUUCCAUUUCUUAGACCAUACAACAGACACAAAUUUGAUUUUCAUACCUCAAAAUGCAUCCUAUUGGGGAUCAGCAGUGCUCACAAAGGUUAUGUUUGUAUGAACAAUUUAGGAAGAAUCUAUAUCUCAGCUAGUGUCAGAUUCAAUGAAAAAUCCUUUCCUUUCGAAAAUGAUUCUAGCUUUAGGAAACAAGAGUCAGUAAAGGAGAGUGAUGAAGUUGCUUUACUUGAGAAAUUUCAGGUUGUGUCAUUCUUUGUUAAUAGUUCCCAUGAUCUUACACAAGUGGCAACAGCUCAUAGCAACUCUCCAGACACUACUGGAAACACAGAAUGCAUCCCAAGUCCAAUCCAGAAUGAAAUACAACAGGUAAAUGACACUGACACAAUAUCAGGUAGCUUUUCAACUUACAGUCCACCUCACAUUACAGAAACAAACAACCAAAACCUUCCCACACAAAAUGCCUUACCUUCACACCCCAUGGUAACAAGAUCCAAGGCUGGCAUCUUCAAACCAAAGUUAUACCAGGUUUCCAGUAAAACACAACCUUUCCUUCCCAAAAACACAUUUGAUGCCUUGAAAAAUCCCAAGUGGAAAAGGGCAAUGGAGGAAGAGUAUCAUGCAUUGAUGAAAAAUAAAACCUGGACCUUAAUACCAAACAAUCAAAAUUUCAAAUUGAUUGGAAAUAAGUGGAUCUACAAAGUAAAGGAAAACUCAGAUGGCAGCAUCAAUAAGUAUAAGGCCAGAUUAGUUGCAAAGGGAUUCUUGCAGACUCCAGGACUUGAUUUCAAUGAAACUUUCAGCCCUGUUGUUAAGGCUGCAACUAUUAGAAUCAUCCUAACCAUGGCUGUGAGCAAUGACUGGUUACUUAGGCAAGUGGACAUAAAACAAUGCCUUCUUGAAUGGUGACCUGACAGAGGCAGUAUACAUGCCACAGCCUGAAGGUUUUGAAGACAAGAACAGGCCAAGCUACAUUUGCAAACUGGAAAAGGCUUUGUAUGGAUUGAGGCAAGCUCCGAGAGCAUGGUUUGAUAAACUAAAAGGUGCCUUGAGUUGUUGGGGAUUCAAGAAUUCCAAGAGUGACACAUCUCUAUUUUUCAGAAGAAUUGAAUCAAAGAUAGUCAUCAUGCUCAUAUAUGUAGAUGAUAUCAUAAUCACUGGAAGUGACAGUCAAGGUAUUGAGGAAGUCAUUAAAGAUCUAAAUACAUCUUUUGCUCUGAAGGAUCUCGGAAAUUUAAAUUUCUUUCUUGGGAUACAAGUUCAGAGGAGUCAAAACUCUCUUCUUCUCUCUCAAGUGAAAUAUAUUCAAGACUUGUUGACCAAAACAGAGAUGACAGACUGCAAAGGAAUAGAGACACCCUUCAGCACUUCUGAGAAAUUAAAGAAGGGUGUUGGGAAUAAAUUCCAUGAUCCUACACUCUAUAGAAGCGUCAUAGGAAGCCUGCAAUAUGCGGUGCUGACCAUGCCAGAGCUUGCUUUCUCAGUUAACAAGCUCAGCCAGUUCAUGUCUGAUCCCAGACAGCCACAUUGGGUGGCAUGCAAAAGAGUGCUGAGGUAUCUCAAAAACACAAUGAAUAUGUGUUUAAGUUUCAAAAAAUCUGAGCAUUUGGAUCUCAUUGCCUACACAGAUGCAGAUUGGGCAACUGAUCCAGAUGACAGAAGAUCCAUAAGUGGAUACUGUGUGUACUUGGGAGAUAAUCUAGUUGCUUGGAGCUCGAGAAAACAAGGCAUGGUUGCAAGGUCAACAGCAGAGUCAGAAUACAGAGCAAUGGCUCUAUGCAGCACUGAAAUCACAUGGAUAAAUUCUCUACUUGGUGAGUUGAAGAUGGAAGUUGAAAAUGUACCAAUUAUCCUAUGUGACAGCACCAGUGCAGCAGCCAUAGCAGCAAACCCAGUGUAUCAUUCUAGAACAAAACAUUUUGAGAUAGACCUUCACUUCCUCAGAGACAAAGUUACAAAAGGUGAAUUGGAAAUAAACUAUAUUGGCAGCAAUGAUCAAAUUGCAGAUGUGCUGACCAAGCCAUUACCACACCACAAGUUUAGCUGUUUUAGAAGCAAACUCAAAGUCAUUGACAAGACCUUGAAUUUGAGAGAGGGUGUUGAAAACAGCAGCAGUGAGGAGGCAAAGAUUGACCUUGAAGCCAAGCUGGCAUGCCACCUAAGCCUCUGUAAUCUGCAGCCAGCUGACAUGGAAGAUGAGUCAAGAUUAUUGAGGUGGCAGAACAGCUGUGCUGAAGAAUAUCAGCACAUAAGCAUGGAGCAGCUGAAUCUUCUGGAAUUCUAAAAUGAUUGGCUCAUGCCUGCCAUUCUGACAAAUUUGUUUUGUGUGUAAUAUUCUUUAUUAGCUGUCAUUAUUUUCUUGUCUCUAUAUAUACUACACCUGCUCUGUAAUACGAUCAUCAAGUAUGCAAUAAUAAAGAAAAAGGAAACUUUGUCUUGUUCACUCUGCUAGCAACACCAAAGCAAUUCUCUAGAAUUUAAGUGAGAAUUCUUCUGCAUAUAAAGGUGCUUCACUGACGAUGAAGGAUUGAAGGGAUAUAUAAUGGACCCAGACAAAUUAUUUUCAGAGACAUCUAAAAUUUCAAGUGCUUCAAGAUUGUUGAGUUGGACUGGAAUAUCACCUUCCUAAAGAUUUUUUGACACUGAAAGAAGCAAAAGACUUGACAAGUUACCUAUCCAACUAGGAAUCUGCCCAACUAACUUGUUGUUGGAUAUAUCUAACACUUCCAAUGACCUAGCGGAGCUCAAAAACCCGUUCGAAAUUCUGCCACUGAAAUUAUUGUUGUCUAAAGAUAACCAACCCAAUUGAGUCAAGUUCAUAAACUUAGGAGAUACUUGCCCACUGAAACUGUUAUGCGACAGGUCCAACAACAGUAGUGAGAAGCAACCAGUGAGAAGUGGCGCAAACAAUUCUCCCGAAAACUGAUUUCUAGACAAAUCCAGAAUACGAAGGUCUUUCAUCUCACUUAUUGAAGAAGAAAUACUACCUUCAAAUUUAUUUUUUGACAUAUCUAGGUACACCAAUUUUUGCAAUAUGGUACUCAUAUUCUGGGGGAGCCUACCGGAGAAACUGUUGCUAGAAAUAUCUAGAUGAUGAAGGAAAUCAAGUUUGGAAUUGGACAGUUGGAGACUUCCUGUGAAUGAGUUGUUUGUCAAACGCAAAACCUCUAAUUUUGUGUUAUACUGUAGCAACCAAGCAGGAAAAUUGCCAACCAACUUAUUAUGUGAGAGGUCAAGGGAUUUUAAGCCAUGCUGUUUUUGAAGAAAACCAAGGGUUCCAUUUAGGUUGCAAUUGCGUAAAUGAAGGACCUUCAAUUGGGAUGUAGGAAGCCAAUUUUCAGUUUCCACUUCUAACGUAUUGUUUACUAAUGAGAGCAUGAAGAACUCAAGAUUUGAAUGAUUACCCAAGGAACUGAGAUAGAAUAUGCCUUGAAAGUAGUUGUCAGAGAGAUCCAAAUAUUGGAGUGAUGUGAGGCUCGCGAUAACAGAAUGUGGGCUCCCACUUAACUGAUUGGAGGAAAUACCAAAUACCUUGAGGCGGGUUAAGUUUUUGAGACACUGGGGAAGAGGACCCUCAAUAGCAUUUCCUUCAAGAUUCAACUCAAUAAGAUUUUUCAACUCACAUAUUCCUGAAAAUUUUCAAGAAAAAGGGUAUACAAUUAGUCAGAAGAGAUCGACACAAAUGUUUAAGAGUAUUUUUAUUUUCUUUUAUGGUGCUGGGAUGGAGCAUUUGUGAACUCUAUUAAAGUGUUAUUCGGUAUGGCAUUUCUACCCGUAUAUAAGGGGAGGAAAGAAAAGACAAUUCUAUAUCUUAAGUUUGUUUAUUCGGUCAUAUUAGAAAUAAGUUAUCGAAGUUUUUUUUUAAUUAUUUUACCUUGAUUUUCCAGAGAACCAUUUAUAUCAGUAUAGCUCAGAUCCAAUGCUUUUAAGUUUUUAAAUUUUGCUAAUCCUGCAUUAAGAAAAAUGAAAUGGUCUUAGAAACCGUAAUUUUUGAAGGGUAAACAACUCUCUGUAAAUGCAAUUGUUACCUAAUCCUGAUGCAGAUCCACUCAUUCUAAUUUCACGUAGUUGCAGAACUUCCAGGUUUGUCAGGUUUUCUAAUCCUGCAACAAGGAAAGAUAAUUAAACCAGUAAUUAACUAUAGAGGAGUGAAAAGAAACAGCUUCCUACCAAACAUGUAAACAAAGACUUGAAUAAUUGGAUGCUAAGGAGGUUGGAAUAAGAAGAAAAAGAUUUUGGGUGCUAGAAGAGGGAAGCAGAUGUACCAAAAGAUCACCAAAAAUUUGCAGAGCCUCUCAUAAACGGAUAAAAUCCAACCGUUGAAUUUACAUUUAACAUAAACAUUUUUUCACAACAAAACAGAUCAUGCUCAGUACACUCAGAGCCUGAAACCAACCUUCAAUUAAAUUCUCAAGAUUCUCAUUUACCAAGCAUAAAUCUAGAAAUCCUUGAGCAACAUAUGAUGAAACAGAGUACGUACUAUCAACUCAAACAGAACCAGCUUAUGUAUCAAACUACUAACCCAGCUUGCAACCUAAGAACGACCAAUGCCAACUCACCCCAUGAUCACGGGUUCAAAAUUAAGAAGAUUUAAACCCCUAAAAAAAAAAAAGAAAACAUUCCUUCAAGUUUGAAAUAAGCCUUAUCAAAUCUUAAGUGGAUAGAUGCAAUUAAUAGAUCAGAAUUCGAAGCGAUAGUCAAUAAUGACUAGAUUGUAUAUGUUCUAUCAAUUCACACCAAAAAUCAUUAAAUCUACAAAUUCUUAACAUUUUAUCUACUCUAAUAAGAAAAUUAAGUUGACAACAAAGAUGAUUUAUUUUCCAUUCCACAAAAAUAAAUGGAAACUAGGAAAUAAAACAGUCACCUUGACUCGUUGGAAAGCCGCUUAUCAGAUUACCACCUAGACCCAAUCUUUUCAACUUUCUCAAAUUUCCCAGUUCUACACCAAGAAAAAGGAAUCAGUACUUGAAAAUUAGUGUGAGAGCUGUUGUAAAAAGCUGUGAUCAGUAUGCUUAGUUAAUAACAUUGCUGCUCUGUCAUCACAGUUGCUUACCUAGCCUUGUUACAGAGCCAUUUAUUCUGUUACCCCUUAUAUCCAAAGCUUCUAAAUUUGUCAAAUUCGCUAUUCCUACACAGUAAGUCCCACAAAUAGACGGAAAAACAGAAGGUAAGAAAGUGGUGAUUAGUAGUACGCUUGAUAUCAUUGCUUGUCUGCUCCUUAAGUAGCUUACCUAGCCUUGUUACCGAACCACCGCUUAUUCUGUUACCAGUUAGAUCCAACACUUGCAGGUUCCUCAGAUUUACUAAUCCUGCACCCAAAAUAAAAGUUAUUGAAAAGGACAAUAUUGGAUUUUGAAAAUUAGAUAUAGAUUGAUUAAGAUUUGUAUAUAUAUGGAAAUGUUGUACCUUGCUUGGUUCUAGAACCGUCGAUGUUAUUGCCAACGAGAAUCAAAGUUGUAAGUGAAGUAAGUGUAUUCAAAUAUGGUAGUAUGAUGUCGUUGAAGAGAUUAUAACCGAGAUUUAACAUCUUCAAUUGCUUCAAACUCCCAAAACUAUCAUAAGCUGCUAAUCAAGGCACGCAGGUGAAAUGAAUUGGUUAAUUUAGUUGCAAAUUUUCCUUUCAGGAUGAAUGUGGAGACUACUAAAAAUCAAACAGGAAAUGAACACACCUUUACCCUUGUAGACACCUUCAAACAAAUUGAAAGACAAGUCAAGGCUUUGAAGUUCUUCAAAAGGAAGAAGCAAUGACAUAUUCAGAAGCGGAGAUCCAUCAAUGAAGUCAUUAUAUUUGUUUUGCGGUAAAAUAUCGAGAGAGAGUUGUGUCACUCGUCGCGUGGUGGCGUUGCACUUAACUCGCUCCCAAUCACAACAAUCAGACAUCGGAUCAUCAUCAACCCAUGAAUUAGGAAUAUUAUACUUGUUUUCACUAUCACUGAUUGAUAUAAGGAAGCUCUUGAGUUGCAGCAGACCAAUCCUCUCUUUCUCCAGGCACCCUUGGUAUCCAUGCAUUUGAAUCAAAGCUAGUAAAGUCAGCGACACUGAGAACUUGACAAUGGAAGUUUCCAUUGGAAGCCAACCUUUCAUAGUUUGUACUUUGUUCUCAAUCUGCAGCUUCACCACUCAUAAAUCACAUAUAUUUAAUGUGAGUAUUGCAUGUAAUGACGGAAGGAUAUUUCUAAACAAAAAAUCUAAAUUUUUUCUUCUUUUCUUUCUAAAUUUUUCAUUAGAUUAAUGUUUGAAUAAUGUUUAUAGAAGCAAUAACAUUAACAGAACUUAUUAUAUAUAUACACACACACAGAUACACACACAAAACGACAAAAUUAUGAGUUUAGUUAGGUAUAUAUAAGCAUUUAAUUACCAACACAUUAAUUACAGCACCGGUGUAUACACUUUGUAUUGGCAUUUAGUUUCUUUAUUAUUUUUGUAAAAUAUACGCUUUUAAUAUAAUUAAAAACAUAAACAUUUUUUUUAAAUGUGUAGUAUUAUCAUAAAUCAUUUUGUAUUUAAAGAACGUUAAAAUAAGAAAAAAAAUCAGUUAAUUUCAUUAACAAAGAUCCUUAGUUAGUAAGGAUUCCUUACGUUUAAAGGAUUUAGAAACAGUUAAUUUUCCCGCUUUCAACAGGGUUUCCUAAACCCCGGGCAAACUCUCUCUCUAUGUAUAUAAAAUAAAAACUCUCUUCGCAGAAUGGCAAGUAAACCUAUCAAUCAAUCAAAGAAAGGCUAAAAAAGAAAUAAAGAUCAGACAACAAUGGCGAAUUCCGUGAAGAGAUUGGUGGAAGUAUGCAGCAAAGAAGACGGGUUUCUGGGCUCAUACUUCGAGGCCAAACUAGUACAGAGAGUCAGCAAGACAAGUUCUUGGUGGAGUUCUUGACGCUGGUGUCGGAGGAAGAUGAGAAUGAGAAGCUGAGGUAGGUGGUGGACGCGACGGAAGUGAGGCCCUCCGAGUAACUGGAGUUUCCCGUCGCCGUCAGUUGAAAUCCGGUCACCGUUGGUCGGCAUGGGUAUUUUGGUAAUGUUCACAUGGAUGCAGUUGAAAUUAACUUAAUAUUUGUAAAGUAAAGUUAAAUAAAAAAGAGUGAAAGGGGUUAUAUAAAAAUUUGCCACAAAAGACAAAAGAAAGUAGCACGGUAGCACUGUGGUACCAUAGGCAGAUCCCAAUCUUUAUAGCAAUUGGCACAGAUAAAGAUAAUUAGUUUUGGUCUCUAUAAUGACUGACGAAGACUUGUCGGACUUGGACCAAUGAGGAAAAACACUUCAUUAAUACUCCAUGGAAAAUAAAAUGUUAACUGACUUUCAAAUUAAGCCAACAUACAAAUGGUCGUCAAUUCUAUUUUUUACAAAAAAAUUGAUGGAAAUAGUCAACUAAUAAAAUAAAAGUUGAUUGAGGUAAUUUAAAGAAUUUAGGCGUAAGUUUGGGUUUUAAAUUAUCAAAUAAUUUAUUCCACUAUUGAUACUUAAAAAAGUACUUUGGAAUUAAUAAUUCAAUAGGAUGUUUGAUAAAUUGGAAUUUGUGAAAAUCAAUAAUCAACUAUUUUUUAUCCAUGUUUAGAAAUUUAUCCGGUGUGUAUAAGGGCUUGUAUAUUUCACAAUAAACUGAGAUUUGUUUUUUGAAAGCCAAUAGAAACAUGAAAUAGUACAUCCAUCGAAUAAUCAAACACGCACACUACAAGGCGACCUUCGAUUGACGUAUUAUGUCAACUAACCCGUGGGACAUGGAGGAUGUGUGUUAACGUUAACCAAUAGUCAAGCUUAUGAACACAAUCAAGCAAUCGUAUCAUCAAUCAAAGCCACAUUUAGCGCAUGACUAGUAAAUAUCAUAAUUGAGUUUGAGGACCACAGCCGCACGGUGAAAGAAUUUGAAUGAAGGAAAAGUAAAAGAAAAUGAAAACGAAAAGUGGGGAAUGCUAAAGAAAAAUAAGCUGAUUCAUCAGUUAUUCAAUAUGACAAUUGCACACAACUUUUGGAUGUUUUUAGCUUCCGUGUGAAUCAAAAAAAUUAACAGACUGUCCCGCGUGUCACAUGUAACUAACUUUGGCGCCAUCUUGAGCUAAUUCUGUUAAGGCCUUCACUACAUAGUCUUAAGAUCUCAGUGAACAAUAAAUUCUUCAGAUUCAUAUGAAUUGCACAACAAGGCGUAAACCCCGCUUGAAGGCAACCGGCUAUAAUUAAUACAUUUCAAUUGCUCAUAAAAGAAAGAUACAGUAAACUAGUGGUAUUGUAGUAUAAACAAUACUCGUUUUUCUAUCUUGGUGGUUUCUUGACUGUGUUCAAAUAUCAGUACUCGAAGAAAGAUAAAGGAAAGCUAAAGAAAAAUAAGCAAAUUCAUCAUUGACAUCAUAAGAAGGAGGUUCAUCAUCAUCAAACCAUGAACUAAGAGUUUCAAUUACUGUUUCAAAAAUGCCUUUCUAAAAUUACGAUAAAUUUAAUAGCUAAUAGAAAUAUUUCAUUAUAUAAAUCAAAUUUCAAACUUGUAAGGAAAUAUGUAAAAAUAUUGGUUUUCAAAUAUUUUUCUAUAUAUUUUUUUUAAAUUUAAAAUUAGUGAUAGAGUCAGUCAACCAAUAAAUCAUCAAGAAUUAUCCAUUGCGUCCCUAAUUUGAUCAGCAUUCUUGAAAGCAUGGAAAUUUUCCAGUUUUUACAAGUCAAGCAUGGAGUGUACGUUUUUAUGUUAAAGAUGGUUGAGUGGUGAUCACGUUUUAUUUUGCAGCCUGCCUAACCAAUUUCAAAGCGUGUUUCACGGAUGACUUAUUUUUAUGAAUUGGAAGACUUUUCUCCUUAAAUAUAAAAAGUUCAAAUGAAUACUUUCAAUUAUUGUUUCAAAACUGUCUUUCUAAAAUUACGAUAAUUAUUUUCUAUUGAAUUGUAUACUUUGAUUUGCAUGGAAUUAUCGAAUAAUUAAUCUAUGCAAGCAUUGAAUUGUAAUGACUAACGAAGACUUAUAAGGCUUGGACCAAUGAGGAAAAAUGCUUCAUUAAUACUCCGUGGAAAACAAGCCAGCUUGGACCCAGUUGAUCGAGAUAGUCAACAGUUGAUUGAGAUAGUCAACUAAUAAAAUGAAAGUUAAUUGAGAUAAUUUAGCGUAAGUUUGGGUUUGAAAUAAUCAAAUAAUUUAUUCCAGUAUUCAGAAAAGUUGAAUUCCGUUAUUUUAUUGAGAAGAGAUCCGUCGCUCCCUCCCAAUCAUCACAGCAAUCAGACGACAUUCCUUCAUCAUCGUCAAAUCAUGAACUAACAGCUUCGUCAUCUCAGCUUCCAAACAAGCCUUGCAUCAGGGGUGGCUUUAGGUAUAGGCGAACAAGGCCGUCGCCUAAGGCCUUAUAUUUUAAGAAGGCUUCAUUUUUUAAGUAUUUCCUUAAUAAUUCUCUAAUUAAUGAAAUAUUUUUAAUACAUAUUUUAAGAAAUUAAAAAGUUUAUUAGAUAUCUCUCUAUUCUUAAUUAUUCUAUAAUUAAGAAUUAUUUUUUAUAAAAAAUCAAUAUUUAGCAACCUUAAUUUUAAAUAAAUAUAAUUAAUAAUAUUCUUUAACCAUUAGUUCAUUCCUUUUCAAUUAUUCAAUGUUAGCAUAUUUGACUUUUAAUAUUUCUUUUAAUUUCUAUUAAAAACCUCAUAAUCUCAAGAAUUAGUAAAUGAAAAAAAUUUAUGGUUGUCUUCCCUACAAAUAAAAUUAUUAUAUUCAUUGGUUCAUUUAAAAUAAUUAGUUUCUUAAAAUAUAAAGUCCAUUUUUAUUUUUGAACAUCAAUUCAUCAUUUUAAAAUUUUUAUAUUCUAUCAUUCUAAAUAUUCUAUUUGAAAAUAAAAUUGUUUUUAUUUAUUUGUUUGUUUGUUUUUUAACGGUUUUAAUGGAAUAAAAAAAUCUAUCUUCUUGACUAUUUUUUUGGUUUUAUUUUUUAAAUUUUUAUUUUUUUAUUAUUGUUGAAAUUUAAGAAUUAAAGAUGGAAUAAAUUUUGAUCCUUUGUAUAUGUAUUUGAGUAUUAAAAUUACAAAAUAAUAGAGGUCUUAUAAAAAAAUUUCGCCUAAGGCCCCUCAAACUCUAAAGCCGGCCCUGCCUUGCAUCCAUGGAUUUCAUCCAAAACAACAAUCCAAAGUAGUGAGGUUAAUGAGAACUUAAUGAAGGAAGUACUCUUCCAUUGCAAAACAACUUUUUAUUUGGCUAAAAUUAAAUGUGAAUUACAUAUCUUUGACUGGUGAUAUAUAUAUAUAUAUAUAUAUAUAUAUAUAUAUAUUCAGAGAUAUGAAAUACUCAAACCAAAAUAAUAAAAAUAUAAUUAUUAUAAAAAAAAUUGAUGAAUAAUAUAGUUCCAGGAAGUGCUAAAACCAUAAUGUACGCCAGUAUGAGUUUAUCCAAAGUCACCGGCUACACCAAUAUCAUUGUGACAUAGGAAGUGAUGAGGAAAUUUACGAAAGAUUUAUUAACUUGACUUGUGCACUAUAAGAUGUGCAACUGCGUGCCCUUUGAACAAAAUCAUUACUACCAAAGCGUUAGUAAUAAUAAUUAAUUAUGUAACUUUUUAAAAUAGUGUGUAUGCGUUUUUUUGCAAGCGGUGUUAUCUAAGAUGUUUCUUCUCGAGCAUAAUUGUAUCCAUUUAAUUUGAACAAAGAGUAGUGCUAUGAUUAGACAUUGUGAUACAAAGAGUGUUUAUGGCUAUGUCAUUUUUUUCCAUUGCUAUUGCUUUAAAUGCACUGACCUCAUCUUCCACGAUGGGACAGUUGAAAGCAUGUUUUCCAUUUGCUACUUCUUCGACUGCACUAGCACCAUCCUUUAGUAAAUAGUAUUUGUCAUUUUGGUAUAAUUUUCCGCUGCGUUUGAACUUAUAACAAUUAAUAAUUCAUCCUUUAGCUUAUAACAAUUAAUAAACCCAUGAUGUCUUAAAUCUUUUAACAUAUAUAUGCAUUAGCUAUUAAUUUUGUUGAAAUUCGCUGCCUUAGGCAGGCAUAAUUUGUCAUGAAAUCAAUGAUCAGAGACUUUCUGCAAUUUCAUUGACUUGAUAAGUCUAUGUGCAGUUCCAGUUUUGGUAGUUCUUAAAAAGGAUGGAACAUGGAGGAUGUGUGUUGACGUCAACCAAUAGUCAAGCUUAUGAACACAAUCAAGCAAUCGAAUCAUCAAUCAAAGCCACAUUCAAUGCAGGACUAGUAAAUAUCAUAAUUGAGUUUGAGGACCACAGCCGCACAGUGAAAGAAUUUGAAUGAAGGAACAGUAGAGGAAAAUGAAAACGAAAAGAGGGGAAUGCUAAAGAAAAAUAAGCUGAGUCAUUAGUAACUCAAUAUGACAAUUGCACACAACUUUUGGAUGUUUUUAGCCUCCUAAAUUUCAACAUUAAUGAUAAAUUACAGAUAUGUGGAGCAAAACUUAGAAACCAACUUUUGUUCACAGAGAAAAUGUUAAAAAAAUAAAUAAAAAUAAAAGAGUGCAACUAACUUUGGUGCACAUAAGUAUGAUUGUAUGAAGUGAGCCCCAAAUAUAUAUUCAUCAGUAUACCCCACCUGUAAUAAUAUCCUUGUCUAGCUUUUUUUUGGUUAUUUUUUCACAAAUAGGAAAAUUUCAUUGCUAUAGAGAAGAUAAAAUAGAGGAUGCCCUAAAAUGAACAUUAAAUAAAGCCUUCGACAUUAAGGUGAAACGUAUUUUCCGGUACACCGAUUGUAUGCACUGCACUGAAAUUCUAUAUUGAUCAAAGUGGCUUUUCAUUAUAAUGCUCUAUCAAAAGGGCUUCUAAUUCUUGUUUUCCCAUGCCAAAGACAAAAGCAAAUUAGAAGAAUUGGAAAGCAGCAAUAGAAUAUAUUUUAUCACUAAAAUAUUUUUCUUUCUUUAUUUUUUUUGUGAAAAAAUCAAACCCUUAUAGUUAGAUUUUUCUAAAGGAUUCUUCUCCUCUUGGCAUGCCAAUUUUGUUUUUAUCGUAUAAUUUGUGUUAUAAUUCUUUGGCUUGUGAAUCAAAAUAAUUAACAGAGACUGUCCCGCGUGUCACAUGCAACUAACUUUGGUGCCAUCUUGAGCUAAUUCUGUUAAGGCCUUCACUCCAUGGUCUUAAGAACACUAUGCACAAUAAAUUCCUCAGAUUCAUAUGGCAAAUGAAUUGCACAACAAGGCAUAAACCCCGCUUGAAAGCAACCAGUUAAUACAUAAAAAGUUCAAUUACUCAUAAAAGAAAGAUACAGUAAACAAUACUCCUUUUUAUAUCUUGGUGGUUUCUUGGUAGUGUUCAAAUAUCAGUACUCGAAGAAAAAUAGAGGAAAGCCAAAGAAAAGUAAUCUAAUUCAUCAUUAACAUAAUAUGACAAUUGCACGCAACUCUUGGAUGUUUUUAGCCACCGAAAUUUUUAACAUUAAUGAUAAAUUACAAACAUGUAAAUGAAAAUUUAGAAACAAAUUUUUGUUUACCGGAAAAAUGUAACUGUGAAAGAGAGUAAAAGAGAGCAGAGAAACUAAAAACAGAGGAUUCCAUUCGUCAUUUCAUAACUGAUAUUCCUAGUGCAAAUGCGCAAGCUUGAACAUUCAAAAUACAUCAUUCUAAAUCAAAUAUAUAUCACCAACAGACACAUUUACAUGAAUUAUUCAGGCCUUCACUCUGGUCUUAAGACCUCAUGUACGAGAAAUUUGUCAGAUUCAUGUAGCAAAUGAAUUGCACAACAAGGCAUAAAAAUUAGUAUAUUUUUCAAGAAUCCGGCUUGAAAGCAACGAACUAAAAACUAAUGCAUAAAAGUUCAAUUACACAUAAAAGAAGGAUAACGGUAAACUAUGGCCUAGCAAGAUCAUGGAUGAAUUAUAUAAAUUUCACAAGCCAAUAUAAACAACAACCAGUACAUGCAUCAAUGAAAGAAAACCAUGGCCAGCGCCAAUACGAGUUCAACCAAAGGAUUCGUCUUAGUUGCAGAUUCAUCUUCGUCUUCUCCUGGAUUGGAUGUUAUUGCUGGAUUUUCCUCUGUUCUGGUGCAACUCUUAUUAAUUGUUGGACCACAAAGAGUGAGAUUAUAACUCUUUUCAUCAAACCUGCCAAAUUGUCUUUUGUCUGGGAUCAGACCAGAUAAGUUCUUGUAUGACUCGUUAUAGUUGGAUAAAUAGUUGAUUAGUGAUCUGAAGAUCACUGAUCAGAAAUUUUGUCAUUUAUGUUUGGUAAAUUAUUCAUAAAAGUAUGGUCUACUCUGAAAUUACAAAAAUAAGCAUAAUAAAUUUGAAUAAUGGAAAGGAAAAUGAGAAGGAAAACAGAGGAAGGCUAAAGAAAAAUAAGCUGAUUCAUCAGUAACUCAAUAUGACGAUUGCACACAACUUUUGGAUUUUUUUAGCCUCUGAAAUUUCAACAUGAAUGAUACAUUACAAAUAUGUGAAGCAAAACUUAGAAACCAAUUUUUGCUUAUAGAGAAAAUGUUAAAAAAAAAAUAAUGAUAAGAGAGUGCAGAGAAACUAAAAACAGAGGAUUUCAUUAUAACUGAUAUUCCCAGAGCAAGGCUGAACAUAAUUCUUGGGUGUGUGAAUCAAGAUCAUUAACAAAGAGAUCACGCAUGUCACAUGUAACUAACUUUGGCGUGAUGUAGGAUGGUUGCGUAGGAUGAGUAGGGUGUCUUCCAAAGGUCAUAACUUGGGUUACAGGUAUAACUAACAACGACGGUGCUCAAAUUUGGUUAUCGUCGAUGUUUGCGGAUUAAUGUUUGUGGCUCCUCCUAUAUCAAGGAAAUGUCAUAAUUACUUUCCAAACAUAAGAAAUACAACUAAUUUUAUGUGAUAUGAUUCACAAUAAAUAUUUAUCCCGUAGCUUAUAACUCUAGAAUCCAUUAUUUUUAAAUAAAAAUUACCCUAAUACUCUCAAAACCAUCAAUUACACCUUAUGCUCAAAAUUCCAUACUCCAGCUCAAUAAUUAAAUUUCCAUAUCCUAUAAUACUAAUAAAUCAUCCACAUUAUCACCAAUCUCAUUAUUAACCAUGAACUACCCAAACAUAAUAUAUAACAAUAAGCUAUUUACAUACCGAAUGGAGGAAAUAGUGAGGGCUACACAUUUUGGCUCUAAUGCCUUGGUGCCAUUGUGCACCUAAAAUGAUCCACCAAUUACUAAAAUUAGCUUGGGACUGACUACACCCAUUUGUUGGGAACCCUAACUAUAAUCAAAGUAUACUAAUCUUUAAAUUAAUUUUAUUUUCAUGUAAAUGCAAUUUCAGGUAAAGAUAAAAUGAUAGAAAUCUUACUCCAUUUGGUGAGAAAUUCAACUUGACAGCUUGAAUCACUUCCCUCUCACUCAAAUCCUUCCUCCACACUUCCUACAUUUAAAUUCCUCUCCAAUGAAUUUCCAAAUGAACUUAGGGAUAAAAAUACCCUAGAAUGACUCUCGAAUCCAAGUUAUGAAAGACCAAACUCAAUUUUGGAAAAAUCCUAAAUCAUGAAAAUUUUCCCAUUGUCUUCCUCUCAUGCCCGUGAGCUUUUGCAAAGCAAUGGUAAGUGCUUUCUGUUUUAAUUCGCUUUAUAUAUAAAACUUAUUUUAUUUUUUUGUUUAUGGGGUUUUGAAAUAUUACUUUAGGCCCAAUUAAAGAAAAUCUAUUUACCCAAUUAAAGAAAAUUAAUUUAUAUACAUUCAUAUUCAUAAGUUAUUAUUAAAAACUUGUAUAUACAAGUCAGGGCAGUACACAAAUUUACUGAAUACAGAGUAAAGUUGUACUUUAAUUGGUGAACUCUGAAGGCACCAACUAUAACAUCCAUUUCUAGCAUAUAUAUAUAUAUAUAUGUAUAAUAGAAAUCUAACAUGCUUAUACAGAUCACAUACAGGAUUCAAAAUUUAGAAGAUUCUGAACUAUUUAAGGCCAGAGAUUGGGCCAGCUUGUUUAGUUAGUAGGCAACGAUGGAGGGUUGCUUGGUAAAGCUGCUACAUCUUUAGAAAUUCAGAGAUGACGGGCAGCAAAGAGUGAUAAUUUUUGUUUUCCCCAAUCACCUUGAACAGAGUGAGAAGAAACCAUUAUUUCGAUAUGUGCGGUUCUUCCAUCAUAUUGUUAUUUAAUGGUUGUUGUUAUUGAUUCUAGAAAAACAUUUUUCGAUUUGGCAAAUGGAGUUUUUCCAUCUUCAAAAGAAGAGUCCCAGGUUCCAAACUUUACUGCCAUGGCUUCCAAGUCGCUGUUCUACAAAGAAAUAUCUGUGGCACCACGAGAUCCCGUUGAUAUUACAAUCAACAUAGUAUUUGGGAAAAUUGCUCCUUCGGAUUGUAGCAUUUCGAGUCUCAGAUUCUUUCAAUCAACACAAGCACGUUCGAGAUACAACAUGAAGUUGUUAAAUUUAUAUUUGCAACCAACAGAAACUGCAGAAGAAACAAUAAGUCUAAUUUUAACGAAACCACUUGAAGGAACUUCGAAACUUGAGCAUAGUUUUAGAACCAAAUUAAGAAUUUUAGCAAACACAUACCUGAUACAUAGCAGUUUGCAGAAAAGCUAACGGAAUACGUAACACAGCAUGACAAGUUAUACUCAGCAGACCCGUAGGAACUUACUACAAUGGCCUAGCGUAAUCACCGAUAGAAUGCAUAUUUGAAGAGCCAAUAGUAGCAUGUGUCAAUACAUUCAUCAAUGAAAUAGAACCACCGUCUACGCCAAUAGGAGUUUAUCCAAAGGACUGCAAACAAACCCAAAAUAACUGUCACAAAGGACGCACCAAAACUCCAUUUUAAUGCCACCAUAUCAAUCAUCGAAUCGUCUUCUUCUUCUCCUGCUUCUUCUGUUGGUGUUGCUGGUGGUUUUAAUGCACUGCUGCAUUUCUUCCUUAUCAAGGAACCACAAAGCUCAUGGUUUCCUGUAUAACUGCUCUCAUCAAAUGUGGCAAACUGCUCUUUGUCUGGGGUUGGACCCGACAAGUUGUUGUAUGACACAUUGAAGUUGGAUAAAAAGUUGAGCCCAGUGAGUUGAGGAGGAAUAUGACCACUUAAUCUGUUGUGGGAAAGGUCUAGGCUCUCUGUCAUUUUUAGAUUGGAGAAGCUCUCUGGUAUAGCACCUGAUAAAAAAUUAUUAGACAGAUUCAGUGCACGAAUAUUUUGAAGUUGCCCAAUUUCGCGGGGAAUUUCUCCGCUCAACUCAUUGCUUGACAAAUCCAGUCCAGCCAUGUACUUUAAGUUUGCUGCCGAUGAAAAAUUCAUAUCUAUUCUUUGUCACAAAUUCUGCUUCUACUCUUUGAUUUAUUGAGGCAUGUGGUUCAAUGGGCGGUUGUAGAUCAAGAGUAGAAUUGUAGUAAGUAGUAACAAUAGAAUCGAUGUAGAAACCUUGAUACGCUGUGUAUUCAUCAGGCAAACCAUAGUCAUACAAAUAAUAAUUAGUUCAUUCUCUCCAGAAUGACACGUUACCCAAGCAUGAAGGUAUUGACCCACUAAAUGUGUUAUUUGAAAGAUCCAUGAUACGUAAUUUUGCUCACUGGCACAAUUCAUUAGGAAUAUGUCCUUGUAGAGAAUUCCCUCUUAAAAGAAGAACAUGCAAAUUCGAAAGCUCAUUGAUCUGAUAAGGAAUCCUACCAAAGAAUUUAUUAUCCCUCAAAUCUAGAGUGAUUAAUUUAGAGCUUCUAAACAAUGCAUUGGGAAUUUACCCAGUAAUAGCAUUCUUCUGCAAAUAAAGGUGUUUCACUGAUGAAAGAUUGAAGGAAGAUACCAAGGACCCAGACAAACUAUUUUCAAAGAUGUCUAUAAGCUCAAGACUUUUAAGUUGGCUAAGUUGGACUAGAAUAUUAGCUUCCAAAUAAUUUUUUGACAUUAAAAGAACCCUAAGAGUUGAGAUGUUACCAAUCCAAUUAGGAAUAUUACCGGAUAACAUGUUGUCAGAUAUAUCUAACCCCUCUAAUGAAGUGGAGCUCCUCAAACCAUCAUCCAUCUUCCCACUGAAAUGAUUGUUGUCCAAAUAUAACCAAUGCAAAUGGGUCAAGUUCAUAUAUUUGGGAAAAAUUUGGCCAAAGAAAUUGUUAUUUGAUAGGUCUAACAAAUCUAGAGCGACGCAACCAGAGACUAUAGGUCGGGGUAAUUCUCCUGAAAAAUUAUUUCUAGACAAAUCCUGCAUAUAUAACUCUUUCAUCUCACCUAUUGAAUAAGGAAUAUCACCUUCAAAAAUAUUUUUUGGCAUAUCCAAAUAAAUCAAUUUCUGAAGGACAAUACCCAUAUUCCGUGGUAGCUUACCAGCGAAAUUGUUAUUGGAACUAUCUAGAUGACGAAGCAUAUCGUGUUUGGCAUUGGGAAGUAGAUGAAGAAUUCCUGAGAGUGAGUUGUUCGCCAAAGACAAAUAUUUUUAUCUUUUGUUGUUUUGGAACAACCAAAUUGGGAAAUUGCCAACCACCUUAUUAUUAGAGAGGUCAAGGAAUAUUAAGUGGUAAUGUUGUAAAAGAAAACUAGGAAUGACAUGUAAGUGGCAGUCGGAUAAUUUGAGAACCUUCAAUUGAGAUGUGGGGUGCCAGGUUUCAGUUUUCACUUGUAACAUAUUGCUUCCUGAUGAGAUUAACAAGACCUCGAGCUUCGAAUGAUUAGCCAAUGAAUUUAUUGAGAUUGUUCCUUGGAAAUUAAUGGAAAAGCGAUCUAAAUAUUCAAGUGAUGUGAGAUUAGUCAAGGUAGAAGGAACUUUUCCACUUAAUUGAUUAUUAGAAAUAUCAAGAACUUUGAGAUGCGUUAAGUUGUUGAGACACUGAGGAAUGUGACCCUCAAAGUUAUUUGAGCUUAGAUCCAACUCAAAAAGAUUCUUCAAAUUACAUAUUCCUAAACUUGAAAAUAAAAGAUUAAAAUUUUAUAGAAUGAAAACUAAUUAUAGCGAAUUCGGUCAAAAUCCAAUACAAGACUUAAAAAACAGAUAAAAAUCAAAUUUCCUAAUUAUUUUGGUCAGCGGUUUUAUUCCAUUAAAAUAAAUGAAUUAAAACCAUGUUAAUUGUUUUACGAGUUAAUAAUUUUAUAUUAAUUUAUUUAUUUUACCUUCUAUUUAUUAGUCUUAUGAAUAAUUUAUAAGAUUUAACAAUUGUAUUAUAAGUAAUAUUUAAAAAAAAAUACUAUUAGCAUUUAUUAUUUAAUAAAUCUAUUUAGAUAAUUUAAAAUUUUGUUAUUGAUGUCAGAGUUUGGGUCAAUGGUCAACAAUUAAUAGUUACUACGAAUUUUUUUUUCCCUCCCUUUCUAAUUGAUAGAUUUCAUGUGUUCCGAAAACGAAGUUUAGAGAAAAAGAAAAGGAAAAGGAAAAGGAAAAGGAAAAAAAAAAUGACUGCGAGGCCACUUUCCCAGGGUCUUGGUUGCAAUGCGCGCAUGUACACAGGCUGAAGCCAGCAAGAUGGUAUCAAACAUAUAUACCUUGCUUGAUUCUGGAACCUUCAAUGUUAUUGGAACGAAGAUUCAGAGUGGUAAGUGAAGUUAGUGUAUUCAAAUAUGGUAAUAUGUUGUCGUUGAGGAAAUCACCACCAAGAUUUAAGAACUUCAGCUGUUUCAAACUCCCCAAGCUGUCGUAAGCUGCAAAUGCAUAUGAAUUAUUAUCAUUAAUUAGUCACUGACAAAAUAAUUACGAAUGAGUAAUAUAUACAUAUGCUUGUACCUUUAUUCUCAUAGAAGCCUUUAAACCAAUUAUCAGAUAAGUCAAGGCACUGCAAUUCUUCGAAAGGGUGAAACAAUGACAUAUUCAGAAGAGAAACUUCAUAAGAAUAAAAGAGUUAUAAUCAGAGCAGUUGAUUUUUGUUUUCUGAUUGAGUGAGAGUUGCGUCACCCGUCGGGUGGUGGCGUUGCACUUAAUUCUCUCCCAAUCGUUACAACAAUCAGACGACAUUCCAUCAUCAUCAAAUCAUGAAGAAAGAACUUCGUCAUCAUAUCCAACAUCACUGGCUGAUGCGAAGAAGCUCUUGAUUUCCAACAGAGCAAUCAUCUCUGUUUCCAAGCAUGCUUUGUAUCCAUGUAACUGAAUCAAAGCUAUGCCAAUCUACAAUGACAACUUCAUCAAAAGCAUUUUCAUUAUUAAUAUUAACUGCGAGAGAAACACUCACAAGAUUGACCAGUCAAUUGUUGCUCUCUUGAAUUUUUUCUGGUUCUCUAGCAAAUAUAUGACUUAUAUAUACAAUGGCAGUUUUGUGCAGAAUGAAAAUUUUGCGCAUUUUCACGUGCCUGUCAAUGAGAAAGCAUGCAUUGAUUGAAAAAAGUAAGUGAGAGAAUGUUACCUGUUGAUACAUGUUAUCUGCUUGUGACGUUAGUACCGUCCAAAGAAAUUGAAAUGUGAAAUAAUUGAAGAUGCAAAAUGGUUGAUUUCACGGGCCUGGCCUUUGGCAAAGUGAAAUGUUAGCCACACACUUUACCAGUCAGUCAAGUGUCAACAUUUGUAGCAUAAGGAAAUUGCGGCAUCUUAGCUGGAUUUUGAGGGUCGCUAUUUCGUAUAUCAGUCCCAUUUGUUAGUGGGGACUCACAUUCUGUCCUAUAGUGGGCUCACAAAUAUUUAACAUAAUUUUGAUAAUUACUUAAACCGCGUUUCCUUGAUAAUUAAAGAAAAAGAGAAGUGAAUGAAGUAAAAGAUACUGAUGACCGUAAUUAUGCAAAUAAAUACAAGACUUUACAGUAGAUUAGACCACCAAUUGUGCUUUUUCGUCCCAUAAUAAUGCAUCUGCUUUAACAAGAUACGAGUGAACUUAGGCUUAUCUUUCUUUCGCAAUGUAAAUUCUUGCCAAAAAAUACAUGUUAUCUACUGGUGAAUUAGUUUGAUAAAAUAAAGGCUUAAAGUUUAGUUGAGUAAAAUGUUGGCGUAAAGAAAUUAGCUACUGGAAAAUCACCAAGUGCUUGUUAAGGUAAUAUACAAUUUCAAUUGAACAUCAAGUGAUGGAAACAUCAAAAACCCCAUAAAAAAUUAAACAAAACCAGUUGCAAUGCAAAUAAACAAGUUUUCAGUUGAGAUGGCAGAACUAAUUCCUUCACAAUCAAGUGUGAUUUCUCAAUUUGUUCUAUUUGCCCAAAAAGACAUGGUCAAGUAUUUGAAAGCAUUUUUAUUUAGUUGACUAUUCGAGUUUGAAUUUGGAAUAAGAGGUUAAAAAAUAAUUUUUGUCUUUACUCACCUCUUCCUUUAGAAAAAGAAAAAUUUUAAUUUUUGAUCAAGCUCACUUAAAUGCAUCAUGUGCAAAUCACGUGACAUCUUGAGUUACCAUGUAAUUUGGCUUUAUAAGUGUUUUCUGUUUCUGAAAACGAAAAAUAAUAAAAUGGAAAUGCCUUUAGCUAUUGGCUAGACAUUUUCAGAAACGUUUUUCGUGAACAGAAAAAGUUUUUGUAAAGAGGCAUUGAGCGAUCAGGCUCUUGUCGUGGCCUGCGGCCUGCAGUCCUCAACAAUCCUCAUUUGGCCUCUUUAUAAUCCAUUUUUAAUAAAGUAUAGAUAAAAAUAGAUAUAUUACCGGUUUUCAAAUUACACUUAAUAUUAUUAAAUCUUUAGACGGAGCUUUAAAUCUAUAAAUUCAAACUUCCAACAUAUCAUAAAUUAUUUUUAGAGCCCGCAUGUUGGAUUGUCUCAUUUAAGUUUCACUUUGAUUUCUAGCACAUCAUUCAAAUGAGUUGCUUUAGUAUAUCUAGCUAGUUUUGAACAAAGCAAGUGAGAAUAUUACAUCUGCUUUAGCAAGAAACGAGUGAAUGAAAACAUUUGACCAGAUUCAAGAGAGAAAAGAAUGUUGAAAUAUUGACUUGAAUAUUAUGGUAAAAUGAGUUUGACUUUAGUACCGACCAAAGAAAUAAUUGAAGAUGCAAAUUGGUUAGUUUGACGUGCAUGGCUAUUGGCAAAGUGAAAUGUUAGCUUCGCACUUCACUUGUGAAUGUACAACAACAUUUGCUGCAUAAGGAAAUUGCGGCGUCUCAGCCGCAUUGUGAGAGUUGUUUUCAAAUCCCAUUUCUUUUCUUUGUAUUUGUUCAUUGCCACGACCUUUUUUUUUUCCGCAGCUCACGUGAUCACCAUAAUUUUGAUAGCUACUCAAACGCGUUUCUGCAAUAACUAACGAAAGGAAAAGUGAACGAAUAAGUAAAAGGUACUGAUGACCGUAAUCAGGUAAAUGAAUACAAGGCUUUACAAUAGAUUAGACCACCAAAUCACGACCAUAACGAAUAAACAAUUUGUGCCUUUUGAAUACAUCUGCUUUCACAAUGUAAACUUGCCAAAAUACAUGUAAUCUGCUAGUGAAAUAAGUUUAUAAAACAAAGGCUUAAAGUUAAAAGCUGACUAAAAUAUUGGCGUCAAGAACGCUACGGGGAAAAUUCAACUGUGAGCUGCAGUCUGCAGUCCUCAACAAUCCGGGAAAAGGCUGAGGAGGCGCGCGCCUGCACACUAAUUGGGCAGGUCUGAUGGGAUUUAUAAAUUAAAAUAAUGUAAUUUUAUAUUUUUUAAAUGAAAAAUUUGUUGUUGCCGUUGUGAGAUCCAUUGGAUCCUCGCGUGCCUGCCCCACAAAAGUUUCUCCCUAACAAUCUCCAUCAAACCUCUUUACAAUCCAUUUUUGAUAAAAUAUGAAUAAGGAUACAUAUAUUUAUCCAAAUAUUAGUAAAAAAUAGAUAUAAUGCUGAUUUUUAAAUUAUACUUUAUGAACAUUUAGACCGAGCUGUAAAUCUAUGAAUUCUAACUUCCACAAAUUAUUUUUUAGCCGUAUGUUGGAUUGUCUCCUUUAAGGCUGUGUUUACUAAACCGGAAUGGGAAUCGAAAUGGAGAAAUUAGAAUGAAUAACUUGUUUACUUGUUAAAUUGAUGCUAGGAAUGGGAAUAAGGUGAGUGGGCUCCAAGGUCUUGAAGAGGAAAGAUCACUAUGGCUCCAAGGUCUGGAAGAGGCAAGUCCAAUAAAGCCAAGGCUGACAAGGAGAAGAAAGAAGAGAAAGGUUUGAAUUGUUAAUCCUUUUUAUUCACUUCUUUCAUUGGAAAGUGCUUUCUGUAAAGUGCUUCCGCUUUCUAGCUUCCUUAUGUUCAUUGAUUCUUUUGUUGUGCAGUAGUACCCAGUGUUCUUGAUAUCACAAUCAUCACCCCAUAUGAAUCACAAGUUGUUCUCAAGGUAUACAUUUAUAAUUAUUAUUAAUACUGUCUUGUUUUGCCCUCACCAGCCAAGAUUAGCAUAUUGUUUUUUAAAACUUUAUAAAUAUAAAUGAAUUAUUAAUUAAUCAUCUUUUUUUUUGUUUGAUUGAAAUUUGCUCAAAGGGCAUCUCACCACCAGCCCCAUUGUCUUUGCAAUCUACCUUCACGACGCAUGACACCACUGCCCGACACACAUUUGCGACGCUCCACCAUCACUGUGAGUGGCUUUAAAAGAAGGAAAAAAAAUAAAGAAACGAGAGUGAGAGCAGAGCAUAAUAGAAUUGUCAAGCUCUUUGUUAGAAUCAUCACAAAAUUUAUAUUGGAUCGGAGCUAUUCUAUGUGAUGCAUUUGGAUUUGCUAUAUGCUAGACAGGCAACAACAUGUAAAAGCUUUUUGUCCCCAUUUUAGAUUUACUAUCUAGUAUCUUAUAGGCUUAAUCUAAAUAGAAACCAUGCAGGAUACCGGACACAAUUCUAAUGUUAGACUUUAUUUUUCAACUUUCUUUUAGCGAUAUGUCAAGACCCCAAGUUUAUGUCAUGAUAAUUGUGUGAUUGAUAAGAUAUUUUGUGUUUUGGACUUUAUCUCAUGGAUUUAGAGUUCGAUUAUGUUUGUAAUCGGAAUAAUGCAUUCAUUUACAUAUGAUGUUUGAUGAAAUUGCCAUAAGAUUAAUUCAAUUAUAUAUGUUUUUUAUGCUGAAUUAAUAUUAAUACAAUUAUGUAUGUCUAUGGUGCUGAAAAAGUAGAGCAGAAAAUUUAUCAAUGGGUUGGUUUCACUAGUUCAAGAAAGUAAAGCAAAGAAAUUGUCUUUAUACACUUAACCCUUCCUCUAUUUAAAAUAAAAAAAAUUAUUGAAGUUUUUGGAAGUGAUUUGUUCAUUUUGUUUGUGCACUUAUGUAGAUGGGAUUUACUUUUGAUUGCUUAACCCUUCCUCACUUAUGUCUUUUUAGUUCAAGUUGCAGUAUUUUGCUGCUGUGCAACAACAGAAGAGGCUGUUUUAUUGUUGUUUAUGCAGAAACACAGCACCUGGAAGCAUCCAGGUGCUGUUUAGCUGCUGUUAUGCAGCAAAAGCAGCACUUGAAAGUUUCCAGGUGCUAUUUUUACUGCUGUUCACGCAGAAACGCAGCACCUAGAAGUGUUCAGGUGCUGUUCAGCUGCUGUUAUGCAGCAAAAACAGCACCUGAAAACUUCCAAGUGCUGUUUUUACUGUUGUUUAUGAAGAAACAAAGCACCUGGAAGUAUCCAAGGUGUGCUUUACUGCUGUUUUGUAAUUAAAAUUGCACUUAGAAAUUUUGGGUGCUAUUUCGCUGAAAUUUUGCUACUAACAGUGCAGCUGAAUAAUUUCGGGUGUUGUUUAGUUGUUGUUUUGGACCUUCUUUAGUUCUUUUCUCUUAUGUCUAUACUUAAUCUCCCCACCCUCCUCCCCCCCCCCCCCCCCCCCCGCGGCGCGGGUAAUAAGCAAGUACAACUUUUGCAAGGUAAUAUCCAAGCAUGCCAUUAAUUAAUUCUUUGGUUAAUCAUAGUAUUCUAUACAUUAGGUCUCAUUUUUUUUUUUUAUUUCCAAGUGUAUAAUGGAUAUGUAGUGGAUGUCUUAUGGAUGGUGUAGUCAAUGUUUUUUUUAUUGUCUCUAUUUUGUCAAAUAUUGUUGGUUCAUUUAUUAUCUAAACACAUGGUUGAUAAACUUACUUAGGUAAGUCUAAUUAAUAGCAAUUUGGUACUUUAAAGUCUUGUUUUACAACUUAAGUCACUAAAAUGAUUUAAUAUUUACGAUUUAUAAUAUAUGAAUAUAUCUUAAUUUCUCUUUAUUCUUUGUAAGAAUGACGUAGAUUGCUGACGCUGGUGAGACUUGUUUGCAAUUGAAGACUUGACGAGAAAUUAGAUGUACUCACGCAUGCCAAUCUCUUUGGUUGCUAGUGCAGUCAUUAGUAGAUAUUAAGUAGUUGUGAGAAUUUUUGUAGAGCUAUCUCUUUGUAUAUGAAACAUUUGCAUCUUUUUUGUUUGUGGAAAAAUAAUUGUAAAGAAUUUAAUAUGAAAUUAGAAUUAAAAUGAGGCUUGAAAUAGUCUUAAAUUUGCCAUAUUUAUUUUUUAAUAAUAAAUAACAAUGAUGACGGUUAUUUGAAAAGAACCGUCAUCAAAUAUAGUGUUUAGAAACAAAGAUGACCGUUUUUUUUUUAAACCAUCAUAAAAUGUUGUUCAAUAUUUAAUAACGGUUCUUAUAUAUAUAUAUAUAUAAUGACGGUUCUUACAAUAAACCGUCAUUAAAAUGGCACAUUUAAUGAUUGUUAUAUAAAAAAACAGUCAUCAAAACAUAUAUAAUUACUAUAAAAAGUGACUAUUUUAAAAAAUAACCGUCAUUAAAAAUAUAUAUUUAAUGACAAUUAGUGAACCGUCAUAAAAAACAUACCCUCUUUAAUGUUGGUGCCUAAGAUGACCGUCAUAAAAGAUUAAUUUUGUAGUAGUGAAGCAAGGAAAACACAAGGAAUAACAAUAUUGUUAUUCCUCAGUCACUGGGGCGCCAACAACAUCAUGUACACCUAAAACCAGAAUAGAUUUAACAGCUUAAAAGGCAGAAUGUUCAACACCUUCAUAGUCAUUUCCAAUGGCAAGGGAAAGGCUUGCAACAUUAUCAAAACUUAAAUUUCUUGGAUACAUUCUUUUUAGCGAAAUAACAUAUGAAAGCAAAACUAUAUCUAAUUUUUUCUAUUCACCUAAGAAUUAAUUAUAUCUACAAAAAAGUCAUAAUAACACAUCUUUAAAAAUAUUUCACAAUAUGAUUACAGAAGUGUUUGUUAUGCCCCUGAAGGAUCCGCCUUGCGCGCAAUCGUGAUUUCACGCACCUCUUUUUUUUUUUCAUAUCCAAUCAUUAGAUUCAACGCGGGAGUUGUAAAAGGUGUUAUAGCUGCAUGAAGAUAAUCACUACUAACGUUGUAGCCCUUCCUAUUUUAUGAAAUUAUAAGGAAAUGUUAGGUUUUAAAAUUUUAACACAUAAGCCCUAUCUAUUAUUUUAUGGGUCAACACUAUUUUAUGAAAUGAACAUAUUUAAAUAUUAAUACUAUAGAUGGAUUACUUUAACUUAUUAAAAUACUCUACACACCCAUUUACUUCAAAUACGAAAUUGGAUUACAAUAUUCUUAUCUUUUGUUUACUUUAACACAGGAUUGGACAAGGUCUUACAUACGUUUUGGCAAUUUAAAGUGAAUAUAUAUUAAAUAAAUGCUUUGAUAGCAAUUUACGUGUCGCUAUACAAUCUAUGUUUAGUACAUUCAAAAUAAAUAAUUUCUAUAUGUAAAUUUGAAUUUAUUUCAAAUUACUUAUACCUAGUGUCAUUUAUGAGUCCAACAUUUUUUUUAGAAAAUUAUUAUCCCAAUUAUUCAUUUAAUGUGAAAACAAAUAAAUUGUGUAAUAUUUAUGCUAUUAUUUAAUUUUAAGCUUGUCAACAAUGAACAAUACUGUAAAAUAAUAUAUUAUGGGAGAAUGUCCUAUCAAAAAAUUAUUUUAUCAAAUAACUUACUUUUACGGCUUCUAACAUAACCAUAUCUUCUGUUGUUAACAUAAAAUUACAUUCGACCAUAUUGCUUUUACUUCUCUCUAACAUUUUCACAAGUAUCCUUACUUCACUAGUUUGAGAAAUGUUCUAAGCUUAUUUAGCGACUUGCAUGCUAGAAGUCGUCUAAGUGUCGCAUGAGUUUACUGCGCAAAACACUCAUCCCGUGACAGACUGCUAAUAAAAAUAGAUAGGAUAGGGUGUUUGGUUCAACAAGCCCAAGAUAGUUUUCUCUUUAUUUUUUUUCCUCUUUUAACUUAUCCUUCACCUCAAUUUAGAUUGUCAUUCUUGGUUGAUCAUAAUUUAUUUAUUUUAUUAUUAUUAUUAUUACUACUACUACUACUACUACUACAUGGUAUUUAAUUGUUCUUCACAUUUUUUUUAUAUGGUUUUCAUUUACUUAACUCACACUCCUAUUUUCCACAAAAAAGAAUUAUAGGGCAACUUAACUGUAAAUUCAAGCAAGGCUAGUUUCGGGAUUAAAAUUGAUAUUUCGCCCUUUUUUCCCACUAAGGGUAUGUUUGGCGGGCGGGUCUACAAGGGUCUGUCUUGUAAGAUAAAUUAAGACUCGUGUUUGGUUGCAAAAAACAAUUGCCUGGCUUGAAAAGAUUGUGCGGCAAUUGAGGUGUAAAAAAGACCCGCCUCCCCCUGCGUGUCUAAAUUGUACAUCUCUUUUUCUAUUUUAACUAUUAUUUAUAUUAGUUAUUAAAUUCAAUACAAAUCAAAUAUAAUAUUUCUUUAACAUAUUAAUUUAUGUUUAAUUGAUGAAUAAGAAAAGAUGCUGAAAUUUACUGCAGAUAAUUAUAUUUUUAUUAAUAAAUCUAAAUAAUAUAUUAACUUAAUAUUAAAAUAUUUAUUAAAUUCAUAUAAUAGUUAUUUAAAAACUAAAUAAAUAAUAGCUAUUUAUUAUUAUUUAAUAAUUUUAAAUAAUAAAAAUAUAUAUAAUAUAUUCCAUACUCUACCAAACAUGGUACUGUAUCAUUUAAUACAUUCCAAUACAAUAUAUUUUAUUACAAUUCAAUACAGUCCAAUACAGUGCGGCACACCAAACGCACCCUAAGUGCGGAAUGCAUUACCUGAUCACUUAAAUCCACUUCCAAAUAUUUUCAUCACUAUUUUCGAAAAUUUCAAAUCAAACCCCAACCCGUACUCGCACGCUUCCAGCGACUUGUUUACAACCAUUGCUUGGAUGCGUUACUUGUUAAAUAACUUCCAACCCAUUACAUGUGUUAUUUUGUCAAAAAGUUGAUUCCCUGCAGCUUACCGGCCCAUUGCCUUUUUGUCAGGUUAUUCCCUAACGUCUAUGUGUCUCUUCUGCAGCCGUGAGAUGAAAUCCAACGGUGACUGUGCUACAAAACAAACGACUGGGGUAACAAACCCAUGACGCAAUAUAGCUGCCCCCGAAUAAUGAUAUUAAAGAGUAGAUACUUUGUUUUUCCACCUUAUUUUUAUCUGUUUAUUUCUUUAUGAUAUUAAUGCAUUAUUAAUUUUUUUUUUUUUGGAUCAGGUCAGGGGGCAGAAACUGAAUGAUAGAGUAGAGGUUGUUACUCUGAAGUCAUGUUUGCUCAGAUGGUUGAAGGUAGGUGAAGCUCUCUCAUGUCCAAUUUUCUAAAUAAAAAAAAUCUCAUACAUGUGGACGUGGGUCUUAUUUUAUUUGUUAUUUUGUAAGUAACUUAUAACCGUUUCACAUAAAUAGUGAAUAGACCCACAUCACUCACUAUUCAUAUAAGAGAAUUGUAAAUUAUAUGCAUGUAACUUAACAUUAAUCUAUUUUUAAUUAUUAACAUUUAAAGCUUUUUGGUUGUGCAUUCAUUGCCAUACUAUUUCAGUAAACUAUAUUAAUUUUCUUGUAUGUUUUUUAGAUUUUUUAAUUCGAAAUUAUUUUUUUAAUAUUGUUGAAAAAGACAGGUUAAAGUAAAAAAAAUAUUGACUAAAUAAAUAAAUGACAGUAUUUUAUUUUUUACAUUCAAAAAAAAAAACUAAUUGGAUGCAGUCCACUUAGUCCUGCACACUUGGAAAGUUACCAUGCUUUUUAGAGCUGUACAUUUUAGACUCAGCUGUCCUUUGUCAUUUCAAGUAAAAGUUGAAGCUGUCGCAAAAGUACAAUAAUAACGUGGUUAAUGCUAUGUAACUUAUAAUCAUCUAGUGAAUAAUGUGGAAUUACUAUUUAUAUAUGAGGAUUGUAAAUUACAUAUACGUAACUUUAGGGGAUCCUAAUAACGUGCAUUUAAGUAACAGGCCUAAACUUUAGAAAUUUCAAAAGCUAUAGUAUACGCAGGUCACAUCUACGACCAUUAUUAGUUUAAUCAUUAAAUGACAAAAUUUUGCCAAUCUUGAGGGGGUACUUAAAAAUGCAAGCAUCUCGUCCCUUGCCUGCUUCAUAGAUGCUCUUACUCAUCCCCCCUCAUCUCACUUGUGCAAACCAAAGAAAAAAGAAAGAUUAUUAUUUUCCUUUUAUUGCGGAAAAAAACAAUAAUUCCUUUUUACUGCUCCAUGUUUAUUAUUUUAUUCUAUUUCUCCAGAAUCUCUCUUUAUCAAUUAAAUUUAUGUUAUAGAUAUUAAAGAUUUGCUUAAAUCAGAAAACUUGUUCAUAGUUUUGGUCAAUAUAAUACAUCCCUUAAAAGGUAAACAUAGGAAAAAAAAAACAAGAAUGAUGGUUUUUUUUUUUUUGACUGUUUUAGGCAAUAAAGAAAUAUUUUGAAAGGGUCGGAGAUUACAAUGAAUUUGCUUACUUGUGGAAAUUUUUUUUAAGGCAUAAAUAAGUGCAACUUGAGAGCAUUUUGUUUUUGUUCCACUAUACAUUUUAUACAACUGCCGCCUUAGAUUGGGUGCAUCACUUCAUUAUAUAAUCAGUAAAAAUUAAUUAUAUAAAUGGAAUCAUUCUCUAUUACAAUUAUUCGACUUCCUGAAGUAACAACUGAUGUUUUUUACCACAUUGUCAAAAGAGUUCAACUUUUAUUUGAGAAUACACCAUAUAAAAGAAAAAGAAAAAAAUAAAACAAGAGUACACAGAAAAAAAUAAAACAAGUUUUAGAAUUAGUAGAUUAGAAUUGUUAUAAGAAAGAGUUGUCCCUAUAACUUCAAUAACCUAGCCAUGUUUCUGAAGUUUGUUUUACUAGCCUUACCAAACUUUUUCUAGUUGAUAUUCAAUUUUUUUUUUUUUUCUAGUCAAGCAUACUUAAUUGAACAGUCAAUUCAACAUGAAAACGAUUUGUCGCUUUAUGAUCCUAAUUUUCAACCAGCCGUAAAUUUUAAUCUAUUAAAAAAAAUUAGUUGGUGGAAAUGUAAACAGAAGCAAGAAGGUUAGAAUUAAUAACUUUAUCAUGAAUAAUUAAUAUGAUUAGAAUUUAAUAAAAUUAUAUGUAAAAGCUUAUUUCAAGAGCAAAAACUUUAUUUUUUUAUCAUUUUUUAGUGCUUAUAAUUAUAACUAGAAAAUAGAACCGCACUUCGUGCGGCUUUAAAAAAAAUUAGUAUUAUUUUUUUAUUACUUUGUAAUUGAUGAAACUAAUAAAAAAUAUGAAUUAUUUUUUUUAAAGAUGACGCAGUCUUAUAAAACUAAUGUUAUUUAUGAAAGUUAAUUAUUUUUUUGUUAACAUUAAAAAUAUAUAUUAAUGUGUAUAGUUAAGUGUACACAACCUUUUCAUCAAUAAAAAUUAUGUUCACACUAAUCAACUCUCCAUUUUUCUUAGUAUUAACAGACUCUCACAUCUUACAAAGUCUAACCCUUAUUAUCCAACUAUCUUUAUCAUUGUUUAACUCAUGAAGAAAAUAGUACUCCAUGAAGCAUACAUUACUAAAAAUUUAAAUAAGUCAAAAAAUAAAAACACAAAAACAUUUCUAAAGAGAAUGUUGGUUAAAUAAUAAAAAAAACUCAAACAUAACAAAUCUUAAAUGCUUAAUAUUUAUAGAGCUUGAAGAAGCCAAAAGAUACUAAAUAAAAGGUUGCAUAAUUAAAUAUAGGAUUAUGACAUUAAAAUUAGGUCAUAGGGCAUUGGUGAGGGAAGAGGAAGGAACAUUCCUUCCUAUAUUAAUUAGUUGAUGUAUUUUAAACCACUAAAGUUUAUUUGUUGGCUUAAUAAAAUAAAUGAAUGUUUCAAAAAUUAUAAUUAAUUUAUUAUUAAUGGUUAUAUAUUGUUGAAUUUAAAUAGAAAGAGGAAGAGGCAUGUAAUCUAUUAAUUAUUUUAUAUUUUUAAUAUUUUGUAAUGUAAUUAUUUUUUAAUCUCAACCAAUAUAUUAGAUAAUAGAGAAUAUAAAAAGAUGAGAAAUAAUAAUGUCACAAAUCUUAACUACUUAAUAUUUAUAGAGUUUGAAGAAGUCAAAAGGUACUAAACAAAAGGUUGCAUAAUUAAAUAUGAGAUUAUGUCAUUAAAAUUAGACUCUAAUGGCGUUAUUGAGGGAAGAUGAAGGAAAAUUCCUUCCUAUAUUAAUUAAUUGAUAUAUUUAAGCCACUAAAAUUUAAUUGUUGGCAUAAUAAAAUAAAUAAAUGUUUCAAGAUUUAUAAUUAAUUAUUAUUAAUGGUUACAUAUUAUUGAAUUUAAAUGGAAAGAGAAAGAGACAUGUAAUCUUUUAUAAUCUAAUAAUUAUUUUUAUUUUUAAUAUUUUAUAAUGUAAUUAUUUUUUUAAUAUCAACCAAUUUAUUAGAUAAUAGAGAAUACAAGAAGAUGAGAAAUAGUGAUGUCAUAUCACCUCCUCUAGUCCCAACUUUAUAUAUAUAUAUAAAAUUACUUUCUUCAGCCUUACCCAUCAAAUCCUGGAUUGAAGUGGUUGAAGAACAUGGCUCCCAAUACAAAUCUAUUUCUUCUGAUGACCAAGUAAAGCAAUGGAUGAAUUCCAUUACAAAAUCUCCUAAGCUCAUGCUCGCCCUCCAAAACCUUUCUCAAAGCCAAAUUUCUCCUAAAAAAGAAAUUGAAAUUUCAAAGCCCUCUUCCCAAAAUGUUGUUGUCUCUGCUGAAAGCUCAUCUUCCCAAAUUGUGCUUUCUCAGCCAACACCUUCAAAGAAAACCUCCGAUUGGUUUGAUAAAACCCAUUUUCAAAACAUUAUUUCUAUGGAAGAUGGAUUUUACCAUACUGAUCCUUUUCAAAGCAUUUCAAAGUUUUUCCCCAAAGGCUGGUUUUUCAAACCAUGGGAUUUAACAAAACCCCAGUCUUAUUAUCAAAGCAUUUUGGAAAUAACUGAAUCAGUUAAAUUCAAACAUUUCUUUCUUGACAAAGCCCAUCCAGAACCGGCUUAUUCCACGGCCACAAUCCUAAAAGUUUUGAGCCCAAAUCAGUGGGGUGACCUACUCCACAGUUAUAAAACCUUCCCUUUAAAUUUUGAGACCCGUUUACCACAUUGUCGGACCUUCUCCUAUUGGGACUACCAACAAGCGUGGUAUAACACCUUUUUUAUCCAGAACCCUAAAAAAUCCCAUUCUUGGUUAUUUUUCUUCAACACAAAAAUAACCGUUCAAAGUCUCCCAAAUUGGUUUCAUCACUGGUGGAAUCUUUUUGGCCCAAUUCCACAAAUCCUAACACCAAACGCCACAAAUUGCCUAAACACCUUCAAAGCCCAUUAUUUACCUUCUGACUCAGAAAAAAGAUUUCCCCCCUUUCUUUGCUUUUGUGCAAAUUUCUUCCUACCUUGGGUUUGUUCGUGGAACCUCCGUUUCCAUACCCAAGAUUCCCAAGUCAUUCUUCAAAGAACUUUUAAAGUCAAAUGGUGGUCAAAGUUUGAUGAACAGUCCAAAUUGACCGUUGACAUGAUCAAGGACUGGCUUUCCUCUAAAGGCCUCCUCCAACCUACCAUAACCACCUCUAAAGCCCAACAAACCUUCUUAACCCAGAAAUCCAAAGCCCAGUCACUGUUGGCAGGUGCCAAGACUGAAGAUGAGUAUUUGAAAGCCAUGGAACAGCUCCUCGCCUCGCGCUCAAAGUCCUCCGUUGCAGCUUCCUCUGAAGAUGAAGACGAAGAGGAUGAUGAUGUCGAAGAGCCUUUCAUUUCUCUCGGAGAUGACAAUGAAGAUGACUGUUUCGGCAUUUUCUCUCCGAUAAAGCAUUGUAAAUAAUUAUUUGAUUAUUUACUUAAAAAAAAAAAAAGAAAAAAAAAAGAGAAAAGUUAUUUAUUUUCGGGUGGUCCUCUGGACACAAGUGAGAGCGCACAUGUCUCUUCACCCGUAUCGUACUAUUCAAAGCUACGAUCCAUUUGUUACUGUGCACUUAAAACUCCGCUACAGUGAACAGUGCAGUUUGCCAGAUGUUACUGUGCACUUAAAAUCCCGCUACAGUGAACAGUUUAAAAGUCUUGUAUAUAAACCAAGAGGAAGACUAAGACUCCUCAGGUUUUUUCAUUUCUCUUCUUCUCUUCCUUCUCUCUAAAACUCUCUCUCUCUCUCUAAAGUCCGAAGAGUUCAAAGAAAUUUUCUGCUUACACAAUAGUUCUAUCACAGAGCUUUGGGUGAUCAGACUAGUUCUUUAUCUUCAAUCUUCCCGUCUUUCAAUCUUCCCUUCUGGAAAGAUUUGAAAAUUUGUAAAAGCCAACCAAAGCAAAGAUGUAUGUUUAAAUUUCAGUUCUUUAAAUUUUUUAAAGUUCAAUGUAAUUUAAAUUUUCGCAAUUUACUUUAAAGCAUUUACUUUUCUGCAAUUUAAUUUUAUGCACAUUUAAAUUCCAGCAAUUUAUUUUAAAGCACUUUUCUUUUCAAAGCAUGCUUGCAGACUGAUCUGUAUCAGAUCUGCCAUAUAAAUUCUACAUUCCUCUGAGGCAAAGAGACCGGAUCUCGAUCCUCAGUUGUAAAUCUUCUCUUCUCCCUCCAUUCCUUCAGAGCACCAUUUCCGGGAUCCGGAUCUGGUACUGUGUAUGUACCCAAACCUUUAAAAGAACCUAAUCUAAAUAUGAUAAUAGCCCAAUAAAAAGAAUCAACCACGUUUAAAGCAACUUAACUUUAUUUGGUAAAAUAAAGCUGAUUUGGUAUAUCGGCUGGAAACCCGAACGUGCGGACUAUUGAUCUGUUCUAAGUCAGAUCUGGGUCCAAAGGCUUUACUUUGUGUAGCAUCGGUCUGGUUUAACAACGCCACGUACCAAUUAGUUAUAAAAAUUUGACCAACCGCGUUCAAAUUUGUUUGAACACUGUAUGAUCUAAAGCAAUUCUACUAAGCAAUUCUACUUAUAUUCAAAGCUGGUAAUUUAUUUUAAAAUUUGGAAAAGCCGAUCCAUUAAUUGUUUAAUUUGAGUUUUUAAUAUUGAAAUCCAACGAAAACACAUCCAUCCUUCGAUCCUAUUUCCUUCUGGUAUAUAUAUAUAUAGAUUUUUAAUAUUUUGUAAUGUAAUUAUUUUUUUAAUCUCAACCAAUAUAUUAGAUAAUAGAGAAUAAAAAAAAAGAGAAAUAAUGAUGCCACAAAUCUUAAAUAUUUAAUGUUUAUAGAGUUUGAAGAAGCCAAAAGGCACUAAACAAAAGAUUGAAUAAUUAAAUAUGAGAUUAUGACAUUAAAAUUAGGCUCUAAUGGCAUUGUUGAGGGAAGAUGAAGGAACAUUCCUUCAUAUAUUAAUUAAUUAAUGUAUUUUAAGCCACUAAAAUUUAAUUGUUGGCAUAAUAAAAUAAAUGAAUAUUUCAAGACUUAUAAUUAAUUAUUAUUAAUGGUUACAUAUUGUUGAAUUUAAAUAGAAAGAGGAAAAGACAUGUAAUCAUUUAUAAUAUAAUAAUUAUUUUCUAUUUUAAUAUUUUGUAAUGUAAUUAUUUUUUUAUUUUUUAAUUUCAACCAAUUUAUUAGAUAAUAGAGAAUAUGAAAUGAUGAGAAAUGUUGAUGCCACAUCACCUCUUGUAGUCCCAACUUUAUAUAUAUAUAUAUAUAUAUAGAUUAAUUCAUAUAUUUUAUGCCACUAAAGUUUAAUUGCUAGCAUAAUAAAAUAAAUAAAUGUUUCAAAAGACUUAUAAUUAAUAUUAUUAAUGAUUACAUAUUGUUGAAUUUAAAUAGAAAGAGAAAAAAAUUACAAAGAGCAUCCACCAAUAUUUUAGAUAUUUUAGAUAAUAGAAAAUGUAAAAAGAUGAGGAAUGAUAUAUAUUAAUAAAGUUACUAUUUAUUAAAUGAGUUAAAUACAAUCAAAUUAAUUAUGAGAAGAUGAAAAGUCAAAUCUAAAAAAAAUCUCUAUUUAUUAGAUAAUAGAGAAUGUACAAAGAAGCAAAAUGGUGAUGCCACAUCACCUCCUCAAGUCCUAACUUUAUAUAUAUAUAUAUAUAGAUAGAUUAUUAUUAAUGAUUGCAUAUUGUUUAAUUUAAAUAGAAAGAGAAAAAAAGUACAAAGAGUAUCCACCAAUAUUUUAGAUAUUUUAGAUAAUAGAAAAUAUAAAAAGAUGAGGAAUGAUAUAUUUUAAUAAAGUUACUAUUUAUUAAAUGAGUUAAAUACAAUCAAAUUAGUUAUGAGAAGAUGAAAAGUCAAAUCUAAAAAAAAAAUUCUCUAUUUAUUAGAUAAUAGAGAAUUUACAAAGAAGCAAAAUAGUGAUGCCACAUCACCUCCUCAAUUCCUAACUUUAUAUAUAUAUAUAAAUAGAUAUAGAUAUAUAGAUUUAAUCUAGAAGUAUUUUAAUUAUAAAAAAUAUUUUUAAAAAUAAGUUUGACGAAUAGUUUAGUGCUUAUAAUUAUUUUCUACUUAUAAUUAAGUUAAUAUUUAAUAGAAAGAACUAAAAUAAUAAAAGAAAAAACCUUUGCCCGGCAAUUCCUUGUUAUUUACAUUUUUGGCACUGUCCUUGACAGAGGACUACACCGAGGAAUCUCAGGCCGUGGCACACGUGCGGCGGCUUCUCGACAUCGUCGCGUGCACCACACGGUUCUCCAAGUCCAGAAACUCCCGAUUGCCGCCAUCGUCAGAGUCAUGUGCCAGAAAGAACGGCAGUAGGCCCCACCCGCCUUCACCAAACUCUGCCGCUCUGUCUGAUGGAGCAGCAACAGCAGCAGCAGAUAACCGAAGCGGGACCCGCGCCACGUCAUCGCCAGUUUCAUCGGCGGUUUCUCCGAGUCUGGACAUGGCGGCCAUUCACCCGACGCCAAAACUCUCCGAGUUUUAUGACUUCUUCUCUUUCUCUCACCUCACUCCCCCCAUCUUAAGUAAGCCUAAUGUUCAUUUAUUUAUUUGUCUUCGUUUUUUACAUGGUUGAUAAAAAAAAAAGGAAAAUGAUAUAAAUAUAUGUGAUUUUUUUGAAUAUGAAAUUUGUUUAUUGAUUUUAAUUUUUAAUAAUUUUGAUUUUGAAGAUUUGAGAAAAUGUGAACGCAAAGAAGGAGACAAGCGCGACAGUGAUUAUUUUGAAAUUCAGGUGCCAUUUAAUAUAAAGUUCUGAUUAUUGUGGUUUGUUGUUGAAGGACUAAUUAAUGUUAUUUUUGCUGAUGAAUUGGCCAAUGAGUGUUAAAGAUUUAAUAAUCAUUGUCUGCUAAUUAAUAAGAAUGCAUGGAUUAUUUUCAUGUCUUUGUAAGUAAUGUGAGUAUUUGAAAGUGCGGGAAACUGUAUUUUGUGCUUACAGAUAAAAAUCUGCAAUGGAAAGCUUAUACAAGUAGUUGCAUCAGUAAAAGGGUUCUAUACUUUGGGAAAGCAGUUUUUCCAAAGCAACUCCCUGGUGGAUCUUCUGCAAAAUCUCAGUCGAGCUUUUGCCAAUGUGGGUACUCAAUAGUUGAAUCUACAGAUUAUUUUUUUCUUUUUUAUCUGAAUGCAUCUUUUUUUCCUCUGUAAAUUCAAUUAGCUUAUCCUUCAAUUGUUUUGUUAAUAAUUAUGGUCAUUAUGCGUGAUGCAGGCAUAUGAAUCCCUAAUGAAAGCUUUUGUUGAACAUAAUAAGGUAACAAUUUCUGUGCUGACAUAGUUUAUUACCAAUUCAAAUGUGAUUUUAACUUGAUUUUACUGAUAUAGUAUAUUCAUUAUCCUUCUUCAGUUUGGUAAUCUUCCCUAUGGAUUUCGAGCUAAUUCAUGGCUUGUACCUCCAUCUGUUGCUGAGUCUCCAUCAAAUUUCCCAUGCCUACCGGCAGAAGAUGAGAAUUGGGGUGGCAAUGGCGGAGGCCAGGGAAGAGAUGGAGAACAUGAUUUACGACCAUGGGCGACGGAAUUUGCUAUACUGGCUAGGCUUCCUUGCAAAACUGAAGAGGAGAGGGUGGUUAGAGAUCAGAAGGCCUUUUUGCUUCAUAACCAAUUUGUUGAUGUCUCAAUUUUUAAAGCUGUUGGAGCAAUACGCCGUCUCAUUGAUUCAAAUUUACACACUCAAGAUACAAUCAAUGUCCAAAGGGGGGCAAUCUUGCAUGAAGAUCGUGUGGGAGACUUGUCCAUUACAGUAAAACGUGAUACAGUAGAUGCAAGCUUGAAGUCUGAGGUUACUAUUAAAGGAAAUCAGUCAUCCGGUAUGUCUGCUGCAGAUGUUGCUCAAAGGAAUUUACUAAAAGGUGUUACUGCAGAUGAGAGUGUAGUUGUUCACGUAAGUCGAUUUCUCCUUUACUUCUUAUGCUUACGUUCACAGAACACACACAUAAAAGACAUUCAUCAAAGCUGAAAUUACUUACGUGGGCGGAAUAAUAUAGCUCUACCUUUGUCAGGGAGUGUUUUUUCAGUCGGAUUAAGAUGUUUCACUCUGUAUCGGAUAUCUAGCAUUUGAUGAUGGCCUAAAAUACCCAUCCUCUUCAUUCUCUCUUUCUACACAUUUAUGAAUGCACAAGAAAGUCAAUUUUAGGUUCUUUCCUAAGAAUCACUACUCGUUACAAACCUUAUAUAUCUGGUUUAGCUUCAUGAAUCUUAUGUGCCAUUCUGUUUGGUGACUCCCUAUUCUGUUGAAAUCACUUGAUAGCAGGUCUUUCUACUCAUUUUAUCCAUAUCCCUCUGAUUUUCCGCUUGUAGUUUGCUCCAGCUUAAUGUCAUCAACCCUUUUUGGGGAAGCCUAUUAACCUUGGUUGGGCAUGCUUGUAUUAUAUCAACUAGUGAUACAAUUGCUAAAGUUUUCAGCAUGGUAGAUCUUGAAAUAAAAUUUUCUUGAAAUAUCUAGAUUUAUCUUCCUUUUCUUUUUCUCUUUCUUUUAUUUUAGUUUGAAAGAUUUUGUGAUAAAGAGAACUGAAACAAUAUAGUUUUUGGCAGGAUACCUCCUCAUUGGGUACCGUCAUUGUAAGACACUGUGGAUACACCGCUGUAGUAAAGGUUGUUGGUGAUGUGACGGAGAAGUUUGGCACACAAGAUAUUGAAAUUGAAGAUCAACCUGAUGGAGGAGCUAAUUCUCUUAAUAUUAACAGGUCUGAAAUUGUAACACAAUUCUUCCUCUGUCGAUUCCUCUUAGCACACAAAGACUAGGAAAUCUACAGAUAGAGAAUGGCUGUAAGAUAUGAAAAAUUAUCUUUCAACCACUAACCGUUUUAAGCUAUUCUGCAAGAUAUCUUAGAAAUGCUAACUGGUAUGAGCUUCUUUGCUUAGUGUCUAUCACAGUUGAAUUCAUGAUGCAGAGCAUUGUUAUUCUCUUUAUUUUUACCAAAUAGAACAGGAUUGAAAUGCUGGUGUUGGGGAUUCUUAAGAAAGGAUAGCACCUGUUCCUUUUUCUUCCUGUUUAGAUGGGAUCUAAUCAGUAGAUGUCUGAACUCUUAAGGGGAGUUGAUGUCAGAUUUCUAAACCAGGUUUUCUUCAAGUGUUAAGUUUAUGAAUAGGCCAAAGAAAAGAAAGCUGAUAUCUAGUUAGGGAUAUGUACUCCUCUUUCAGCAUCCUAUGGACCAGAAAAUGGCUUUUCCUCCAUUAAAAUAGGUGCGAGAUUCUUCACUGUAUGGGGAUGCUUCACCUCUGCAUAGUUGUAGACCACCUAAAAAAUAACGAGUGGUUGCAGGAAACAUUAAGUCAUGGCUUUCACAAUAAUGGUUGAGUGUUUAUAGUUAUGUGCCCUGACAUUGGUUUGUAAUUGUUAUAUUAACAAAAUAACCAACAGACAUCGUUGAUGAUGUUCAAAUAAAGGAUAAAGGAAAGUAUAAUUACAGUGGAUGCUCAGUUGCUGAAAUAGGUCAUCAGCUUUUUGGAUUGUGCUAUUUCAGAAAGUAUUUAGACCUUCUUUGGUGGAUUCUGCCUUUGUUUCAUAUACUCUUAUAUCUUUCUCCAUUUAAGUUCUGACAGGGUAAACUAUUUAUUGCAGCUUAAGGCUUGUACUUCAGAAGUCUUUCAGUGCUGAAUCAGCUAGAGGAGACCGGUCACCUCUGUGCAAUUUGGAUAAUUCAGAAGCUCUUAGAAGUCUUGUACGAAGAGUUAUUAAACAGAGUUUAGCAAAGCUAGAGCUGGAGCCAACUGCAUCAGAAAGAUCUAUUAGAUGGGAACUUGGUUCUUGUUGGGUGCAACAUCUACAAAAGCAGGAAACCCUAACAGAUACCAAGUCAAUGAGGUCUGGCGAUGAUAUUGAGACUGAACAUGCUGUCAAAGGUCUUGGGAAGCAAUUUAAAUUUUUGAAGAAGAGGGAGAACAGACCUAACCUUGUUGGCAGCAAUAAUGAGGCUAACGAAGAUGACAAUGGACCGUGCAGCAUGAAUGUGGGAACUAAUGGCAGACAGCAAAGCAAUGGCGAGCUCAAUUGUGAGAUGGAAUUGAAAAAACUAAUUUCUGAAGAAUCCUUCUUGCGAUUGAAAGAAACUGGCACUGGCCUUCAUUCAAAGGUUUCAAAAUCUCAAGUUUGUUUUGCAUUUCAACUGUAAAGUUUGCUACUUUUUGUGUUUUCAUUAUGCUAAAUUUGGUUUGUUUUAUUUUCAUAUGGAACUGGUAAAAUUAAUUUCUUGUGCAGGCAGUGGAUGAGCUUAUGAAAAUGGCAUACAAAUAUUAUGAUGACAUUGCUUUACCAAAGCUGGUACUAUUUAAUUUAUUUAGGGCCUUUGUUGCAGCCAAUUUAGACGUGUGGGGAUGGUUUAUGGACUAAUUUCCAUUCUUUAUUAGGUAACAGACUUUGGAUCACUUGAACUUUCUCCGGUUGAUGGCCGCACACUGACAGACUUUAUGCAUUUAAGGGGACUACAAAUGCGCUCUUUAGGUCGCGUGGUGAGGAAUUUCUCCCUCUCUUUCUCUCUCAGACAUGCAACCUAUUCACCCGUGGAAAUCAGAAUAAACAAAUGUUGUCUUUCUUUAUGUAAACAAAGCCCCUAAGUUAUCUUUCUAUAUGUAAACAAUCUCCCCAAGUCUUCCUGGAUUGAAUUAUCAAUGUUCCUUUUUGAAAAUUGUACUACAUGAUAGAAUUUUUGACAUGGUGACCUUUUCCAAGAUAUUGAAUUAUUGUCGUCUUUAGAUAUUACUGUAUGUUGUAUGACAUACAAUAUUUUGAGAAAUUGACAUGCUAAUACUUGAAAGCCUGGUAUUCUUCUUCUGUUGGUUCUAAUCCCAUUUACAAAUUCAGGUUGAACUUGCAGAGAAGCUUCCUCACAUACAAUCACUUUGUAUUCAUGAGAUGGUUACUCGAGCGUUCAAGCAUGUACUUAAAGGAGUCAUCGCAUCUGUUGACUAUUUAUCAGACCUAUCUGCAGCUAUAGCUUCUUCCCUAAAUUUCUUAUUUGGCUGUUGUGAGAUGGAAGAUGAGCAAAGCUUGAAUGAAGAUCAUAUCCUUAGAUUGCAGUGGCUACGAACAUUUCUUGGCAGAAGAUUUGGUUGGUCCCUGAAAGACGAGUUUCUGCAUUUGAGAAAGAUUUCAAUUCUACGUGGGCUUUGCCAUAAGGUAAGGUACUGUCUUUUCGGUUCCUUUGGCAGCGGAUUAUUUUCAAAGCUUGAAUUUUGCUUGUAAACUUUACCCAGGUUGGGUUGGAGUUGGUUCCAAGAGAUUAUGAUAUGGAAUGCCCAAACCCAUUCACGAGAGAUGAUAUUGUCAGCAUGGUUCCUGUGUGCAAGGUGAGACUAUUUUCUCUCUUAAUUGUGUUUUGAUUUAGUUUUUACAUUCUCAAUGAGUCACUCAUUUGUAAAUUGAAUGUAAUUGUGCUAUUUUUAUGGCAUUCUACAGCAUGUAGGUUGCACUUCAGCUGAUGGGCGGACUUUAUUAGAGUCAUCCAAAAUUGCCCUUGAUAAAGGAAAACUAGAAGAUGCUGUAAAUUAUGGGACAAAGGUAAUAACCCACUCGAUCUAUACGUAAGAAUUACAUUAUUCUUUUCAUAAUAAGGCAUCUCUUGAUCUCAUAUGAUGUAUUACUUGCAUUGUAAGGCACUGGCAAGGAUGAUAGCUGUUUGUGGUCCCUACCAUCGGACUACUGCAAGUGCUUACAGUCUUCUAGCUGUAGUUCUCUACCAUACUGGAGACUUUAAUCAGGUACGACAAUCUUCAGUUGUAUUUCAGUGUUAACUUGGUGAUUCUAAGUCGAGUAUAAUUAUAACGUCCUUCUGUACGGAGAUUCUCAUUCAGUGGGACAUUUGAUUUGAAACUGUGUUAUGGCUAGUUUUUAUGGUCUUGUAUAAAGAUAUGCAUUAGAAAUUAUAAUUUUCUGGACUUAGGAAUUACAUGGACAGGCAUUAGCAUGAUUUUGAUAUCAGAUUAUAUAUUUUAACUAAAUCAAACACGUUCAUAGUUCUUAUGUUCUGGCAUUUGGUCUAAUGGCAUCUGCGUCUGAGUGUGAGAGUGGCGUUCGUAUGUACUCAAGAUAUCUUCUUCUUCAUUUUAGGCAACUAUAUAUCAGCAGAAGGCAUUGGAUAUUAAUGAGAGGGAACUUGGUCUUGACCAUCCAGAUACAAUGAAAAGCUAUGGGGAUCUUUCAGUUUUCUAUUAUCGCCUUCAACACAUUGAAUUGGCUCUUAAGUAAGUAGCACUGCUUGAUUUACCAGAGCAACUUUGUGAUUUUCAUUCUUUAACUGAUUAAGGUUUAUUUAUUUAUAAAUUAAAUUGGAAGUUUCAAAAAAUGUGACCUUUGUAUUGAAUCUGCUUCGAACGAAUGCAGUUUUUAUCUACCUACUUUAGCUUUCAUUUGUCUUUUAUUGGCUCUAGCUCCUGAUCAUACCGUACCAUUGGCAGAUAUGUAAAUCGUGCCUUAUUCCUUUUGCAUUUUACUUGUGGACUUUCACAUCCAAACACGGCUGCAACAUACAUAAAUGUGGCUAUGAUGGAAGAGGGCAUGGGAAAUGUUCAUCUUUCUCUUAGAUAUUUGCAUGAAGCCCUUAAAUGCAACCAAAGACUAUUAGGAGGUGACCAUAUACAGGUUUUUCUCUCUCUAUUUACGCAUGUAUACAGACUCUUUAGAAUUAUAAAUCUUUCUGUUAACUCAGAAUUUUGUUUGAUUUCUUCACGUGACAGACAGCUGCAAGUUAUCAUGCCAUAGCCAUAGCUCUUUCUUUGAUGGAGGCAUAUUCACUAAGUGUGCAACAUGAGCAAACUACACUUAAGAUUCUCCAAGCAAAGCUUGGACUAGAAGAUCUGCGUACUCAGGUGACUACAUGUAGUCAUAUUUUAAUUGGUUCUGUUGUGCAAUUUGGCUAGUUGGCUUCUUUCUUGUCAAUCUUUUACAGGUGAUAUUAUGAUAUAAAACAAAUUGUAUUGGAGGCAUAUUUUUGGUGUCAAAUAUGGAUAUGACUCAUUCAUUAAUUGUAUCGAAAUAUCAAAAUACGGAUAUGACCCGUUUAUUAAUCGUGUUGACUUGUUUAAUAUUAAAUACAAACAAAUUAAAAAUUAAUUUUAAAAUAACAAAUGUGUCAAAAAAAUGAGUUAUAAAUAAGUGAAAAUGACAUAAGUAUGACAUGAAUAAGUUUAUAACAUAAUGUGAGUAUGACAUGAGUCAUUAAUUUAGUGUUUAGUAUAUAUUUUAGUUUUUUUUUUCCAAUAAUAUUAACACAUAAUAAUUGAUAUUUGUGUUAUAAAUGUAUAAUCAUAUUGAGAUGGUCCAAAACAGAUACGACAUGGUUAUUUAUCGUGUUGUGUCAACUCAUUUAUUAAUCGUGUCAAUAUUUGUCAACACGAAUAUGGGUCAUAUGUCAUAUUAUGUUGUGUAAUCGUGUCGUAAUCCAUUUUGCCACCUCUAAUCUUAACUGUCAUAAGAGAAUUUCUCAAGUUCCAUAUUAUUGAUGGGAAGAGAUUUUUGUUAUUUUGUUGUAUUUUUUUUCGUUUUACAGGAUGCUGCUGCAUGGCUGGAGUAGUUUGAAUCAAAAGCUCUAGAGCAGCAAGAAGCGGCACGGAAUGGAACUCCAAAGCCAGAUGCGUCCAUUGCGAGUAAAGGUCACCUUAGGUAUUAACAGGGUAUUCCCACAUUACUUGUUUCUAAAUUGUUGAUUAUUUCUUGUGGCACCAAGACCUAUAAUGAUCGCUUUUUGCAGUGUGUCAGAUCUCCUGGAUUACAUUAGUCCUGGUCAAGAUUCUAAAAGAAGCGAAGCACAUAGGAAACAACGACGUGCAAAGGUAGUAUAUACUUAGUGCCUGUUUAGUAUGACUUAUCUAAUAGUCAUAAAUUUUUAUUUAAUCCCAUAAGCUGUUAUCAAUUUUUUUUUUUGUUUAAUUGUUUUUUUCGUAGAGCUCUUGAAAAUUAAAUAAGUUAUUUUGCCUCUACUACCAAAAGCUCGAAUUUUGUGCUUUUGAGAGUAGAGGUUAAAAAGUUUUUUUUAAAUCUUAAAAUAUCUAAAAUAUUUUCUACUUAUUUGAUAAUCUUAUUUUAUUCUUUCCAAAACAUAACUUUAAAAAAUUUACUUAUUAAAGUAAUUUUAUAAUUUUUAAUAAAAGCUCUUAUUGACAACCAAACAACACAAAUUUUUUGGGUAAAAACUUUACUUAUAAAAUCUUUACUAACAAAAGCUCUACUCAGAUAAGAUCUAUUUGAAAAGCUAUGUCAAAUGAAGCAUUAAGCCUGCUGCUGUUCUCUGUUCCUUUUUUCUUGUGAUGUCAUCUGAAUGGAUUCUUAAACUAAUUGUAGUUAGGAUUUGGUAUUUUAGAGUACACUCUGCUGGCUGCAUAUAGUUUUGGAUUUGCUGAUGACACGAGUAAACUUGUUGGCCAUGCAAAAUGCAACUAUAUAUCUGCAGGAUAAUAGUUCUACUUUUCUGAGUGAACUCUGAAGGCACCAAUUAUAACAUCCAUUUCCAGCAUAGAAUCCCCUGCCCAACAAAAAGAAAUCUAACAUGCUUAUACAGAUCGCAGACAUGAUUGAAACUUCAGAAGUUUCUGAUCUAUUGAUGGCCAUAGAUUGGGCCAGCUGAUAGUUAGUAGGCAAUGAUGGAGGGUUGCUUGGUCAAGCUGCUAGUUCUUUGGAAAUUCAGAGAUGAUGAGCAGAACGAGUGAUAGUUUUUGUUUUCCCCCGUAAUCAUGAACAGAGUGGGAAGAAACCAUUAAUUUGAAGUGCAAUGGAUGGAUAUGACAGAUCUAUCAUUUUGGCUAGUAGAUGGAGUUCUUCCAUUCUACUGUUAUUUAAUGGUUGUUUUUAUUGAUUCUAGAAAAACAUUUUUCGAUUUGGCAGUUGGAGUUUUGCCCUUUUUUUUUUUCUCCCCAUUUUGUAGGCCUUGGAGAACCAAAUAAUACUACAUAUUAGAUAGACAGGAUUAUUAUGUGCUAAUUUGAAGUAUUACCUGGUUGACAAUUUAAGACACUAGUAAAGUAUUUUGCUAUGAUUAUUUUUUUUUUGAGAAUUCCUUGAUUCAAAAGGCCGAAGAAUUUCAUUAGUUUAACAUAGUAUAUAUUAGCAUAAUUUCUCACUGAGUGUUUUUUUCAACAUUUCAGGCAUGUACAUAUCAAAUUCCCAUUAUGUUCCACUGAAUUCUGCCUCAUGUUAUGUCCGGAUUUGUUGUAAUAAAUUUUGCUACUGUAAAAUUACAAGAUGAUUGUAACUUAAAAUGAACUAUUUCUAUUUGCUCAAUUUUUGACAUUUUAUAUGCAUACAAGUUAAAAAGGUUUUGUUUAUUUUUAUUUUUUUUAUUUUUUCAGGUAAUGCAGAUUAGGGAAAAGAUUCAUGGAGCACAUCAUGAUAUGAUGGUGGAAGAUGCACUGCCCCAUGAUGGAUUGAAAAAGAGUAUGACUAUAGUGGAAAGCAAGACCGAGGAAGUAAUAGAAGACGGUGNNNNNNNNNNNNNNNNNNNNNNNNNNNNNNNNNNNNNNNNNNNNNNNNNNNNNNNNNAAAAAAAAGAAUAUAUAAGGCUUUUGAGGGGUGGCAAGAAGCCAAUCCAAAAGGUAGGUCAGGAAAUGCUGCUGUUCGGAAGCUCAACCGGAGGCGACCUGUUCUUACAAAGCUAAAUGUCAAUGGUUGUGAACAUUCAAAUCUUAGAGAAAAAGGCAAUAGACGGGAAAUUGUAUCUCCAGCACGGGAAAAAGCUUCAAGGACCACCACCACUGAGUUAACAGGCAAGAAGGAUUCAAGUAAAUUGCAGGCAAAAGCUUCUGUCUCCGAAGUUUAUGCAAGUCCACCAAACCUUACUGCCAUGGCUUCCAAGUCGCUGUCUUACAAAGAAGUAGCUGUGGCACCACCAGGUACGGUUCUAAAGCCAUUACCAGAGAAACCUGAUGAAGAAAUUGAAGAAAAAACUGAAACACAGAUGUGCAGUAAUGCUCCUGAGACAUCAAAGGCGGAGUUGAAUAACCAUUUCUCUCCCGUUGAAGAUGCGCCAGUUGAUGGUCAGUCUCAAGAAACUCGUGGAAGUGUAACUCAAUCUGAAACUACUGCUGCAGAUACCGGGGAAGUUCCUUCUUCUUCUAAUGAGGAAAAGCCCAUGGAAACAAAUGGGAGUAAGCUUUCUGCCACAGCUGAACCAUUCAACCCAGGAGCUGUCUCCAUGACUCAUCUGCUACACUCUGUAGCAGCCACGAGUAUUUAUGAUCCGAGAACUAGUCAAGGUAUGCUUGCAGAACCUGCUGUACCUUCGGCUGCUGCUAGAGUUCCUUGUGGGCCAAGGUCGCCUCUCUAUUAUAGAAAUAAUUAUUCUUACAUUAUGAAACAUGGAUUUCCAAAAUACCACUCUUCCAUUAUGGAAAGAAACCUGUUGGGGCCUUCAAGAAUCAUGAACCCGCAUGCACCCGAGUUUGUGCCAAUGAGAGGUUGGCAAAUAAAUCCUGGAUAUGCACAUUCAACUGUUUCAAAUGAGUCAAACUCUUCAAAUGACACAAGUGAGGCAGACGAUGAGAAACUUGACAAAAUGUCCAGUAUUCAAGGCGAGGAUAAUACCUCAAGAAAGAGCAGUACAGAGGCGGAGAAGUCAGAGCUGGCAAGACAGAUACUACUUAGCUUCAUUGUAAAGUCAGUCCAGCAUAAUAUGGAUGCUCCAAGUCAUUCUUCAGGCUACGAAAAGAAGAUUGGGUAUUCAGAAAAUUCUUCAGAUGCAAUUGCAAAUGAUAGUGCUAUCAUAAAGAUCCUUUAUGGAAAUGAAAAGGGCAAAACAAACUUGGCAUCUCAGUCCAAUGAUCAAGAACAGCAAAAACCCAAAGAGGAAAACCAAAAAAGUGGGGAUGGUGAAGGAUUUAUAGUUGUCAGAAAACGGAGAAGAAACCGACAGCAGAUCACAAAUGGGGUAACUGAGAUGUACAAUCAUCAAUCCAUCUGUGCUUCUGUUCGUUAAAAGAGAGAGCAAAGCAAUAAAAUGCAAAGGUGCCGUCCUGUUUCUCCCAAUUUUAUUCGAAAAAUUUGUUAGUGAAUGUUACCGUUGUAGAGAUGGUUAAAGUUUGGAGCAAGUUUUAAUCAAUACUUGAUUGUAUCAUUUUAGAUAUCCUCUCUGGAUGUUCUAAUAUAAUAUUUGUACAAAUCGGUUUCUUGUUUUGUUAAGAGAUUUUGUUUUGAUCAAUAAAUGAUGAUAAAUUAAUUGGGCGAUUUUCCUCAUCAAGAGAUCUGUGAUGUUGUUCUAUAAUGGAUUUUAAUGUUUUAGACUGAGAUUUGUAGUUAUGCCUCAAAUUAUUUGGUAUUUGGUUGGUGCGUGUGAACAAUACGUUCGGAAUGGAGUUGAAUUGACCCACUGAUAGAUAGCUUACAUUUGCAGCUGAAGUUGCUGCACUGAUGAUAUUACAACUGACAUGGUAGGCAAAAUUCCUUAUUCAAUUUAAAUUUGCAAUCAACAGAAACUGAAGAAGAAGCCGUAAGUUUAAUCCUAAUGGAUGCAUAGCUGUUUGGAGAAAAGCCAAUGGAGACAUAACAAAGCACGAUAAGUUAUACACGGCAGAACGGUAUGUGCUAGUAAGCACAGUCACCGAUGGAAAACAUAUUUGAAAAGCCAAUAGUAGCAUGUGUCAAUACAUCUAUCAAUGAAAUAGAACCACAGUCUGCGCCAGUACGAGUUUAUCCAAAGUGCUGCAAGUAAACCCAAAAUCACUGACACAUAGGAUGCUCCAAAACUCCAUCUUAAUGCCACCAUGUCAAUCACAGAAUCGCCUUCAUCUUCUCCUCCUCCUGUAGGUGUCGCUGGUGGUGCCAACGCGCUGCUGCAUUUCCUCUUUAUCAUUGAGCCACAAAGAGCCGAAUUACCUUUAUAACUGCUGUCAUCAAAGGUGGCAAACUGCUCUUUGUCCGGGAUUGGGCCGGACAAAUUGUUGUAUGACACGUUGAAGUUUGAUAAAAAGUUGAGCUCAGUUAGUUGAGGAAUUCGGCCACUUAAUUUGUUGCGGGAAAGGUCCAGGCUCUCUAUCAUUUUCAGAUUGGAGAAGCUCUCUGGUAUAGUGCCUGAUAGUAAAUUAUUGGACAGAUUAAGUGCACGAAUAUGUUGAAGAUGCCCAAUUUCCCAUGGAAUUUCUCCACUGAACUCAUUGCUCGACAAAUCCAGUCCAGCCAUGUCGUCGAGAUUGAGACCAAUGAAAAAUUCAUAUCUAUACUUUGUCACAAAUUCUACACCUACUGGUUGAUCUAGUCCACCAUGUAGUUCACCUGGCGGCAGCAGAUGAAGAGUGGAAUUGUAGUAAGUAGAAGCGGAAUCACGAUUAGACAUAGCAAAUUCAUAUUCAAAUGAACCAUCAUCAAUCGCUUCCCUCCCGAAUGAGAUGUUACCCAGGCAUGAAGGUAUCGGCCCAUUAAGUCUGUUAUGUGAAAGAUCCAUGAUACCUAAUUUUCUUAAUUGGCACAACUGAUUAGGAAUACGUCCUUGUAGAGAAUUCCCUCUCAAAAGAAGAAAAUGCAAAUUCGAAAGCUCAUUGAUCUGAUGAGGAAUCCUACCAAAAAAUUUAUUGUCCCUCAAAUCGAGAGUCAAUAAUGUAGAGCUUCUAAGCAAUGCAAUUGGAAUUAACCCAUUAAUUGCAUUGUUAUGCAGAUAAAUGUGCUUCACUGAUGAAAGAUUGGAGAGAGAUACCAUGGACCCAGACAAACCAUUUUCGGAGAUGUCUAUAAACUCAAGACUUUCAAGAUUGCCGAGCUGGACCGGAAUACUACCUUGCAAAUAAUUUUCUGACAUUAAAAGAAGCCAAAGGACUGAGAAGUUGCCAAUCCAGUGGGGAAUAUCGCCGGAUAACUUGUUGUUGGAUACAUCUAAUACAUCCAGCAAAGUGGAGCUCAACAAACCAUCUGCCAUUUUCCCACUGAAAUGAUUGUUGUUCAAACGUAAUGAACUCAAAUGAGUCAAGUUCAUAAAAUUGGGAAAAAGUUGGCCAUAGAAAUUGUUAUUUGAUAGGUCCAACGUUUCUAAGGAGAGGCAACUAGAGAAUAUAGAUCGAGGUAAUUCUCCUGAAAAAUUAUUUCUAGACAAAUCCAAAGUAAUUAGCUCUUUCAUCUCACUGAUUGAAUAAGGAAUAUUACCUUCAAAACUAUUUUUUGACACAUCCAAAUAUAUCAAUUUCUGAAAGACAAUACCCAAAUUCUCUGGUAGCUUACCAGAAAAAUUGUUAGUGGAAAUAUCUAGAUGACGAAGCUUGUCGUAUUUGGCAUUGGGAAGUCGCGGAAGAAUUCCCGAGAAUGAGUUAUUCCACAAAAUCAAAACUUCUAAUCCUGUGUUGUUUUGCAACAACCAAGUUGGGAAAUUGCCAACCAACUGAUUGUGAGAGAGAUCAAGGAAUUUUAAGUGGUGUUGGUGUAAAAGAAAACUACUAUUGACAUUUAAGUGGCAGUGAGAUAAUUGGAGAACCUUGAGAGGAUAUGUGGGGAGCCAGUUUUCGGUUUUCACUUGCAACAUAUCGUUUCCUGACGAGAGUACCAAGACCUCAAGCUUUGAAUGAUUAGCCAAUGAAUUUAUUAAGAAUGUUCCUUGGAAAUCGAUGAAAGAGAGAUCCAAAUAUUCAAGUGAUGUGAGGUUGGUCAAGACAGAAGGAAAGUUUCCACUUAACUGAUUGUAAGAAAUAUCAAGAACUUUAAGAUGGGUCAAGUUGUUGAGACACUGAGGAAGAUGACCCUCAAAAUUAUUUGAGCUUAAAUCCAACUCAAGAAGAUUCUUCAAAUUACAUAUUCCUAAAAGUGAAAAUAAAAAGCUCAGAUUUCAUAAAACGAAAACUAAUUAUAGCACAUUCAAUCAUAAACCCAAUAUAAGACUUAUAAAACGGACAUGAAAUCAAAUUGUCUAAGUAUUUUGGUCAACAUAAAUAAUAAUAGAAUGAUAUGAAUUUAUUUCUCAUAUAAUAUGAUGUUGAUUGCAAAAGCGUUUCAAUUAAUCUAACAAUAAAAAAGAAAAUAAUAAUAAAAAUAUAAAAGCAGUCAGCAAUUCUUGCUCAUCGUAAUCCAUUCAAUAAGCGUUUCAGCAAUUCUCGUUGUUUAAAAUAAUGAUUUUCUGCGGAAGAGUUUGUUGACUUCGUCUUUUUCGUUGGAUAUUGGUUUUCUAAUCUCUAAAUUUGUUGGAUAAUGUAAAGAGAAACUCAUAAUAUAUUGGUUGCUUUCUUAAACUUUAUUUAAUUUCGUCGAAGUACUUCGACCAACAAGUCACUGGGAAGUAGGAAUUGUGUAAUCAGUAAUGCAAAUAUUGGGUGCGUUGGUAUUGUUUUUAUAUGCUGUUUUUUAUUUUUUGAAUUUAGAAAAUAUUAGAUACGUGUUCGGUAGAUUGUUUCUGAAUUUUUUUAAAAAAUAUAAAAUUCAUUCUACACAUUUUAACAAAAGAAAUGAGAAACAACUUUUUCUUAUUUUCCUUAUUUCCCAAUACAAUAUUAAGUUCCAAAAUGAAGAAUUCUCUUUACCUCCUCCUGAAAUAAUAAUAAUAUCAACAUUAUUAUUAUUAUUAUUAUUAUUCUUGUUGUUGUUGUUGUUGUUGUUGUUAUUGUUGUUCUUGUACCCAAAGAAUCAAUUUCCCUCACAAUAAUCUUUUCUUUUUAUAUACAUUAUAAUAUUUAUGUUUUUAUAUUAACUAAAUCAAAUAUGUAGGGUUUAUCAUUUUUCUUUGAACAAAAAAAAUAGAAAGAUCACCUAAUUUAUUCUUAAAAUUAAAAUAAUCAAUAUACAUUGCUUAAUCUUAAGUUUAUGGAAAUUAUUCCAAUAAUAAUUCUUUGAGACAUUCUUACCAAACAUAUUUGUUUUCUCAUUUUUGAGAUUAUUUUUAAAAUGAUACUGAACACAUUUUUAAAUUUUAAAAAUAAAUUUAAAAAUAGCAUUUUCAUUUUUUUUGUGAAAACAACAAUUAGAAAACAAUAUUGGGCUCUUAUUUAUCAUGUUUCAACAUAAAAACACAAUGUAAAUGGUUUAAUAUGGGUUUCUAGAGAAUUUUUUAUAUUACUAUUACUCAAAUUCAAUGCUUCCAAGCUUUUGAAUUUAGCUAAUCUUGCAUCAAGAAUUAAUGAACAUAAGGAAAAAAAAAUUUAUUCAGAACUAUAAAUAUUGAAAUAAAGAUAAAUAUCAUUGUUGAUUUUUUUGUAAAAAAAGAUUUAGAAUUAAGAGAGAGUGAAAGAAAUGAGCGGGUUAUGUCGGAAAUUGGUGAUAGAGUAUGUCAAGUACUAAACUUUGUAUAGAAAGCAGUGCUUCUAAUUUAAAUUUGAUCUAGUUUAAAGCAAUUAAAAAAUGCAAAUAUAUUAUCAUCUUGAUUAACAUCUAAAACAAUUUUUGUCAUUGGAGGAAGUGAGUUGUUAUAUACCUUGAAUUGUAGUUAUCCCACAAGAAUGAAGAUCCAAUGCUUUCAAAUUUGGCAAAUCUGCCAAUCCUACAUGCGCUAAUAAAAAAUGAAAAUAUUACAUUUAAAGGUAUUGUAUGUGAUCUGCACGUUUGAAGAAUAUUAAUUCUUAAUUUGCUUCUUAUCUCAGAUUCAAUGGCUUACCUAGCGUUGUCAAAUUUUGAUUUAAGCUUAAAUCCAACACUUGCAGGUUUGUCAAAUUUGCUAAUCCUAUUAAAAAAAAACAUAAAUUUUGUCAAUAAUAGUUACAUCACUCUCGUCUAAAUUGUUUAAUUAAAAUAAUAUGAUAAAUAUUAAAUGAAAAUUAAUUGUGCAAAUUGUUUAAUUAAAAAAAUUGCCUUCUAAAGAACUGUGUAUAUAAUAAUUAUAACUCAAAUCCAACGUUUCCAAGCUUUUUAAUUUAGCUAAUCCUGCACCAAGAAAGAAGAAAACUUUUAUUAAUCAUCUUUGGAAAAAAAAAAAGAAUUAAGAUUAAGAAACAAAUUUCAAAGUUAGAUUAAAUAAUUGUAGUAAUAAAGCUUAUGAUGAUUAAGAUAUAAUUAAAUUGAUCAUAUACUCAAAAAUGAUUUUAUUUUAUUUUAUUUUUUAAUUUUACUAAGAAAUUAGAAAGUAAAUUUUUGUCGUGUACCAAUUAUAGUCAAGUUUGUCAAGUUUUCCAGUCAAAAAUUGCUUUUAAUUUGACAUUAUACAUAUGUAAAAAUUAAAGCCAUAAUAAUAUCACAAGGAAUUUGGGUAGUGACUUGUUGCCGUGUACCUUGAAGUGUAGUUAUUCCACAACUACCAAGAUCCAAUUCUUUCAGGUCUGUCAAAGAUAAUCCUAUACCAACGAAAAGCAAACUAUUACUUUUAAAAUUAUUGUAGAAGGUUGUGAUUAGUGUGCUAACUUGGUAGUUAUCUCAGUAGCCUACCUAGCCUUGUUAAAGAGCCACUAGUUAUAUUGCGGUUCCCGCUUAGAUCCAACACUUGCAAGUAUCUCAAAUUUGCUAAUCCUGCUUAGAAAACAUUAAUUUUGAUCAAGACAAUAUAAAUAUAUAUUUUAAUUAAUAAAUUAAUUAAGUUGCCUGACAUGUAUAUCUGCUGGCUUGAAACGUAUAUGUAUACCUUGCUUGGUUCUGGAACCUUCAAUCUUAUUGUAACGAAGAUUCAGAGUGGUAAGUGAAGUUAGUGUAUUCAAAUAUGGUAAUAUGCUGUCGAUGAAGAAAUUAAAACCAAGAUUUAAGAUCUUUAGCUGCUUCAAACUCCCAAAGCUAUCGUAAGCUGCAAAUGCAUAUGAAGUGUUAUUUUUAAUUAGUCACUGACAAAAUAUUUAUGGACGAGAAAUAAAUGUAUACAUAUAUACGGACCUCUAUUCUCACAGAAGCCUGUAAACCCAUUCCCAGGUAAGUCGAGCCUUUGCAAUUCUUUGAAAGGAUGAAACAAUGACAUAUUCAGAAGCGAAGCCGAAGUUCCAUCAUAAUAAUUCAAUCUCUUUGUAUAAUUGAGUGAGAGUUGCAUCACGCGUCGUGUGGUGGCGUUGCACAUAACUCCCUCCCAAUCAUCACAACAAUCAGACGGCAUUCCAUCAUCCUCACCAACCCAUGAAGGAAGAAUUUUGUCAUCAUAUCCAAUAUCACUGACUAAUGAUAUGAAGAAGCUCUUGAUUUCCAACAGAGCAGUCCUCUCUGUUUCCAAGCAUCCUUUGUAUCCAUGAAUUUCAUCCAUCGAUACAAUAAUCCAAAUUAGUGACAUUAAUGAGAACUUAAUACAGGAAGUACUUUCCAUUGUAGAGCAACUUUUCAUUUGGUUAAAAUUAAAUGUGCAAUGAGCAACUUUCCAUUGCAGAGCAAUUUAUACUAAAAGUUUAUCGUAGGUCUUGCAAUUUGAUUGGCUGAAGACUUUUUUAAGACUUUCCAAUACAUUGCCAUCUUUGAAGACUUGUAAGCACUUCAUUAAUACCCCGUGGAAAAUAUAGAUAAAGUGAUUGUAAACUAUAAAUUUUUGUAAUAGUUUGAUGGAGAUAAUCAUAACUAAUAAAAAAAAAGUUGACCGAGAGAAUUUAAAUAAUUCAACCAUAUGUUUGGAUUUCCAUUGCAUUAUCAGUCAAUCUAUUAAAUAAUGUGUUUUGAGAAGAAUUUGAUUGGAUGUUUGAUAAGUUUAAAUUAAUUUAUUAGAAAAUCAAUAAUUAAUCAACAUAAAUCUUCGUAUAUGUUUAGUUAGUGUGGCGUUGUCUGAAAUGACAAAAAACAUAAAUGUUAUUUGAAGCUCUUGUGACCCUUUGUGUUCAUGCAUUUGAAUCAAAGCUGUACUAAAAUCAAAGAUAUUGGGCAUCCUUAAUAAGGAAAGUUUCCAUUGCUCUCAGUCUGCACUCUUCAUUACUAUUGCAAUCACUUGAAAUGACUAAAACAGAAAUUUCGUAUGAACUUGGGACAGCUGCACGGGUCCAAUUUAAAUGACAACUACGUGGAAAAUAAAAAUUUUGCAUAUAUUAUUACAACUACGUGGAAAAUUAAAGUUGACUGACUUUCAAAUUAAGCCAACAAACAAGUGGCCAUCAACUCUUUUUCCACUAACAAUUAGUGGCGACGGUCAAUACUAUAAAAUAAAAGUUGACUAAGAAUUUAUGUAAUUUAAGAGUAUGAUUGGCCUUUUAUUGAAUAUUAUGAUUGGGUUUGCACUGAAUUAUCAAAAAAUCUAUUCAACGAUUUAUAUUCUAAAAUAUUUAGUGAGUUUAGAAAAUUAUUUUAUUAGAUUUUUGUUAAUUUUUUUUAUUAUUAUUAGAUGGCCAACAAUUAAUCAAGUAAUUUUCCAUAUAUAUUUGAUAAUUUACUCAUAAAAGCGUGGACUACAUUCAAAUGGCAUUUUAUAUGAUGUGUGAUAUAUGUAGAGGUGAAAUUUAAAUAGGCUUAAUUUUAUAAAUAAAUACAUAUGUAUUGCAGCAUUCAAUCAUUGUGUUAAAGCGCCAAUCACGGUGACCACCAAAACCUAUGAAUGAUUAGUCCAUCGAAACCCAAUGUAUGCUCAAUUAAUAUUUCCUAUCAAGAUCAAAUUUUUCGCUCUAUUGCUUCAACAAUCAUGAGCAUAAAAGCUCGAUUUAUACAAAAAUUACGAAUUUAUGAAAAAAAAAAGUCACAUUUAUUAUAAUAUGAAGUUUGAUUGAUUUUUAAAGAUUGAUUCAAUCAAUCUUAAUGUUACUGGACAAUCGAUCUUAAUGUUAAUUCAAAAUCAAUCUUUAUUUCGAUGGGCACAGAUAAAGAUAAUUAGUUUUGGUCUCUAUAAUGACUGACGAAGACUUGUAGGACCUGGACCAAUGAGGAAAAACACUUUCAAAUUAAGCCAACAUACAAAUGGUCGUCAAUUCUAUUUUUUACAAAAAUUGAUGGAGAUAGUCAACUAAUAAAAUAAAAGUUGAUUGAGAUAAUUUAAAGAAUGUAGGCAUAAGUUUGGCUUUUAAAUUGUCAAAUAAUUUAUUCCACUAUUGAUACUUAAAAAAGUGCUUUGGAAUUAAUAAUUCAAUAGGGUGUUUGAUAUAUUGGAAUUCGUGAAAAUCAAUAAUCAACUAUUUUUUAUACAUGUUUAGAAAUUUAUCCGGUGUGUAUAGGGGCUUGUAUAUUUCACAAUAAACAUGAAUUAGUACAUCCAUUGAUUGACGUAUAAUUAUAAUCAUAUAAUCAAACACGCACACUACAAGGCGACCUUCGAUUGACGUAUUCUGUGAACUAACCCGUGGGAGAUGGAGGAUGUCUUAACGUUAUAAAAAAAAAUUGAUGAAUAAUAUAGUUCCAGGCAGUGCUAAAACCAUAAUGUACGCCAGUAUGAGUUUAUCCAAAGUCACCGGCUACACCAAUAUCAUUGUGACAUAGUAACAUUCUUGUCCCAUUGAGUGAGAGUUGCAUCACCCGUCGUGUGGUGGCGUUGCACUCAACUCCCUCCCAGUCAUCACAACAAUCAGACGGCAUUCCAUCAUCAACCCAUGAAGUAAGAAUAACGUCUUCAUAUUCCCUAUCACUGAUUGAUAUAAAGAAGCUCUUGAGUUCCAACAGAGCAGUCCUCUCUGUUUGCAAGCAUGCUUUGUCUCCAUGCAUUUCAUUCAUCAAAAUAAUAAUCCAUAUUAGUGAAAUUAAUGAGAACUUGACAAAGGAAGUACUUUCCAUUGCAAAGCAACUUUUCAAUUGGUUAAUAUAAAAUUUGCAACGAGGAAACUUCGAUAUUUAUACUAAACAUUUAUCAUCAUGGACCUUGCAAUUUGAUUGGCUGAAGAUUUCCAACCACCCAACCUAACGAAAAUGAAACAUCUUAGAGAUAUCAAGUAAUAAAAAUACUUGAUUAUCUUAUUUUUGUUUUAGAGGGUUAUUAAAGACAAAACAUUGUCAAUACAUUAUAACAUCGCUAUCUUGAAGUCUUUGUCUUUUAGUGAAGACUUGUAAGCUUGAAAUUACAUAUAUAUUGCAACAUCGACCCAGGAGAAAAAGAACUUCACUAAUACUCCGUGAAAAAUAAAAUUAAAGUUCACUGACUCUCGAAUUACGCCAACAAACAAGCGAGUGCAAACUAUAUUUUCUCCAACAGUUUGAUGGAGAUAGUCGUAACUAAUAAAAUAAAAGUUGUGUGAAAGAGUUUAAAUAAUUUAUCCGUAUAUUUGGGAUUACAUUGGAUUAUCAGUUAAUCUAUUAAAUAAUAUGUUUUGUAAAGAAUUUGAUUGGAUGUUUGAUAAGUUUAAUUUAGUAGUUUAAUUACUCAUAAAAGUGUGAUGUACUCUAAAAUGACAAACACAUAAAUGUUAUUUGAAGCUUUUGUGACCCUUCAUGUUCAUGCAUUUGAAUCAAAGCUAUUAAAAUCAAAUAUAUUGAUAAACCUUAAUAAGGAAAUUAAGUUUCGAUUGCUCUCAAUCUGCAACUCGACUACUAUUACAAUCACUUGAAAUGACAAAAACAGAAAUUUCAUAUGAACUUGGGACAGAUGUACACGGGUUCAAUUUAGCUAAUUUCCCAUAUAUUUACAACUACGUACGGGGAAAAUUAAAGCUGAUUGACUUUCAAAUUAAGCAACAAACAAGUGGCUGUCUACUAUUUUUCCUCUACCAAUUGAUGGAGACCGCCGAUGCUAUAAAACAAAAAUUGAUUAAGAAUUUAGAUAAGGAAAAUUAUCAACUGUCCGUCUUAAGUUUAUCAUUUAUUCAUUUUUCGCCUUAAGUUUACAAUUCGUAUUAGUCAUCUACUAAAAAGAUAGAAUUACACUUAUGAAAUGACAAUACAUAAAUAAAUACAAAUGGCAAUAGUGGUAAUUUUGUAUGAAUUUUUCUAUUCUUUUGGCGGUUGGUUGAUACAAAUUAAAAACAUAAGAAGAAAAAUAAAUAAAUUCAAUCUUUUUAGUAUUUCUGAUAGUAGGUUAAACCAAAGGAGGAGGGCUUUAUAAUUUCCCUUUAAAUAAUUUAAGGGUGUGAUUGCGUUUCUAUUGAAUUGUACGCUUGGAUUUGCAUUGAAUUAUCAAAAAAUCUAUGCAAGCAUCGAAUUGUAAUGACUGACGAAGACUUAUAAGGCUUGGACCAAUGAAGAAAAAUGCUUCAUUAAUGCUCCGUGGAAAACAAGCCAGCUUGGAAGCAGUUGAUCGGAUGGUCAACAGUUGAUUGAGAUAGUCAACUAAUAAAAUAAAAGUUAGUUGAGAUAAUUUUAAUAAUUUAAGCGUCGUUUGGGUUUCAAAUAUCAAAUAAUUUAUUCCAGUAUUGAGAAGAGUUGAAUUCCGUUAUUUUAUUGAGAAGAGAUCCAUCGCUCCCUCCCAAUUAUCACAGCAAUCAGACGACAUUCCUUCAUCACCGUCAAACCAUGAACUAAGAGCUUCGUCAUCGUAUCCAAUAUCACUGCUGCUGAUAUGAAGAAGCUUUUGAUUUCUAACAGAGCAGUCCUCUCAGUUUCCAAGCAAGCUUUGCAUCCAUGCAUUUCAUCCAAAACGACAAUCCAAAGUAGUGAGGUUAAUGAGAACUUAAUGAAGGAAGUACUUCCAUUGCAAAACAGCUUUUUAUUUGGCUAAAGUUAAAUGUGAAUUAAAUAUCUUUGACUGGUGAUAUACAUAUAUUCAGAGAUUUGAAGUGCUCAAACCAAAAACAAAUAAAAAUAUAAAAAUAUUAUUAUAAAAAAAUUGAUGAAUAAUAUAGUUCCAGGAAGUGCUAAUAUGGCUCUUUGAACUCUCUUUACAGUAUUGGUAGAAAUUUAUCCGAUGUGUACAAGGGCUUGUAUAUUUUGCAAUAAAAUAUACGAGCCAAUAUGAAUUUCUUUCUUUCUUUCUCUCUCUUUUUUUUUUUAAGUUUCUCUCUCUUUUUUUUUUUAAGAAACAUGAAUUGGUUCGUCCAUCAAUUAAUAAUAAAACCAUAAUGUACACCGGUAUGAGUUUAUCUAAAAUCACCGGCCACACCAAUAUCAUUGUGACAUAGGAAGCGAUGAGGAAAUUUACGAAAUAUUUAUUAAACCAUAGUCUACGCCAGUAAGAUGGAAUUAGCAUUCAAUGAUCAUAGACUUUCUGCAAUUUCAUUGACUUGUGAUCAGGGAGUCCUUAUUCUACAAUAAUUAUAAUCAAACACGCACACUGCAAGGCAACCUUCAAUUGACGUAUUCUGUCAACUAACUGGGGACAGGGGUCAUAAAAGGGUACGUGAGAGAAAGCACGAGUCUAUGCACAGUUCCGGUUUUGCUAGUUGAUGGAACAUGGAGGAUGUGUGUUAACGUUAACCAAUAGUCAAGUUUAUGAACACAACCAAGUAAUCGUAUCAUCAAUCAGAACCACAUUCGACGCACGACUAGUAAAUAUCAUAAUUGAGUUUGAGGACCACAACCGCACAGUGAAAGAAUUUGAAUGAAGGAAAAGUAAAAGAAAAGGAAAAGGAAAAGAGGGGAAUGCUAAAGAAAAAUAAGUUGAUUCAUCAGUUAUUCAAUAUGACAAUUGCACACAAAUUUUGGAUGUUUUUAGCCUCCAUGUGAAUCAAAAUAAUUAAUAGAGACUAUCCCGCGUGUCACAUGUAACUAACUUUGGCGCCAUCUUGAGCUACUUCUGUUAAGGUCUUCACUCCAUAGUCUUAAGAACACAAUGCACAAUCAAUUCUUCAGAUUCAUAUGGCAAAUGAAUUACUCAUAAAAGAAAGAUAAAGUAAACUAUGGCCUGGUACUGUCGUUUUAUGCGUUCUAGUGGUGUUGUAGUAUAAACAGUACUCGUUUUUCUAUCUUGGUGGUUUCUUGAUUGUGUUCAAAUAUCAAUACUCGGAGACAGAUAGAGGAAAGCUAAAGAAAAAUAAGCUAAUUCAUCACUAACAUAAUAUGACAAUUGCACGCAACUUUUGGAUGUUUUUAGUCACUGAAAUUUUUAACAUUAAUGAUUAAUUACAAGUAUGUGAAUGAAAACUUAUAAACAAAUUUUGUUUACAGGAAAAAUGUAACUGUGAAAGAAAGUAAAAGAGAGCAGAGAGACUAAAACCAGAGGAUUUCAUUCGUCAUUUCAUAACUAUAUUCCUAGUGCAACUGCGCAAGGUUGAGCAUUCAAAGUCCAUAAUUCUAAAUCAAAAUCACCAACAGACACCUGUACAUGAAAUACUCAGGCCUUUACUCUGGACUUAAGACCGCAUGUCUGAGAAAUUCGUCAGAUUCAUGUAGCAAAUGAAUUGCACAAGGAGGCAUAAAAAUUAGUAUAUUUUUCAAGGACCCAGCUUGAAAGCAAUGAACUAAAAAUUAAUACAUAAAAGUUCAAUUACACGUAAAGAAGGAUAAUAGUAAACUAUGGCCUAGCAAGAUGACGGAUGAAAGAAAACCAUGGCCAGCGCCAAUACGAAUUCAACCAAAGGAUUCAUCUUAAUUGCAGAUUCAUCUUCGUCUUCUCCUCGAUUGGAUGUUAUUGCUGGAUUUUCCUAUGUUCUGGUGCAAGUCUUAUUAAUUGUUGGACCACAAAGACCGAGAUUAUAACUCUUUUCAUCAAACCUGCCAAAUUGUUUUUUGUCUGGGAUCAGACCGGACAAGUUCUUAUAUGACUCGUUAAAGUUGGAUAAAUAGUUGAUUAUUGAUCAGAAGAUCACUAAUCAGAAAAUUUUUCAUUUAUGUUUGUGUAAAUUAUUCAUAAAAGUAUGGUCUACUCUGAAAUUACAAAAAUAAACAUAAUAAAUUUGAAUAAAGGAAAGGAAAAUGAGAAGCAAAACAGAGGAAUGCUAAGGAUAAAUAAGCUGAUUCAUCAGUAACUCAAUAUGGCGAUUGCACACAACUUUUGGAUGUUUUUAGCCUCUGAAAUUUCAAUAUGAAUGAUACAUUACAAAUAUGUGAAGCAAAACUUAGAAACCAAUUUUUGCUUACAGAGAAAAUGUUAAAAAACAAAUAAUGAUAAAAGAGUGCAGAGAAACUAAAAACAGAGGAUUUCACGGAUCAUAAUUUAUAAGUGAUAUUCCUAGUGCAAGGCUGAACAUAAAUCUUAGGUGUGCGAAUCAAGAUCAUUAACGAAGAGAUCACGCGUGUCCCAUGUAACUAACUUUGGCGUGAUGUAGGAUGGUUGCAUAGAAUGAGUAGGGUAUCUUUCAAAUGUCAUAACUUGGGCUACAAGUGUAACUAACAACGACGAUGCUCAAGUUUGGUUAUCGUCGAUGACUGCGGAUUGAUGUUCGUAGCUCCUCCUAUAUCAAGGAAAUGUCAUAAUUACUUUCCAAACAUAAGAAAUACAACUAUUUUAUGUGAUAUGAUUCACAAUAAAUAUUUAUCCCAUAGCUUAUAACUCUCGAAUCCAUUAUUUGUAAAUAAAAAUUACCCUAAUACUCUCAAAACCAUCAAUUGCACCUUAUGCUCAAAAUUUCAUAUUCCAGCUCAAUAAUUAAAUUUCCAUAUCCUAUAAUACUAAUAAAUCAGCCACAUUAUCGCCAAUCUCAUUAUUAGCCAUGAACUACCCAAACAUAAUAUAUAACAAUAAGCUAUUUACAUACCGAAUUGAGGAAAUAGUGAGCGCUACACAUUUUGGCUCUAAUGCCUUGGUGCCCUUGUGCACCUAAAAUGAUCCACCAAUUACUAAAAUUAGCUUGGGACUGACUACACCCAUUUGUUGGGAACCCUAACUAUAAAUAAAGUACACUAAUCUUUGAAUUAUUUUCAUUUUCAUGUAAAUGCAAUUUCAGGUAAAGAUAAAAUGAUAGAAAUCUUACUUCAUUUGGUAAGAAAUUCAACUUGAAAGCUUGAAUCCCUUCCCUCUCACUGAAAUCCUUUCUCUACACUUCCUACAUUUAAAUUCCUCUCCAAUGAAUUUCCAAAUGAACUUAGGGAUAAAAAUACUCUAGAAUGACUCUCGAAUCCAAGUUGUGCAAGACCAAACUCAAUUUUGGAAAAAUCCUAAAUCAUGAAAAUUUUCCCAUUGUCUUCCUCUCAUGCCCGUGAGCUUUUGCAAAGCAAUGGUAAGUGCUUUCUUUUUUAAUUCGCUUUAUAUAUAAAACUUAUUUUAUUUUUUUGUUUAUGGGCUUUUGAAAUAUCCAUUUAGGCCCAAUUAAAGAAAAUUAAUUUAUAUACAUUCGUAUUCAUAAGUUAUUAUUAAUAACUUGUAUAUACAAGUCAGGGCAGUACGCAAAUUUACUGAAUACAGAGUAAAGUUGUACUUUAAUUGGUGAACUCUGAAGGCACCAAUUAUAACAUCCAUUUCUAGCAUAUAUAUAUAUAUAUAUAUAUAUAUAUCAUGGAAAUCUGACAUGCUUAUACAGAUCACAUACAGGAUUCAGAGAUGAAGGGCAGCAAAGAUUGAUAAUUUUUGUUUUCCCCAAUCACCUUGAACAGAGUGAGAAGAAACCAUUAUUUCUAUAUGUGCAGUUCUUCCAUCCUAUUGUUAUUUAAUGGUUGUUAAAUAUAUAUUUGCAACCAACAGAAACUGCAGAAGAAACAGUAAGUCUAAUUUUAACGAAACCGCUCGAAGGAACUUCAAAACAUGAGCAUAGUUUUAGAACCAAAUUAAGAAUUUUAGCAAACACAUACACUGAUACAUAGCAGUUUGCAGAAAAGCUAACGGAAUACGUAACACAGCAUGACAAGUUAUACUCGCAGACCCGUAGGAACUUACUACAAUGGCCUAGCACAAUCACCGAUAGAAUGCAUAUUUGAAGAGCCAAUAGUAGCAUGUGUCAAUACAUUCAUCAAUGAAAUAGAACCACCGUCUACGCCAAUAGGAGUUUAUCCAAAGGACUGCAAACAAACCCAAAAUAACUGUCACAAAGGACGCGCCAAAACUCCAUUUUAAUGCCACCAUAUCAAUCAUCGAAUCGUCUUCUUCUUCUUCUGCUCCUUCUGUUGGUGUUGCUGGUGGUUUUAAUGCACUGCUGCAUUUCUUCCUUAUCAAGGAACCACAAAGCUCUGCUUCUACUGUUUGAUUUAUUGAGGCAUGUGGUUCAGUGGGCGGUUGAAGAUUAAGAGUAGAAUUGUAGAAAGUAGUAGCAAUAGAAUCGAUGUAGAAACCCUGAUACGCUGUGUAUUCAUCAAGCAAACCAUAGUCAUACAAAUAAUAAUUAGUUCAUUCUCUCCAGAAUGACACGUUACCCAAGCAUGAAGGUAUUGACCCACUAAAUAUGUUAUUUGAAAGAUCCAUGAUACGUAAUUUUGCUAACUGGCACAAUUCAUUAGGAAUAUGUCCUUGUAGAGAAUUCCCUCUUAAAAGAAGAACAUGCAAAUUCGAAAGCUCAUUGAUCUGAUAAGGAAUCCUACCAAAGAAUUUAUUAUCCCUCAAAUCUAGAGUGAUUAAUUUAGAGCUUCUAAACAAUGCAUUAGGAAUUUACCCAGUAAUAGCAUUCUUCUGCAAAUAAAGGUGUUUCACUGAUGAAAGAUUAAAGGAAGAUACCAUGGUCCCAGACAAACUAUUUUCAAAGAUGUCUAUAAGCUCAAGACUUUUAAGGUGGUUGAGUUGGACUGGAAUAUUAGCUUCCAAAUAAUUUUUUGACAUUAAAAGAACCCUAAGAGUUGAGAUGUUACCAAUCCAAUUAGGAAUAUUACCGGAUAUAUCUAACCCCUCUAAUGAAGUGGAGCUCCUCAAACCAUCAUCCAUCUUCCCACUGAAAUGAUUGUUGUCAAAAAUAAAUAAUUCAAAUGGGUCAAGUUCAUAUAUUUGGGAAAAAUUCGGCCAUAGAAAUUGUUAUUUGAUAGGUCUAACAAAUCUAGAGCGACGCAACCAGAGACUAUCGGUCAGGGUAAUUCUCCCAAAAAAUUAUUUCUAGAAAAAUCCAGCAUAUAUAACUCUUUCAUCUCACCUGUUGAAUAAGGAAUAUCACCUUCAAAAAUAUUUUUUGACAUAUCCAAAUAAAUCAAUUUCUGAAGGACAAUACCCAUAUUCCGUGGUAGCUUACCAGCGAAAUUGUUAUUGGAAAUAUCUAGAUGACGAAGCAUAUCGUGUUUGGCAUUGGGAUGUAGAUGAAGAAUUCCUGAGAGUGAGUUGUUCGCCAAAGACAAAUAGUUUUAUCUUGUGUUGUUUUGGAACAACCAAAUUGGGAAAUUGCCAACCAACUUAUUAUGAGAGAGGUCAAGGAAUUUUAAGUGGUCCUGUUGUAAAAGAAAACUUGGAAUGACAUGUAACUGGCAGUCGGAUAAUUUGAGAACCUUCAAUUGAGAUGUCGGGUGCCAGCUUUCGGUUUUCACUUGUAACAUAUUGCUUCCUGAUGAGAGUAACAAGACCUCGAGCUUUGAAUGAUUAGCCAAUGAAUUUAUUGAGAAUGUUCCUCGGAAAUUAAUGGAAGAGAGAUCCAAAUAUUCAAGUGAUGUGAAGUUGGUCAAGGUAGAAGGAAAGUUUCCACUUAAUUGAUUAUUAGAAAUAUCAAGAACUUUGAGAUGGGUCAAGUUAUUGAGACACUGAGGAAGGUGACCCUCAAAGUUAUUUGAGCUCAGAUCCUACUCAAAAAGAUUCCUCAAAUUACAUAUUUCUGAACCUGAAAAUAAAAGAUCAAAAUUUUAUAGAAUGGAAACUAAUCAUAGCGAAUUCGGUCAUAAUCCAAUACAAGACUUAAAAAACAGACAAAAAUCAAAUUGCCUAAUUAUUUUGGUCAGCACAAAUAAUAAUAGAGUAAUGUGAACUUAUUUCUCAUAUAAUAUGAUGUUGAUUGCAAAUGCGUUUCAAUAAUCUGAAAAAAGGGAAAAAAAAUGCCCUCAGCACUUUUUGCUUAUCAUAACCCUAAGUCCUUGUUUAUAAUUAUAAUUUUCUGAGGAAGAAUUUGUUCACGUGAUGUUGUUCAUUGGACAAUGGUUCUGUAACCUCUAUAAUGUAAAGAGAAACUCAUAAUAUUUUAGUUGUCUUCUUAAAUAAUAAAUUGUCUUAAAAUACAAUUAAUUUGUCUUAAAUUUAAUUUAUUCCUCAGCAUUCAAGGAAAAACAAAAACAAAAAAAAAAGAAAAAGAAAAAAGAAAUGGUCUUCAUAUAUAAUUCUGUCCAAGUACUUUGAUACACAAAUCAAUCGGAAGGUGGUGUAUCAGUAAUGCAAAUAUUUAAUUAUCAUGUUUCAACAUAACAAUUCUGUGUAAAUUGUUCGCUUUAGGUUUCUAGAGAACUGUUUAUAUUAUUAUUACUACUCAAAUUCAAUGCUUCCAAGUAUUUGAAUUUAAUUAGCUAAUCCUGUAUCAAGAAUUAAUGAACAUAAGAUAAAUGUCAUAUUAAUUAGAUUUAGAUUUUUUUUUUCCAGUUUUGACGUAUAGAUAUAAAUAAUACUUCAAAAGCAUUGAAAUGUAAGAGCUAUUAAAAAAUCGUUUUUCAUUCAAAGCUAUAAUUAAUGAAAUGAAGAUAGAUAUCAUUGUUCAUUUAAAAAAAAUUAAAUUCAGAAAAAAGAAAGAGCGAAAGAAAUGAGCAGGUUAUGUUAAUAAAUAGUGAGAGAGUAUGUCAAGGACUAAAAUUUAUUAAAGAAAGCAGUGGUUCUAAUUCAAAUUUGAUCAAGUUAGAAGUAGUCAAUUAUGCAUCGAGAAUCAAAAGAAUGAAGAAUGGGAAUUCAAAAUUAGCUUAAAAAUUAUAAUAAAGUGAUUAGUUAAGAUUCAAUUAAGCUGAUUUACUAAAAAAUAUUGAAAAAUAAAAGACCACAACAUUGCCAAAAAGACUAGGAAAUUAAGUAGGAAGGGGUGAUUGUUGCGGAAUACCUUGUAGUUAUUCCACAACCACGAAGACCAAUUGCUUUCAAGUAUUGCAAAUAUGCCAAUCCUACAUCAAUAAAAAGCAAAAUGUUACUUUAAAAUUAUUGUAGAAGACUGUGAUCAUUGUGAUAGAUCGGUAAUUUCAGUAGCUUACCUAGGCUUCUUAAAGAGCCGCUUGUUAGAUUGAGGUUCCAGGUUAGAUCCAACACUUGCAAGUUUCUCAAAUCUGCUAAUCCUGCUCAGUAAACAUUAAUUUUGAUAAAAACAAUAUGCAUAAAUAUUUUAAGAGAUUAACUUGCCUGGCAUGCAUUUCUGCCUCAAACAUAUUUACCGUGCUUGAUUCUGGAACCUUCAAUGUUAUUGGAACGAAGAUUCAGAGUGGUAAGUGAAGUUAGUGUAUUCAAAUAUGGUAAUAUGUUGUCGUUGAAGAAAUUACCACCAAGAUUUAAGAUCUUCAGCUGUUUCAAACUCCCAAAGCUGUCGUAAGCUGCAAAUGCAUAUGAAUUAUUAUCAUUAAUUAGUCACUGACAAAAUAAUUAUGAAUGAGUAAGAGAUACAUAUGCUUGUACCUUUAUUCUUAUAGAAGCCUUUAAACCAAUUUAUCAGAUAAGUCAAGGCGCUGCAGUUCUUCAAAAGGGUGAAAUAAUAAUGACAUAUUCAGAAAAGAAACUCCAUAAGAAUAAGAGUUAUAAUCAGAGUAGUUGAUUUUUGUUUUCUGAUUGAGUGAGAGUUGCGUCACCCGUAGGGUGGUGGCGUUGCACUUAACUCCCUCCCAGUCGUUGCAACAAUCAGACGACAUUCCAUCAUCAUCAAACCAUGAAGAAAGAAUUUCGUCAUCAAAUCCAACAUCACUGGCUGAUAUGAAGAAGCUCUUGAUUUCCAACAGAGCAAUCCUCUUCGUUUCCACGCAUGCUUUGUAUCCAUGUAACUGAAUCAAAGCCAUGCCAAUCCACAAUGACAACUUCAUCAAAAGCAUUUUCAUUUUUAAUAUUAACUGCUAGAGAAACACUCACAAGAUUGACCUGUCAAUUGUUGCUCUCUUGAAUUUUUUCUGGUUCCAUAGCAAAUAUAUGACUUAUAUAUAUACAAUGGAAAUUUUGCGCAGAAUGAAAAUUUUGCACAUUUUCACGUGCCAUGUCAAUGAGAAAACAUGCAUGGAUAGAAAAAAGUAGGUGAGAGAAUGUUACCUGUUGAUACAUGUUAUCUGCUUGUGACUUUAGUACCGUCCAAAGAAAUUGAAAUGUGAAAUAAUUGAAGAUGCAAAUUGGUUGAUUUCACGGGCCUGGCCUCUGGCAAAGUGAAAUGUUGGCCACGCACUAUACCAGUAAAGUGUCAACAUUGUAGCAUAAGGAAAUUGCGGCAUCUCAGCUGGAUUUUGAGAGUCACUAUUUCGUAUAAUCAGUCCCAUUUGUUCGUGGGGACUCACAUUCUGUCCUAUUGUGGACUCACAAAUAUUUAACAUGAUUUUGAUAUUUUGAUAACUACUUAAACCGCAUUUCCUUGAUAAUUAAAGAAAAAGAGAAGUGAAUGAAGCAAAAGAUACUGAUGACCAUAAUUAUGUAAAUAAAUACAAGACUUUACAAUAGAUUAGACCACCAAUUUGUGCUUUUUCGUCCAAAAAUAAUGCAUCUGCUUUAACAAGAUACGAGUGAAUUGGGGCAUAUCUUUCUUUCAUAAUGUAAACUUGCCAAAAUACAUGUAAUCUGCUGGUGAAAUAAUUUUAUAAAACAAAGGCUUAAAGUUAAAGCUGACUAAAAAUAUUGGUGUACGUCAAGAACGCUACGGGGAAAAUUUAACCGCGAGCUGCAGUCUGCAGUCCCCAGCAAUCCGGGAAAAGGCUGAGGUGGUGCGGGCCUGCCCACUAAUUUGGCAGGUCUGAUGGGAUUUAUAAAUAAAAAUAAUGUAAUUUUAUAUAUUUUUUAAAUAAAAAAUUUGUUGAUGCCGUUGUGAGAUCCAUUGGAUCCAAGGUCUUGAAGAGGAAAGAUCACUAUGGCUGCAAGGUCUGGAAGAGGCAAGUCCAAUAAAGCCAAGGCUGACAAGAAGAAGAAAGAAGAGAAAGGUUUCAAUUGUUAAGCCUUAUUAUUCACUUCUUUCAUUGGAAAGUGCUUUUUGUAAAGUGCUUUUGCAGUCUAGCUUCCGUAUGUUCAUUGAUUUCUUUUGUUGUGCAGUAGUACCCAGUGUUCUUGAUAUCACAAUCAUCACCCCAUAUGAAUCACAAGUUGUUCUCAAGGUAUACAUAUAUACUUAUCAUUAAUACUUUCUCGUUUUGCCCUCACCAGCUAUUAUUAGGAUAUUAUUUUGUAAAACUUUAUAAAUAUAAAUGAAUUAUUAAUUAAUCAUCUUUUUCUUGUUUGAUUGAAAUUUGCUCGAAGGGCAUCUCCACUGACAAGAUACUUGAUGUGAAAAAAUUGUUGGCUUCCAAUGUAGAAACUUGCCACCUCACAAAUUAUUCUCUCUCUCACGAGGUAUAUAUAUAUAUAUUUUAUUAUCUCUCUUUUUUUUAAUUAUAUAAGAUUAUGAAUAAUGAUAUUAAGCACUAGAUACUAUUUUUUUCCACCUUAUUUUUAUUUGUUUAUUUCUUUAUGAUAUUAAUGCAUUAUUAGUUGUUUUUUUUUAUCAGGUCAAGGGGUAGAAAUUGAAUGAUAGAGUAGAGGUUGUUACUCUGAAGCCCUGUUUGCUCAGAAUGGUUGAAGGUAGGUGAAGCUCUCUCGUGUCAAAAUUUCUGAAUUAAAAAGUCUCAUGCAUGUGGAUGUGGGUCUCAUCUUAUUUGUUAUUUUUAAGAGUUCUGCUAUUUACCUCGGGUUAAACCCCGAAAGCUAAAACAAAACGACGUCGUUUCCUCUUCUUCAUGAAACGCUACCGUUUCACCCUAGCAAAAGCAAACGUUCCUCUCCUCUUCAUUUUCGUCUUCCUCUCCUGACUCCUCUUCGUUUCACCAGGGAACGACAUUCGUUUUGUUCGUUUUGUUUAAGAUCCAAAUCAAAGAAAUUUCCUUUUAAACAAAUCUGCCAUUUGUUUUCUCCUUUGAAAUUUCCUCUUAAAAAAUCUGCCAUUCGCGCAGGCAUGGUCACCGUCAACGUGGCAGGCAUCACGCGCAUCUCUCAUUGAACUCAUGAAGCGUCACAGUUAUCACAGCCGCAGGUAAUGCUUUGAUCUUUAGCUUUUCUAGGUUACGGUAAAAUGGGGGCAAUUUUGAUAGCUAUCAUCAUUUCCGUUUUAUUUAAUUUUCAGUUGAAAUAGAAUGUUAAGGAAAUAAGUGUGUUAAAUUGCAAUUGGUUUGUAAUUUAUGCUAAAUUGGUCUGCAAUUUGUGCUUGAGUUGGUCUGCAAUUUGUGCUUGAAUUGGUUUGCAUUUGUGCUGAAUUGGUCAGGAAUUUGUGCUGAAUUGGUCUGCAAUUUGUGCUGAAUUGGUCUGUAAUUUGUGCAGAAUUGGUCUGUAAUUUGUGCUUGAAUUGGUCUGCAAUUUGUGCUUAAAUUGGUCUGGAAUCACCAAAUAGUCCAGAAUUGUUGAUGUAACUUUUACAACUCUUAUAAAUAAUAGAAAGCAAGUUAAUUAGAAGCACCAAAAUAGUUCAGAAUCACCAAAAUAGAAGCACUAAAAUAGUCCAAAAUUGUUGAUUUUGUGGACACACACAGACACACACACAGGGAGAGAGAGACACGCACAGAGAGAGAGAGAGAGAGAGAGAGAGAGACACACACACACACACACACACACUGACACACACACACAGACACACACACAAAGAGACACACAAACACAGACACAGACACACACAUACACACAGCUUUGUUCAGCCCACUUUAGUAGCAAAUUCAAAUACCAAGAAACUGAGUUGGCCUUAUAAAACAUUGUUCUGGUUUUCUUUUCAUUAUUAACUGUAAUUGUAUCCCUUUUUGAGCUGUUUCUUUCCAACGGUCUAUGGCUUUACAAAUAAUGUCAUCCAACACAACCGAGAAUUGAAUCUCAUUGCAAAUGUGUAAUGGAUGUGGUGAUCAGAUGGAGCUGUUAACGUCACGCACAACAAAAAAUCCAAAUUGCAAAUUUUGGAUUUGUAGAGGAUGUAACAACUUUCAAUGGGCAGAAGAUCGUAAAUCUAGCGAAGAGAAAAUAGACUUGUUAGCGGAUGAGGUUAGGAAGUUGGCCUUGGAGAUUGAGUGUUUGUCCGUUAAAUUUCAACUAUUGCAUAAAGAACUUGAGCAUAUGUGAGAUCGUGAAGUGCAGAGGCGAUUGUUGGACGAUGAACUUCGAAAGAGAGAGGCACUACGAUAUGAUUUUAUUAAAUUAAUCAUGAUUGUUGUAUUAUGUUUUCUAUUCAAGUAUUGUUUUUAAGUUGUUUCAAUUUGUACUAUGUUACUGGAAAAGACUUGUAUUGUAGAAUUUGACCACUAUAUGUAAUAGCAUUUUCAUGUUAAAUAUAAGUUUUCGAUUGUUUGAAUUAAUUCAAAGUAUUCUGAAUUUAGAAUUUGACCCCCAGAAUACUUCUCAAAAUUAUACUAUGUCCCAACUCAUUCCAAUAUGUUCCAAAUAGAUCCAUUUUCAGAAUUUACAAAGUCUAAAAUUUAAAAAAUAUCGAAAUACACAUACACCAAGUUACAUUAGCUUUACAAUAAUACAUAAAACAUAAGCUAACUUUGUUGAUUCGUCAAGCCAAUUCCAAUGAACUUCGAUCAUGUGCUUGGUUCAUUAGUUGAAAACUCCCCUCGAUUGGCCUCCUCGAAAUUUUGUUGCGGAAAAUAUUGCAAGUUUGCGUGAUGGACUCCGCUGUAAUUCAUCCAAGACUGAUAAUAAGGGAGGAAAAAUGCAUGUUCUAGGGGUGCUUGCUGUGCUAGCUGUUAUACAAAAAAAAAAAAUUAUAUACAAAUUAUCAAACAUAUGACAAUGAAUGUAAAUAGCAAAAAAAAAAAAAUAUUACCAUAGCCAUAUGGCUCUCUUGUGUUGGGAUUGUAGUAGCCACUUGAGAAGAAAAAUCAUGUAUCUCCGAGUCCUAGAAAUAUGGUUAACACACAUUUAAAGUAUAUAUUAAAUUUAUUUAAAAUGAAUGUAUUAAAUAUAAAUGCAAUCAACAUACAUUUAAAGUAUACAUUAAAUUAAUUUAAAAUGAAUGUAUUAAAGUAAUUACCUCUACAGUUGUGCUUGUCGAAGCAUUAUUCGACUUCUGUUUUGGCCUCUUAAAUUGCUUUUGCUUUCUUUGACUAGGUGGACGAUCUUUACGCCGAGUUACUACUGGAUCAUAUAUAAUUUUGAUACAGCUUCCUGAUCCACUAUAAAUGGUUGUAUCGUGACCGUCACUUCGAACAUUCAGAGAUACAUCCUCCAUUGCUUUCUCGAUCCAACCCAUAAUAUUUUUAUGGCUUUCUUCAUUUUUUGAAGUUACCUCAGCAACAUCAUAAAAAUCAGUGCACUCCUCUUUAUAUCGCUGAUGUUCAAUGCUCGAACUUCGUGCAUCAUAAUUGACUUUGACUUUACUAUAGAAUCUCCGCACAUCUUUCCUCUAUCUUCGUAGAAUAUACUUUUCAGGCAGUAAUUGUAUACGGUUACGUGACAACACUGCGAUGGCGUGUCUGCAAAGAAUGCCCUUAUAUUCAAACAUUGAACACACACAAUGAACUUCACCCUCAUCUUUUGCAAAAAUGACUUGAAAAGUAUUUUCUCUACUAUUUUCAUCGUUUUCAAUAACUUCAUAUUCUAAUCCACCACAACUGAAAACCUCACAAUAUAUCUUAUUCACCAGCUCUUGCUGAAAUUCUUGAAACUUGGAAAUAGUGUACACUUCUUCAACUUGCUUCUCCAUUGCAAAACUGGUACGACAUGGCAUCCGUUGGCUAAAACACCUAACAUCCGCUUGCCAUUCUUUCUCAAUUUUACUUUCCAUUGCUUUCUCAUAUUUCUCCACAAAUUGCUUCAAAGUUGUUUUCGAGUUAACAUACCCAUCAAAGAAAGCAUUCAUACUUUCACUACGCUGAGUGGUUGGCAUUCCAGCCCAAAAAGAAGUUUUUACGAAACAUGGAACCCAACGAUUUCUUUCCUCAUAUAAACCAUUUAACCACUGAUUACUAAGAUCAUAUUUAUCUAACAUGUCAUGCCAAGCUUUCUCGAAUUCAACAGGAGUAUAUGAAUCAUAAACAAUAGAAUGUAAUGAAACUCUAAUGGCAUGAUAUUCAACAUACCUUCCUAACUUCUCAGGCACCUUUUUCAGUAUAUGCCAUAAACACCAUCGGUGCCUAGUGUUUGGAAAAACAAUCUCAAUCGCAUUUUUCAUCUCUUUGUCUUGAUCUGUAAUGAUUCCAAGGGGAGGAGAGCCAGACAUGCAUGAUAGCCAUGUGUCAAAUAUCCACGAAAAUGUCUCCGUGUCCUCAUGCGAAAUCAACCCACAUCCUAACAAAAUUGAUUGACCAUGAUGAUUAAUUCCUACAAAAGGAGCAAAUGACAUGUCAUACUUGUUUGUAAGGUAUGUGGUAUCAAAUGUGACCAUAUCUCCAAAGUUUUUAUAGGCUGCCUUACUCCUUGGAUCGGCCCAAUAUACAUUUUUUAACCGGCCCUCCUUAUUUAGGUCAAGACUGAAGAAAAACCCAUCAUUUUCUGUUUGCAUUUUCUUAAAAUGUCUCUGAAUUGCAACAACAUCCCCUUCUCCGAGCCUUAAUCGCCUCACCUUGUCAAUAUGAUUUCUAGCAUCUUUUUCUAAGAAUGAGACAUUUUCAAAGCCACCAGCCUCAACAACAAUCGACUUAAAACUUUGAGCCAUUUUAAUUCCAGCUUCAUCAUUUAUUUCAAGCUGCUUUUUAACAAAAGGACUAAUGGUACGGUUGCAUCGAUAAUACCUACUCUUGCUCGGACUCACGGCACGGUUGUGUUCAAGGAUCAUAUUUCCAAUUACCCAUUUUCUACUAACAAAAUCCAAACGUCCUCCAAGUUUAGCAUUGCAUUCAAUUUUUUGGUUUGGUUGAAGCCGCAAAACAUUAGUGCUUUUGGCUUUUGAAUUGCCAUUUCGCCCACAAGUAAAUGUCACAUAUCUCAAACUCCCAUCAUCCCCUUUUCUACAAGAUCUCCACAUCACUGGAAACCCCUCUUAUAGGCCAUAAGCCUUAUAAUAUUCAAACAUUUCAUCAGAACUAUUAAAAGACAUCCCAACUGCUGGCUCAACAACUUUUUCCACCACCAAUUCCUCAUUAUUUUCUUCCAAAUCAGCCCCCUGCAAAUCCUGCAAUUCUUUAACUUCAUCAACCUCCUCCACUUACUUCAAAUUAUCCAUUAACUGCUGCAAAUUAAAACAAUUCAAUAUAUUAUUAUUUAUUUUUCGUGAAUUCAUUAAAUUUAGAAUAAAAAAAUUAAAAACAAAAUGAAACAACUACUGAAGAUUCAAAUUUAAACAAUUCAAGCUUGUUGUAAAAGCAUCGCAAUUGGAAACUGAAAAUGUCAAAUAACGGCAAGCCGCAAAACAUUAACUAAUAGAAGUCCGUAGGCAUAAUUAAUACUCAAAUAACUUCAAAGUGUGGUUGAGCCAGACUAAGUUUAACUUAUAGCUAGCUCAAGCGAAAAUAUUGUAGGUCUUACAUGCGCAUGAGCGAAUUCCAACAAAAACAAGUUCAUGACUUACCACAAACUCAAACGUUAAUUCAUGUUGAUGCUAUCUCCAACUUAUCUAUUUAGGUUACGAACUAUAUUCUCAGCAGGGGUUAAAUUAUCUUCUCGAUUGAAUAUAAAGAAGAGAACAUUUGUAUACUCAAAUAUCUUCGUAAUCGAAAAUGAGAUAGAAAUUCGAAAACAAAGUUUAAUACAAACAUGACAACAAAAAUGAGUCAAAAAUUCGUAGUCGAAACUGAAACUUCGAAAAUUUGAAGAUUCGAAAACAAAAUGCUGCCAAAAGAAAACAGUACCUUAGCUUGUGCAAAGCCACGUAUAAUCGAAACUGGAAUCUGUAAAUGCCGAAACUUAGUCUUAUGUCAGAAAAAUUUAACAGCUGCUGUUAAUGCCGAUGAGGUUAGGAAUCAUGGACAAUGUCGAGACUCUAUCUUGUUCAAGCUUCUGCUUUUGCCUUGUUUGAGCCAAAUCUUAUCACCUUCGAGGAAUAUAAGAGCUUAAAGAUUUUGCAUUUCACUCGGGUGUGGUGAAUCGAAGAGGAAGAGCUUAAAGAUUUUGCGUUUUUCUCAGUUCAUAAAGUAGCUGUUUCUUUGCGUUUUUUCUGCUUUAGUUGGUUUUGUUUUUACUAGGCUGAAACGACUACGUUUCAUGGAAGCAAAAAGGAAAAAAAAAAGAAAGAAACCAAAACGGCAUCGUUUUGGUUUAAUUCGGGGUUUGACGCGGGGAAAGUAGCAUUUUCCUAUUUUUAAUUGUUAACAUUUAGAUCUUUUUAGUUCUACAUCCAUAGCCAAACUAUUUUAAGUAAACUAUAUUCAUUUUAUUGUAUGUUUUUUAAGAAUUUUUUAAUUCGAAAUAAUUUUUUUAAUAUUGUUGAAAAAGACAGGUUAAAGUAAAAAAAUUAUUGACUAAAUAAAUAAAUAAAUGACAUUAUUUUAUUUUUUAACAUUAAAAAAAACCAAUUUGAUGCAGUCCACUUAGUCCUGCACACUUGGAACGUUACCAUGCUUUUUAGUGCUGUACAUUUUGGACUCAAUUGUCCUUGUCAUUUCAAGUAAAAGUUGAAGCCGUCUCAAAAGUAAAAUAAUAGGGUCCGCCUAAGUUACAUUUAACGUAACUUACGGCUGACCCGCAAAAUAUCAUUAAUCCCCCUAUACUCUAUGUUAUUUACAAUAUAUUUAUAAGUAUUAUAAAAUUUUCUGUAUUGUAAAAUUUCGUUGAACCUCUUGUACUCUGUUUUAUUUUAAUGAAACUCUUGGAGUACGAAUUUGCCCCCUAUAAUUUUAAAUUCCCAAAAUACCCUACAGUUAAUUAAAAAUAUAAUAAUAAUUAAAUAAAUUAUAAUUAUAAUAAUUAUUUUAUUAUAAUUAUAAUAAUUAUUUUAUUAUAAUUAUAAUAAUUAUUUUAUUAUAAUUAUAAUAAUUAUUUUAUUAUUUUAUUAUAAUUAUAAUAAUUAUUUUAUUAUAAUUAUAAUAAUUAUUUUAUUAUAAUUAUAAUUUUUUAAUGGAUUAUUAUUAUUAUUAUUAACAAGAAUAAAAAGUAUUAUAACUAAUUAAUUUUUAGUUAAAAUGUUAAUAAUAACAUUAACAAUAACUAUUAUUGAUAAUUAAUUUUUGAAUAAUAAUAACAGUAACAAUAACAAUAAUUAAAAUACAAAAGAAUAAUUAUGAUAAAAAUUAAUGAAGGAUUUUAUAAUAAUUUGUUACAAUUUAAUUUAUUCUGAUUUUGAUUUUAAGACAAAGUAAACAAAUAAAUGGUAAUACAGCUCAUUCUAAUUAUGAUUCAUGCCGUUCAAAUAAAUAAAUUAUUAUGAUUCCAAUUCUUUAUUUGGAUUCUAGAUAUGUCGAUUCUAACUUAUUAUGUUUUCAGUAAAUUUUGAUUUAUGUUUAGUGAAUGCACUAUAAAAUUCAUAAUACUUAUAAAAAAUUGUAAAUAAUAUAGAGUGGUCUAAUUGAAUAUAAAGUGAUUUACAAUUUUAUAGUGCAUUCACUAAAAAUGAAUCGAAAUUAGUUGGAAACAUAAUGAGUUAAAAUUGGAUUAGCUAGAAUUAAAAUGAAAAAUUGAAAUCAGAAUAAUUUAUUUACUUGAACUGCAUGAAUCCUAAUUAGAAUAAACUGUAUUACCAUUUAUGUGUUUACUUUGUCUUAGAAUCAAUAUCGAAAUGAGUUAAAUUGUAACAAAUUACUAUAAAAUUCUUAAUUAAUUUAUUAUAAUUAUUACUUUGUAUUUUAAUUAUUGUUAUUGUUAUUAUUCGUCAAAAAUUAAUUAUUAAUAGUAAUUAUUGUUAAUUAUUAUUAUUGAUAUUUUAACUAAAAAUUAUUGUUAAUUAUUGUUAAUAGAUUAAUUAAUUAUAAUACUUUUUAUUGUUGUUGUUAAUAAUAAUAAUAAUCCAUUUAAAAAUUAUAAUUUUAUUUAUAAUUAUAAUAAAAUAAUUAUUAUAAUUAUAAUUUAUUUAAUAAGUAUUAUAUUUUUAAUUAAAUGUAGGGUAUUUUGAGAACUUAAAAUUAUAGGGGGCAAAUUCAUACUCCAAGAGUUUCAUUAAAAUAAAACAGAGUACAAGAGGUUCAACGAAAUUUUACAAUACAGAAAAUUUUAUAAUAUUUAUAAAUAAAUUGUAAAUAAUAUAGAGUAUAGAGGGAUUAAUGAUAUUUUGCGAGUGUUGGGUUAAAUGUAACUGAUCCAAAAUAAUAAUGUGCAAUUAAGUAACUGGCCUAAACUUUAGAAAUUUCAGAAGUUACAGUAUACGCAGGUCACAUCUAGGACCAUUAUUAGUUUAAUCAUUAAAUGACAAAAUUUUGCCAAUCUUGAGGGGGCUACUUAAAAAUGCAAGCAUCUCGUCCCUUGCCUGCUUCAUAGAUGCUCUUACUCACCCCCCCCGUCAUCUCACUUGUGCAAACCAAAGAAAAAAGAAAGAUUAUUAUUUUCCAUUUAUUACACAAAAAACAAUAAUUCCUUUUUAUUGCUCCAUGUUUAUUAUUUUAUUCUAUUUCUCCAGAAUCUCUCUUUAUCAAUUAAAUUUAUGAUAUAGAUAUUGAAGAUUUGCUUAAAUCAGAAAACUUGUUCAUAUUUCUGGUCAAUAUAAUACAUCCCUUAAAAGGUAAAAAUAGGGAAAAAAAAAAACAAGAAUGAUGAUUUUUUUUUUUUUUUUGGUUUUGACUGUUCUAGACAAUAAAGAAAUAUUUUGAAAGGGUCGGAGAUUACAAUGAAUCUAUACACUUGUGGAAAUAUUUUUAAGGCAUAAAUAAGUGCAACUUGAGAGCAUUUUGUUUUUUGUUCCACUAUAUAUUUUUAUACAACUGCCGCCUUAGAUUGGGUGCAUCACUUCAUUAUAUAAUCAGUAAAAAUUAAUUAUAUAAAUGGAAUCAUUCUCUAUUACAAUUAUUCGACUUCAUGAAGUAACAACUGAUGUUUUUUACCACAUUGUCAAAAGAGUUCAACUUUUAUUUGAGAAUACACCAUAUAAAAGAAAAAGAAAAAAAUAAAAACAAGAGUACACCAUAGAAAAGAAAAAAAUAAAACAAGUUUUAGAAUUAGUAGAUUAGAAUUGUUAUAAGAAAGAGUUGUCCCUAUAACUUCAAUAAGCUAGCCAUGUUUCUGAAGUUUGUUUUACUACCCUUACCAAACUUUUUCUAGUUGAUAUUAAUAACUUUAGUUUAGUAAACAGAAGCAAGAAGGUUAGAAUUAAUAACUUUAUCGUGAAUAAUUAAUAUGAUUACAGUUUAAUAAAAUUAUAUGUAAAGGCUUAUUUAAAGAGCGAAAAUUUUAUUUUUUUAUCAUUCUUUAGUGCUUAUAAUUAUAAUUUAAUCUAGAAGUAUUUUAAUUGUAAAAAUUAUUUAAAAAAAUAAGUUUGACGAAUAGUUUAGAGCUUAUAAUUAUUUUCUACUUAUAAUUAAGUUAAUAUUUAAUAGAAAGAACUAAAAUAAUAAAAGCAAAAACCUUUUCCGGCAAUUCCUUGUUAUUUACAUUUUUGGCACUGUCCUUGACAGAGGACUACACCGAGGAAUCUCAGGCCGUGGCACACGUGCGGCGGCUUCUCGACAUCGUCGCGUGCACCACACGGUUCUCCAAGUCCAGAAACUCCCGAUUGCCGCCAUCGUCAGAGUCAUGUGCCAAAAAGAACGACAGUAGGCCCCACCAACCUUCACCAAACUCUGCCGCUCUGUCUGAUGGAGCAGCAACAGCAGCAGCAGAUAACCGAAGCGGGCCCCGCGCCACGUCAUCGCCAAUUUCAUCGGCGGUUUCUCCGAGUCUGGACAUGGCAGCCAUUCACCCGACGCCGAAACUCUCCGAGUUUUACGACUUCUUCUCUUUCUCUCACCUCACUCCCCCCGUCUUAAGUAAGCCUAAUGUUCAUUUAUAUAUUUGUCUUCGUUUCUUACAUGGUUGAUCAAAAAAAAAAAAAAAAGAAAAGAAAGAGGAAAAUGAUAUAAAUAUAUGUGAUUUAUUUGAAUAUGAAAUUUGUUUAUUGAUUUUAAUUUUUAAUAAUUUUGAUUUUGAAGAUUUGAGAAAAUGUGAACGCAAAGAAGGAGACAAGCGCGACAGUGAUUAUUUUGAAAUUCAGGUGCCAUUUAAUAUAAAGUUCUGAUUAUUGUUGUUUGUUGUUUAUGGACUAAUUAAUUGUAGAGUUAUUCAACUCGUUAUUUUUGCUGAUGAAUUGGCCAAUGAGUGUUAAAGAUUUAAUAAUCAUUGUCCGCUAAUUAAUAAGAAUGCAUGGAUUAUUUUCAUGUCUUUGUAAGUAAUGUGAGUAUUUGAAAGUGCGGGAAACUGUAUUUUGUGCUUACAGAUAAAAAUCUGCAAUGGAAAGCUUAUACAAGUAGUUGCAUCAGUAAAAGGGUUCUAUACUUUGGGAAAGCAGUUUUUCCAAAGCAACUCCCUGGUGGAUCUUCUGCAAAAUCUCAGUCGAGCUUUUGCCAAUGUGGGUACUCAAUAGUUGAAUCUACAGAUUAUUUUUUUCUUUUUUAUCUGAAUGCAUCUUUUUUUCCUUUGUAAAUUCAAUUAGCUUACCCUUCAAUUGUUUUGUUAAUAAUUAUGGUCAUUAUGCGUGAUGCAGGCAUAUGAAUCCUUAAUGAAAGCUUUUGUUGAACAUAAUAAGGUUACAAUUUCUGUGCUGACAUAGUUUAUUACCAAUUCAAAUGUGAUUUUAACUUGAUUUUACUGAUAUAGUAUAUUCAUUAUCCUUCUUCAGUUUGGUAAUCUUCCCUAUGGAUUUCGAGCUAAUACAUGGCUUGUACCUCCAUCUGUUGCUGAGUCUCCAUCAAAUUUCCCUUGCCUACCGGCAGAAGAUGAGAAUUGGGGUGGCAAUGGCGGAGGCCAGGGAAGAGAUGGAGAACAUGAUUUACGACCAUGGGCGACGGAAUUUGCUAUACUGGCUAGGCUUCCUUGCAAAACUGAAGAGGAGAGGGUGGUUAGAGAUCGGAAGGCCUUUUUGCUUCAUAACCAAUUUGUUGAUGUCUCAAUUUUUAAAGCUGUUGGAGCAAUACGCCGUCUCAUUGAUUCAAAUUUACACACUCAAGAUACAAUAAAGGGGGCAAUCUUGCAUGAAGAUCGUGUGGGAGACUUGUCCAUUACAGUAAAACGUGAUACAGUAGAUGCAAACUUGAAGUCUGAGGUUACUAUUAAAGGAAAUCAGUUAUCUGGUAUGUCUACUGCAGAAGUUGCUCAAAGGAAUUUACUAAAAGGUGUUACUGCAGAUGAGAGUGUAGUUGUUCACGUAAGUCGAUUUCUCCUUUACUUCUUACGCUUACGUUCACAGACCACACACAUAAAAGACAUUCAUCAAAGCUGAAAUUACUUACGUGGGCGGAAUAAUAUAGCUCCGGAAUAAUAUAGCUCUACCUUUGUCAGGGAGUGAUUUUUCUGUCGGAUUAAGAUGUUUCACUCUUUAUCUGAUAUCUAGCAUUUGAUGAUGGCCUAAAAUACCCAUCCUCUUCAUUCUCUCUUUCUACACAUUUAUGAAUGCACAAGAAAGUCAAUUUUAGUUUCUUUCCUAAGAAUCACUACUUGUUACUAACCUUAUAUAUCUGGUUUAGCUUCAUGAAUCUUUUGUUGCCAUUCUGUUUGGUGACUCCCUAUUCUGUUGAAAUCACUUGAUAGCAGGUCUUUCUACCCAUUAUCCAUAUCCCUCUGAUUUUCUACUUGUAGUUUGCGCCAGCUUAAUGUCAUCAACCCUUUUUGGGGAAGCCUAUUAACCUUGGUUGGGCAUGCUUGUAUUAUAUCAACUAGUGAUACAAUUGCUAAAGUUUUCAGCAUGGUAGAUCUUGAAAUAAAAUUUUCUUGAAAUAUCUAGAUUUAUCUUCCUUUUCUUUUUCUCUUUCUUUUAUUUUAGUUUCAAAGAUUUUGUUAUAAAGAGAACUGAACAAUAUAGUUUUUGGCAGGAUACCUCCUCAUUGGGUACCGUCAUUGUAAGACACUGUGGAUACACCGCCGUAGUAAAGGUUGUUGGUGAUGUGACGGAGAAGUUUGGCACACAAGAUAUUGAAAUUGAAGAUCAACCUGAUGGAGGAGCUAAUUCUCUUAAUAUUAACAGGUCUGAAAUUGUAACACAAUGCUUCCUCUGUCGAUUCCUCUUAGCACACAAAGACUAGGAAAUCUACAGAUGGAGAAUGGCUGUAAGAUAUGAAAAAUUAUCUUUCAACCACUAACCGUUUUAAGCUAUUCUGCAAGAUAUCUUAGAAAUGCUAACUGGUAUGAGCUUCUUUGCUUAGUGUCUAUCACAGUUGAAUUCAUGAUGCAGAGCAUUGUUAUUCUCCUUAUUUUUACCAGAUAGAACAGGAUUGAAACGGUGGUGUUGGGGAUUCUUAAGAAAGGAUAGCACCUGCUCCUUUUUCUUUCUGUUUAGAUGGGAUCUAAUCAGUAGAUGUCUGAACUCUUAAGGGGAUUUGAUGUCAGAUUUCUAAACCAGGUUUUCUUCAAGUGUUAAGUUUAUGAAUAGGCCAAAGAAAAGAAAGCUGAUAUCUAGUUAGGGAUAUGUACUCCUCUUUCAGCAUCCUAUGGACCAGAAAAUGGCUUUUCCUCCAUUAAAAUAUGUGUGAGAUUCUUCACUGUAUGGGGAUGCUUCACCUCUGCAUAGUUGUAGACCACCUAAAAAAUAACGAGUGGUUGCAGGAAACAUUAAGUCAUGGCUUUCACAAUAAUGGUGGAGUGUUUAUAGUUAUGUGCCUUGACAUUGGUUUGUAAUUGUUAUAUUAACAAAAUAACCAACAGACAUCGUUGAUGAUGUUCAAAUAAAGGAUAAAGGAAAGUAUAAUUACAGUGGAUGCUCAGUUGCUGAAAUAGGUCAUCAGCUUUUUGGAUUGUGCUAUUUCAGAAAGUAUUUAGACCUUCUUUGGUGGAUUCUGCCUUUGUUUCAUAUACUCUUAUAUCUUUCUCCAUUUAAGUUGUUCUGACAGGGUAAACUAUUUAUUGCAGCUUAAGGCUUGUACUUCAGAAGUCUUUCAGUGCUGAAUCAGCUAGAGGAGACCAGUCACCUCUGUGCAAUUUGGAUAAUUCAGAAGCUCUUAGAAGUCUUGUACGAAGAGUUAUUAAACAGAGUUUAGCAAAGCUAGAGCUGGAGCCAACUGCGUCAGAAAGAUCUAUUAGAUGGGAACUUGGUUCUUGUUGGGUGCAACAUCUACAAAAGCAGGAAACCCCAACAGAUAUCAAGUCAACGACGUCUGGGGAUGAUAUUGAGACUGAACAUGCUGUCAAAGGUCUUGGGAAGCAAUUUAAAUUUUUGAAGAAGAGGGAGAACAGACCUAACCUUGUUGGUAGCAAUUAUGAGGCUAACGAAGAUGACAAUGGACCGUGCAGCAUGAAUGUGGGAACUAAUGGCAGACAGCAAAGCAAUGGCGAGCUCAAUUGUGAGAUGGAAUUGAAAAAACUAAUUUCUGAAGAAUCCUUCUUGCGAUUGAAAGAAACUGGCACUGGCCUUCAUUCAAAGGUUGCAAAAUCUCAAAUUUGUUUUGUAUUUCAACUGUAAAGUUUGCUACUUUUUGUGUUUUCAUUAUGGUAAAUUUGGUUUGUUUUAUUUUCAUAAGGAAUGACUGGUAAAAUCAAUUUCUUGUGCAGGCAGUGGAUGAGCUUAUGAAAAUGACAUACAAAUAUUAUGAUGACAUUGCUUUACCAAAGCUGGUACUAUUUAAUUUAUUUAGGGCCUUUGUUGCAGCCAAUUUAGACGUGUGGGGAUGGUUUAUGGACUAAUUUGCAUUCUUUAUUAGGUAACAGACUUUGGAUCACUUGAACUUUCUCCGGUUGAUGGCCGCACACUGACAGACUUUAUGCAUUUAAGGGGACUACAAAUGCGCUCUUUAGGUCGCGUGGUGAGGAAUUUCUCCCUCUCUUUCUCUCUCAGACAUGCAACCUAUUCACCCGUGGAAAUCGGAAUAAACAAAUGUUGUCUUUCUUUAUGUAAACAAAACCCCUAAGUUAUCUUUCUAUAUGUAAACAAUCUCCCCAAGUCUUCCUGGAUUGAAUUAUCAAUGUUCCUUUUUGAAAAUUGUACUACAUGAUAGAAUUUUUGACAUGGUGAACUUUUCCAAGAUAUUGAAUUAUUGUCGUCUUUAGAUAUUACUGUAUGUUGUGUGACAUACAAUAUUUUGAGAAAUUGACAUGCUAAUACUUGAAAGCCUGGUAUUCUUCUUCUGUUGGUUCUAAUCCCAUUUACAAAUUCAGGUUGAACUUGCAGAGAAGCUUCCUCACAUACAAUCACUUUGUAUUCAUGAGAUGGUUACUCGAGCGUUCAAGCAUGUACUUAAAGGAGUCAUCGCAUCCGUUGACUAUUUAUCAGACCUAUCUGCAGCUAUAGCUUCUUCCCUAAAUUUCUUAUUUGGCUGUUGUGAGAUGGAAGAUGACCAAAGCUUGAAUGAAGAUCAUAUCCUUAGAUUGCAGUGGCUACGAACAUUUCUUGGCAGAAGAUUUGGUUGGUCCCUGAAAGACGAGUUUCAGCAUUUGAGAAAGAUUUCAAUUCUACGUGGGCUUUGCCAUAAGGUAAGGUACUGUCUUUUCGGUUCCUUUGGCAGCGGAUUAUUUUCAAAGCUUGAAUUUUGCUUGUAAACUUUACCCAGGUUGGGUUGGAGUUGGUUCCAAGAGAUUAUGAUAUGGAAUGUCCAAACCCAUUCACGAGAGAUGAUAUUGUCAGCAUGGUUCCUGUGUGCAAGGUGAGACUAUUUUCUCUCUUAAUUGUGUUUUGAUUUAGUUUUUACAUUCUCAAUGAGUCACUCAUUUGUAAAUUGAAUGUAAUUGUGCUAUUUUUAUGGCAUUCUACAGCAUGUAGGUUGCACUUCAGCUGAUGGACGGACUUUAUUAGAGUCAUCCAAAAUUGCCCUUGAUAAAGGAAAACUAGAAGAUGCUGUAAAUUAUGGGACAAAGGUAAUAACCCACUCGAUCUAUACGUAAGAAUUACAUUAUUCUUUUCAUAAUAAGGCAUCUGUUGAUCUCAUAUGAUGUAUUACUUGCAUUGUAAGGCACUGGCAAGGAUGAUAGCUGUUUGUGGUCCCUACCAUCGGACUACUGCAAGUGCUUACAGUCUUCUAGCUGUAGUUCUCUACCAUACUGGAGACUUUAAUCAGGUACGACAAUCUUCAGUUGUAUUUCAGUGUUAACUUGGUGAUUCUAAGUCGAGUAUAAUUAUAACGUCCUUCUGUACGGAGAUUCUCAUUCAGUGGGACAUUUGAUUUGAAACUGUGUUAUGGCUAGUUUUUAUGGUCUUGUAUAAAGAUAUGCAUUAGAAAUUAUAAUUUUCUGGACUUAGGAAUUACAUGGACAGGCAUUAGCAUAAUUUUGAUAUCAGAUUAUAUAUUUUAACUAAAUCAAACACAUUCAUGGUUCUUAUGUUCUGGCAUUUGGUCUAAUGGCAUCUGCGUCUGAGUGUUAGAGUAGCGUUCGUAUGUACUCAAGAUAUCUUCUUCUUCAUUUUAGGCAACUAUAUAUCAGCAGAAGGCAUUGGAUAUUAAUGAGAGGGAACUUGGUCUUGACCAUCCAGAUACAAUGAAAAGCUAUGGGGAUCUUUCAGUUUUCUAUUAUCGCCUUCAACACAUUGAAUUGGCUCUUAAGUAAGUAGCACUGCUUGAUUUACCAGAGCAACUUUGUGAUUUUCAUUCUUUAACUGAUUAAGGUUUAUUUAUUCAUAAAUUAAAUUGGAAGUUUCGAAAAAUGUGACCUUUGUAUUGAAUGUGCUUCGAACGAAUGCAGUUUUUAUCUACCUACUUUAGCUUUUAUUUGUCUUUUAUUGGCUCUAGCUCCUGAUCAUACCGUACCAUUGGCAGAUAUGUAAAUCGUGCCUUAUUCCUUUUGCAUUUUACUUGUGGACUUUCACAUCCAAACACGGCUGCAACAUACAUAAAUGUGGCUAUGAUGGAAGAGGGCAUGGGAAAUGUUCAUCUUUCUCUUAGAUAUUUGCAUGAAGCCCUUAAAUGCAACCAAAGACUAUUAGGAGGUGACCAUAUACAGGUUUUUCUCUCUCUAUUUACGCAUGUAUACACACUCUUUAGAAUUAUAAAUCUUUCUGUUAACUCAGAAUUUUGUUUGAUUUCUUCACGUGACAGACAGCUGCAAGUUAUCAUGCCAUAGCCAUAGCUCUUUCUUUGAUGGAGGCAUAUUCACUAAGUGUGCAACAUGAGCAAACUACACUUAAGAUUCUCCAAGCAAAGCUUGGACUAGAAGAUCUGCGUACUCAGGUGACUACAUGUAGUCAUAUUUUAAUUGGUUCUGUUGUGCAAUUUGGCUAGUUGGCUUCUUUCUUGUCAAUCUUUUACAGGUGAUAUUAUGAUAUAAAACAAAUUGUAUUGGAGGCAUAUUUUUGGUGUCAAAUAUGGAUAUGACUCAUUCAUUAAUUGUAUCGAAAUAUCAAAAUACGGAUAUGACCCGUUUAUUAAUCGUGUUGACUUGUUUAAUAUUAAAUACAAACAAAUUAAAAAUUAAUUUUAAAAUAACAAAUGUGUCAAAAAAAUGAGUUAUAAAUAAGUUAAAAUGACAUAAGUAUGACAUGAAUAAGUUUAUAACAUAAUGUGAGUAUGACAUGAGUCAUAAAUUUAGUGUUUAGUAUAUAUUUUAGUUAUUUUUUCCAAUAAUAUUAACACAUAAUAAUUGAUAUUUGUGUUAUAAACGUAUAAUCAUAUUGAGAUGGUCCAAAACAGAUACGACAUGGUUAUUUAUCGUGUUGUGUCAACUCAUUUAUUAAUCGUGUCAAUAUUUGUCAACACGAAUAUGGGUCAUAUGUCAUAUUAUGUUGUGUAAUCGUGUCGUAAUCCAUUUUCCCACCUCUAAUCUUAACUGUCAUAAGAGAAUUUCUCAAGUUCCAUAUUAUUGAUGGGAAGAGAAUUUUGUUAUUUUGUUGUAUUUUUUUUCGUUUUACAGGAUGCUGCUGCAUGGCUGGAGUAUUUUGAAUCAAAAGCUCUAGAGCAGCAAGAAGCGGCACGGAAUGGAACUCCAAAGCCAGAUGCGUCCAUUGCGAGUAAAGGUCACCUUAGGUAUUAACAGGGUAUUCCCACAUUACUUGUUUCUAAAUUGUUGAUUAUUUCUUGUGGCACCAAGACCUAUAAUGAUCGCUUUUUGCAGUGUAUCAGAUCUCCUGGAUUACAUUAGUCCUGGUCAAGAUUCUAAAAGAAGCGAAGCACAUAGGAAACAACGACGUGCAAAGGUAGUAUAUACUUAGUGCCUGUUUAGUAUGACUUAUCUAAUAGUCAUAAAUUUUUAUUUAAUCCCAUAAGCUGUUAUCAAUUUUUUUUUGUUGUUUAAUUGUUUUUUCGUAGAGCUCUUGAAAAUUAAAUAAGUUAUUUUGCCUCUACUACCAAAAGCUCAAAUUUUGUGCUUUUAAGAGUAGAGGUUAAAAAGUUUUUUUUAAAUGUUAAAAUAUCUAAAAUAUUUUCUACUUAUUUGACAAUCUUAUUUUAUUCUUUUCAAAACAUAACUUUAAAAAAUUUGCUUAUUAAAGUAAUUUUAUAAUUUUCAAUAAAAGCUCUUAUUGACAACCAAACAACACAAAUUUUUUGGGUAAAAACUUUACUUAUAAAAUCUUUACUAACAAAAGCUCUACUCAGAUAAGAUCUAUUUGAAAAGCUAUGUCAAAUGAAGCAUUAAGCCUGCUGCUGUUCUCUGUUCCUUUUUUCUUGUGAUGUCAUCUGAAUGGAUUCUUAAACUAAUUGUAGUUAGGAUUUGGUAUUUUAGAGUACACUCUGCUGGCUGCAUAUAGUUUUGGAUUUGCUGAUGACACGAGUAAACUUGUUGGCCAUGCAAAAUGCAACUAUAUAUCUGCAGGAUAAUAGUUCUACUUUUCUGAGUGAACUCUGAAGGCACCAAUUAUAACAUCCAUUUCCAGCAUAGAAUCCCCUGCCCAACAAAAAGAAAUCUAACAUGCUUAUACAGAUCGCAGACAUGAUUGAAACUUCAGAAGUUUCUGAUCUAUUGAUGGCCAUAGAUUGGGCCAGCUGAUAGUUAGUAGGCAAUGAUGGAGGGUUGCUUGGUCAAGCUGCUAGUUCUUUGGAAAUUCAGAGAUGAUGAGCAGAACGAGUGAUAAUUUUUGUUUUCCCCCAUAAUCUUGAACAGAGUGGGAAGAAACCAUUAAUUUGAAGUGCAAUGGAUGGAUAUGACAGAUCUAUCAUUUUGGCUAGUAGAUGGAGUUCUUCCAUUCUACUGUUAUUUACUGGUUGUUUUUAUUGAUUCUAGAAAAACAUUUUUUGAUUUGGCAGUUGGAGUUUUUCCCUUUUUUUUUUCUCCCCAUUUUGUAGGCCUUAGAGAACCAAAUAAUACUACAUAUUAGAUAGACAGGAUUAUUAUGUGCUAAUUUGAAGUAUUACCUGGUUGACAAUUUAAGACACUAGUAAAGUAUUUCGCUAUGAUUAUUUUUUUUUGAGAAUUCCAUGAUUCAAAAGGCCGAAGAAUUUCAUUAGUUUAACAUAGUAUAUAUUAACAUAAUUUCUCACUGAGUGUUUUUUUCAACAUUUCAGGCAUGUACAUAUCAAAUUCCCAUUAUGUUCCACUGAAUUCUGCCUCAUGUUAUGUCCGGAUUUGUUGUAAUAAAUUUUGCUACUGUAAAAUUACAAGAUGAUUGUAACUUAAAAUGAACUAUUUCUAUUUGCUCAAUUUUUGACAUUUUAUAUGCAUACAAGUUAAAAAGGUUUUGUUUAUUUUUAUUUUUUUAUUUUUUCAGGUAAUGCAGAUUAGGGAAAAGAUUCAUGGAGCACAUCAUGAUAUGAUGGUGGAAGAUGCACUGCCCCAUGAUGGAUUGAAAAAGAGGAUGACUAUAGUGGAAAGCAAGACCGAGGAAGUAAUAGAAGACAGUGUUCAACCUGAAGAGCCAGAAGAGAAUGAUGAUAUUACUAGAUAUGGACCGGCAAUUUCAGGUGAGUUUGUGGAAGAAACAAAUUCAGAUGAGGGGUGGCAAGAAGCCAAUCCAAAAGGUAGGUCAGGAAAUGCUGCUGUUCGGAAGCUCAGCCGGAGGCGACCUGUUCUUACAAAGCUAAAUGUCAAUGGUUGUGAACAUUCAAAUCUUAGAGAAAAAGGCAAUAGACGGGAAAUUGUAUCUCCAGCACGGGAAAAAGCUUCAAGGACCACCACCACUGAGUUAACAGGCACGAAGGAUUCAAUUAAAUUGCAGGGAAAAGCUUCUGUCUCCAAAGUUUAUGCAAGUCCACCAAACCUUACUGCCAUGGCUUCCAAGUCGCUGUCUUACAAAGAAGUAGCUGUGGCACCACCAGGUACGGUUCUAAAGCCAUUACCAGAGAAACCUGACGAAGAAAUUGAAGAAAAAACUGAAACACAGAUGUGCAGUAAUGCUCCUGAGACAUCAAAGGCGGAGUUGAAUAACCAUUUCUCUCCCGUUGAAGAUGCGCCAGUUGAUGGUCAGUCUCAAGAAACUCAUGGAAGUGUAACUCAAUCUGAAACUACUGCUGCAGAUACCGAGGAAGUUCCUACUUCUUCUAAUGAGGAAAAGCCCAUGGAAACAAAUGGGAGUAAGCUUUCUGCCACAGCUGAACCAUUCAACCCAGGAGCUGUCUCCAUGACUCAUCUGCUAAACUCUGUAGCAGCCACGAGUAUUUAUGAUGCGAGAACUAGUCAAGGUAUGCUUGCAGAACCUGCUGUACCUUCGGCUGCUGCUAGAGUUCCUUGUGGGCCAAGGUCGCCUCUCUAUUAUAGAAAUAAUUAUUCUUACAUGAUGAAACAUGGAUUUCCAAAAUACCACUCUUCCAUUAUGGAAAGAAACCUGUUGGGGCCUUCAAGAAUCAUGAACCCGCAUGCACCCGAGUUUGUGCCAAUGAGAGGUUGGCAAAUAAAUCCUGGAUAUGCAGAUUCAAAUGUUUCAAAUGAGUCGAACUCUUCAAACGACACAAGUGAGGCAGACGAUGAGAAACUUGACAAAAUGUCCAGUAUUCAAGGCGAGGAUAAUACCUCAAGAAAGAGCAGUACAGAGGCGGAGAAUUCAGAGCUGGCAAGACAGAUACUACUUAGCUUCAUUGUAAAGUCAGUCCAGCAUAAUAUGGAUGCUCCAAGUCAUUCUUCAGGCUACGAAAAGAAGAUUGGGUAUUCAGAAAAUUCUUCAGAUGCAAUUGCAAAUGAUAGUGCUAUCAUAAAGAUCCUUUAUGGAAAUGAAAAGGGCAAAACAAACUUGGCAUCUCAGUCCAAUGAUCAAGAACAGCAAAAACCCAAAGAUGAAAACCAAAAAAGUGGGGAUGGUGAAGGAUUUAUAGUUGUCAGAAAACGGAGAAGAAACCGACAGCAGAUCACAAAUGGGGUCACUGAGAUGUACAAUCAUCAAUCCAUCUGUGCUUCUGUUCGUUAAAAGAGAGCAAAGCAAUAAAAUGCAAAGGUGCCGUCCUGUUUCUCCCAAUUUUAUUCGAAAAAUUUGUUAGUGAAUGUUGCUGUUGUAGAGAUGGUUAAAGUUUGGAGCAAGUUUUAAUCAAUACUUGAUUGUAUCAUUUUAGAUAUCCUCUCUGGAUGUUCUAAUAAAAUAUUUGUACAAAUCGGUUUCUUGUUUUGUUAAGAGAUUUUGUUUUGAUCAAUAAAUGAUGAUAAAUUAAUUGGGCGAUUUUCCUCAUCAAGAGAUCUGUGAUGUUGUUCUAUAAUGGAUUUUAAUGUUUUAGACUGAGAUUUGUAGUUAUGCCUCAAAUUAUUUGGUAUUUGGUUGGUGCGUGUGAACAAUACGUUCGGAAUGGAGUUGAAUUGACCCACUGAUAGAUAGCUUACAUUUGCAGCUGAAGUUGCUGCAUUGAUGAUAUUACAACUAACAUAGUAGUUGGCAAAAUUCCUUAUUCAAUUUAAAUUUGCAAUCAACAGAAACUGAAGAAGAAGCCGUAAGUUUAAUCCUAAUGGAUGCAUAGCUGUUUGGAGAAAAGCCAACGGAGACAUAACACAGCACGAUAAGUUAUACACGGCAGAACCGUAUGUGCUAGUAAGCACAGUCACCGAUGGAAAACAUAUUUGAAAAGCCAAUAGUAGCAUGUGUCAAUACAUCUAUCAAUGAAAUAGAACCACAGUCUGCGCCAGUACGAGUUUAUCCAAAGUGCUGCAAAUAAACCCAAAAUUACUGACACAUAGGAUGCUCCAAAACUCCAUCUUAAUGCCACCAUAUCAAUCACAGAAUCGCCUUCAUCUUCUCCUCCUCCUGUAGGUGUCGCUGGUGGUGCCAACGCACUGCUGCAUUUCCUCUUUAUCAUUGAGCCACAAAGAGCCGAAUUACCUUUAUAACUGCUGUCAUCAAAGGUGGCAAACUGCUCUUUGUCUGGGAUUGGGCCGGACAAAUUGUUGUAUGACACGUUGAAGUUUGAUAAAAAGUUGAGAUCAGUUAGUUGAGGAGGAAUUCGGCCACUUAAUUUGUUGCGGGAAAGGUCCAGGCUCUCUAUCAUUUUCAGAUUGGAGAAGCUCUCUGGUAUAGCACCUGAUAGUAAAUUAUUCGACAGAUUAAGUGCACGAAUAUGUUGAAGAUGCCCAAUUUCCCAUGGAAUUUCUCCACUGAACUCAUUGCUCGACAAAUCCAGUCCAGCCAUGUCGACGAGACUGCGACCGAUGAAAAAUUCAUAUCUAUACUUUGUCACAAAUUCUACACCUACUUGUCUAGCAUGUCGUUCACCUUGCGGCGGCUGAUCAAGAGUGGAAUUGUAGAAAGUAAAACUGAGAUCACGAGUUGACACAGCAAAUCCGGGUAUAAUAUUUGGAUAUAUCACUUCAUAUCUGUUUACAUGUGGAUAAUCAUCAAUCGCUUCUCUCCAGAAUGACACGUUACCCAAGCAUGAAGGUAUCGGCCCAUUAAGUCUGUUAUGUGAAAGAUCCAUGAUACCUAAUUUUCUUAAUAGGCACAACUGAUUAGGAAUACGUCCUUGUAGAGAAUUCCCUCUCAAAAGAAGAAAAUGCAAAUUCGAAAGCUCGUUGAUCUGAUGAGGAAUCCUACCAAAAAGCUUAUUGUCCCUCAAAUCUAGAGUCAAUAAUGUAGAGCUUCUAAGCAAUGCAAUUGGAAUUAACCCAUUAAUUGCAUUGUUAUGCAGAUAAAUGUGCUCCACUGAUGAAAGAUUGGAGAGAGAUACCGUGGACCCAGACAAACUAUUUUCGGAGAUGUCUAUAAACUCAAGACCUUCAAGAUUGCCGAGCUGGACCGGAAUAGUACCUUGCAAAUAAUUUUUUGACAUUAAAAGAACCCGAAGGCCUGAGAAGUUGCCAAUCCAGUGGGGAAUAUCGCUGGAUAACUUGUUGUUGGAUACAUCUAAUACCCCCAGCAAAGGGGAGUUCAACAAACCAUCUGUCAUCUUCCCACUGAAAUGAUUGUUGUCCAAAAGUAAGGAACGCAAAUGAGUCAAGUUCAUAAAAUUGGGAAAAAGUUGGCCAUAGAAAUUGUUAUUUGAUAGGUCCAACAUUUCUAAGGAGAGGCAACUAGAGAAUAUAGAUCGAGGUAAUUCUCCUGAAAAAUUAUUUCUAGAAAAAUCCAAAGUAAUUAGCUCUUUCAUCUCACUGAUUGAAUAAGGAAUAUUACCUUCAAAACUAUUUUUUGACAUAUCCAAAUAUAUCAAUUUCUGAAAGAUAAUACCCAAAUUCUCUGGUAGCUUACCAGAAAAAUUGUUACUGGAAAUAUCUAGAUAACGAAGCUUAUCGUAUUUGGCGUUGGGAAGUCGCGGAAGAAUUCCUGAGAAUGAGUUAUUCCACAAAAUCAAAACUUCUAAUCCUGUGUUGUUUUGCAACAACCAAGUUGGGAAAUUGCCAACCAACUGAUUGUGAGAGAGAUCAAGGAAUUUUAAGUUGUAUUGGUGUAAAAGAAAACUGGGAUUGACAUUUAAGUGGCAGUGAGAUAAUUGGAGAACCUUGAGAGGAUAUGUGGGGAGCCAGUUUUCGGUUUUCACUUGCAACAUAUCGUUUCCUGACGAGAGUCGCAAGACCUCAAGCUUUGAAUGAUUAGCCAAUGAAUUUAUUGAGAAUGUUCCUUGGAAAUCGAUGAAAGAGAGAUCCAAAUAUUCAAGUGAUGUGAGGUUGGUCAAGGCAGAAGGAAAGUUUCCACUUAACUGAUUGUAAGAAAUAUCAAGAACUUUGAGAUGGGUCAAGUUGUUGAGGCACUGAGGAAGGUGAACCACAAAAUUAUUUGACUUUAAAUCCAACUCAAGAAGAUUCUUCAAAUUACAUAUUCCUGAAAGUGAAAAUAAAAAGCUCAGAUUUCAUAAAACGAAAACUAAUUAUAGCGCAUUCAAUCAUAAACCCAAUAUAAGACUUAUAAAACGGACAUGAAAUCAAAUUGUCUAAGUAUUUUGGUCAACAUAAAUAAUAAUAGAAUGAUAUGAAUUUAUUUCUCAUAUAAUAUGAUGUUGAUUGCAAAAGCGUUUCAAUUAAUCUAACAAAAUAAUAAUAAUAAUAAUAUAAAAGCAGUCAGCAAUUCUUGCUCAUCAUAAUCCAUUCAAAAAGCGUUUCAGCAAUUCUCGUUGUUUAAAAUAAUGAUUUUCCGAGGAAGAGUUUGUUGACUUCGUCUUUUUCGUUGGAUAUUCGUUCUCUAAUCUCUAAAUUUGUUGGAUAAUGUAAAGAGAAACUCAUAAUAUAUUAGUUGCUUUCUUAAACUUUAUUUAUUCCUCUCAUAGCAUUAAACAAAACUAUUUGCCCUAGCAGAAAAAAAAAAAAAAAACUGGUCUUUAUAUUUAAUUUGGUGAAAGUACUUUGACCAACAAGUCACUGGGAAGUAGGAAUUGUGCAUCAGUAAUGCAAAUAUUGGGUGCGUUGGCAUUGUUUUUAUAUGCUGUUUUUUAUUUUUUGAUUUUAGAAAAUAUUAGAUACGUGUUCGGUAGAUUGUUUCUGAAAAUAUUUUUAAAAAUAUAAAAUUCAUUCUACACAUUUUAACAAAAGAAAUGAGAAACAAUUUUUUCUUAUUUUCCUUAUUUCCCAAUACAAAAUUAAGUUCCAAAAUGAAGAAUUCUCUGUACCUCCUCCUGAAAUAAUAAUAAUAUCAACAUUAUUAUUAUUAUUAUCAUUAGGUCUAAUUAUCUCUGGGUGACAGAUGUUUUAAUAAAUUUCAAAAAGAUGACACAUGUUUUGAAAACACUCGAGUGGGUGACAUUCCAUUAACUUUUGUUGUUAAUUUUAACCAGUCGAGGGUAGAAUUGAAAAAAUAAUUUUUUUUUUCAUAAAGCCAAAGAGAUGAAAAUAUUGAAUUUAUACAAUACUUUAUAAUUCAUAAGAUUUUUGCUUCUUUAUAUUCACAAAUCAGUUUGAUCAACAAGAAUUUUUUUAAAAUUUAUUUGAUUUAACAAAAAAAACUUGUUAAUUAGACUUAUGUUUAAUUUUUUUUUAUAUUUUCUAUUUAAAAAAUUAAAAAUGAGUGAGUAUGGGCAGAAACAUCAUUUUGUGGGGUAGAAACGUCAUUUAAUUUACUAUUCCCAUUAAAAUUAAUGACAAAAGUUAAUAGAAUGUCACUCGCUCGAAUAUUUUUAAAAAAUGUCAUCUUCUUAAAAUUUGUUAAAACAUAUGUCACCUAUUUGUUAAACAUAUGUCACCUAGAGAUUAUUAUUCUUAUUGUUGUUGUUGUUGUUGUUGUUGUACCCAAAGACUCAAUUUCCUUCACAAAAAUCUUUUCUUUUUAUAUACAUUAUAAUAUUUAUGUUUUUAUAUAUUAACUAAAUCAAAUAUGUAGGGUUUCUCAUUUUUCUUUGAACAAAAAAAUAGAAGGAUCACCUAAUUUAUUCUUAAAAUUAAAAUAAUCAAUAUACAUUGCUUAAUCUUAAGUUUAUGGAAAUUAUUCCAAUAAUAAUUCUUUGAGAUAUUCUUACCAAACAUAUUUAUGUUUUUCUCAUUUUUCAGAUUAUUUUUGAAAAUGAUACUGAACACAUUUUUAAAUUUUAAAAAUAAAUUUCAAAAUAGCAUUUUCAUUUUUAUUUUGUAAAAACAACAAUUAGAAAACAAUAUUGGGCUAUUAUUUAUCAUGUUUCAACAUAAAAACACAGUGUAAAUUGUUUAAUAUGGGUUUCUAGAGAAUUUUUUAUGUUACUAUUACUCAAAUUCAAUGCUUCCAAGCUUUUGAAUUUAGCUAAUCUUGCAUCAAGAAUUAAUGAACAUAAGAAAAAAAAAUUUCAUUCAGAACUAUAAAUAUUGAAAUAAAGAUAGAUAUCAUUGUUGAUCUUUUUAUAAAAAUGAUUUAGAAUUAAGAGAGAGUGAAAGAAAUGAGCGGGUUAUGUCGGAAAUUGGUGAUAGAGUAUAUCAAGUACUACACUUUGUAUAGAAAGCAGUGCUUCUAAUUUAAAUUUGAUCUAGUUUAAAGCAAUUAAAAAAUGGAAAUAUAUUAUCAUCUUGAUUAACAUCUAAAACAAUUUUAUCAUUGGAGGAAGUGAAUUGUUAUAUACCUUGAAUUGUAGUUAUCCCACAAUAACCAAGACCCAAUGUUUUCAAGUUUGGCAAAUCUGCGAAUCCUACAUGCGUCGAUAAAAAAUGAAAAUAUUACAUUUAAAGGCAUUGUAUGUGAUCCGCGUGUUUGAUGAACGUUAACUCUACAUUUAAUUUGCUUCUUAUCUCAAAUUCAGUGGCCUACCUAGCGUUGUCAGAUUUUGAUUAUCGCUUAAAUACAACACUUGCAGGUUUGUCAAAUUUGCUAAUCCUGCUAAAAAAAACAUAAAUUUUGUCAAUAACAGAUAUGUCACUCUCGUCUAAAUUGUUUAGUUAAAAUAAUAUGGUAAAUAUUGAAUGAAAAUUAACUGUGCACAUUGUUAUUUUUUUGUUUCUAUGGAUAUUUUAAUAUAUACCGUCACUUUUAGCAUUACCAAGAUUUGGAGUGUUUGAAUCAUAAUUUGUAAAUUAGUUUGCACUUUGAGUAAACUUGAAAAUGUGAAAAAAGCAAUUAAAAAAAAUGCAAAUAUAUUAUCAUCUUGAUUAACAUCUAAAACAAUUUUUGUCAUUGGAGGAAGUGAAUUGUUAUAUACCUUGAAUUGUAGUUAUCCCACAAGAACCAAGAUCCAAUGUUUUCAAGUUUGGCAAAUCUGCUAAUCCUACAUGCACCGAUAAAAAAUGAAAAUAUUACAUUUAAAGGCAUUAUAUGUGAUCCAUGCGUUUGAUGAACAUUAAUUCUACAUUUAAUUUGCUUCUUAUCUCAGAUUCAGUGGCCUACCUAGCGUUGUCAGAUUUUGAUUACCGCUUAAAUACAACACUUGCAGGUUUGUCAAAUUUGCUAAUCCUGUUAAAAAAAGGUAAAUUUUGUCAAUAACAGUUAUGUCACUCUCGUCCAAAUUGUUUAAUUAAAACAAUAUGGUAAAUAUUGAAUGAAAAUUAACUGUGCACAUUGUUAUUGUUUUUGUUUCUAUUGAUAUUUUAAUAUAUACAGUCACUUUUAGCAUUACCAAGAUUUGGAGUGUUUGAAUCAUAAUUUGUAAAUUAGUUUGCACUUGGAGUAAACUUGAAAAUGUGAAAAAAGCAAUUAAAAAAAUGCAAAUAUAUUAUCAUCUUGAUUAACAUCUAAAACAAUUUUUGUCAUUGGAGGAAGUGAAUUGUUAUAUACCUUGAAUUGUAGUUAUCCCAUAAGAACCAAGAUCCAAUGUUUUCAAGUUUGGCAAAUCUGCGAAUCCUACAUGCGCCGAUAAAAAAUGAAAAUAUUACAUUUAAAGGCAUUGUAUGUGAUCCGCGCGUUUGAUGAACAUUAAUUCUACAUUUAAUUUGCUUCUUAUCUCAGGUUCAGUGGCCUACCUAGUGUUGUCAGAUUUUGAUUACCGCUUAAAUACAACACUUGCAAGUUUGUCAAAUUUGCUAAUCCUGUUAAAAAAAGGUAAAUUUUGUCAAUAACAGUUAUGUCACUCUCGUCUAAAUUGUUUAAUUAAAAUAAUAUGGUAAAUAUUGAAUGAAAAUUAACCGUGCACAUUGUUAUUUUUUUGUUUCUAUGGAUAUUUUAAUAUAUACCGUCACUUUUAGCAUUACCAAGAUUUGGAGUGUUUGAAUCAUAAUUUGUAAAUUAGUUUGCACUUUGUGUAAACUUGAAAAUGUGAAAAAAGCAACUAAAAAAAAUGCAAAUAUAUUAUCAUCUUGAUUAACAUCUAAAACAAUUUUUGUCAUUGGAGGAAGUGAAUUGUUAUAUACCUUGAAUUGUAGUUAUCCCACAAGAACCAAGAUCCAAUGUUUUCAAGUUUGGCAAAUCUGCGAAUCCUACAUGCGUCGAUAAAAAAUGAAAAUAUUACAUUUAAAGGCAUUGUAUGUGAUCCGCGCAUUUGAUGAACAUUAAUUCUACAUUUAAUUUGCUUCUUAUCUCAGAUUCAGUGGCCUACCUAGCGUUGUCAGAUUUUGAUUAUCGCUUAAAUACAACACUUGCAGGUUUGUCAAAUUUGCUAAUCCUGUUAAAAAAAACAUAAAUUUUGUCAAUAACAGAUAUGUCACUCUUGUCUAAAUUGUUUAAUUAAAAUAAUAUGGUAAAUAUUGAAUGAAAAUUAAUUGUGCACAUUGUUUAAUUAAAAAAAUUAUUGUCUAAAGAACCGUGUAUAUAAUAAUUAGAACUCAAAUCCAACGCUUCCAAGUUUUUUAAUUUAGCUAAUCUUGCGCCAAGAAAGAAGAAAAAUCUUAGUAAUCGUCUUUGGGAAAAAAAUAAAGAAUUAAGAAAUUAGAUUAAAUAAUUGUAGUAAUAAAGCAUAUGACUCAGAUCUAAUUAAAUUGAUCAUAUACUCAAAAAUGAUUUUUUUUUAAAUUUUACUAAGAAAUUAGAAAGUAAUUUUUUGCCGUAUACCAAUUGUAGUCAAGUUUGUCAAGUUUUCCAGUCAAAAAUUGGUUUUAAUUUGACAUUAUACAUGUGUAAAAAUUAAGGGCAUAAUAAUAUCACAAGGAAUUUGGGUAGUGACUUGUUGCCGUGUGCUGACUUGGUAAUUAUCUCAGUAGCCUACCUAGCCUUGUUAAAGAGCCACUAGUUAUAUUGAAGUUCAAGCUUAGAUCCAACACUUGCAAGUAUCUCAAAUUUGCUAAUCCUGCUCAGAAAACAUUAAUUUUGAUCAAGACAAUAUAAAUAUACAUUUUAAUUAAGAAAUUAAUUAAGUUGCCUGAUAUGUAUAUCUGCUGGCCUGAAACGUAUAUGUAUACCUUGCUUGGUUCUGGAACCUUCAAUGGAAUUGGAAUUAAGAAUCAAAGUGGUAAGUGAAGUUAGUGUAUUCAAAUAUGGUAAUAUGCUGUCGUUGAAGAAAUUAAGACCAAGAUUUAACAUCUUCAGCUGCUUCAAACUCCCAAAGCUAUCGUAAGCUGCAAAUGCAUAUGAAGUGUUAUUAUUAAUUAGUCACUGACAAAAUAUUUAUGGACAAGAAAUAAAUGUAUACAUAUAUACGGACCUCUAUUCUCAUAGAUGCCUGCAAACCCAUUCCCAGAUAAGUCAAGACUUUGCAGUUCUUCAAAAGGAUGAAACAAUGACAUAUUCAGAACCAAAACUCCCUCCCAAUAAACAGAGUUAUUGAUCAGAAGCGAAGCCGAAGUACUAUCAAAAUAAUUCAAUCUGUGUGUAUGAUUGAGUGAGAGUUGCAUCACGCGUCGUGUGGUGGCGCUGCACUUAACUCCCUCCCAAUCAUCACAACAAUCAGACGGCAUUCCAUCAUCCUCACCAACCCAUGAAGGAAGAAUUUUGUCAUCAUAUCCAAUAUCACUGACUGAUGAUAUGAAGAAGCUCUUGAUUUCCAACAGAGCAGUCCUCUCUGUUUCCAAGCAUCCUUUGUAUCCAUGCAUUUCAUUCAUCAAUACAAUAAUCCAAAUUAGUGACAUUAAUGAGAACUUAAUACAGGAAGUACUUUCCAUUGCAGAGCAACUUUUCAUUUGGUUAAAAUUAAAUGUGCAAUGAGCAACUUUCCAUUGCAGAGCAAUUUAUACUAAAAGUUUAUCGCAGGUCUUGCAAUUUGAUUGGCUGAAGACUUUUUUAAGACUUUGAAGACUUGUAAGCAUUCCAUGUUUGGCAGCAUUCGACCAACGGGAAAAAGCACUUCAUUAAUACCCCGGGGAAAAUAUAGAUAAAGUGAUUAUAAACUAUAAAUUUUUCCAAUAGUUUGAUGGAGAUAAUCAUAACUAAUAAAAUAAAAGUUGACUGAGAGAAUUUAAAUAAUUUAACCGCAUGUUUGGAUUUCCAUUGCAUUAUCAGUCAAUCUAUUAAAUAAUGUGUUUUGAGAAGAAUUUGAUUGGAUGUUUGAUGAGUUUAAAUUAAUUUAUUAGAAAAUCAAUAAUUAAUCAACGUAAAUCUUCGUGUAUGUUUAGUUAGUGUGGCGUAGUCUGAAAUGACAAAACACAUAAAUGUUAUUUGAAGCUCUUGUGACCCUUUGUGUUCCUGCAUUCGGAUAAGGAAAGUUUCCAUUGCUCCAGUCUACACUCUUCACUACUAUUACAAUCACUUGAAAUGACAAAAACAGAAACUUCGUAUGAACAUGGGACCGAUGUACGGGUCCAAUUUAAAUGACCCUAGCUAAUUUUGCAUAUAUUAUUGCAACUACGUGGAAAAUUAAAGUUGACUGACUUUCAAAUUAAGCCAACAAACAAGUGGCCAUCAACUCUUUUCCCUCUAUGAUUGGUUUUUUUUUUUUUUUUAAAUUGAAUUGUAAGAUUGGGUUUGCAUUGAAUUAUCCAACAAUCUAUUCAAGCAUUGAUAUUUGAUAUUAUCAAAUAUUUAAUGGGUUUUGAAAAUUAUUUACUAGAUUUUUGAUAAAUUGAUUUUUAUUAUUUCAUGAUCAAUAAUUAAUCAAGUAAUUUUAUAUAUAUAUAUAUUUGGUAUUUGGUAAUUUACUCAUAAAAAGUGUGGAUCACAUUGAAAUGUUAUUUUAUAUGAUGCAUGACAUACGGAGAGGUGCAGUUUAAAUGCGCAAAUAAUUUAUUUAUUAUAACAUGCAAUCAUUGAGUUAAAGCGCAAGCGUGAGUUUGGAUUUGAAAUAUUCAAAUAAUUUAUUUCAUUAUUGAUUCUUAAAUAACAUGCUUUGGAAUUAAUAGUUCGAUAGGAUGUUUGAUAUAUUGAAAUUUGUGAUAAUCAAUAAUCAACUAAUUUUCAUUCAUAUUUAAAGAUUUUAAUAAAUUACUCAUAAAAUUGUGGCGUAUAUUGAAAUGACAAUCAAUCUUGAUAUUGACUGACAAUCAAUUUUUAUAGUGAUUGGCACUUAAGACAAUCAGUUUUGGUCUCCGUAAUGACUAAUGAAGAAUUGUAAGCCUGAAAUUCCACAUGUUGCAAUGUUGGACCAAUGAGGGAAAUGCUUCAUUAACAUUACAUGGAAAAUAAAUGUUGACUGACUUUCAAAUUAGGCCAACAUACAAGUAGUCGUCAAUUCUAUUUUUUCCAACAGUUGAUAAAGAUGGCAAGUUAAGAAAAAAAAAAGUUGAUUGAGAUAAUUUAAAGAAUUUAAGCGUAAGUUUGGGUUUGAAAUUAUCAAAUAAUUUAUUCCAGCAUUGAUUCUUAAAUAAUGUACUUUGGAAUUAAUAACUCAAUAGGAUGUUUGACAUAUUGAAAUUUGUGAAAAUCAAUAAUCAAUUAUUUUUCAUACAUGUUUAGACAUUUUAAUAAAUUACUCAUAAAUUUGUGGUGUACACCGAAAUAAUAAGUUAAUAAAUUGAAAUGAUAUCUAAAACUCUUGAGUCCCUUUGUAUCCUUGCAUUAAUUUGAAUUGAAGCUCGAAUUAAAAUCGAAGACCCAUAUUGAGAAUUUAUAUAAGUAACUUAAGAGUAUGAUUGGGUUUACAUUGACUUAUAUAUAUCAAACAAUAUAUUCAAGCGCUGAUAUUCUCAAAAAAAGAAAAAAAAAGACAAUCAAUCUUUGCGUCAACUGAUAUUAUUGAUUGGUAAUAAAUCUUAGUAGUGAUUGACAAAGCUUGGGAAAAUCACUCUCGGUGAUUAAUAGUCUUCGUCCUCAUCUUUGUUUUGAUCGUUGUGAUAGAGGAUGAGUGGUGCGUAAGAGAGGGUUCAUCGCUUGCGGAAUUUUCGCGGCCAUUCAAGAAUCAGGAUGGUUGUUGUAGAAUUCCACGAGAAUUGGCCUUGCAAUUAGGGAAAGUUCAAUAUUAAUUUAUACUAAAAGUUUAUCUUAGGCCAAUCACAAUGACCACCAAAACCUAUGAAUAAUUAGUCCAUCGAAACCCAAUGUAUGCUCAAUUAAUAUUUCCUAUCAAGAUCAAAUUUUUCGCUCUUCACCAAUCAUGAGCAUAAAAGCUCGAUUUAUACAAAAAUUAAGAAUUUAUGAAAAAAAGUCACAAUUAUUAUAAUUGGAAGUUUGAUUGAUUUUUAAAGAUUGAUUCAAUCAAUCUUAAUGUUACUGGACAAUCGAUCUUAAUAUUAAUUCAAAAUCAAUCUUUAUAGCAAUUGGCACAAAUAAAGAUAAUUAGUUUUGGUCUCUAUAAUGACUGACGAAGACUUGUAGGACCUGGACCAAUGAGGAAAAACGCUUCAUUAAUACUCCAUGGAAAAUAAAUGUUGACUGACUUUCAAAUUAAGCCAACAUACAAAUGGUCGUCAAUUCUAUUUUUUACAAAAAUUGAUGGAGAUAGUCAACUAAUAAAAUAAAAUUGAUUGAGAUAAUUUAAAGAAUUUAGGCAUAAGUUUGGGUUUUAAAUUAUCAAAUAAUUUAUUCCACUAUUGAUACUUAAAAAAAUGCUUUGGAAUUCAUAAUUCAAUAGGAUGUUUGAUAAAUUGGAAUUUGUGAAAAUCAAUAAUCAACUAUUUUCACAAUAAACUGAGAUUUUUUUUUUUUGAAAGCCAAUAGAAACAUGAAUUAUAGUACAUCCAUCGAUUGACGUAUAAUUAUAAUCAUAUAAUCAAACACGCACACUACAAGGCGACCUUCGAUUGACGUAUUCUGUCGACUAACCCAGGGACAUGGAGGAUGUUUUAACGUUAUAUAAAAAAAAAAUGAUGAAUAAUAUAGUUCCCGGCAGUGCUAAAAAAUGAUCAAUAAUCGGAUGAGGAAAUUUACGAAAGAUUUAUUAAAUGAUCAGAGACUUUCUGCAAUUUCAUUGACUUAUUCUACGAUAAUUAUAAUCAAACACGCACACUGCAAGGCGACCUUCGAUUGACGUACUCUGUCAACUAACCAAGGGACAGGGAGGAUGUGUGUUGACGUUAACCAAUAGCCAAGUUUAUAAACACAAUCAAGCAAUCAUAUGAUCAAUCAGAGCCACAUUCGACGCACGACUAGUAAAUAUCAUAAUUGAGUUUGAGGACCACAGCCUUACGGUGAAAGAAUUUGAAUGGAGAUCACUGCCAAAUCGUUUUUUGUCUGGGAUCAGACCAGACAAGUUCUUGUAUGACUCGUUAAAGUUGGAUAAAUAGUUGAUGAGUGAUCUGAAGAUCACUGAUAAGAAAUUUUGUCAUUUUUGUUUGGUAAAUUAUUCGUAAAAUUAUGGUCUACUCUGAAAUUACAAAAAUAAGCAUAAUUAAUUUGGAUAAAGGAAAAGCAAAGGAAAUUGAGAAGGAAACCAGAGGAAGGCUAAAGAAAAAUAAGCCGAUUCAUCAGUAACUCAAGAUCACAACUUUGGAUUUUUUUAGCAUCUGAAAUUUCAACAACUAUUCAAGUGAUGCGAGGUUGGUCAAGGUGGAAGGAAAGUUUCCACUUAAUUGAUUAUUAGAAAUAUCAAGAACUUUGAGAUUGGUCAAGUUGUUGAGACACUGAGGAAGGUGACCCUCAAAGUUAUUUGAGCUUAGAUCCAACUCAAAAAGAUUCUUAAAAUUACAUAGUCCUGAACUUGAAAAUAAAAGAUCAAAAUUUUAUAGAAUGAAAACUAAUUAUAGCAAAUUCGAUCAAAAUCCAGUACAAGACUUAAAAAACAGACAAAAAUCGAAUUGCCUAAUUAUUUUGGUCAGCACAAAUAAUAAUAGAGUAAUGUGAACUUAUUUCUCAUAUAAUAUGAUGUUGAUUGCAAAAGCGUUUCAAUAAUCUGGAAAAAGGGGAAAAAAAAAUAAGCCCUCAGCACUUUUUGUUUAUCAUAGCCCGGAGUCCUUCUUGUUUAACAUUAUGAUUUUCUGAGGAAGAAUUUGUUCACUUGAUGUUGUUCAUUGGACAAUGGUUCUGUAACCUCUAAACCUAUUGGAUAAUGUAAAGAGAAAUUCAUAAUAUUUUAGUUGUCUUCUUAAAUAAUAAAUUGUCUUAAAAUACAAUUAAUUUGUCUUAAAUUUAAUCUAUUUCUCAGUAUUUAAAGAAAAACAAAAAGAAAAAAAGAAAAAGAAAAACGAACUGGUCUUCAUAUAUAAUUUUGUCCAAGUACUUUGAUCAACAAAUCAUUAGGAAGGUGGUGUAUCAGUGAUGCAAAUAUUUAAUUAUCAUGUUUCAACAUAACAAUUCUGUGUAAAUUGUUCACUUUAUGUUUCUAGAGAACUGUUUAUAUUAUUAUUACUACUCAAAUUCAAUGCUUCCAAGUAUUUGAAUUUAAUUAGCUAAUCCUGUAUCAAGAAUUAAUUAAUGAACAUAAGAUAAAUGUCAUAUUAGUUAGAUUUAGAUUUUUUUUUCCAGUUUUGAUGUAUAGAUAAUGUUUUCAACUGGUUUUGGGGUAAGAAAAGCCAAACCAAUCUAGAACAAUAAAUUUGUUAUUUUGAGGGGAGAUGGGGUACCUCACUGGUUUAUUGUGUGUUGGGCGGUGUAUCUAAGAUUUUGGGGAGGUGAGAAAGGGAGAGAGAGUGGUAACAAUGGUGGAAGAUCAGAAACAAGAGAGGUAUCCUUCAAAAUGAGCUUCACGCCUGCAAAACAAUGAAAUAGAGGUUAGAGGUGAAGCCGGGGGUACCCCGGCGUUCACACUCCGACGCUCAAGUUAGCAAACUCAAGCUUUUAUUGCAAAGAGAGCUAGCUAGCCCUCUGUAAAUUAGGGUUUAAGGUUGAAGAAAACCUCUUUUUUGGAGUGUGAGUGUUUUUGGGCGAAUGAGAGCAUGAUGGAGAAUGAAACCUAGGCGCCUUUAUAUAUGGAGUACCUUAGCUGCCACGUGGCAUACCCUUUUUGGCUAACGUCCUUUUACCGCUUUUAUGAUUCUUGGGGCCGUUAUGUGCAUGUUCGCGGCGUAUCUCAUCUUUUGGAAACGUGGCGCGCGCUGGAGAGUGGUCCAGGGUACCUCUGCAGUAGCUGUCGGGUAGGCGGCUAGGGACCACUGUCCUUGGGACAGUGUCCUUCACUUUUGGCAGAGGUAGCAGACGGCUGUCCCUCCUUUUAGCACGUCGCUUUUGAUUCCUAAUUCUGACAAAAUCAAAUGAUAUCUUUUAGGAGGCGGAGACGUUUCUCAUGGCGGAUAUUUUCGGUGGAUUCUCUUGCAUCCGCUUUGCCGGGUACCUCGAAUUACAUGGGGUACCCCCUAUUACGCAGGGUACCCCUAUCUGUAUGGGAUACCUCUAUUUGUAUGGGGUACCUCUAUUUGUAUGGGGGUACCUCUAUUUGUGUGGGAUACCUCUAAUUGUGCAGGGUACCUCUAUUUAUACGGGGUACCUCAAGUCAUGUCGGGCACCUCGGAUUAUGUAGGGUACCUCCGAUUGUGCUGAUAUCAUUCCAUUGGCUGACACGUGGCGCUCUAUUACCUUUCCCAUCUUUCCCUCAAACAACAUCCCCCUAGUUUCUUUUUGGCGAGAAGUAUUGGAGGCAAAAGAAACUUAUUGUAUGAGUGACACGUGGCGAUGCGGCUGGAUCGGAGGGUACCUUGCUUAGCUUCUUCCCUUGACUAAACUUUGUGUACUUCAAACUAAAAAUCUUCUCUUUGUCUUUUCCUUUUCCCGCUUUUUUUUUUUUUUUUUUUACACGAUGAGAACGAACAGUUGUCUUCAUAUGUCUCUCUCCUUUUUCUUGGGAAGUGGCAGCCGUCUGACACGCAGUUUGAAUUUUGAAAAUACAAAUCUCACUCAAACAUCCUUGAACUCCUUUCUUGAGCAACGUGUUCUGUCAGGUUGAAUUUAAAACUCCUGACGUGUGUCAAAGUUUUGAAAAUCCCCAAACGAACUCCCAAAAAUUGAUUAUUUCCAGUAGCCUUUUUCUUCCAUAAUUUCGUCUCUUCUUCUAACUGGAUCAACAUUUCCAGUAGCCUUUUUUUUUUUUUUUUUUUUUUUUUUUUUUUUUUUUUUUAGCCUUGUUCAUCUUCCCUAGGCUUUACUCUCCCUUUACUCUUUUUCUUUUAUUUCUUUCCCAUUUUCUUUCUCCCUUUUCUUUCUCACGUUUCUCUUUCCUUUUUCUCUCUUUUCCUUCUUCCUUUUCUUUCUUUCUUCUUUCUCUUUCUCUCUCGGCCGGCGUUGAUCUGGUACGUUUUCCGGCGUGGAUCUCGGCUGCUGCAGUGGCGGUUUUGGGCUCCAGAUCUGGUCGGUUCAAGGCGAUUUCCGGCGGCUCACGGCGAGAUCUCAGUCCGGCGAUACACACGGUAACCCCUCCUUCAUCGUUUCUUUAUUUUUCCCUUGGUGCUUUCUCUCUUCCUUCCCUUUUCUUCUCUUUUUCGUUUCGGCUUGGUGUUUUUCUCUGUGAUUUCCGGCGUCGGUUUGGUGUGGUUGCAGCCGGCGUCGGUUCGGUGCUUGCAGCCACGACAGCCGGCGUCGGUUUGGUGGCUGCUGUCCCUUCUUCCGUGUUGUCUUCUCUGUUCUUCGUUUUCUUUUUUUUUUUUUUUUUUUUGGCUGGCGUCCUCCUUUGGCGGUUUCCGGCAUCCUUCUCGUGAUCUCCGGCGUCGGUUCUCGGUGGUUGCAGCCAUGACAUCUGACGCCGGUUGCUGCAGCUUCUUCGUUCUUCAUUUUAUUUAUUCAUUUAUUUAUAAAUAACUAUAUAUAUUUAAGCUUAUUUUUGUUUUUAUACUUGCAUAUUUUUACCCACUAUUUUUGGUUGCCUGCAGCUUCAUUUCGCCGCGAUUAUCAAUCCCGAUCUGUUGAAUUGGUGAAUCACAGGUAUCCCUCCUCGCUUCUCCUCCUUUGGCGCAUUCACAGUGGCGCUAUUUUGCAUACUCUGAGAAAAUUUUGUUUUUGGUUUUUGUUGUUUUUUUUUUUUUUGUUUUGUUGGUUGGUGUUUGCAUUUGGUGGUUGAUGUGUGGUGGAUGGUGCUUGGUAUGGAUAUAUUGCUGUUUGGAAAACAUGUGGCUUGUUGGAUGUGUUGUUGGGGGCUUGUGGAUAUGUUGUUGGGUGUAUCGUUGGGUGUAUUGUUGGGGAACUUGUGGAUGUGCUGUUAGGGGCUUGUGGAUGUGCUGUUGGGGAACUUGUGGGUGUGUUGUUGGGGAAAAGUAGAUGGGCAAAAAGCACACGGGACCCCCGAUGAAGCGACGUAAAGUUGGGGCUAGUAGGGUUGACAACCCUCCUGCGGGUUCCCCUUCCCACAUCUCCAUCAGCGAGGGGGAUCGGUCCCCUCCUAAUUCCUCUAUGAGUUGCAAUUCUCGUUCUGAGCCCCCUCCUCCUAGGAGUACCCCUCGUGUCAGCCCACGCUUUCCUAGUAGACGGCCUACCCCUCAUCCUCGAAAGAAGGGUAAGCCAACCAAGCCUAAGGUUCCAGCUCGUUCCUCGGACCAGCCGCCUAAAUCUCCCCCUGCCACACCUUCAAAAUCUAGCAACCCUUUUUCCCUAGGCAUUAGGAGGGCUACUUUGGGGGAGUUGGAGCAAAUUAGAGCCAAAUACAAUAUUCCUCCGUCUGUCCAGCUUAGGGUACCCCAUGUGAAUGAGCGACCCGAGUGUCCAAAGUCUGAUGGGAUUGCUCUCCAUAUCGAUCUCUUCGAUCUAGGACUCCGCCUGCCCCUCCAACCAUUCUUUAUGAAAAUGUUUAGUUACUUGGGGGUAGCUCCUGGGCAGCUGUCCCUUCCAGGGUGGAGGACACUGACGGGCUUACAUGUGUUAUGGUUGGAGGUCGUGAAGCGCGACAUUUCUGUUCGGGAGUUGAGGGGCCUUUACCAAUUCAAGAAGCCUAAGGGUCCCGGCAUUGCUUACUUCUCUCCCUGGGGUGAUCAUGGCCACAUCGUUGAGGGGAACCCCGCCUUGAAGAAGGGUUACCGAAAGGGAUGAUUUGUCGCUGAGGGUACCUCCCACAGCGGGUCAAAGGGUACCCCUCGCUCGAAGAAGAGAAAAUUCGGGCUGGUUUCUACUUUUCCCGAUGAGUUACGUGAGGGUGACUUAGACCCGGCUUCUAACAAGGAGGUUUCGCACUUGGCUCGCCACUUUUACUACUCUGCUGAAAAUGUUACCUCCGAGGUUGCUGAAGAGGUUGACAAGAUGAGCUUGAGCCAGCGUUAUGGUCAAGCACUUAGGGCUACCCAAGAGGUAGGCUUUCUUGGGGUACCCCGGGUGUACUCUUCAUCAUUUUCUUUUUACUUAUUUGAUCUUUUCGCCAUACACAUAUAUUUAACAUGUCUUGCAUGACCCGCAGGCAUCCUUUCUCCUUAGCCACUGCCUUCCGGAUCUCGACUCCCUUGUUGCCGCACAGUCAGAGGUCGACAAGUUAAGGAGUGAGCUUCAAAGCCGUCAAUCUCGUGAGGAUCAGCUCGCUCGAGAAGUUAAAACUCUGCAAGAACGCAUUGCUGGCCUAUCGGGAGAGAAAGCUAGGGUGGAGAAGGAUUGUGAGGAGUUGAGGGCCACCAACGGGGAUCUGCUAUCUCGGCAAAAGACGAUGGCGGAGGAUGCAUUCUCACUCAUCAUGACAGAGGUGUGGAGUGUGGAUCCGGCGUUGGAGGUACCCCGCGUGCAGAAAUUUGUCAACAAGGCUGCCAUUCUGAAGACAAUUGCAGAGCGGAAGAAGUCUUCCCAGGCACGGUCGGGUACCCCUUCUGGGUCGCCUGGGGUACCCCAUCAGCCUCAGUCGUUGCCCGCCUCGGAUGCCCCUAUUUCGGCGGCUCAUAUUCCGGGUACCUCGGAGUCUUCUGCCGAUCGCCCUCUAGAGACGGAUGUUGGGGAUCGCGUUCCCCCCUCGGUGUAGCCUUCUCACUGUGCUCUUGUUUAUCGGAUCUAUCCACAUUUUGCUAUUUGGACCUUGUUUAUUUCUUUUUGGUUUCUCGGGAUAUUUUGUUUUAUUGAGACUUCUCUUUUGUUAUGAUACCAUACCAUCUAGUCCUCUUGUACUUUGCAUUAUUCUGCAAAUGAAUGCUUGGCUAAACUGUUAUCUUACAAAUUCCUAGGGUACCUCUCAUUUCAUCAUUUUUUUUAAAAUGGGGUACCCCUGGUACCUUAACAAGUAUUCAACAUCAGGCGCCUGCUGGUUUACACUGAGCGGCGAAUUUGGUGCAUGCCCUCCUCGGCAACCAUGGCGGAUUUUCCACAAAUAGGUAAUCAAAACAUCGUCGCGACAUCUCGAUCAAAAAUUGAAAGUGCGCAAUUGGUCCAACCAAUCAAUUUCUUAUUCUUUCGAAGUGCUCUCCGAAUUUUUGAAUAGCUUACCCCAUACUUUGCAAAAGUACGAGGAUGGAGGUGUGGGUGUUCUCAUACCUAAGCCGAACUUCGUGCCGCUAGGGUAUGCCGGUUUUUCUUCACCCUCGGGUCCUCUUUGACCCUCCCUCUCUUUGUCUAGGUAGCUUUGUCAUGCUUCCGCAGAAAGGCUACCCCUGGGCUGUUCACUCCAUUGCCUAUCUUGGCUUUACACAGAUCGUCACGAUCUAGGCAUAUCAAGUACCUUGGCUGGUCCUGUGAUAGGUUAGUCAUAACUGACAAGCGUAUGGCGAGAAUUGCAUAUAACCAGAUGCGAGGGUAUAUUAAUGGCGAUAAAUGAAUGUAAUCUGCAUUCUAAGAUCGAAGUGGCGAAAAAUAAAGAAAGAACUCACAUCAUAUUUGUUGAGAAAGAAAAUGCAUUUAUAGAUAACGAAAGCGUUGAUCAAUACAUGACUUAGCUUUGUUACCCUGAGGAGAAUGGGAGACCGCAAGACCUCCUAUUCUUUUCAUUUGAAAAUUAAAGAAACUCUAAAGUUGUAACUGACCAACAUAGGGCAUUUGGGGUACCCUAUUUGGCAUACCACACAAAAACAUUAAAGAAAGCAAAUAACAGCAAAAGACUAAAGGUUGAGACACUGUCCUUUAGUAAUAUUUCCGUAGCAUUGCAGCGUUCCAGGGGUGCCUCACAAUUGUGCCAUCCAUGUGGAGUAGCCUGUAUGCACCUGUCCCAACGGGUUUGUCGAUGCGGUAAGGUCCUUCCCAAUUUGCCCCGAAAGCACCUUCGUAGGGUACCCUAGUGUUCUGAGUUACCAUUCUCAAGACUAAGUCUCCUUUCUUGAAGGAUCGAGGGCGUACCCUUUUUUCAUAUAGACCCGAAAUGCGAUGCUGAUAUAUGGAUGUCCUCAGUUCUGCUCUAGCCCUUUUUUCAGCUACCAAAUCAAGGUUUGAAGCAACCAAGGAGGUGUUCUCGGCCUCAUCGAAGUAUUCAACCCUGUGAGAGGGUACCCCGAUUUCUGCUGGAAUCACUGCGUCAACACCGAAUGCGAGGGAAAACGGGGUCUCCCUGGUGGAGGUGUUUUGAGUAGUCCGGUAUGCCCACAGUACGCCAGGUAGCUCGUCUACCCAUGCUCCAUUUCUUUCCUCUAGCUUCUUCUUCAGGAUACCUUUGAUAAUCUUGUUAACGGCUUCGACUUGCCCAUUAGAUUGGGGGUGGGCAGGUGUAGCAAAUCGGUUGGCUAUCCCCAACUCCGAACAAAAUCUUCAGAAUUUUUCAUUAUCGAAUUGCUUGCCGUUAUCACUGACAAUUGCAUAGGGGAUUCCAAAUCUGCAAAUGAGGUUCUUCCAAAUGAAUUCGGUGGUUUUCCUUUCUGUGAUGCUUGUUAGUGGCUCCACUUCCGCCCAUUUUGUAAAAUAAUCUACCGCCACGAUUGCAUGUUUUGCUUGCCCCUUUCCGGUAGGCAAUGGGCCAAUGAGGUCCACUCCCCACAUAGCGAAGGGCCAAGGGGAAGAUAUAACUGUUAGCUUCUCUGGGGGUAGAUGGGGUACCCUAGCGAACCUCUGGCAUUUGUCACAGCUUCGUACCAUAUUCUUGGCAUCCUCCCGCAUGGUUGGCCAAUAGUACCCCUGACGGAGAGCUUUUUGCGCCAGUGAUUGUGCUCCAUAGUGAUUGCCACAAAUCCCCUCAUGUAUCUCCCUCAUGACAUACUUGGCCUCGUCGCUUCCCAAGCAUCUAAGGUAAGGAAGAGUGAACCCUCUUCUAUAUAGGGUAUCCUGGAUCAAGCAAUACCGGGCAGCUUUAUACUUUAGUCUUCUCGCUUCACUUUUAUCUGAGGGGAGGUCUCCGUCCUUGAGGUGCCUUAUGAUAGGCUCCAUCCAAAGUACCUCGUUGGACAGUGAUCCUACUUCCAACGGCUCUAGGAGAUCAAUGCUGGGGGUGGGUAUGUGUUCUGUUGUGAUGGGGCCAGCUGACUGAGCUACACCAAGGGACGCCAUUUUUGCUAGGGUAUCGGCUUCGCUGUUCUCCAGUCGGGGUACCCUUUCCACUUUAACCUCGCAAAAUUGGGACAUUAAUUCUCUGGUUUUUUCGAGGUACCCCUUCAUGUUUUCCUCUUUCGCCUGAUAUUGUGCGGUAAUCUGGCUUACCACCAACUGUGAGUCACUCUUGACGUGUACCCUUUUUGCUCCCAAAGCCUUUGACAUCCUCAACCCCGCUAUGAUUGCCUCAUACUCGGCUUCGUUGUUUGAAGCCUUGAAUCCGAAUUGCAGGGCGUAGUAUAUUUUCACCUUGUUCGGGUUGAUGAUAAUAACUCCUGCGCCACUUCCGUGUGAGUUAGAGGAACCAUCCACAUAUAUUUCCCAGACCUGCUCCUCUUCAUUGGUGGGUAGGGUAUCUAACAGGUAUCUCAGAUCACAUUCACCACUUGAGUCAUUGGCGAAUUCCGCAAUGAAAUCAGCAAUGGCCUGAGCUUUAAUCGCCGAACGAAGCUUGAAGAUGAUGUCGAACUCGCUUAAUUCGAGGGACCAUCGGAGAAGCCUUCCGGACAUGUCUAACUUCUGAAGGAUUUGCCGGAGGGGAAGGUUGGUGACGACUGCAAUGGUGUGAGCCUGAAAAUAUGGUCUGAGCUUCCGUGCGGAGAUAACCAAUGCCAAAAUGAUCUUCUCAGAGGUGGGGUACCUUUUUUCGGCAUCAACCAUAGCCUUACUAGUGUAGUAAAUAGGUCGUUGUACCCCAUUAUCAUCCUCUCGGAGUAACACAGAGCUGGUGGCAUGCUCGGAUACGGCGAGAUAUAGCAGCAGCACCUCUCCCGGCUCAGGUUUGGCAAGUAGUGGAGCAUUCACGAGGUACCCCUUCAGUUCUUGGAAAGCCUCUUCGCAAUCGGGUGUCCAUUGGAGCUUUUUACCGGUCUUCAAAGCUUUGAAAAAGGGCUUACACCGAUCGGUAGCCUUGGAGAUAAAACGGCUCAGAGCAGCUACCCGACCUGUUGUACCAUGAACCCGAGAAACUUUCCCGAGGUUACCCCAAAUGCACAUUUUUCAGGGUUUAGCCGCAUCUGAUGUUUUCUCAAAACGGUAAAGGUAUCUCUGAGGUGCCCCAGGUGUUACCCCAAAUGCACAUUUUUCAGGGUUUAGCCGCAUCUGAUGUUUUCUCAAAACGGUAAAGGUAUCUCUGAGGUGCCCCAGGUGUUACCCCAAAUGCACAUUUUUCAGGGUUUAGCCGCAUCUGAUGUUUUCUCAAAACGGUAAAGGUAUCUCUGAGGUGCCCCAGGUGUUCCCCCGCAUGCACCGAUUUGGUGAUCAUGUCGUCUAUGUACACCUCCAUGGUGCGCCCGAUUUGUUCUUUGAAAAUUUUGUUCACUAGCCGCUGGUAGGUAGCCCCGGCAUUCUUCAAACCAAACGGCAGGCGUCCAUAAAACUAAGCAUUUCAUGCCUCGCUGUUGCAUCAACCAGCUGGUCCACCCGAGGAAGCGGGAAGCUAUCCUUGGGGCAGGACUUAUUCAAGUCGGUGAAGUCCACGCACAUGCGCCACUUUCCGUUUGAUUUCUUGACAAGAACAACGUUGGACACCCAAUCGGGGUACACUGCUUCCCGAAUAAACCGUGCUGCUGAUAGGCGGUCUACCUCUUGUUCAAUUGCAUCGUACCUCUCUUGAUUGAAGGCGCGAUGCUUCUGUUUGACCGGUUUAUUAUGCGGGCUGACAUUGAGUUUGUGACAUGAGAGAGAAUGUGGGAUACCCGGCAUAUCCGAGUAGGUCCAAGCAAAUACAUCGAGGUGCUCACAUAGGAAGGUGAUGAGUUUCUCCCUUUGUUCCUCCGAGAGGUUGGAGCCUACUUUCACUGUCUUUGUUGGGUCGGUGGCGCAAAUCGAGACUGAAAUAAGAUCUUCAACUGGGGUACCCCGCAUUUCAUCUUUCAAUAUCCGGGGAUCCAAAGGUGCCUCAACUUCACAUCUGGGCUCCUCCUGGUCCCCGUGGGGUACCCUCGAGCUAUCCCCCGUAACUGCUUCCAUCUCCCUUGGUGAAAACUCCAACUUUUCUCGUGGGUGGGCUACUUGAGGAGAUUUUUUCAGUACUGUUCUCCGCUGUCUAGCAAGUGCUCGCUUUGAGGGGGAAGGUGUGGGCUGGCUGCCACUAGGGUACCCCUUCAUUGGCGGAUCUGAAGCUAUUUGGUAAGUGACUUUGGAGGCCACGGAAUAACAUCCACGAGCCGAUUGCUGGUCCCCUUUAAUGGUGAUAACUUCUUGGGCGGCCGGGACUUUCAUGGCGAGAUAGUGCAUGGAUACCACCGCUUUAGUUGCUACUAAGAACGGCCUACCCAAUAUAAUAUUGUAGGCACCCGGGUGAUCUACAAUAAGAAAAUCAAUCAUAUGAACAACACGGUGAGGUACCUUACCAAGUGUAACGGGCAGCGUAAUGAUGCCUUUUGGUAUAACCAUAUCUCCGGCGAACCCAAUAAGAGGCGUAGCAUAUGGGGUGAUCUUUGGCGACUCAAUCAAUAGCUGAUCCAAGGCGCUUUUGAAAAUGAUGUCAACGGAGCUACCGGUAUCUACGAGAGUUUUUGCUACCUUACCAGUGGCAACCUUCAACGUAAUUACGAAGGCAUCAUCGUGGGGGUACGAGAUGCCCUCCGCAUCUUUUUCUGUAAAAAGGAUAGGCGGGGGAUGGUGGGGUACCUUCGGUGUACCCCAUUCAUUAAGGUUGACUUCUCUGCCCAUAUUGGUGGUUAUCGACAACGAUCUACCAUAGCCUUUGAUAGCCCUCCUAGAUUGGCCUGCUAAAGUCGGUCCGCCCAUGAUCAUUCGGACAUACACGCCUUUCUUGUGUCCAGGGGGUACCUCUCGUUCCGGACUGCCAUCAGCUACCCGCUUGCCUUUAUCCUGUUCCGCAGAUUUCCGAGCUUCUCUCAUGCCAGCAACAAAUUCUUUGAGGUACCCGCUAAGAAUCAAAGAUUCAAUUUCUUCUCGCAAGGUGAAGCACUCGGCUGUGCUGUGACCAAAGUCCUCAUGGAACUCGCAAUACUUCAGGCUACGCUUCAUGUUGGGGUACUUCUUCAUUGGCUUAGGAGGACGGAGGAGGCCGCUAUCCCGAAUAUGGUAGAAGAUCUGCUCUGGGGAUCGAUUCAGUGGGUGGUAAGAUUCAUACCGAGGCCUCGGCGGUGGCUCUCGUUGAUCCGGUGGUGGCGAUCUUGGAGGUUGGGGUACCCUUGAGGCACCCUGAGGGUUAUACCCUUGUCCCCGCAAGGCAGCCCGUGGAGGGCUCCGUGCUCGGGGUACCCGCGGUAUUGGGGCCUCCACCCUCUUGGGCUUCUCCUUGUUCUUUGUAACAUCGGCCUUAUCUUCUUGGCGCUUCAAUUGGCAUUUUUCGUCCAUCUCCAAUUGUUGCAACGCCCGAGAACGGGCUUCCCCAUAUGAAAGUGGACGCUUCUUUUGAAAAGAACGCCAUAACUUGCCCAACCGCAAAUUUUUCUCAAAAUGGGUCAAUGUGUAUUGGUUUCCAAAUGCUCCGGUUCGCAGCACCUCUUGGUGGAAACGACUUACAUACUCCGCCAAAGGCUCGGCUUCCCCUUGCUUGAUAAAGGCAAGUUUGGAGGCUACCCUAUCUUGAGUGGAAGCAUAGGAAAACUCUUUAGUAAAUUCAGAUAACAAUUGGUGUAAGGAAGAUAUGCUACCCGCUUUCAAAGAUCGAAACCAUGACUUCGCGGGGCCCGUGAGUGUGUGUGUAAACAUCCUACACAUGGCGCUCUCAUCUACACCCUUAAUGAGCAUUUGGUCACGGUAUAGCUCAGCAUGCUCCGAGGGAUCAGUGGUACCCGAGUAUUGGGGUAUCUGAGGCAUGGCGAACGCCUCGGGGAGAGCUGCUGUCCUAAUCUCCCUAGUGAAUGGUGAUUGGUAGGUCAUUGGCGUUGGUGCAGCUGUGAUGUUUUGCUUCUCGGAGAGGAGCUUCACUUGGGCUUCCAGGUUCUCCAUCUUUUCCACAAGUUCGAGGGGUACCCUCGGUGUACCUGAUGAUGUCGCCGCCAUUUGAGAAGCCCUUUUGGCGUUUAACUUCUCACGGAGAUCAUCGUGGGUACGCUUUGCACGCCUCGUACCCUGGCUACUGCGGGAAUUGCAAGAGGCAGUGGAACGCUCGUCGCGGGAGCCCAUGGUUUGAAACUUAGAACGGGUACCCGAUGGCCUAGGCUUUGGCUUGCUGGCCUCGGGUACCCCUCUUCUGACCAUAGCUUGGUCGUCCGUUUGAGGUGGUGGAGCUUCUAGCGUCACUGGUGGAAGUGAACUUUCGGGUGCCCGAGAUCCAACCGCCCUAAGUAUUGCGUGAGCAAGAUCCUCAAAACGCUUGUGCGAAAUAGGUUCUUCUUCUUGGCGAACACCCGUCGACUGCUUGACACCCUUGCCCUUACUGAUGCGGGCUACCCUUCUCGCGGGAUCACUGCCUUCACUGCUGCUGUCCUCUCUCAUCCUUGUAGGAUCCCCCAUUAAACCUUUAGGAGGUACGUCGGGUGCCAUGUAUUGGAGUACACACAACAACUAGUUUGGUAACCGUGGAGGAGGCUUUUUGUGCGUCUCCCCACAGACGGUGCCAAUUGUUUUCAACUGGUUUUGGGGUAAGAAAAGCCAAACCAAUCUAGAACAAUAAAUUUGUUAUUUUGAGGGGAGAUGGGGUACCUCACUGGUUUAUUGUGUGUUGGGCGGUGUAUCUAAGAUUUUGGGGAGGUGAGAAAGGGAGAGAGAGUGGUAACAAUGGUGGAAGAUCAGAAACAAGAGAGGUAUCCUUCAAAAUGAGCUUCACGCCUGCAAAACAAUGAAAUAGAGGUUAGAGGUGAAGCCGGGGGUACCCCGGCGUUCACACUCCGACGCUCAAGUUAGCAAACUCAAGCUUUUAUUGCAAAGAGAGCUAGCUAGCCCUCUGUAAAUUAGGGUUUAAGGUUGAAGAAAACCUCUUUUUUGGAGUGUGAGUGUUUUUGGGCGAAUGAGAGCAUGAUGGAGAAUGAAACCUAGGCGCCUUUAUAUAUGGAGUACCUUAGCUGCCACGUGGCAUACCCUUUUUGGCUAACGUCCUUUUACCGCUUUUAUGAUUCUUGGGGCCGUUAUGUGCAUGUUCGCGGCGUAUCUCAUCUUUUGGAAACGUGGCGCGCGCUGGAGAGUGGUCCAGGGUACCUCUGCAGUAGCUGUCGGGUAGGCGGCUAGGGACCACUGUCCUUGGGACAGUGUCCUUCACUUUUGGCAGAGGUAGCAGACGGCUGUCCCUCCUUUUAGCACGUCGCUUUUGAUUCCUAAUUCUGACAAAAUCAAAUGAUAUCUUUUAGGAGGCGGAGACGUUUCUCAUGGCGGAUAUUUUCGGUGGAUUCUCUUGCAUCCGCUUUGCCGGGUACCUCGAAUUACAUGGGGUACCCCCUAUUACGCAGGGUACCCCUAUCUGUAUGGGAUACCUCUAUUUGUAUGGGGUACCUCUAUUUGUAUGGGGGUACCUCUAUUUGUGUGGGAUACCUCUAAUUGUGCAGGGUACCUCUAUUUAUACGGGGUACCUCAAGUCAUGUCGGGCACCUCGGAUUAUGUAGGGUACCUCCGAUUGUGCUGAUAUCAUUCCAUUGGCUGACACAUGGCGCUCUAUUACCUUUCCCAUCUUUCCCUCAAACAGAUAAAAAUAAUACUUCAAAAGCAUUGAAAUGUAAGUGCUAUUAAAAAAACGUUUUUCAUUCAAAGCUAUAAGUAAUGAAAUGAAGAUAGAUAUCAUUGUUGAUUAAAAAAAAUUCAGAAAAAAAGAAAGAGUGAAAGAAAAGAGCUUGUUAUGUUAGAAAAUAGUGAUAGAGUAUGUUAAGGACUAAAAUUUAUUAAAGAAAGCAGUGGUUCUAUUUGAAAUUUGAUCAAGUUAGAAUUAGUCAAUUAUGCAUCGAGAAUGAAAAGAAUGAAGAAAGGGAAUUCAAAUUAGACUUACAAAAUUAUAAUAAAGUGAUUAGUUAAGAUCCAAUUAAGCUGAUUUACUAAAAAAAAAUAUUGAAAAAUAAAGGGCCAUAACAUUGCCAAAAGGACUAGGAAACUAAGUAGGAAGGGGUGAUUGUUGCGGAAUACCUUGAAGUGUAGUUAUUCCACAACCACGAAGACCAAUUGCUUUCGAGUUUUGUCAAAUAUAUAUGCCAAUCCUACAACAAUAUAAAGCAAAAUGUUACUAUCAAAUUAUUGUAGAAGACUGUGAUCGUUGUGAUAGAUCGGUAAUUUUAGUAGCUUACCUAGCCUUCUUAAAGAGCCACUUGUUAGAUUGAGGUUCCAGGUUAGAUCCAACACUUUCAAGUUUCUCAGUAAACAUUAAUUUUGAUCAAAACAAUAGACAUAAAUAGACAUAAAUGAAGUUAGUGUAUUAAAAAAUGUUGUCGUUGAAAUUACCACCAAGAUUCAAGAUCUUCAGCUGUUUCAAACUCCCAAAGCUGUCGUAAGCUGCAAGUGCAUAUAAAUUAUUAUCAUUAAUUAGUCACUGGCAAAAUAAUUAUGAAUGAGUAAUAUGAGUCAAGGCACUGCAAUUCUUCAAAAGGGUGAAACAAUGACAUACUCAGAAGGGAAACUCCAUAAGAAUAAGAGUUAUAAUCAGAGUAGUGGAUUUUUGUUUUCUGAUUGAGUGACAGUUGCGUCACCCGUCGGGUGGUGGCGUUGCACUUAACUCCCUCGCAAUUGUUACAACAAUCAGACGACAUUCCAUCAUCAUCAAACCAUGAAGAAAGAAUGUUGUCAUCAUAUCCAACAUCACUGGCUGAUAUGAAGAAGCUCUUGAUUUCCAACAGAGCAAUCCUCUCUGUUUCCAAUCAUGCUUUGUAUCCAUGUAACUGAAUCAGAGCUAUGCCAAUCCACAAUGACAACUUCAUCAAAAGCAUUUUCAUUAUUAAUAUUAACUGCAAGAGAAACACUCACAAGAUUGACCUGUCAAUUGUUGCUCUCUUGAAGUUUUUCUGGUUGUCUGGCAAAUAUAUGAUUUGUAUAUACACACAUGGAAAUGUUAGAAAACUAAGUCUUUGAUACAUGAUAUCUUCUUGUGACCCUAGUACCGUCCAAAGACAUUGAAACAAAGAGAAAUUAACAGCUGACUUACCUGCAUCAUGUGCAAAUCACGUGACAUCAAAAGUUACCAUGUAAUUUGUCUUUAUAAGUGUUUUCUGCUUCUGAAAAUGAAAAAUAACAAAAUGGAAAUGCUUUUAGCUUUUGGCUAGACAUUUUCAGGUCACUCUCUUAUCGUGGCCUGCGGCUUGCAGUCAUCAACAAUCCUCAUCUGGCCUCUUUAUAAUCCACUUUUAACAAAAUAUAGAUAGAAACAGAUAUAUUACUGAUAUUCAAAUUACACUUAAUAUUAAUAAAUCUUUGGACUGAGCUUUAAAUCUAUAAACUAAAACUUCCAGCAUACCACAAAUUAUUUUUAGAGCCCGCAUGUUGGAAUAUCUCCUUCAAGUUUCGCUUUGCUUUCUAGCACAUCAUUCAAAUGAGUUGCUAUACUAUAUCUAGCUAGUUUUGAACAAAGUAAGUGAGAAUAUUACAUCUGCUUUAGCAAGAUACGAGUGAAUUAAAACCUUUGACCAGAUUCAAGAGAGAAAAGAAUGUUGAAAUAUUGACUUGAAUAUUAUGGCAAAAUGAGUUUGACUUUAGUACCGACCAAAGAAAUAAUUGAAGAUGCAAAUUGGUUAGUUUGAGGUGCAUGGCUAUUGGCACAACAACAUUUGCUGCAUAACGAAAUUGCGGCGUCUCAGCCGGAUUGUGAGAGUUGUUUUCAAAUCCCAUUUCUCUUCUUUGUAUUUAUUCAUUGCCACAACAUUUGAUGCAUAUUUUGAUGACUACUCAAACGCGUUUCCACAAUAACUAACGAAAGGAAAAGUGAACGAAUAAGCAAAAGACACUGAUGACUAUAAUCAUGUAAAUGAAGUACAAGGCUUCACAAUAGAUUAGACCACCAAUUUGUGCCUUUUGAAUGCAUGUGCUUGAACAAGAUACGAGUGAAUUGAGGCAUAUCUUUCUUUCACAAUGUAAACUUCCCAAAAUACAUGUAAUCUGCUGGUGAAAUAAUUUUUAUAAAACAAAGGCUUAAAGUUAAAGCUGACUAAAAAUAUUGGCGUACGUCAAGAACGCUACGGGGAAAAUUCAACCGUGAGCUGCAGUCUGCAGUCCCCAACAAUCCGGGAAAAGGCUGAAGAGGUGCGCGCCUGCGCAUACUAAUUUGGCAGGUCUGAUAGGAUUUAUAAAUUAAAAUAAUGUAAUUUUAUAUAUUUUUUAAAUGAAAAAUUUGUUGAUGCCGCUGUGAGAUCCAUUGGAUCCUCGCGUGCCUGCCCCACAAAACAAUCUCCAUCAAAUCUCUUUACAAUCCAUUUUUGAUAAAAUAUGAAUAAGGAUACAUAUAUUUAUUCAAAUAUUAGUAAAAAUAGAUAUAUUGCUGAUUUUUUUUUGGUGUAAGCCAUUCGGUAUUUGGCGAACGCAAUUGGAUCCCGACUAAUCCGAAUUUGGGGUGUAGUCACAGUUAAAGCUCUUUACUCCUCCCACGUAAUUGGAUCCCGACUAAUCCGAAGCGAACGCAAUUAGAUCCCGACUAAUCCGAAUUUAGGGUGUAGUCACAGCUAAAGCUCUUUACCCCUCCCAAAUAACUUAUUUAGUGGGGAUUGAACCCAAGAGCUCUUCCCACAAACUCAGCCUGCGUUGCUAACUGAGCCACAACCAUUUGGUUAUAAUGCUCAUUUUUAAAUUAUACUUAAUGAACAUUUAGACCGAGCUGUAAGUCUAUGAAUUCAAACUUCCACAACACCACCAAUUAUUUUUAGCCUGCAUGUUGGAUUGUCUCCUUUAAGGCUGUGUUUACUAAACUGGAAUGAGAAUUGAAAUGGAGAAAUCCGAAUGAAUGACUUGUUUAGUCAUUAAAUUGAUGAUAGGAAUGGGAAUAAGGUGAGUAGGCUCCAAGUUCUUGAAGAGGAAAGAUCACUAUGGCACCAAUCUCCGGAAGAGGCAAGUCCAAUAAAGCCAAGGCUGACAAGAAGAAGAAAGAAGAGAAAGGCUUCAAUUGUUAAUCUUUUUUAUUCACUGCUUUCAUUGGAAAGUGCUUUUUGUAAAGUGCUUCCGCUUUCUAGCUUCCUUAUGUUCAUUGAUUUUUUUGUUGUGCAGUAGUGCCCAGUGUUCUUGAUAUCACAAUCAUCACCCCAUAUGAAUCACAAGUUGUUCUCAAGGUAUAAAUUUAUACUUAUCAUCAAUACUUUCUUGUUUUGCCCUCACCAGCUAUGAUUAGGAUAUUAUUUUGUAAAACUUUAUAAAUAUAAAUGAAUUAUUAAUUAAUCAUCUUUUUUUUUUUUUUUGGUUUGAUUGAAAUUUGCUCAAAGGGCAUCUCCACUGACAAGAUAUUUGAUGUGAAGAAAUUGUUGGCUUCCAAUGUAGAAACUUGCCACCUCACAAAUUAUUCUCUCUCUCACGAGGUGUCUAUAUUUUAUUAUCUCUUUUUUUUUUUCAUUAUAUAUGAUUAUGAAUUUUUUUCUGAUAAUAUUAAACACUAGAUACUAUUUUUUCCCACCUUAUUUUUAUGUGUUUAUUUCUUUAUUAUUAUUAUUAUUAUUAUUAUUAUUAUUAUCUGGUCAAGGGGCAGAGAUUGAAUGAUAGAGUAGAGGUUACUCUGAAACCAUGUUUGCUCAGAAUGGUUGAAGGCAGGUGAACCUCUCGCAUGUCCAAUUUUCUGAAUUAAAAAAUCUCAUUCAUGUGGAUGUGGGUCUCAUUUUAUUUGUUAUUUUUAAUUAUCAACAUUUAGAUCUUUUUAGUUGUUCAUCGCCAUACUAUUUUAGUAAACUAUAUUGAUUUGAUGGGGGAACCUUAGGUGCAACUGUGGCACCGUGCCACAAUUGCAUCUUAACCGUUGGAUGCCUGUGGACCUCAACACUCUAACUGCAUCCAACGGCUAGAUGCAACUGUGGCACGGUGCCACAGUUGCACCGUAGCCUGAUCCUGAUUUGAUUGUAUGUUUUUUAAGAAUUUUUUAAUAUUAUUGAAAAAAACAGAUUAAAGUGAAAAAAUUAUUGACUAUAUUAAUUGACUAAAUAAAUAAAUAAAUGACAAUAUUUUAUUUUUUAACAUUAAAAAAAACCAAUUUGAUGCAGUCCGCUUAGUCCUGCACACUUGGAACGUUACCAUGCUUUUUUGUGCUGUACAUUUUGGACUUAACUUUCCUUGUCAUUUCAAGUCAAAGUUUUUUUUUUUUUUUAAACUGAUUAAGUGUCAGGUUACUGUAUUACACAGAGAUAUUUACAAAUAAUAACAUAUCACUGAUAUUUACAAUCCGAUAUAUACUUAGGACUUACAUUAUUAUAUUUUUAUUCUAUAAAGUACGUGCCCAGCCAAAUAUCACUCAUAGGAGAGGGAUGUCUCUACUCCACUAGCAUUUCGCAAUGGAAAAAGACGUUAUAAAUAAUCUCUAAACAAUUAUAAUUAAUUGAGGGAGUUUGAGUCAGUAAAAAUUCGAACUAUUAAUAGUCAUUCUUAAUUUUAAGGGCAAUGAUUCACCUCUGGGCUACAAGCCCAAAUGGCAUUUCAAGUCAAAGUUGAAGCUGUUUCAAAAGUACAAUAAUAAGGUGCAUUUAAGUAACUGGCCUAAACUUUAGAAAUUUCAGAAGUUACAGAAUACGCAGUUCAUAUCUAGGAGCAUUAUUAGUUUAAUCAUUAAAUGACAAAAUUUUGCCAAUCUUUUUACGAGCCUUAACAAACUUUUUCUAGUUGAUAUUCAAAGUUUUAUUGAUUUUUUUUUAUAGUCAACUGUACUAAUUGAACAGUCAAUUUAAUAUAAAAACGACUUUAUCGCUUUGUGAUCCUAAUUUUCAACCAGGCGUUAAAAUCUAUUACCCUUAAAAGAAUAUUAGUUGGCAGAAAUGUAAACAGAAGUAAGAAGGUUUGUAGAAGUGUAUUAUUUCAGAAUUACUAAUUUUAUUGUGAAUAAUUAAUAUGAUUAGAAUUUAACAAAAUUUUAUUUAAAGACUUGUUUAAAGAGCAAAAAAUUUAUUUUUUAUUAUUUUUAAUACUUAUAAUUGUAAUUUAAUUUAGAAAUAUUUUAAUUAUAAAAAAUUAUUUUCAAAAAUAAAUUCGACGAAUAGUUUAGGGCUUUCAAAUAACUCUACUUAUAUUUAAAUUAAUAUUUAAAAGAAAGAAAUAAAAUAAUAAAAGUAAAAAACUUUGCCCGGCAAUUCCUUGUUAUUUACAUUUUUGGCACUGUCCUUGGCAGUGGACUACACAGAGGAAUCUCAGGCCGUGGCACACGUGCGGCGGCUUCUCGACAUCGUCGCGUGCACCACACGUUUCUCCAAGUCCAGAAACUCCCGAUCGCCGCCAUCAUCAGAGUCAUGUGCCAAAAAGAACGGCAGUAGGCCCCACCGACCUUCACUAAACCCUGCCACUCUGUCUGAUGGGGCAGCAACAGCAGCAGCAGAUAACCGAAGCGGGCCCCGCGCCACGUCAUCGCCAGUUUCGUCGGCGGUUUCUCCGAGUCUGGACAUGGCGGCCAUUCACCCGACGCCGAAACUCUCCGAGUUUUAUGACUUCUUCUCUUUCUCUCACCUCACUUCCCCCAUCUUAAGUAAGCCUAAUGUUCACUUAUUUAUUUGUCUUCGUUUUUUACAUGGUUGAUCCAAAAAAGGUUGACGUCUCUAUUUUUUAAGCUGUUGGAGCAAUACGCCGUCUCAUUGAUUCAAAUUUACACACUCAAGAUACAAUCAAUGUCCAAAAGGGGGCAAUCUUGCAUGAAGAUCGGGUGGGAGACUUGUCCAUUACAGUAAAAUGUGAUACAGUAGAUGCAAGCUUGAAAUAUGAGGUUACUGUUAAAGGAAAUCAGUCAUCUAGUGUGUCUGCUGCAGAAGUUGCUCAAAGGAAUUUACUAAACGGUGUUACUGCAGAUGAGAGUGUAGUUGUUCACGUAAGUCGAUUUUUCCUUUACUUUUUAUGCUUACUUUCACAGAACACACACAUAAAAGACAUUCAUCAAAGCUGAAAUUACUUACGUGGGCGGAAUAAUAUAGCUCUACCUUUGUCAGGGAGUGGUUUUUCAGUCGGAUUAAGAUGUUUCACUCUUUAUCUGAUAUCUGGCAUUUGAUGAUGGCCUAAAAUACCCAUCCUCUUCACUCUCUCUUUCUACACAUUUAUGAAUGCACAAGAAAGUCAAUUUUAGGUUCUUUCCUAAGAAUCACUACUCGUUACUAACCUUAUAUAUCUGGUUUAGCUUCAUGAAUCUUAUGUUGCCAUUCUGUUUGGUGACUCCCUAUUCUGUUGAAAUCACUGGAUAGCUGGUCUUUCUACUGAUUUUAUCCAUAUCCCUCUGAUUUUCUGCUUGUGGUUUGUUCCAACUUAAUGUCAUCAACCCUUUUUGGGGAAGCCUAUUAACCUUGGUUGGGCAUGCUUGUAUUAUAUCAACUAGUGAUACAAUUGCUAAAGUUUUCAGCAUGGUAGAUCUUGAAAUAAAAUUUUCUUGAAAUAUCUAGAUUUAUUUUUCUCAAAAUAUCUAGAUUUAUCUUCCUAUUCUUUUUCCCUUUCUUUUAUUUUAGUUUCAAAGAUUUGUGAUAAAGAGAACUGAAACAAUAUAGUUUUUGGCAGGAUACCUCCUCAUUGGGUACCGUCAUUGUAUGACAUUGUGGAUACACCGCUGUAGUAAAAGUUGUUGGUGAUGUGAAGGAGAAGUUUGGCACACAAGAUAUUGAAAUUGAAGAUCAACCUGGUGGAGGAGCUAAUUCUCUUAAUAUUAACAGGUCUGAAAUUGUAACACAAUGCUUCCUCUGUCGAUUCCUCUUAGCACACAAAGACUAGGAAAUCUACAGAUGGAGAAUGGCUGUAAGAUAUGAAAAAUUAUCUUUCAACCAAUAACAGUUUUAAGCUAUUCUGCAAGAUAUCUUAGAAAUGCUAACUGUUAUGAGCUUCUUUGCUUAGUGUCUAUCACAGUUGAAUUCAUGAUGCAGAGCAUUGUUAUUCUCUUUAGUUUUACCAGAUAGAACAGGAUUGAAAUGCUGGUGUUGGGGAUUCUUAAGAAAGGAUAGCACCUGUUCCUUUUUCUUCCUGUUUAGAUGGGAUCUAAUCAGUAGAUGUCUGAACUCUUAAGGGGAGUUGAUGUCAGAUUUCUAAACCAGGUUUUCUUCAAGUGUUAAGUUUAUGAAUAGGCCAAAGAAAAGAGAGCUGAUAUCUAGUUAUGGCUUUCACAAUAAUGGUUGAGUGUUUAUAGUUAUGUGCUCUGACAUUGGUUUGUAAUUGUUAUAUUAACAAAAUAACCAACAGACAUCGUUGACGAUGUUCAAAUAAAGGAUAAAGGAAAGUAUAAUUACAGUGGAUGCUCAGUUGCUGCAAUAGGUCAUCGGCUUUUUAGAUUGUGCUAUUUCAGAAAGUAUUUAGGCCUUCUUUGGUGGAUUCUGCCUUUGUUUCAUAUACUCUUAUGUCUUUCUCCAUUUAAGUUGUUCUGACAGGGUAAACUAUUUAUUGCAGCUUAAGGCUUGUACUUCAGAAGUCUUUCAGUGCUGAAUCAGCUAGAGGAGACCAAUUACCUCUGUGCAAUUUGGAUAAUUCGGAAGCUUUUAGAAAUCUUGUAAGAAGAGUUAUUAAACAGAGUUUAGCAAAGUUAGAGCUGGAGCCAACUGCUUCAGAAAGAUCUAUUAGAUGGGAACUUGGUUCUUGUUGGGUGCAGCAUCUACAAAAGCAGGAAACUCCAACAGAUACCAAGUCAACGAGGUCUGGGGAUGAUAUUAAGACUGAAAAUGACAAUGGACCGUGCAGCAUGAAUGUGGGAGGUAAUGGUAGACAGCAAAGCAAUGGCGAGCUCAAUUGUGAGAUGGAAUUGAAAAAACUAAUUUCGGAAGAAUCCUUCUUGCGAUUGAAAGAAACUGGCACUGGCCUUCAUUCAAAAGUUUCAGAAUCUCAAAUUUGUUUUGCAUUUCAACUGUAAAGUUUGCUACUUUUUGUGUUUUCAUUAUGCUAAAUUUGGUUUGUUUUAUUUUCAUAUGGAAUGGCUGGUAAAAUUAAUUUCUUGUGCAGGCAGUGGAUGAGCUUAUGAAAAUGGCAUACAAGUAUUAUGAUGACAUUGCUUUACCAAAGCUGGUACUAUUUAAUUUAUUUAGGGCCUUUGUUGCAGCCAAUUAAGACGUGUGGGGAUGGUUUAUGGACUAAUUUCCAUUCUUUAUUAGGUAACAGACUUUGGAUCACUUGAACUUUCUCCAGUUGAUGGCCGCACACUGACAGACUUUAUGCAUUUAAGGGGACUACAAAUGCGCUCUUUAGGUUGUGUGGUGAGGAAUUUCUCCCUCUCUUUCUCUCUCAGACAUGCAACCUAUUCACCCAUGGAAAUCGGAAUAAACAAAUGUUGUCUUUCUUUAUGUAAACAAAGCCCCCAACUUAUCUUUCUAUAUGUAAACAAUCCCCCAAGUCUUCCUGGAUUGAAUUAUCAAUGUUCCUUUUUGAAAAUUGUACUACAUGAUAGAAUUUUUGACAAUGUUGACCUUUUCCAAGACAUUGAAUUAUUGUCGUCUUUAGAUAUUACUGUAUGUUGUAUGACAUACAAUAUUUUGAGAAAUUGACAUGCUAAUACUUGGAAGCCUGGUAUUCUUCUUCUGUUGGUUCUAAUCCCAUUUACAAAUUCAGGUUGAACUUGCAGAGAAGCUUCCUCACAUACAAUCACUUUGUAUUCAUGAGAUGGUUACUCAAGCGUUCAAGCAUGUACUCAACGGAGUCAUCGCAUCUGUUGACUAUUUAUCAGACCUAUCUGCAGCUAUAGCUUCUUCCCUAAAUUUCUUAUUUGGCUGUUGUGAGAUGGAAGAUGAGCAAAGCUGGAAUGAAGAUCAUAUCCUCAGAUUGCAGUGGCUACGAACAUUUCUUGGCAGAAGAUUUGGUUGGUCCCUGAAAGAUGAAUUUCAGCAUUUGAGAAAGAUUUCAAUUCUACGAGGGCUUUGCCAUAAGGUAAGGUAUUGUCUUUUCGGUUCCUUUGGCAGCCGAUUAUUUUCAAAGCUUGAAUUUUGCUUGUAAACUUCACCCAGGUUGGGUUGGAGUUGGUUCCAAGAGAUUAUGAUAUGGAUUGCCCAAACCCAUUCACGAGAGAUGAUAUUGUCAGCAUGGUUCCUGUGUGCAAGGUGAGACUAUUUUCUCUCUUAAUUGUGUUUUGAUUUAGUUUUUACAUUCUCAGCGAGUCACUCAUUUGUAAAUUGAAUGUAAUUGUGCUAUUUUUAUGGCAUUCUACAGCAUGUAGGUUGCACUUCAGCCGAUGGACGGACCUUAUUAGAGUCAUCCAAAAUUGCCCUUGAUAAAGGAAAACUAGAAGAUGCUGUAAAUUAUGGGACAAAGGUAAUAACCCACUCGAUCUAUAUGUAAGAAUUACAUUAUUCUUUUCAAAAUAAGGCAUCUCUUGAUCUCAUAUGAUGUAUUACUUGCAUUGUAAGGCACUGGCAAGGAUGAUAGCUGUUUGUGGUCCCUACCAUCGGACUACUGCAAGUACUUACAGUCUUCUAGCUGUAGUUCUCUACCACACUGGAGACUUUAAUCAGGUACGACAAUCUUCAGUUGUAUUUCAGUGUCAACUUGGUGAUUCUAAGUCGAGUAUAAUUAUAACGUCCUUCUGUACGGAGGUUCUCAUUCAGCGGGACAUUUGAUUUGAAACUUUGUGUUAUGGUUACUUUUUAUGGUCUUGUAUAAAGAUAUGCAUUAGGAAUUAUAAUUUUCUGGAUUUGGGAAUUACAUGUACAGGCAUUAGCAUAAUUUUGAUAUCAGAUUAUAUAUUUUAACUAAAUCAAACACGUUCAUGGUUCUUAUGUUCAGGCAUUUCGUCUAAUGGCAUCUGCGUCUGAGUGUUAGAGUAGCGUUCGUAUGUGCUCAAGAUAUCUUCUUCUUCAUUUUAGGCAACUAUAUAUCAGCAGAAGGCAUUGGAUAUUAAUGAGAGGGAACUUGGUCUUGACCAUCCAGAUACAAUGAAAAGCUUUGGGGUGUCAAAGGAAUUAGCAGAUUCUAUGGCAAAUUCUAUGCCUGUACAGCUGUAACAAUUAUCUUUAUGAUUGUAAAUCUUUUAUGUUUUCCUUAUUUAGGAUAUACUAGCUGUAAGCUAAUUUAGAUAGUUUUGUAUAUGAUAGUUUAGCGAUGUUUAGGGCUAAACAUAAGCUUGUAUUCAUAGUAUAUAAUGGGAAUUCUCCUCCAAGAGAAAAACAACUUUUGCUCAAAAUUCUCUUAGUUUAUCAUGGUAUCAGAGUCUCAGUUCUGAAUUCUCUUCUUCCUAGUUCAUUCUCUUAUUCUUAGUUAUUUUUUAUCAAGUUAUCUCAGCCUCAUGUCUUCAGACAAGUAUGAUGCCUUUUUGAUCCGUUUUAAUGGCACAAACUACUCAGCCAGGGCAUUUCAUUUCGAGAUAUUUGUCAAAGGCAAAGAUCUAUAGGGACAUGUUGAUGGCAAGAAACCUGCCCCUGACAAAGACAUAGACCAGGAUGGGCACGCCAAGUGGGAAGUCAAGGAUGCUCAAAUCAUGGCAUGGAUUCUAGGAUAUGUGGAAUCCAACUUCAUCUUGAAUCUUCGACCCUUCAAGACCGUAGCAGGAAUGUGGAAUCAUCUGAAGAAACUCUAUAGUCAAACCAACACUGCUCGUCGAUUUCAACUUGAACAUGAGCUAGCCAAUCUCCAACAGGGCAGUCUCGCUAUUUCUGAUUUUUAUUCUAGCUUCAUGAAUCUUUGGGCUGAAUAUACUGAUAUAAUCUAUGCUACCUUACCUCCCAAAGGUCUUAGUUCUGUUCAAUCUGUACAUGAAACUACUAAGAGGGAUCAGUUUCUGAUGAAAUUGAGAUCUGAAUUUGAAAGCACUAGGUCUAAUCUUAUGAACCGAGAAUCUGUCCCUUCCUUGGAUACAUGCCUCAAUGACUUAUUUCGUGAGGAGCAACGACUUCUUACUCAAAACACCAUGGAACAACAAAAAUCCACUUCUGUUCUUAUAGCUUAUGCAGCUCAAGGCAAGCCAAAAGGUAGGGACAUAAGUACAGUUCAAUGUUUUUGUUGCAAAGGAUUUGGACAUUACGCUUCAAAUUGUUCAAAAAAAUUCUGCAACUAUUGUAAAAAGGAUGACCAUAUCAUCAAGGAAUGCCCUACUCGACCCCCCAAGAAAUCUGAAACAGCAUAUGCUACCGCAGUUGGUUCUUUUAGUGCUGGUAGUUCUGUCGAUACAGCACAUUUGACACAAAAUGCUCCUGCUCCUGUUCAGUCUGUGACCCCAGAAAUGAUUCAACAAAUGAUUAUUACUGCAUUCUCCUCAUUAGGACUCUCAGGUAAAUCACCCACUACAUCUCCUUGGUACUUUGAUUCUGGGGCUUCCCAUCACAUGACAAACAAUGAUAAAUUCCUCACCAAUGUAAGUAAAUACCCUGGAAAUCUAAAAAUUCAUACAGCUGAUGGCAACUCUUUACCUAUCACAGCCACUAGUGAUGUUUCUUCUUCUAUAACCAAUGUCUUUGUCUCUCCUGGUCUUACCACUAAUCUUGUUUCAGUCGGUCAGUUAGUUGACAAUAAUUGUAAAGUAGAAUUCUCUAAAUCUGGUUGUGUUGUGCAGGAUCAGCAGUCAGGGAAGAUGAUUGCCAGGGGGCCUAAAAUAGGACGUCUUUUCCCUCUCCAAUUUGCUGAGUCUCCAUGUUUCUCUUUGCCCAUCAUCACUUGUAAUUUUACUAAUGUUAAUUAUCGAGCAUGGCAUAAGCGUCUAGGACACCCAAACUCUAAUGUACUUCAUGCUUUGCUAAAUUCUGGUUUACUUGGGAAUAAAAGAUCACACACCAAAUGUUGUCCAGCCUUUUGAUUUGAUACAUAGUGAUGUGUGGGGUAUGACGCCCGUUACAUCUCAUGCUAAUUACAAGUACUUUGUCACUUUUAUUGAUGACUAUAGUUGCUUCACAUGGAUUUAUUUUCUACAUUCUAAAGAUGAAGGGUUCUCUGUUUUCAAGCUUUUUCAUGCGCAUAUUCAGACCCAAUUUUCAACUAAUAUCAAAAUUCUUCGCUCUGAUAAUGGGGGUGAGUAUAUGUCUCAUUUAUUUCAAGAAUUUUUGCACACCAAUGGUAUAAUUUCUCAAAGAUCUUGUCCUUCAACCCCCCAACAAAAUGGGGUGGCUGAAAGAAAGAACCGUCACCUUCUCGAUGUUGUUCGCACUCUUCUAUUAGAGUCAUUUGUACCCUCUCGUUUUUGGUGUGAAGCUCUCUCCAUUGCUGUCUAUCUCAUCAACAGAUUGCCCUCUCCUUCCUUGAACCAUGUCUCCGCUUUCUUUCGAUUAUUUGGCUAUACACCAAAUUACUCCCAUCUCCGUACCUUCGGUUGUGUGUGCUAUGUUCAUCUUCCUCCACAUGAACGCACAAAACUCACAACCCAAGCUGUGAAAUGUGCUUUUCUAGGAUAUUCUAUGCACCAAAAAGGUUUUCUUUGCUAUGAUCCAAAUUUGCGUCGUAUAAGGGUUUCUCGAAAUGUGAUUUUUUUUUUAAAUCAGUAUUUCUUUUUCGCACAUCAGGACGAUUUUUCCCCUUCAUUUUCUGUUUUGCCAAAGUUUACUAACCCUUCUGCAGAUUCUGUACCUUCUAAACCUCUCAUAGUCUAUCAGCGACGCAAGAAUUCAGUACCUCUCAGGCCCCCUCCAGCAACUUCCCUAAAUGCUGAUCCAGUUCCAGCAACUGCACCUGAACCUCUCAGACACAAUACUCGGGUUCAUAGACCACCGGAUAGGUAUGGUUUCACCUAUCCAUUAUCUUUGACAGCCACUUUGUCUUCUAUUCAUAUUCCUUCAUCAUAUAAACAGGCAAUGGAGCAUGAAUGUUGGCGAAAAGCUGUUGAAUCAGAACUUCUUGCACUUGAGGAAAACUAGACUUGGGAUAUUGUUUCAUGUCCUCCAUUUGUGAAACCCCUUAGUAGUAAAUUAGUGUUUUCUAUCAAGCUGCGUUCUAAUGGAUCCAUAGAUCGUUACAAGGCUCGGUUGGUGGUUCUUGGCAACAAGCAAGAAUAUGGCCUAGACUACGAUGAGACCUUCGCACCGGUAGCCAAAAUGACCACUGUUCGAACAAUAUUAGCUCUUGCUGCAUCACAAUCAUGGUCUUUACAUCAAAUGGAUGUAAAGAACGCUUUCCUACAUGGUGAUCUCAAGGAGGAAAUUUACAUGAAACUUCCCUACGUUAUGACUACUUCCUCACCUAAUGAUGUUUGCAAACUAAAAUGUUCUUUGUAUGGGUUGAAGCAGGCACCGCGAGUAUGGUUUGAGAAGUUUCGAUCAACUCUUUUCGGUUUUUCAUUCACUCAAAGUUAGUAUGACUCCUCCUUUUUUUUUCCAACAGACAUCUAAGGGCAUCGUUGUUCUCCUUGUUUAUGUGGACGACAUCGUUAUCACUGGUUCUGAUAUGGAGGCAAUUUCUAAACUUCAGAAUUUGUUGCACUCAACUUUUCACAUGAAAGACCUCGGUCAACUCACCUAUUUUUUGGGGUUAGAGGUGCAUCAUCGGACUCAAGGUAUCUUCUUGAAUCAGCACAAGUAUAUUCAGGGUUUAAUUCAAUUAGCUGGACUUAUGGACACAAAUUCUGUUGACACCCCAACGGAACUUAAUGUGAAAUAUCGACGAGACGAAGGGGAACUACUUCAAGAUCCUACUUUAUAUCGGAAGCUGGUUGGUAGUCUUAUCUAUCUAACUAUCACCGCCCAGACAUCUCUUAUGCUGUCCACACCGUCAGCAAGUUCAUGCAAGCCCCUCGACAUCUCCACCUAUCCGCAGUCCGCCGCAUCAUUAGAUAUAUUCUUGGCACUCCUAGCAGCGGUUUAUUCUUCCCUACUGGUUCUUCACCCCAACUACAAGCCUACAGUGAAGCAGAUUGGGCUGGCUGCCCGGACACGAGAAAAUCUACUAUGGGAUGGUGCAUGUUUCUUGGUGAUGCCCUUAUCUCUUGGAAAUGCAAAAAGCAAGACUCAAUCUCCAAAUCAUCCACUGAGGCAGAAUAUCGGGCCAUGUCUGCAGCCUGCUCCGAGAUCAUUUGGUUGCGUGGUCUCUUAACAGAGCUUGGUUUCUCAUAACAUCAACCUACUCCCCUACAUGCUGACAACACUAGCGCCAUCCAAAUUGCAGCCAACCCUGUCUACCACGAGCGCACGAAACACAUAGAGGUUGACUGCCACUCUAUUCGAGAGGCCUAUGACCGCCAAGUUAUCACCCUCCCGCAUAUCUCCACUACUCUACAUAUUGCGGAUAUCUUCACCAAAUCCAUGACACGUCAGCGACAUAACUUUCUUGUUAGCAAAUUGAUGCUUGUAGAUUUACCAGCAUCAAUUUGAGGGGGGAUGUCAAAGGAAUUAGCAGAUUCUAUGCCUGUACAGCUGUAACAAUUAUCUUUAUGAUUGUAAAUCUUUUAUGUUUUCCUUAUUUAGGAUAUACUAGCUGUAGGCUAAUUUAGAUAGUUCUGUAUAUGGUAGUUUAGCUAUGUUUAGGGCUAAACAUAAGCUUGUAUUCAUAGUAUAUAAUGGGAAUUCUCCUCCAAGAGAAAAACAACUUUUGCUCAAAAUUCUCUUAGUUUAUCAUGGGGAUCUUUCAGUUUUCUAUUAUCGCCUUCAACACAUUGAAUUGGCUCUUAAGUAAGUAGAUCUACUUGAUUUACCGGAGCAACUUUGUGAUUUUCAUUCUCUAACUGAUUAAGGUUUAUUUAUUCAUAUGUGACCUUUGUAUACCUUUGUAUUGAGUCUGCUUCGAACUAAUGCAGUUUUUAUCUACCUACUUUAGCUUUUAUUUGUCUUUUAUUGGCUCUAGCUCCUGAUCAUACCACACUAUUGGCAGAUAUGUAAAUCAUGCCUUAUUCCUUUUGCAUUUUACUUGUGGACUUUCACAUCCAAAAACAGCUGCAACAUACAUAAAUGUGGCUAUAAUGGAAGAGGGCAUGGGAAAUGUUCAUCUUUCUCUUAGAUAUUUGUAUGAGGCCCUUAAAUGCAACCAAAGACUAUUAGGAGAUGACCAUAUACAGGUUUUUCUCUCUCUAUUUACGCAUGUAUACACACUCUUUAGACUUAUAAAUCUUUCUGUAAACUCAGCAUUUUUUUGAUUUCUUCACGUGACAGACAGCUGCAAGUUAUCAUGCCAUAGCCAUAGCUCUUUCUUUGAUGGAGGCAUAUUCACUAAGUGUGCAACAUGAGCAAACUACACUGAAGAUUCUCCAAGCAAAGCUUGGACUAGAAGAUCUGCGUACUCAGGUGACUACAUGUAGUCAUAUUUUAAUUGGUUCUGUUGUGCAAUUUGGCUAGUUGGCUUUUCUCUUGUCAAUCUUUUACAGGUGAUAUUAUGAUAUAAAACAAAUUGUAUCGGCGGCCUAUUUUGGUGUCAAAUAUGGAUAUGACCCAUUCAUUAAUCGUAUCGAAAUAUCAAAAUACAGAUAUGACCUGUUUAUUAAUAGUGUUGACUUGUUUAGUAUUGAAUACAAACAAAUUAAAAAUUAAUUUAAAAAUAACAAAUGUGUCAAAAAAAUAAGUUAUAAAUAAGUUAAAAUGACAUAAGUAUGACAUGAAUAAGUUUAUAACAUAAUAUGAGUAUGACAUGAGUCGUUAAUUUAGUGUUUAGUAUAUAUUUUAGUUUUUUUUUCCAAUAAUAUUAACACAUAAUAAUUGAUAUUUGUGUUAUAAAUGUAUAAUCAUGUUGAGAUGGACCAAAACAUAUAUGACAUGGUUAUUUAUCAUGUCGUGUCAAUUCAUUUAUUGAUCGUGUCAAUAUUUGUCAACAAAAAUAGGGGUCAUAUGUCAUAUUAUGUUGUGUAAUCGUGUCAUAAUCCCUUUUGCCACCUCUAAUCUUAACUGUCAUGAGAGAAUUUCUCAAGUUCCAUAUUAUUGAUGGGAAGAGAUUUUUUUUAUUUUGUUGUUUUUUUUUUCGUUUUACAGGAUGCUGCUGCAUGGCUGGAGUAUUUUGAAUCAAAAGCUCUAGAGCAGCAAGAAGCGGCACGGAAUGGAACUCCAAAGCCAGAUGCGUCCAUUGUGAGUAAAGGUCACCUUAGGUAUUAAUAGGGUAUUCCCACAUUACUUGUUUCUAAAUUGUUGAUUAUUUCUUGUGGCACCAAGAUCUAUAAUGAUCGCUUUUUGCAGUGUAUCAGAUCUCCUGGAUUACAUAAGUCCUGGUCAAGAUUCUAAAAGAAGCGAAGCACAUAGGAAACAACGACGUGCAAAGAUAGUACAUAUUUAGUGCAUGUUUGGUAUGAUUUAUCUAAUGAUCAUAAAUUUUUAUUUAAUCCUAUAAGCUCUUAUCAAAAAUUUUUUUGUUGUUUAAUUUUUUUUUAGUAGAGCUCUUGAAAAUGAAAUAAGCUAUUUUGCCUCUACUACCAAAACCUCAAAUUUUGUGCUUUUGAGAGUAGAGGUUAAAAAGUUUUUUUUUAAUAUUAAAAUAUCUAAAAUAUUCUCUACUUAUUUGACAAUCUUAUUUUAUUCUUUUCAAAACAUAACUUUAAAAAUUUGCUUAUUAAAGUAAUUUUAUAAUUUUUAAUAAAAGCCCUUAUUGACAACCAAACAACACAAAUUUUUUGAGUAAAAACUUUACUUAUAAAAUCUUUACUAGCAAAACUCUACUCAAAUAAGAUCUAUUUGAAAAGCUAUGUGAAAUGAAGCAUUAAGCAUGCUGCUGUUCUCUGUUCCUUUUUCCUUGUGAUGUCAUCUGAAUGGAUUCUUAAACUAAUUGUAGUUAGGAUUUGGUAUUUUAGGGUACACUCUGCUGGCUGCAUAUAGUUUUGGAUUUGCUGAUUACACGAGUAAACUUGUUGUCCAUGCAAAUGCAACUAACUAUUGCAGGAUAAUAGUUCUACUUUUCUGAGUGAACUCUGAAGGCACCAAUUAUAAACAUCCAUUUCUGGCAUAGAAUCACACUUAUCUAACAUGCUUAUACAGAUCGCAGACAUGAUUGAAACUUUAGAAGGUUCUGAUCUAUUGAUGGCCAUAGAUUGGGCCAGCUGAUAGUUAGUAGCCAAUGAUGAAGGGUUGCUUGGUCAAGCAGCUAGUUCUUUGGAAAUUCAGAGAUGAUGAGCAGAACGAGUGAUGUUUUUGUUUUCCCCCGUAAUCUUGAACAGAGUGGGAAGAAACCGUUAAUUUGAAGUGCAAUGGAUGGAUAUGACAGAUCUAUCAUUUUGGCUAGUAGAUGGAGUUCUUCCAUUCUACUCUUAUUUAAUGGUUGUUAUUAUUGAUUCUAGAAAAACAUUUUUCGAUUUGGCAGUUGGAGUUUUUCCCUUUUUUUUCCCCCAUCUUGUAGGCCUUAGAGAACCAAAUAAUACUCCACAUUAGAUAGACAGGAUUAUUGUGUGCUAAUUUGAAGUAUUACAUGGUUGACAAUUUAAGACACUAAUAAAGUAUUUCGCUUUGAUUAUUUUUUUUGAGAAUUCCAUGAUUCAAAAGGCCGAAGAAUUUCGUUAGUUUAACAUAAUAUAUAUUAGCAUAAUUUCUCACUGAGUGUUUUUUUCAACAUUUCAGGCAUGUGCAUAUCAAAUUCCCAUUUAUGUUCCACUGAAUUCUGCCUCAUGUUAUGAUUGUAACUUAAAAUGAAAUAUUUCUAUGUGCUCAAUUUUUGACAUUUUAUAUGCAUACAAGUUAAAAAGCUUUUGUUUAUUUUUGUUUAUUUAUUUAUUUUAGGUAAUGCAGAUUAGGGAAAAGAUUCAUGGAGCACAUCAUGAUAUGAUGGUGGAAGAUGCACUGCCCCAUGAUGGAUUGAAAAAAAGUAUGACUAUAGUGGAAAGCAAGACCGAGGAAGUAAUGGAAGACAGUGUUCAACCUGAAGAGCCAGAAGAGAAUGAUAAUAUUACUAGAUAUGGACCGGCAAUUUCAGGUGAGUUUGUCUAUGAAACAAAUUCAGAUGAGGGGUGGCAAGAAGCCAAUCCAAAAGGUAGGUCAGGAAAUGCUGCUGUUCGGAAGCUCAGCCGGAGGCGACCUUUUCUUACAAAGCUAAAUGUCAAUGGUUGUGAACAUUCAAAUCUUAGAGAAAAGGGCAAUAGACGGGAAAUUUUAUCUCCAGCACGGGAAAAAGCUUCAAGGACCACCACCACUGAGUUAACAGGCAUGAAGGAUUCAAUUAAACUGCAGGCAAAAGCUUCCGUCUCCAAAGUUUAUGCAAGUCUACCAAACCUUACUGCCAUGACUUCCAAGUCGCUGUCUUACAAAGAAGUAGCUGUGGCACCACCAGGUACGGUUCUAAGGCCAUUACCAGAGAAACCUGAUGAAGAAAUUGAAUAAAAAACUGAAACACAGAUGUGCGGUAAUGCUCCUGAGACAUCAAAGGCGGAGUUGAAUAACCAUUUCUCUCCAGUUGAAGAUGUGCCAGUUGAUGGUCGUUCUCAAGAAACUCAUGGAAGUGCAACUCAAUCUGAAACUACUGCUGCAGAUACCGAGGAAGUUCCUUCUUCUUCUAAUGAGGAAAAGCCCAUGGAAACAAAUGGGAGUAAGCUUUCUGCUGCAGCUGAACCAUUCAACUCCAUGACUCAUCUGCUGAACUCUGUAGCAGCCACGAGUAUUUAUGAUGCGCGAACUAGUCAAGGUAUGCUUGCUGAACCUGCUGUACCUUCGGCUGCUGCUAGAGUUCCUUGUAGGCCAAGGUCGCCUCUCUAUUAUAGAAAUAAUUAUUCUUACAUGAUGAAAUAUGGAUUUCCAAAAUACCACUCUUCCAUUAUGGAAAGAAACCUGUUGGGGCCUUCAAGAAUCAUGAACCCGCAUGCACCUGAGUUUGUGCCAGUGAGAGGUUGGCAAAUAAAUCCUGGAUAUGCAGAUUCAAAUGUUUCAAAUGAGUCGAACUCUUCAAUGACACAAGUGAGGCAGAAGAUGAUAAACUUGACAAAAUGUCCAGUAUCCAAGGCGAAGAUAAUACCUCAAGAAAGAGCAGUACAGAGGCCGAGAAGUCAGAGCUGGCAAGACAGAUACUACUUAGCUUCAUUGUAAAGUCAAAUUGAGAAUUUGAACAAACACAAACAUGGAUACAUAGCUGUUUGGAGAAAAGCCAACGGAUACAUAAUACAGCACGAUAAGUUAUACACGGCCGAACCGUAUGUGCUAGUAAGCACAAACAUAUUUGAAAAGCCAAUAAUAGCAUGUGUCAAUACAUCUAUCAACGAAAUAGAACCACAGUUUGCGCCAGUACGAGUUUAUCCAAAGUGCUGCAAAUAAACCCAAACUCACCGAUGCAUAGGAUGCUCCAAAACUCCAUCUUAAUGCCACCAUGUCAAUCACAGAAUCGCUUUCAUCUUCUCCUCCUCCUGUAGGUGUCGCUGGUGGUGUCAAAGCACUGCUGCAUUUCCUCUUUAUCAUUGAGCCACAAAGAGCCGAAUUACCUUUAUAACUGCAGUCAUCAAAGGUGGCAAACUGCUCUUUGUCUGGGAUUGGGCCGGACAAAUUGUUGUAUGACACAUUGAAGUUUGAUAAAAAGUUGAGCUCAGUUAGUUGAGGAGGAAUUUGGCUACUUAAUUUGUUGCGGGAAAGGUCAAGGCUCUCUAUCAUUUUUAGAUUGGAGAAGCUCUCUGGUAUAGCACCUGAUAGUAAAUUAUUGGACAGAUUAAGUGCACGAAUAUUUUGAAGUUGCCCAAUUUUCCAUGGAAUUUCUCCACUGAACUCAUUGCCUGACAAAUCUAGUCCAGCCAUGUAGUUGAGGUUGCUACCGAUGAAAAAUUCAUAUCUAUUCUUUGUCACAAAUUUUGCACCUACUUGUUGAUCUUGUCUAAAAUGUAGUUCAACUGGCAGUUGCAGCUCAAGAGAGGAAUUGUAGUAGGCAACAGGGGAAUCAACAUUAUUUGCAUAAAAAAAUUCUGACGAAUCAUCAUCAGUCGCUUCUCUCCAGAAUGGCACGUUACCCAAACAUGAAGGUAUCGGCCCAUUAAGUCUGUUACGUGAAAGAUCCAUGAUACUUAAUUUCCUUAAUUGGCACAAUUGAUUAGGAAUACGUCCUUGUAGAUAGUUCCCUCUCAAAAGAAGAACAUGCAAAUUCGAACGCUCAUUGAUCUGAUGAGGAAUCCUACCAAAAAGUUUAUUGUCCCUCAAAUCGAGGGUCAAUAAUGUAGAGCUUCUAAGCAAUGCAAUUGGAAUUAACCCCUUAAUUGCAUUGUUUUGCAGAUAAAUGUGCUUCACGAAUGAAAGAUUGGAGAGAGAUAUCAAACUAUUUUCGGAGAGGUCUAUAAACUCAAGACUUUUAAGAUUGUUGAGCUGGACCGGAAUAUUACCUUGCAAAUAGUUUUCUGACAUUAAAAGAACCGAAAGGACUGAGAAGUUCCCAAUCCAGUGGGGAAUAUCGCCGGAUAACAUGUUGUUGGAUACAUUUAAUACUCUUAGCAAAGUGGAGCUCAACAAACCAUCUGUCAUCUUCCCACUGAAAUGAUUGUUGUCCAAAUAUAACGAACCCAAAUCAGUCAAGUUCAUAUAAUUGGGAAAAAGUUGGCCAUAGAAAUUGUUAUUUGAUAGGUCCAACCAAUCUAAGGAGAGGCAACUAGAGACUAUAGGUCGAGGUAAUUUUCCCGUAAAAUUAUUUCUAGACAAAUCCAAAAUAGUUAGCUCUUUCAUCUCACCAACUGAAUAAGGAAUAUUACCUUCAAAAUUAUUUUUUGACAUAUCCAAAUAUAUCAAUUUCUGAAAGAUAAUACCCAAAUUCUCUGGUAGCUUACCAGAGAAAUUGUUACUGGAAAUAUCUAGAUGACGAAGCUUAUCGUAUUUGGCAUUGGGAAGUCGUGGAAGAAUUCCUGAGAAUGAGUUAUUCCACAGAAACAGAACUUCUAAUCCUGUGUUGUUUUGCAACAACCAAGUUGGAAAAUUGCCAACCAAUUGAUUGUGAGAGAGAUCAAGGAAUUUUAAGUUGGAUUGGUGUAAAAGAAAACUGGGAUUGACAUUUAAGCGGCAGUGAGGUAAUUGGAGAACCUUGAGAGGAUAUGUGGGGAGCCAGUUUUCGGUUUUCACUUGCAACAUAUCGUUUUGUGGCGAGAGUAGCAAGACCUCAAGCUUUGAAUGAUUAGCCAAUGAAUUUAUUGAGAAUGUUCCUUGGAAAUCGAUGAAAGAGAGAUCCAAAUAUUCAAGUGAUGUGAGGUUGGCUACUAUAGAAGGUAAGUUUCCACUUAACCGAUUGGAAGAAAUAUCAAGAACUUUGAGAUGAGUCAAGUUGAUAAGACAUUGAGGGAGCUGACCCUCAAAGUUAUUUGAGCUUAGAUCCAACUCAAAAAGAUUCUUCAAAUUACAUAUUCCUAAACCUGAAAAUAAAAAGCUCAAAUUUCAUAAAACGAAAACCAAUUAUAGCGCAUUCAAUCAUAAAACCAAUAUAAGACUUAUAAAACCGACAUGAAAUUAAAUUGUCUAAGUAUUUUGGUCAACAUAAAUAAUAAUAGAAUGAUAUGAAUUUAUUUCUCAUAUAAUAUGAUGUUGAUUGCAAAAGCGUUUCAAUUAAUCUAACAAAAAUAAUAAUAAAAAUAAAAAAGCGCUCAAUAAUUCUUGCUCAUCAUAAUCAAUUCAAAAAGCGUUCCAGCAAUUCUUGUUGUUUAAAAUUAUGAUUUUCUGCGGAAGAGUUUGUUGACCUCAUCUUUUUGUUGGAUAUUGAUUCUCUAAUCUCUAAAUUUGUUGGAUAAUGUAGAGAGAAACUCGUAAUAUUUUAGUUGCCUGGCAUUCAACAAGAAUUUUUUUUUAAAAAAAAAAUUGUUUAAUUUAACCAAAAAAACCUUGUUAAUUAGACUUAGAUUUAAUUUUUUUUUAUAUAUUUUUCUAUUUAAAAAAUUAAAAAUGAGUGAGUAGGGGUAGAAACAUCAUUUUGUAACUAGUUGUGGGGGCAAAAAUGUUAUUUUGUAACUAAUUGUAGGAGUAAGAAUGGCGUUUUUUAUAGUUAAUUGUAGGGUAGAAACGUCAUUUUGUAACUAAUUUAUUAUUCUUAUUAAAAUUAACAACAAAAGUUAACAGAAUAUUGCACGCUCAAAUAUUUUUAAAAAAUAUGUCAUCUUCUUAAAAUUUGUUAAAAUACGUGUCAUCCAAAGGUAAUUGACCAUUUAUAUUAUUAUUAUUAUUAUUAUUAUUCCCAAAAAAUCAAUUUCCCUCACAAUAAUCUUUUCUUUUCGUAUACAUUAUACUAUUUAUGUUUUUAUAUAUUUACUAAAUCAAAUAUGUAGAAUUUAUCAUUUUCUUUGAACAAAAAAAUAGCAAGGUCACCUAAUUUAUUCUUAAAAUUAAAAUAAUCAAUAUCCAUUGCUUAAUCUUAAGUUUUAUGGAAAUUAUUCCAAUAAUAAUUCUUUAAAAUAUUCUUACCAAACACAUUUUUCUUUUUCUCAUUUUUGAGAUUAUUUUUGAAAAUGAUACCGAACACAUUUAUAAAUUUUAAAAAUAAAUUUAAAAAUAGCAUUUUUAUUUUCAUUUUUUGGGGUGAAAACAACGAUUAGAAAACAAUAAUGGGUUCUUGUUUAUCAUCCUUCAACAUAAAAACACAGUGUAAAUUGUUUAAUUUGGGUUUCUAGAGAAUUUUUUAUAUUACUAUUACUCAAAUUUUAUGCUUCCAAGCUUUUGAAUUUAUCUAAUCCUGCAGGCUGCAUCAAGAAUUAAUGAACAUAUGAUAAAAAAAUAUUUUUUUAUUCAGAACUAUAAAUAUUGAAAUAAAAAUAAAUAUCAUGUGAANNNNNNNNNNNNNNNNNNNNNNNNNNNNNNNNNNNNNNNNNNNNNNNNNNNNNNNNNNNNNNNNNNNNNNNNNNNNNNNNNNNNNNNNNNNNNNNNNNNNNNNNNNNNNNNNNNNNNNNNNNNNNNNNNNNNNNNNNNNNNNNNNNNNNNNNNNNNNNNNNNNNNNNNNNNNNNNNNNNNNNNNNNNNNNNNNNNNNNNNNNNNNNNNNNNNNNNNNNNNNNNNNNNNNNNNNNNNNNNNNNNNNNNNNNNNNNNNNNNNNNNNNNNNNNNNNNNNNNNNNNNNNNNNNNNNNNNNNNNNNNNNNNNNNNNNNNNNNNNNNNNNNNNNNNNNNNNNNNNNNNNNNNNNNNNNNNNNNNNNNNNNNNNNNNNNNNNNNNNNNNNNNNNNNNNNNNNNNNNNNNNNNNNNNNNNNNNNNNNNNNNNNNNNNNNNNNNNNNNNNNNNNNNNNNNNNNNNNNNNNNNNNNNNNNNNNNNNNNNNNNNNNNNNNNNNNNNNNNNNNNNNNNNNNNNNNNNNNNNNNNNNNNNNNNNNNNNNNNNNNNNNNNNNNNNNNNNNNNNNNNNNNNNNNNNNNNNNNNNNNNNNNNNNNNNNNNNNNNNNNNNNNNNNNNNNNNNNNNNNNNNNNNNNNNNNNNNNNNNNNNNNNNNNNNNNNNNNNNNNNNNNNNNNNNNNNNNNNNNNNNNNNNNNNNNNNNNNNNNNNNNNNNNNNNNNNNNNNNNNNNNNNNNNNNNNNNNNNNNNNNNNNNNNNNNNNNNNNNNNNNNNNNNNNNNNNNNNNNNNNNNNNNNNNNNNNNNNNNNNNNNNNNNNNNNNNNNNNNNNNNNNNNNNNNNNNNNNNNNNNNNNNNNNNNNNNNNNNNNNNNNNNNNNNNNNNNNNNNNNNNNNNNNNNNNNNNNNNNNNNNNNNNNNNNNNNNNNNNNNNNNNNNNNNNNNNNNNNNNNNNNNNNNNNNNNNNNNNNNNNNNNUAAUAAAUAUACUUCAAAAUUAUUAUAGAAAGGCCCGGAUCCAGUGGGGUUGUUUUGUAAAUUAUCCCAAUAAGAUUGCCUAGCCUUGUUAAAAAGCCACUUGUUAGAUUGAGGUUCCCGCCUAGAAACAACGCUUCCAUGUGUCUCAAAUUUGCUAAUCCUGCUCAGAAAACAUUAAAUUUUGAUCAAGACAAUUUACGUAUAUAUUUUAAGAGAUUAACGAGCCUAACAUGCAUUUCUGCUGGCAUGAAAUGUAUAUACCUUGCUUGAUUCUGGAACCUUCAAUGCAAUUGUAAUAAAGAUUCAAAGUGGUAAGUGAAGUUAGCGUAUUCAAAUAUGGUAAUAUGCUGUCGUCGAAGAAAUUGUCACAAAGAUUUAAGAUCUUCAGCUGCUUCAAGCUCCCAUUGCUAUCGUAAGCUGCAAAUGCAUAUGAAGUAUUAAUAUUAUAAUAUGCACGAGAAAUAUAUACAUAUACAUGUACCUUUGUUCUCAUAGAGGCCUUUAAGCCAAUUAUCAGAUAAGUCGAGGCUCUGCAAUUCUUUGAAAGAAUGAAACAGUGACAUAUUCAGAAGGGAAACUCCAUAAGAAUAAGAGUUAUAAUCAGAGAAGUUGAACAUUCUUGUCCCAUUGAGUGAGAGUUGCAUCACCCGGCGUGUGGUGGCGUUGCACUUAACUCCCUCCCAAUCAUCACAACAAUCAGACGACAUUCCAUCAUCAACCCAUGAAGUAAGAAUAGAGCCUUCAUAUUCCCUAUCACUGAUUGAUAUAAAGAAGCUCUUGAGUUCCAACAGAGUAGUCCUCUCUGUUUGCAAGCAUGCUUUGUAUCCAUGCAUUUCAUUCAUCAAAACAAUAAUCCAAAUUAGUGAAAUUAACGAGAACUUAACGAAGGAAGUACUUUCCAUUGCAAAGCAACUUUUCAAUUGGUCAAUAUAAAAUUUGCAAGGAGGAAACUUCAAUAUUUAUACUAAACAUUUAUCAUCGUGGACCUUGCAAUUUGAUUGGGUGAAGAUUACCAACCACCACCUAACGAAAAUGAAACAUCUCAGAGAUAUCAAGUAAUAAAAAUACUUGAUUAUCUUAUUUUUGUUUUAGAGGGUUAUUAAAGACAAAACGUUGUCAAUACAUUAUAACAUCGCUAUCUUGAAGUCUUUGUCUUUAGUGAAGACUUGUAAGCUUGAAAUUACAUAUAUAUUGCAGCAUCGACCCAGGAGAAAAAGAACUUCACUAAUACUCCGUGAAAAAUAAAAUUAAAGUUCACUGACUCUUGAAUUAAGCCAACAAACAAGCGAGUGCAAACUAUAUUUUCUCCAACAGUUUGAUGGAGAUAGUCGUAACUAAUAAAAUAAAAGUUGUGUGAAAGAGUGUAAAUAAUUUAUCCGUAUAUUUGGGUUUACAUUGGAUUAUCAGUUAAUCUAUUAAAUAAUAUGUUUUGUAAAGAAUUUGAUUGGAUGUUUGAUAAGUUUAAUUUAGUAGUUUAAUUACUCAUAAAAGUGUGAUGUACUCUAAAAUGACAAAUACAUAAAUGUUAUUUGAAGCUUUUGUGACCCUUCAUGUUCAUGCAUUUGAAUCAAAGCCAUUAAAAUCAAAUAUAUUGAUAAACCUUAAUAAGGAAAUUAAGUUUUGAUUGCUCUCAAUCUGCAACUCGACUACUAUUACAAUCACUUGAAAUGACAAAAACAGAAAUUUCAUAUGAACUUGGGACAGAUGUACACGGGUUCAAUUUAGCUAAUUUCCCAUAUAUUUACAACUACGGGGAAAAUUAAAGCUGAUUGACUUUCAAAUUAAGCAACAAACAAGCGGCUGUCCUACUAUUUUUCCUCUACCAAUUGACGGAGACCGCCGAUGCUAUAAAACAAAAAUUGAUUAAGAAUUCAGAUAAGGAAAAUUAUCAACUGUCCGUCCUAAGUUUAUCAUUUAUUCAUUUUUCGCCUUAAGUUUACAAUUCGUAUUAGUCAUCUACUAAAAAGAUAGAAUUACACUUAUGAAAUGACAAUACAUAAACAAAUAUAAAUGGCAAUAGUGGUAAUUUUGUAUGAAUUUUUCUGUUCUUUUGGUGGUUGGUUGAUACAAAUUAAAAACAUAAGAAGAAAAAUAAAUAAAUUCAAACUUUUAGUAUUUCUGAUAGCAGGUUAAACCAAAGGAGGAGGGCUUUACAAUUUCCCUUUAAAUAAUUUAAGGGUGUGAUUGCGUUUCUAUUGAACUGUAUGCUUGGAUUUGCAUUGAAUUAUCAAAAAAUCUAUGCAAGCAUCGAAUUGUAAUGACUGACGAAGACUUAUAAGGCUUGGACCAAUGAAGAAAAAUGCUUCAUUAAUGCUCCGUGGAAAACAAGCCAGUUUGGAAGCAGUUGAUCGGAUAGUCAACAGUUGAUUGAGAUAGUCAACUAAUAAAAUAAGCGUCGUUUGGGUUUGAAAUAAUCAAAUAAUUUAUUGAGAAGAGUUGAAUUCCGUUAUUUUAUUGAGAAGAGAUCCAUCACUCCCUCGCAAUUAUCACAGCAAUCAGACGACAUUCCUUCAUCAUCGUCAAACCAUGAACUAAGAGCUUCGUCAUCGUAUCCAAUAUCACUGGCUGAUAUGAAGAAGCUUUUGAUUUCUAACAGAGCAGUCCUCUCAGUUUCCAAGCAAGCUUUGCAUCCAUGCAUUUCAUCCAAAACGACAACCCAAAGUAGUGAGGUUAAUGAGAACUUAAUGAAGGAAGUACUUCCAUUGCAAAACAGCUUUUUAUUUGGCUAAAGUUAAAUGUGAAUUAAAUAUCUUUGACUGGUGAUAUACAUAUAUUCAGAGAUUUGAAGUGCUCAAACCAAAAAAAAAAUAAAAAAAUAAAAAAAUUAUUAUAAAAAAAUUGAUGAAUAAUAUAGUUCCAGGAAGUGCUAAUGUUUGAGGGAAGUACAUCGAGGAGACCAGACGUGAUGAGCAGGUGGUUGGUGGCAGGGUUCUGCGAGCAGGUGUAUCCUGCAAGAGCCAAAUAGCAGGGGAAUAGGAGCAGGAGUAUUCUGCUUGUCCACGAAUAUGCCAUUCGGGAGGCCGAACUCCUGUCAGAGGCAUAAGGUCACUCCUGCUAGGCAUGGAGGCGAGGAGACGCAAUCAACGACAGUUGGCAGGACGUGCAUUCGUAUCCGAGAGUUAAGGCACGAGGGUCAUCUCCAUUCGCCGACAAUGGCGGUAAUGGGGCGUCCACACCCGAGAGUGGGGAGAAUGACGGGCGUGGACUGCGGAAGAUCUGGAUUCAGAGGAAGCCUAUAAAAAGGUAACCAACGAAGGUAAAAGGGUUAGAAUUUUGGCUAUUUGAACUAAGAAAAGAGAACUCUAAGAACGGAGAUUACAGAAAAGCCAUAAGAUCUGUGGCAAGCGUUCCCAGAACCUUCACAUCUGACUUGAGCGUCGGAGGGUUUACGCCGGGAAAACAACCGGCGUGCUCUGACUCGUUUCUGUGAACGCAGGGAUACUUGGAGAAGAAAGCAUACGAGGAGAGAUCCUGAUCGAGGUGAGGUUGAUCGAGCAGAUAUCCUGGUCGUAGGACGAGCAUAACCAGAAUCUCGCAUCAACAUUUUGGCGCCGUCUGUGGGGAGCUGAGCAAAAAACUUCUGUUGAUAGCAAGAAGAGGAGUGAAGCAAGUGAAAAGUAAUGGAGACAGGAGGAAGUAGUGCACAAGGGGGUGAUAUGAGGCUGAACGAUUCCGUGACGCUGAGGGAGAUAGCCAGCGAAGCCAGGGAAAAAGCCAUGUUCGACCGGAUGGGACGGAUGGAAAAACAGAUGGAGACCCUGACAACCAUCCUGCAUGAGUUGCGGAGUGAACGAAGGGUAACCCAGAAGGAAAUGGUGAGAGGUGGUGGAGUGGCACCAGGUCCCGAUGGUACAAGGAGAAGUCAAACCGCCGAGAGACUUGGUGGUGAGAGAGGUAACAUACCUUUGCGGGGAGAAUUCCAUAGAGACGAAGAGCAAUCCCCGGCAAGACAGAUUUUUUACGAGGACGAUGGGGUGGCGAAUGCAGAAGAAACAGAGUUGAGGCAACACUUGCAUGAUGUAGAGCAAGAGAGGGAUCAAGUUGCAGCACGUGACCCUGGUCGUGCAGUGCAGCUGGAGGAGGAAGUGCGCAGACUAGCGCAGAUAAUUGACGAUAUGCAAGGAAGGAGCAGAGCUCCUGGUUGGAGGAUAAUGCUGGACGGAGAAUCACCGCUCGCAGCAGAUAUCAUGAGGGCAGUUAUUCCGAGAGAUUUUCCUCUCCCGGACCUUAGAUAUUCGGGACGAACUGAUCCGCUGGUGCACAUAGAUCGCUUCAAUGACAUAACGGGGGUACAAGGAUUAUCUCAGCCCCAAAGGUGCAGGGUGUUCCCACUAUCCCUGGAGGGACGUGCACGCGAGUGGUACAAGAAACUUCCUCGGGGCAGCAUUAAAACCUUCGAGCAGAUGUGCCAGGAAUUCGCAGAGCAGUUUAGUGGGGCAAUGGCACCAGAAGAUGACAUGAUGGAGCUGAAAAGCAUGAAACAGGGGGAGCAAGAAACCUUUCGGGAAUUCAUCAAGAGGUUUCAUCGUGCUGUCCUCGACUUGGGAGCCUUCAACCACCCUCAGGCAUUAAGGGGAUUGAAAGAAGGAGUGAAGAUAGGAAGGCUGUGGUACAACUUGAGAAGCCCAGCUAUCCAGACGUAUGCGGCCGCAUACGAGCAGGCUAAGAGAGAUAUUGAGAUUGAAGAGGAGAAGGCAGCACGAAUUAAGAUAGACCAGUUAGAAGGGUUGGGGAGGAAAGAGAAGAAAGCAUUACCGGGGAAUGGGCCGAUCAGGAGGAGGAACCACCAGGCCUCGGAUAGUGGAGCAGGAGGCCGGGUAAUUGCUUACCAGCCUCAUCAGAGGCCACCACAGUAUCAGCGCAGCAGGGCGCAGCCUCCUCGCUCCCCAGCUAGGGAGCCUUGGAGAGGGCAUGGUUCAUCAUAUGGUGGUCAUCAACACUCCCACGGUGGCAGAGGGAGCAGACCAGAGGUACUGCCACCGCACCCAACUCAGAACGGAGCAAACAGAGAAAGAGCAGUGAACCUGAUUGACCAGAACCGGGACUAUGGGCGGUACACUUCAUUGAAGAUGUCCCUGGCCGAGGUGUACGAGGCCAUAAAGGAUCGAGGGUUGCUAUACCUCCCGGCUCCAAUAACUAAGCUACCCAGCAGGAGGGACAGGGGACGCUAUUGUAAGUUCCAUGGCACUCAUGGCCACACCACAGCAGAUUGUAGAGAUCUUAAGACCCAGGUUGAAGAUUUGGUGAGAAAUCGGUAUCUGGACGAGUUUAUAGAUGGGACCAUCCCAAUGGUAGCCUCAACAAGUGAAGGGGAGCAGAGUGACAGGAACUUGAGACGCGAGCAGCCCGCAGUGAGGGUUAUAGCGGGGGGUCCGACAUUGGCCGGAGACUCCAAUAGGUCAAGGAAGAAUUAUGCUAGAUACGCCAUGACCAGCAAAGAGGUAUUCUUCAACACCCCAGCAGCCAAACAUGCAAGAGUCAGGCAAGUGCCAAUCAUGUGGACAGAUGAGGAUGAAGAAGGGAUCCUAUACCCCCACGAGGAUGCUUUGGUCAUCAAGGCCACUGUCGCUAGCAAGAAGUUUGACAGGAUACUGGCUGACACAGGGAGUUCAGUUGAUGUGUUGUUUAAGUCAACCCUGGAGGAGAUGGGAAUAGCAGACCUGAAGUUGGAUUACACCAAUACCUCCUUGAAGGGGUUUGGAGGAGGAAGGCUGGUCCCUCUGGGCGUGGUCGAGCUGCCUAUCACGAUUGGGAGCUCCCCGACAGAAAGGACAAUGAUACUGGACUUUGUGGUAGUGGAUGAGGAAGGUCCUUACCAGGUAAUCCUAGGUCGGCCAUUUCUGAGGAUGAGCAAAGCGGUGCUGUCCAACCAUUAUCUGGCUCUGAAGUACCGGGUGAAUGGGGUAGUUGGAGUGGUACGAGGAGACCAGAGGAUCGCAAGAAGCUGCUACUCCUCGGCGGCAAGGGAAACAAUGCAGAUAACAUCCCUCGAUACCCGAGUGGAAAACAAGAAUGGCAGACAAGAACCUGUAGAGGAUCUGGAAAUAGUAAGCCUGGGACCAGAGAAUCCAGGAAAGACGAUCAGAAUCAGGUCGAGACUUAAGGGAGAGCAAAAGCGGGAGUUGGUGAAAUGCUUACAGACUCAUGCAGAUGUGUUUGCUUGGACACAUGAAGACAUGCCAGGGAUUGACCCGGAGGUGGCAUGUCAUAAGCUGGCAGUAAAGAAAGGUGCUCAGGUAGUAAGGCAAAAGAGGAGGUGCUUCAACCAGGAGAGGUAUGAGGUUAUAAAUGGCGAGGUGGAGAAGCUCUUGAGAGCAGGGUUCAUUCGGGAAGUCAAUUACCCUGAAUGGAUAUCGAAUGUGGUGUUGGUAAGGAAGGCAAAUGGCAAAUGGAGGAUGUGUGUGGAUUUCACGGACCUUAAUAAGGCGUGCCCAAAAGACAGUUUCCCUUUACCGAAGAUCGAUCAGCUAGUAGAUUCAACGGCUGGACAUGGUCUGCUUAGCUUCAUGGACGCGUUCUCGGGAUACAACCAGAUUCCCAUGUACGAGCAGGAUGAGGAGAGUACGGCUUUCAUCACUAACCAGGGUUUGUUCUGUUACAGGGUAAUGCCAUUUGGUCUAAAAAAUGCUGGGGCCACCUAUCAGAGGCUGGUGAACAAAGUCUUUAAGCCGUUGAUUGGGAAAACUAUGGAGGUGUAAGUGGAUGACAUGAUCACCAAGUCCAAAAUCCCGAAGGAACACGUCAGACACCUCGAGGAGACAUUCGAGCUUUUGAGGUAGUAUAAGAUGAAGCUCAACCCGGAGAAGUGUGCCUUUGGGGUCGAGUCAGGGAAAUUCCUUGGAUUCAUGGUGAGCCAUAGGGGGAUUGAAGCAAAUCCCGAGAAAAUCCAGGCAAUUGUGCAGAUGAGGUCUCCCCGUAACCUGAAGGAGAUGCAGAGCCUCACGGGUAGGUUGGCGGCGUUGAGCAGAUUCAUAUGCAGGGCUACAGAUAAGUGUCAGCCAUUUUUUCAAGUGAUAAGGAGGGGAAAGAAAACAGAAUGGACACCAGAAUGCGAGGAAGCCUUUCAGAACUUGAAGCAAUACUUGCAGCAAGCUCCACUGCUGUCCACACCGAGGGAUGGGGACAAGUUAUAUCUGUAUUUGGCGGUAUCGGAUCGGACCGCCAGUUCCGUUCUAGUGAGGGAGGAAGAAGGAGUUCAGUAUCCGAUAUAUUACACCAGCAAGGCCCUGCUCGAUGCUGAGACCAGAUACCCACCGUUGGAGAAAUGGGCACUUGCCCUUGUGGUUGCUGCUCGGAAGUUGAGGCCAUAUUUUCAAGCAUUCCUAGUCUCGGUAAUAACAAACCAGCCGUUGCGUCAAACUCUGCACAAGCCAGAUGCUUCAGGUCGGCUCGUCAAGUGGGCUAUAGAGCUGAGCGAGUUCGACAUAGACUACAAACCCCGAGCAGCGAUAAAGGCUCAGGCAAUGGCCGAUUUCGUAGCAGAAUUUACAGAGCCUGAAGUAUGUUUAGACCAACGAGAUGUAGUUGCAGACAGUGGCGAAGCUCAAGUAUGGCAAAUGUCUGUAGAUGGGUCAUCAGGGGAGCAGGGAUCAGGAGCAGGGAUUGUAUUGGAAGGCCCGGAGGGGGAGGAGAUCUCUUAUGCUGUAAAGUUAGAGUUCGCAGCAACGAAUAACCAGGCAGAGUAUGAAGCCUUGAUAGCAGGGUUGGAACUGGCUAAGGCCGUGAGAGCAGAUAGAGUGAAAAUCAGAACUGAUUCCCAGCUGGUUGCGAAUCAUGUCAGUGAAAGAUUCCAACCGAGAGAGGAAAAGAUGGAGCAGUACCUGAAGAUAGUCAGGCAGAUGAUGGGAAAAUUCGAAGCGGUGGAGGUGGUACAAAUCCCUAGGGAGCAGAAUAGUCGAGCAGAUAUUUUGGCCAGGAUGGCAGCGGUAGCAGAUCCAAAGAUGCCAAAGUCGGUCCCUCUGGAGGUGAAGUCCAUCCCAAGCAUCGAGCAGAAUUUGGAGGUGCUGCGAAUAGAACAAAAAUGCUCGUGGAUGGAGCCGAUAGUUUCAUACCUUAGAGAUGGGGUACUACCACCAGAUAAGCUGCGAGCUCGGAAGAUUAGAGCCCAGGCCUCGAGAUACACGAUGAUUGAUGGGAUACUGUAUCGGCGAGGAUAUACACUGCCGUUCCUUCGAUGUUUGGACGAGGACGACGCGGAUUAUGUACUGAGAGAAGUACAUGAAGGAAUUUGCGGGAACCAUUCUGGUGGGAGAUCCCUGGCCCAUAAGGUUUGAAGGUAGGGAUAUUUCUGGCCGACAAUGCACCAGGAUGCACAGGAGAAGACCAGGAGCUGUGUAAGCUGCCAGAGUUUUGCAAAUUUCCCCAGCCAACCACCAGAGAAGCUCACUUCUAUGGUCUCCCCUUGGCCAUUUGCUCAAUGGGGAAUUGAUCUGAUUGGUCCACUGCCAAAGGGACGAGGAGCAGCAACGCAUGCCAUAAUUGCUAUAGAUUACUUCACAAAGUGGAUAGAGGUCGAAGCCCUUAGCAGAAUCAUAGAGAAGAAAACGACAGACUUUGUGUGGAGAAACCUGGUCUGUCGAUACGGGAUCCCAUAUGCCCUAAUAACGGAUAAUGGCAGGCAGUUCGAUAAUCACAGCUUCAGGGAUUUCUGCCAAAACCUCGGGAUAGAGCUGAAGUAUUGCUCGCCUGCUCACCCGCAAUCGAAUGGACAAGUAGAAGCAGCCAACAAGACCAUCAAGAGGCUUUUGAAAACCAGGCUUGGAGCAAAAAAGGGUGCAUGGGUUGAUGAGCUGUCAGGUGUGCUAUGGGCAUACAGAACAACCCACAAAACAGCAACUGGGGAGACACCGUUCGCCUUGGCUUUUGGACAUGAAGCGGUCGUGCCAGCUGAGAUAGGAACGACCACACAUCGGACAGACCAUUUUAAUGAGCAGGAGAACGACGAGCAGAUAUGUUUGAAUCUUGACCUGCUAACGGAAAAGAGGGAGCAAGCAGCCGAGCGAUCAGUCAUAUACCAGCAGAGGGUUGCCCGGUAUUAUAACCAGAAGGUGAACAUACGACAGUUCAAGGUCGGAGAUUGGGUGUUAAGGAGAGUGAAUCAUAACACCAAAGACUCGACUCAAGGAGUGCUCGGUCCGAAUUGGGAAGGGCCAUAUAGAGUCAAGCAGCUAGUUGGUCCGGGAGCUUACAAGCUGGUUCGCAUGGAUGGCCACGAGGUGAAGCGCCAAUGGAACGCAGCACAUCUCAGGAAAUAUUUCUAGUAAGAGUCAUUAAUAUUUUCAAGUUCUUUCUGUUCGUAUUUGCCGUUAUUUAUUUUAUGACCAAGCAAUUUCAUGUAAGUUGAAUAUUCCAAUUAAUGGAACGUCGAGGAAUUUCAGUCACUUGCAACCGACAAAAUUUCUAAGGCAUGCAAAGGCUCUUCAAGUCUCAAAGCCUGUUUAUGGCGAGACAGAAGCCAAGCGUGCCAGGGUCUGCUCGACCACGCGAAGGCGAGCAGAAUCCCCAAGCAUCGAAAAAAUUUCUAAGGCAUGUAAAGGCUCGUCAAGUCUCAAAGCCUGUUUAUGGCGAGACAGAAGCCAAGCGUGCCAGGGUCUGCUCGACCACGCAAAGGCGAGCAGAAUCCCCAAGCAUCGAAAAAAAAAAAUUUUUUUUAAGGCACGCAAAGGCUCGUAAAGUCUCAAAGUCUGUUUACGGCGAGACAGAAGCCAAGUGUACCAGGGUCUGCUCGACCGCGCGAAGGCGAGCAGAAUCUCAAGCAUCGAAGAAUUUUCCAAGGUAUGUGGCAAAACCACAUGCCAAGACGAGCAGAUUCUCAAACGGAAAAUAAGUCAUGAUUACAACACAAGAAAGUAAUCAAAAACAUCUUUGUUAAUUGUUAGUAAUUAAUAGAAGAGAUAAUCGUCACAAAAAUUGUUCAUUACAGUACAAGAUAUAUAUUAAGAAGAUGGUGGAUCAGUAAGCCGAGCAUCAUCGGUUGGCUGGACCUCCUCAGGUGCAGGGGGGGUAUCACCAGUAGCAUCCAGGGGGGUGCUCGCCUCGCCAACGGCAGCAGGGACUGCACGAGGAGGAGAGUUCUCCUCCUCAAUCACGAUCGGCUCUACCCCUUCAGCAUCUUCCUUGGCCGCUUCCUCAUCCAUAUGUUGAGCAACACCAGCUGCAAGGUCAUCCAUCUUCAGAUCAGGGUGUUGCUUCCCGAGGACGGCCAUGAUGCAACGAUAAGAAUGCCGAAGUCCCUGGUCGUACUGAUUGUCGGCCUCCUUCUCCAAGUUCUCGACCUGAGCUCGGUGGGAGUCGCGGAGAGAUUCGAGCUGGGCCUCAUACGUAGCCUUCUGCCUUUCCAGAUCCUCCUUGACCUUCGUAAGCUCCUCCUCGAGGGUAAUGGCCUUUGCUUGAGCAAGUGAUUCUUGCUCUAUCAGCUUCAGAUUCUCGAGAUUCAACUCCCUUGCUUUCUUCUCGGCCACGUCAGCUCUGGUCGUCGCCGAUUGAAUAUCUUCCUUCAUCUUCCGGUCGUAGCGGCUAACCUUAGCCUUGAAAUAGGUAGUCAUGCAACUGAGGUGGAAAGCGCUAUACUGCAUGGCCCCCACCAGCUCACCCAAGGUGCAGCCGUCAAAGUCCUCCAGGUCCUUUUUGCUCACGAGUUUAGAUAACUCAUUGAGGUAGGGGACCAAGUGUUCUGCUCGGCUGUCAGGUAAACGAGAUCGAGGCCCGACAGGAGGAGAAGAGGAAGCAGGAUCCGUGGCUGCUCCACUAGUCUCCCCAAUUUGGGCAGGAGCAGGAGGUAAAGUCUUCAAGGGAGAGACUUGCUGCACGAUGUUGGCCCGCUUUGCAGAAGGGGCGUCCUUGUUCUGGUCCUUCUUCGUGGUUUGAGGUCGAGAACGUUUCCUGUUCAGAGCCCCAAUCACAGCGUCCUCCAUCUUAUGGCCAGGUAGUAUCAAGCGAGACUCGAGCAAGUUGUAAGUAGUUAACAGCUCUCGGCUCGGGCAGGAAUUGACUAGCACAGCCUCAACCUGUUUGAGCUGACCAGGUUGGAGCGGGAAAUGAACACCCCAGGAAACUACAACACAAACGAGCAGAUUGGAAAUGGACACUUGGUUAGAGACAAGCCAAUAAAGCAAGAACAAUUAUGGAUACAAGACAUCUAAAGCGAGCAGGCAACCUGGGACCGUGAAACGGGGGGGGACCCGAUAAUCCUUCCCGUCCAUUUGUGCAACCUGACCCCAAGGACCCCCAGCAAAAAAGAACUUUCUCUUCCAAUUCCCUCCACCACCAGUAGGGAGGUCGGUUAUAGGUUUCCUAGUCUUGGUACUAGAUUAGAAAUAGUACCAGCCGGCAUCUUUGGGGCUGCUCUUUAGCUGGUACAGAUGCUUCACCUCAUCAAUUGUGGGCUCGCUUUGGCAACAUCUGUCCCACAAUAUGAACAGACCAGAGAGUACUCUCCAUCCGUUUGGGUUCAACUGACCAGGAGAUAGAUUCAGCCCGUUAAGUAUUCGGGCAAAGUAAGGUUGCAAGGGACACCUCAGCCCAUACUUAAAGCUAUCCAGAUACAGGGUAACGUAUCCCCUAGGAGGCCGGCUAGGAGCAUCCUUCUUUCCUGGGAUCUUAAGAGGUAUUUCACUAGGAAUACUAUACCUAAGCCGGAGGUCAUCGAGCUCAUCAAACGUGGUCGUGCACGUCAUAUAAUCAAUAGCGUAAUCCCGCGAUAGGGCUCUACCUCCUAUUGUACUCCUCUCUUCUGGUCGCGACGCUCCUGAUGGGGACACCUCACCAGAAUCAUCUCCUCGACCCUCACUCAAGGUGUUCUCCGACCUAGAAGAUCCCUCUUCAUCGCUAUUUCCGCUCGAGGAGGUUGUUUGGGGAGACAUCCUCCUAGCGCUAGGACCAACACUGGAUCUAAUGGGCUCUAAGGGGAUCCCGGGGUCAAAAGCAGGGUCGGUGAGCAAACUAGGCAGGAAGUCCAACUCAUCGUCGUCAACCUCAAUGACCUUCUCUUUACCUUUCGACAUUCCCUAAGCGCUAACCACAACACCACCACCAACUACUACCCGAACAAAAGAGAAGAGAAAUUAUCUACAACUAUCCGAAACCAAGGAGAUAGAAGAAGUACCUGAAGUAAUGUUUCAGUCGGUGAAAGACAGAGAUGGAGGCCUUUAUGCCGGAACUUCUUUGCCGGAGAGACAGAGACGGAGACGGAGUGGAUGAUGAGUUUUCUGUACGAAAGGAUUUGGGUUUCAUAAAAGGGAUGGACUUUUAGGUUGCCAGCAUUUAACAGUACCAAAUCCCAAGGGCCUCGUAACCGUUGGUUUAAAAUUCAAAUAAAGGGGCAGAUUUCUGCCACAUCACCUCGUCCGCAAUUAAAUGUGACAUGACUCCUGGCAGCCUUUUCCAGCCCCACGCGAACGAGAACCGUUGAGUUUCUACUGUUGGUCCAUUACAUUACCCAACACCUGAAACUGGGGGACCUGUGUUUGAGGGAAGUACAUCGAGGAGACCAGACGUGAUGAGCAGGUGGUUGGUGGCAGGGUUCUGCGAGCAGGUGUAUCCUGCAAGAGCCAAGUAGCAGGGGAAUAGGAGCAGGAGUAUUCUGCUUGUCCACGAAUAUGCCAUUCGGGAGGCCGAACUCCUGUCAGAGGCAUAAGGUCACUCCUGCUAGGCAUGGAGGCGAGGAGACGCAAUCAACGACAGUUGGCAGGACGUGCAUUCGUAUCCGAGAGUUAAGGCACGAGGGUCAUCUCCAUUCGCCGACAAUGGCGGUAAUGGGGCGUCCACACCCGAGAGUGGGGAGAAUGACGGGCGUGGACUGCGGAAGAUCUGGAUUCAGAGGAAGCCUAUAAAAAGGUAACCAACGAAGGUAAAAGGGUUAGAAUUUUGGCUAUUUGAACUAAGAAAAGAGAACUCUAAGAACGGAGAUUACAGAAAAGCCAUAAGAUCUGUGGCAAGCGUUCCCAGAACCUUCACAUCUGACUUGAGGGUCGGAGGGUUUACGCCGGGAAAACAACCGGCGUGCUCUGACUCGUUUCUGUGAACGCAGGGAUACUUGGAGAAGAAAGCAUACGAGGAGAGAUCCUGAUCGAGGUGAGGUUGAUCGAGCAGAUAUCCUGGUCGUAGGACGAGCAUAACCAGAAUCUCGCAUCAACAGCUAAUAUGGCUCUUUGAACUCUCUUUACAGUAUUGGUAGAAAUUUAUCCGAUGUGUACAAGGGCUUGUAUAUUUUGCAAUAAAAUAUACAAGCCAAUAUGAAUUUCUUUCUUUCUUUCUCUCUCUUUUUUUUUUUAAGAAACAUGAAUUGGUUCGUCCAUCAAUUAAUAAUAAAACCAUAAUGUACACCGGUAUGAGUUUAUCUAAAAUCACCGGCUACACCAAUAUCAUUGUGACAUAGGAAGCGAUGAGGAAAUUUACGAGAUAUUUAUUAAACCAUAGUCUACGCCAGUAAGAUGGAAUUAGCAUUCAAUGAUCAUAGACUUUCUGCAAUUUCAUUGACUUGUGAUCAGGGAGUCCUUAUUCUACGAUGAUUAUAAUCAAACACGCACACUGCAAGGCAACCUUCAAUUGACGUAUUCUGUCAACUAACUGGGGACAAGGGUCAUAAAAGGGUACGGGAGAGAAAGCAUGAGUCUAUGCACAGUUCCGGUUUUGCUAGUUGAUGGAACAUGGAGGAUGUGUGUUAAUGUUAACCAAUAGUCAAGUUUAUUGAAAAAAGUAAGUGAGAGAAUAUUACAUGUUGAUACAUGUUAUCUGAUUGUGACUUUAGUACCGUCCAAAGAAAUUGAAAUGUGAAAUAAUUGAAGAUGCAAAAUGGUUGAUUUCACGGGCCUGGCCUUUGGCAAAGUGAAAUGUUAGCCACACACUUUACCAGUCAAGUGUCAACAUUUGUAGCAUAAGGAAAUUGCGGCAUCUUAGCUGGAUUUUGAGGGUCGCUAUAGUGGGCUCACAAAUAUUUAACAUAAUUUUGAUAAUUACUUAAACCUCGUUUCCUUGAUAAUUAAAGAAAAAGAGAAGUGAAUGAAGUAAAAGAUAUUGAUGACCGUAAUUAUGCAAAUAAAUACAAGACUUUACAGUAGAUUAGACCACCAAUUGUGCUUUUUCGUCUAAUAAUAAUGCAUCUGCUUUAACAAGAUACGAGUGAACUCAGGCUUAUCUUUCUUUCGCAAUGUAAAUUCUUGCCAAAAAAUACAUGUUAUCUACUGGUGAAUUAGUUUGAUAAAAUAAAGGCUUAAAGUUUAGUUGAGUAAAAUGUUGACGUAAAGAAAUUAGCUACUGGAAAAUCACCAAAUGCUUGUUAAGGUAAUAUACAAUUGCAAUUGAACAUCAAGUGAUGGAAACAUCAAAAACCCCAUAAAAAAUUAAACAAAACCAGUUGCAAUGCGAAUAAACAAGUUUUCAGUUGAGAUGGCAGAACUAAUUCCUUCACAAUCAAGUGUGAUUUCUCAAUUUGUUCUAUUUGCCCAAAAAGACAUGGUCAAGUAUUUGAAAGCAUUUUUAUUUAGUUGACUAUUCGAGUUUGAAUUUAGAAUAAGAGGUUAAAAAAUAAGUUUUGUCUUUACUCACCCCCUUUAGAAAAAAAAUUUUAAUUUUUUAUCAAGCUGCCUUAAAUGCAUCAUGUGCAAAUCACGUGACAUCCUGAGUUACCAUAUAAUUUGGCUUUAUAAGUGUUUUCUGUUUCUGAAAACGAAAAAUAAUAAAAUGGAAAUGCCUUUAGCUUUUGGCUAGACAUUUUCAGAUACGUUUUUCGUGAUUAUUUCAAACUUCCAACAUACCACAAAUUAUUUUUAGAGCCCGCAUGUUGGAUUGUCUCAUUUAAGUUUCGCUUGGAUUUUUAGCACAUCAUUCAAAUAAGUUGCUAUCGUAUAUCUAGCUAGUUUUGAACAAAGUCAGUGAGAAUAUUACAUCUGCUUUAGCAAGAAAUGAGUGAAUUAAAACAUUUGACCAGAUUCAAGAGAGAAAAGAAUGUUGAAAUAUUGACUUGAAUAUUAUGGUAAAAUGAGUUUGACUUUAGUACCGACCAAAGAAAUAACUGAAGAUGCAAAUUAAUUGGUUAGUUUGAGGUGCAUGGCUAUUGGCAAAGUGAAAUGUUAGCUUCACACUUCACUUGUGAACGUACAACAACAUUUGCUGCAUAACGAAAUUGCAGCGUCUCAGCCGGAUUAUGAGAGUUGUUUUCAAAUCCCAUUUCUUUUCUUUGUAACCUUUUUUUUUUUUCCGCAGCUCACGUGAUCACCAUAAUUUUGAUAACUACUCAAACGCGUUUCCGCAAUAACUAACGAAAGGAAAAGCGAAUGAAUAAGCAAGAGAUACUGAUGACAGUAAUCAUGUAAAUGAAUACAAGGCUUUACAAUAGAUUAGACCGCCAAUUUGUGCCUUUUGAAUGCAUCUGCUUCAACAAGAUACCAGUGAAUUGAGGCAUAUCUUUCUUUCACAUGUAAUCUGCUGGUGAAAUAAUUUUUAUAAAACAUAGGCUUAAAGUUAAAGCUGAUUAAAAUAUUGGCGUACGUCAAGAACGCUACAGGGAACAUUCAACCGUGAGCUGCAGUCUGCAGUCCCCAACAAUCCGGGAAAAGGUUGAGGAGGCGCGCGCCUGCACAUUAAUUUGGGAGGUCUGAUGGGAUUUAUAAAUUAAAAUAAUGUAAUUUUAUAUAUUUUUUAAAUGAAAAAUUUGUUGAUGCCGCUGUGCGAUCCAUUGGAUCCUCGCGUGCUGGCCCCACAGAAGUUUCUCCCUAACAAUCUCCAUAAAAGCUCUUUAUAAUCCAUUUUUGAUAAAAGUAUACAUAUAUUUAUUCAAAUAUUAGUAAAAAUAUCUAUAAUGCUGAUUUUUAAAUUAUACUUAAUAGACAUUUAGACCGAGCUGUAAAUCUAUGAAUUCAAACUUCGACAAAUAAACCACAAAUUAUUUUGAUCCCGUAUGUUGGAUUGUCUCCUUUAAGGCUAUGUUUACUAAAGCGGAAUGAGAAUCGAAAUAGAGAAAUCAGAAUGAAUAACUUGUUUACUUAUUAAAUUGAUGAUAGGAAUGGGAAUAAGGUGAGUAGGCUCCAAGGUCUUGAAGAGGAAAGACCUUCCUUAUGUUCAAAAUUAACCCAAUUUGCUUUCUAACUUCCUUAUGUUCAUUGAUUCUUUUGUUGUGCAGUAGUGCCCAGUGUUCUUGAUAUCACAAUCAUCACCCCAUAUGAAUGACAAGUUGUUCUCAAGGUAUACAUUUAUACUUAUUAUUAAUACUUUCCUGUUUUGCCCUCACCAGCUAUGAUUAGCAUAUUGUUUUUUAAAACAUUAUAAAUAUAAAUGAAUUAUUAAUUAAUUAUCCUUUUUUUAUGUUUGAUUGAAAUUUGCUCAAAGGGCAUCUCCACUGACAAGAUACUUGAGUAAUCAAAGUCCUUGUUUAAUAAUAAUUAGCAUAGAAUUACUACUAACAGUGGGCACGAGUUGCAUUGGUUCAGAAUCAAAUUGAACCGAUAAUUUUUACAUAAAAUGUAAAAUUCAACGACUAAGUUUUAUUUUUUUCAAUUUUAAACCGUAAAUUCCUUUCUAUUUUGUGGGUUUUUUUUUUUUAGUUUUUGAUUGUUUUUAUACAAGCCAUUUGAUUAUUUUAAUUUUUUAAAACUGAAUCUAACCGCCGAUCCGAUUCAAAAUUUUCAAGAGUAACGGUUUUGCUCCAUCCAAAUUACCACGUACUUACUUACCAUCUGCCUCAGCGACGUGCUUGAGCGCCUGUGUCCGACACUUUUGAUAAUUCAUCUGUACCUUCAUCACAAUCUUCUGCUGCAAUAUUAUAUAUAAUUAUUAAAUCAGUUAAUAAUUAGUGCAUACAUGCAUUGACAUUACAUUAACUACAGCGAUCAAACAAUUAAAGAAAUUAAGAAGACGUACCUUCAUUUUCUUAAUUAAUUUCCGAUCGAUCAAGUAAGGAGCAAUUUUAUAAUCUGGAAUGAUGUUUACAAUUUGGAAAUUUGAAAAAAAAAAAAAAAACACUAACAGCAGAACUACACAUAUCAAAGACCAAUUGAGGACCGAGAUUGAAUGAUAGAGUAGAGGUUGUUACUCUAUCAUAGUAUAAGCAUUUUGGUAAUCCUUAACAUACGUGUUUUGCAGUAAUAAAAAGAAUAAUAUGUUAUCUAUUGCCGGUAUUGAUUUUAUGAUUGCAAAUUUGUCAUUUCCUGACGUCGGUGGCCGAAGUCUCAGCAUACAUCACUCGAGACAGAAGCUGAUUAUGAAGGAAUUAAAUGCCCAAGAUCUUGCGAUAUUGCAUCUUGUUCCUCCAACCCUGUGAUCAUCAUUCAUCAUAUGGCCGUAUUCAAGAUCUCAUUACUUUAGUACGAAAUUAAUAUAUUUCUCCAUGAUAGCAACUUCUUAAUUGUUAGCUGGACAGCUUCGGUAUUGUUUGUGCCACUGAUAAUUAGCAAAUUAAUCAAUACAUUAACAGUAACGUGGGAGUGUUCAUUGGCUUAUGUUUUACAAGAAAAAAGUAAUUAGAGCCUCGUUACAUCACAUCACCGAAAGAUGAUUUACUUAGCUUUGACUAACAAAAUGGAUUAACAAUGAUUCAUCUUCAGCCCCGUGUUUGCUCUACAAAUCGAUGUACGUAGUGACAGAUCUACUGUACGAAUUCAUCAAUAAUAUAUGAUUUCUUUUUGAUACCGACGUAUACCCAUAAGUGGUGUACUCUUAUUUAGAUGAAAAAUUUACUAAAAUAAAUCUGGGUUAAUGUAAUUUGGGUGACACAUUUUUCGAUAAAAUAUAAAAGAAGUGAUAAUUUUUUUUAAAAAAAAGGUAAUGGGAUGACAAAUUAUUAGUUUUAAUGAAAUUGGUUGUCUUAUGAUGAAAAUACGUUUUUGUCCCUGUAACCUUCUUUUAAUAUUACGAUAAUGUUCUUAAUUGCUUAUUUAUUUACAUCCCAUAUGAAAAAAAAAAAGAGAACAAAAUUCAACUCAUACAAAAAUAAUAUUAUUAAAAUAAAUUUAACAAUGUAUACAUUUUAAAAUAAUUUCCAUAUGCAUAUAUGCUUGGUGAUGUUACAAACAAUUAGUAUGAAGAAAUUCAAUUUGCAGCCGAAGUACACAGUUGGUUUGGAAUAGCCUGUCGGGGCUUAGUUGAUUGUUUUUCAAGUAAUUUUUUUUUUCGGUUGACCAUAGAAUUUAAAUCUAGGAGAGAGAGAAGACAAAAGUAUCAAUUUAGAUUUUACCUACUCACUCAUUUUAAAGAAAUAUUUGGGGAAAAAGAAAAUAAUGCAGUUGCUUCCACUAGAAAAAUUAGUAAAAUAAAUGGUGAUACAGAAUGUGCCAAAAUAAAAACAGAUGCAACAUGAUGCAUAUAUUUACACAUAUAAGCAAAAAUGCUCAUCAAGGCUAUCAUAACAUGAAGCAAUUUUGCCAAUUGACAUAUAAAAUAAAAACAGAUGCAACAUGAUACAUAUAUUUACAAUUUUGAGGCGAACAAACAAUAUAUGUAUUACAAAAUAUAUAUACUGAAACCAUGUUUGCUCAGAAUGGUUGAAGGUAGGUGAAGCUCUCUCGUGUCAAAUUUUCUGAAUUAGAAAAUCUCGGGGUUUUUAAUUAAAUACCCUUUAAUAGUUUCAAAAUUAUUUAAAUACCCCCUUCUUUUUUUAUUUUCAUGGAUACCCUAACAAAUGUGAGCAAAGUCGGAAAUACCCUUAAUGAAUGCAUCAAAUUCACUCAAUGAAUUGUCUUCAUAUUUCUUUCCUCAUUUCUUUUACCCAAAUCUAUUUUUGCUGCCGAUUCUUUCAAAAUCUCUUAAAAUCUCUCAAAAUCUCUCAUAACUUCUUACACAAAUACAAUUAUGUAUUCAUUUCUUUAACACCCACUCUUUCUUUAAAGGUGCAUUGCUUAUUAAACAACCCAAUAAGGUAUGUUAAUGUUGUUGGGUUUUAAAUUUUUUAUUUUUAGGAAAAUUUAAAAAUUUUCCUCACAUUACAAUGUUUUAUUUUCACCAUUUUUUCUUAUACGUAGAAAUAUAUGCAAUGUAGGUUGUUUAAUUAUUUUUUUCAGCAAUAUAACUUAUUUAUGGUGAAAAUGUUUCGAGUCAUGCAUUCUUUUGAUACCGUGUACGUCAUAUAGUUAGUCAUGUAGGUCGUGUAAGUAAUAUAGUCGUGUAAGUCGUGUAGGUCAUGUAAGAAAUAUAGUCGUGUAGGUCAUGUAAGAAAUAUAGUCGUGUAGGUCAUGUAAGAAAUAUAGUCGUGUAAGUAGUGUAAGUAAUAUAGUCGUGUAGGUCAUGUAGGUCAUGUAGUUACUUGUAUAUGAAAUUUAAUAUUAUUGUUUUUAUUGUAUCAUCAGAUAUGAUUUUGGUACGUGUGCCUAUUCUCUUCAAUGGUGAAUGGAUUGAGCAAAAUAACGAGUAUAAGUUCAAAGGUUCAAAGGCUAAAGGGAUAAUGAUACCACGAUCGACAACAUAUGCCGAAUUGGUGGAGAAGAUAGCUGAAGUUAUUGAUAUAGAUACUUCGGAAUUUGAAAUCACAAUGAAGUUCAAACUUAAGACAUCUGAUCCUAUGCCACCAGUUACAAUUCAAACCAAUGAUGAUGUGGAAUUUUUUUAUAUUCCAAUUUAAUUUCACUUCUUUUUUUUAAUAAUUUUCGUUGACAUUUUCUACAUAGCAGCAAAUAUAAAUUCUUAGCACAAAUUAAGUCUUUAAAGAACUAAAUUAAUCUAAUGAUUAAUGGAAAAAUUCGUGUAAUUUUAAAGUCGCAAUUAAACAUAUUACAGCCAUUUAAAAAGUUUUUUUUUUUUUUUAUCUUCAAAGUGCUUUCUUCCUUUGGCUAAGCAUACAAGCAUACAUGAGGAAUGCCUGCAUAUAAUUAAUCCAUGAAAUCAAUUAAGAAAAAAAAAAUAUCAACUAUAGGAAAUUAAUGUAAUGUUAUACACAUAAGAACACCAUUCGCAGUGAUAAAAUAUUUCCACUCAUAACUAGACAUAUCAUGACUUACCAUGGCUUAUAAUUGGAAAUUAAGAAUCUCUCUAACUAAUGACAUUUCACAAGGUAAAGGUAUAUGCACCAUUCCAAUUUAUUGUGAGCCUUAUUAAACUAAAUGUAAUGUGUAGAUUCUAUUGACAAGAAACAAAAUGUGGAAUUGAAGGUCGUGUAAUUGUGUAAUACAAGAAGAUCGUGUAAUUGUAUAAUACAUGAAGGUCGUAUAAAUGUGUAAUACAUGAAGGUCGUGUAAUCGUGCAAUACAUGAAUGUCGUGUAAUCGUGCAAUACAUGAAGGUCGUGUAAUACAUAACCUUACACGACCAAAUCUUGUGUUACAUAACAAAAUUAUAAUCAGCACAAUUCAUUAAUUUUUCACAAUUUGCAUGCAGCAAAACAACUAGAAAUUUGUUUUCGAACAUGUUAUGAGAGACCUACAACUAAUUAAUCUAUUUUUUCAAUAUAAAACCCUAACUUUUUAUUUUUUUCCCUUGAAUAUUAACUAGAAAACUAAUUACAUGGAAUUACUUGUCUCAACUAGUUAUAUUCUGACAAUUUUGUAGUAAAUGAUCAACUCUCUCCGGCGAUUAUGUAGUGACGAACUAUGCUUCACUUUCUCAGUUGUGGCAGCUUCCCCUUCUCAGGCUUAGUUUGCUCGUGUUGAAGUUCGAUUUACCAUGUAUGGAGAAUGAAUGUUUGUUUCAGUAGAGGUGAUGCCAGUGAGGGAAUUGCAGAGGUGAUGCCGGUGAGGGAAUUGCAGUGUUUGUUUGUUUGAGUUUGAUAAUGGAGGGAAUUGCAACAGAUGAGUGUUUGUUUGCUUCACUAGAGAAGGGAGAGGUGCUGUCCGUUGAGUUGAAAUGUUUUAAAAUGAGGAUAGCUUAGUAAUUUUCUAUCAGUUUUUAAAGGAUAUCGAUAAAAAUUUUGGCAAAAACAGAUUUUAGGGUAUUGAGAUAAUUUUUGAAGUAUGGAGGUGUACCGGGCGCAAUUGGCACGAAAAUCUCAUGCAUGUGGAUGUGGGUCUCAUUUUAUUUGUUAUUUUUAAAUAUUAACAUUUAGAUCUUUUUAGUUGUGCAUUCAUUGCCAUACUAUUUUAGUAAACUAUAUUCAUUUUAUUGUAUUUUUUUAAGAAUUUUUUAAUUCGAAAUAAUUUUUUUAAUAUUGUUGAAAAAGACAGGUUAAAGUAAAAAAAUUAUUGACUAAAUAAAUAAAUAAAUGACAUUAUUUUAUUUUUUAACAUUAAAAAAAAACCAAUUUGUUGUAGUCCACUUAGGAUGUGUUUGAGAAUGAGGUGUUAUAUUUUAAGCUGCUAAAGUAAAAAUUAUAGCUGUGGAGUAAAAAUUAAAAAAAAAAUCUGUUAAACUACCAAAAUCCAACUACAAAUAUUACCAAACACCGUAAAACCCAAUUAACUCACCACAUUACCAAACGUACCAAACGGCCUUAGUCCUGCAACACUUGGAACGUUACCAAGCUUUUUAGAGCUGUACAUUUUGGACUCAGCUGUCCUUGUCAUUUCAAGUAAAAGUUGAAGCUGUCUCAAAAGUAAAAUAAUAACGUGCAUUUAAGUAACUGGCCUAAACUUCAGAAAUUUCAGAAGUUACAGUAUACGCAGGUCACAUCUAGGGCCAUUAUUAUUUAUUAGUUUAAUCAUUAAAUGACAAAAUUUUGCCAAUCUUGAGGGGGCUACUUAAAAAUGCAAGCAUCUCGUCCCUUGCCUGCUUCAUAGAUGCUCUUACUCACCCCCCCCCCCCCGUCAUCUCACUUGUGCAAACCAAAGAAAAAAGAAAGAUUAUUAUUUUCCAUUUAUUACACAAAAAACAAUAAUUCCUUUUUAUUGCUCCAUGUUUAUUAUUUUAUUCUAUUUCUCCAGAAUCUCUCUUUAUCAAUUAAAUUUAUGAUAUAGAUAUUGAAGAUUUGCUUCAAUCAGAAAACUUGUUCAUAUUUCUGGUCAAUAUAAUACAUCCCUUAAAAGGUAAAAAUAGGGAAAAAAAAAAACAAGAAUGAUGAUUUUUUUUUUUUUGGUUUUGACUGUUCUAGACAAUAAAGAAAUAUUUUGAAAGGGUCGGAGAUUACAAUGAAUCUAUACACUUGUGGAAAUUUUUUUAAGGCAUAAAUAAGUGCAACUUGAGAGCAUUUUGUUUUUUGUUCCACUAUAUAUUUUUAUACAACUGCCGCCUUAGAUUGGGUGCAUCACUUCAUUAUAUAAUCAAUAAAAAUUAAUUAUAUAAAUGGAAUCAUUCUCUAUUAUAAUUAUUCGACUUCAUGAAGUAACAACUGAUGUUUUUUACCACAUUGUCAAAAGAGUUCAACUUUUAUUUGAGAAUACACCAUAUAAAAGAACAAAUAAAAAUAAAACAAGAGUACAACAUAGAAAAGAAAAAAAUAAAACAAGUUUUAGAAUUAGUAGAUUAGAAUUGUUAUAAGAAAGAGUUGUCCCUAUAACUUCAAUAAGCUAGCCAUGUUUCUUAAACUUGUUUUACUAGCCUUACCAAACUUUUUCUAGUUGAUAUUCAAUUUUUUUUAAUUUUUUUUUUCUAGUCAAGCAUACUUAAUUGAACAGUCAAUUCAACAUGAAAACGAUUUGUCGCUUUACGAUCCUAAUUUUUAACCAGCCGUAAAUUUUAAUCUAUUAAAAAAAAUUAGUUGGUGGAAAUGUAAACAGAAGCAAGAAGGUUAGAAUUAAUAACUUUAUCAUGAAUAAUUAAUAUAAUUAGAAUUUAAUAAAACUAUAUGUAAAAGCUUAUUUCAAGAGCGAAAAUUUUAUUUUUUAUCAUUUUUUAGUGCUUAUAAUUAUAAUUUAAUCUAGAAGUAUUUUAAUUAUAAAAAAUAUUUUUAAAAAUAAGUUUGACGAAUAGUUUAGUGCUUAUAAUUAUUUUCUACUUAUAAUUAAGUUAAUAUUUAAUAGAAAGAACUAAAAUAAUAAAAGCAAAAACCUUUGCCCGGCAAUUCCUUGUUAUUUACAUUUUUGGCGCUGUCCUUGACAGAGGACUACACCGAGGAAUCUCAGGCCGCGGCACACGUGCGGCGGCUUCUCGACAUCGUCGCGUGCACCACACGGUUCGCCAAGUCCAGAAACUCCCGAUUGCCGCCAUCGUCAGAGUCAUGUGCCAAAAAGAACGGCAGUAGGCCCCACCAGCCUUCACCAAACUCUGCCGCUCUGUCUGAUGGAGCAGCAACAGCAGCAGCAGAUAACCGAAGCGGGCCCCGCGCCACGUCAUCGCCAGUUUCAUCGGCGGUUUCUCCGAGUCUGGACAUGGCGGCCAUUCACCCGACGCCGAAACUCUCCGAGUUUUAUGACUUCUUCUCUUUCUCUCACCUCACUCCCCCCGUCUUAAGUAAGCGUAAUGUUCAUUUAUUUAUUUGUCUUCGUUUCUUACAUGGUUGAUCAAAAAAAAAGAAAAAAAAAGAAAGAGGAAAAUGAUAUAAAUAUAUGUGAUUUAUUUGAAUAUGAAAUUUGUUUAUUGAUUUUAAUUUUUAAUAAUUUUGAUUUUGAAGAUUUGAGAAAAUGUGAACGCAAAGAAGGAGACAAGUGCGACGGUGAUUAUUUUGAAAUUCAGGUGCCAUUUAAUAUAAAGUUCUGAUUAUUGUUGUUUGUUGUUUAUGGACUAAUUAAUUGUAGAGUUAUUCAACUUGUUAUUUUUGCUGAUGAAUUGGCCAAUGAGUGUUAAAGAUUUAAUAAUCAUUGUCUGCUAAUUAAUAAGAAUGCAUGGAUUAUUUUCAUGUCUUUGUAAGUAAUGUGAGUAUUUGAAAGUGCGGGAAACUGUAUUUUGUGCUUACAGAUAAAAAUCUGCAAUGGAAAGCUUAUACAAGUAGUUGCAUCAGUAAAAGGGUUCUAUACUUUGGGAAAGCAGUUUUUCCAAAGCAACUCCCUGGUGGAUCUUCUGCAAAAUCUCAGUCGAGCUUUUGCCAAUGUGGGUACUCAAUAGUUGAAUCUACAGAUUAUUUUUUUCUUUUUUAUCUGAAUGCAUCUUUUUUUCCUCCGUAAAUUCAAUUAGCUUACCCAUCAAUUGUUUUGUUAAUAAUUAUGGUCAUUAUGCGUGAUGCAGGCAUAUGAAUCCCUAAUGAAAGCUUUUGUUGAACAUAAUAAGGUAACAAUUUCUGUGCUGACAUAGUUUAUUACCAAUUCAAAUGUGAUUUUAACUUGAUUUUACUGAUAUAGUAUAUUCAAUAUCCUUCUUCAGUUUGGUAAUCUUCCCUAUGGAUUUCGAGCUAAUACAUGGCUUGUACCUCCAUCUGUUGCUGAGUCUCCAUCAAAUUUCCCUUGCCUACCGGCAGAAGAUGAGAAUUGGGGUGGCAAUGGCGGAGGCCAGGGAAGAGAUGGAGAACAUGAUUUACGACCAUGGGCGACGGAAUUUGCUAUACUGGCUAGGCUUCCUUGCAAAACUGAAGAGGAGAGGGUGGUUAGAGAUCGGAAGGCCUUUUUGCUUCAUAACCAAUUUGUUGAUGUCUCAAUUUUUAAAGCUGUUGGAGCAAUACGCCGUCUCAUUGGUUCAAAUUUACACACUCAAGAUACAAUCAAUGUCCAAAAGGGGGCAAUCUUGCAUGAAGAUCGUGUGGGAGACUUGUCCAUUACAGUAAAACGUGAUACAGUAGAUGCAAGCUUGAUGUCUGAGGUUACUAUUAAAGGAAAUCAGUCAUCUGGUAUGUCUGCUGCAGAAGUUGCUCAAAAGAAUUUACUAAAAGGUGUUACUGCAGAUGAGAGUGUAGUUGUUCACGUAAGUCGAUUUCUCCUUUACUUUUUAUGCUUAUGUUCACAGAACACACAUAAAAGACAUUCAUCAAAGCCGAAAUUACUUGCGUGGGCGGAAUAAUAUAGCUCUACCUUUGUCAGGGAGUGAUUUUUCAGUCGGAUUAGGAUGUUUCCCUCUUUAUCUGAUAUCUGGCAUUUGAUGAUGGCCUAAAAUACCCAUCCUCUUCACUCUCUCUUUCUACACAUUUAUGAAUGCACAAGAAAGUCAAUUUUAGGUUCUUUCGUGAGAAUCACUACUCAUUACUAACCUUAUAUAUCUGGUUUAGCUUCAUGAAUCUUAUGUUGCCUUUCUGUUUGGUGACUCCCUAUUCUGUUGAAAUCACUUGAUAGCAGGUCUUUCUACUGAUUUUAUCCAUAUCCCUCUGAUUUUCUGCUCGUAGUUUGAUCCAGCUUAAUGUCUUGGGGAAGCCUAUUAACCUUGGUUGGGCAUGCUUGUAUUAUAUCAACUAGUGGUGCAAUUGCUAAAGUUUUCAGCAUGGUAGAUCUUGAAAUAUCCAGAUUUAUUUUUGUCAAAAUAUCUAGAUUUAUCUUCCUUUUCUUUUUCCCUUUCUUUUAUUUUAGUUUCAAAGAUUUUGUGAUAAAGAGAACUGAAACAAUAUAGUUUUUGGCAGGAUACCUCCUCAUUGGGUACUGUCAUUGUAAGACACUGUGGAUACACCGCUGUAGUAAAGGUUGUUGGUGAUGUGAAGGAGAAGUUUGGCACACAAGAUAUUGAAAUUGAAGAUCAACCUGAUGGAGGAGCUAAUUCUCUUAAUAUUAACAGGUUUGAAAUUGUAACACAAUGCUUCCUCUGUCGAUUCGUCUUAGCACACAAAGACUAGGAAAUCUACAGAUGGAGAAUGGCUGUAAGAUAUGAAAAAUUAUCUUUCAACCACUAACAUUUUUAAGCUAUUCUGCAAGAUAUCUUAGACAUACUAACUGGUAUGAGCUUCUUUGCUUAGUGUCUAUCACAGUUGAAUUCAUGAUGCAGAGCAUUGUUAUUCUCUUUAUUUUUACCAGAUAGAACAGGAUUGAAAUGGUGGUGUUGGGGAUUCUUAAGGAUAGCACCUGCUCCUUUUUCUUUCUGUUUAGAUGGGAUCUAAUCAGUAGAUGUCUGAACUCUUAAGGGGAGUUGAUGUCAGAUUUCUAAACCAGGUUUUCUUCAAGUGUUAAGUUUAUGAAUAGGCCAAAGAAAAGAAAGCUGAUAUCUAGUUAGGGAUAUAUACUCCUCUUUCAGUAUCCUGUGGACCAGAAAAUGGCUUUUCCUAUAUUAAAAUAUGUGUGAGAUCCUUCACUGUAUGGGGAUGCUUCACCUCUGCAUAGUUGUAGACCACCUAAAUAAUAACGAGUGGUUGCAGGAAACAUUAAGUCAUGGCUUUCACAAUAAUGGUUGAGUGUUUAUAGUUAUGUGCCCUGACAUUGGUUUGUAAUUGUUAUAUUAACAAAAUAACCAACAGACAUCGUUGACGAUGUUCAAAUAAAGGAUAAAGGAAAGUAUAAUUACAGUGCAUGCUCAGUUGCUGAAAUAGGUCAUCAGCUUUUUAGAUUGUGCUAUUUCAGAAAGUAUUUAGGCCUUCUUUGGUGGAUUCUGCCUUUGUUUCAUAUACUCUUAUGUCUUUCUCCAUUUAAGUUGUUCUGACAGGGUAAACUAUUUAUUGCAGCUUAAGGCUUGUGCUUCAAAAGUCUUUCAGUGCUGAAUCAGCUAGAGGAGACCAGUCAACUCUGUGCAAUUUGGAUAAUUCAGAAGCUUUUAGAAGUCUUGUAAGAAGAGUUUUUAAACAGAGUUUAGCAAAGUUAGAGCUGGAGCCAACUGCUUCAGAAAGAUCUAUUAGAUGGGAACUUGGUUCUUGUUGGGUGCAGCAUCUACAAAAGCACGAAACUCCAACAGAUACCAAGUCAACGAGGUCUGGGGAUGAUAUUAAGACUGAACAUGCUGUCAAAGGUCUUGGGAAGCAAUUUAAAUUUUUGAAGAAGAGGGAGAACAUACCUAACCUUGUUGGUAGCAUUAAUGAGGCUAACGAAAAUGACAAUGGACCAGCAUGAAUAUGGGAGGUAAUGGUAGACAGCAAAGCAAUGGCGAGCUGAAUUGUGAGAUGGAAUUGAAAACACUAAUUUCUGAAGAAUCCUUCUUGCGAUUGAAAGAAACUGGCACUGGUCUUCAUUCAAAGGUUUCAGAAUCUCAAAUUUGUUUUGCAUUUCAACUGUAAAGUUUGCUACUUUUUGUGUUUUCAUUACGCUAAAUUUGGUUUGUUUUAUUUUCAUAUGGAAUGACUGGUAAAAUUAAUUUCUUGUGCAGGCAGUGGAUGAGCUUAUGAAAAUGGCAUACAAGUAUUUAUGAUGCGAGAACUAGUCAAGGUAUGCUUGCAGAACCUGCUGUACCUUCGGCUGCUGCUAGAGUUCCUUGUGGGCCAAGGUCGCCUCUCUAUUAUAGAAAUAAUUAUUCUUACAUUAUGAAACAUGGAUUUCCAAAAUACCACUCUUCCAUUAUGGAAAGAAACCUGUUGGGGCCUUCAAGAAUCAUGAACCCGCAUGCACCCGAGUUUGUGCCAAUGAGAGGUUGGCAAAUAAAUCCUGGAUAUGCAGAUUCAAAUGUUUCAAAUGGGUCGAACUCUUCAAAUGACACAAGUGAGGCAGACGAUGAGAAACUUGACAAAAUGUCCAGUAUUCAAGGCGAGGAUAAUACCUCAAGAAAGAGCAGUACAGAGGCGGAGAAGUCAGAGCUGGCAAGACAGAUACUACUUAGCUUCAUUGUAAAGUCAGUCCAGCAUAAUAUGGAUGCUCCAAGUCAAUCUUCAGGCUACGAAAAGAAGAUUGGGUAUUCAGAAAAUUCUUCAGAUGCAAUUGCAAAUGAUAGUGCUAUCAUAAAGAUCCUUUAUGGAAAUGAAAAGGGCAAAACAAA